AGCCGUGCCUGGUUUCGUUCUUCUUAGUUCUCCGUCAGAAUCGGAGUUGUGUUGUUUGUCUGCAGGUCGACAUGUUGUCGAAGAGGGUGGGCUUUGCCCUGUGUGAUUCAGUCUAUGAGAGUGGGCUCGGCCCUUGUUGUUUCGGUUUUUGCCCGGUUUUCCAUAAUUAUUUUUUUCUGCUUAAUUAAUAGAUGAGGCAACCUUUGCCUCUGUUUUGAAAAUAAAAUAAAAAUAAAAGGUACAAGCCCUGCUCGACGAGAAAUACAUCUGAUCUGAGCACACCAACACUAUAGCAGGGCAUCCAAGCCCAGCUGCCCAGACGCACGCACGCACGCACACACAAUGGGAAACACCCAGGCUGCAUCUCCCCCGUAGUAUAGGAUCGAUGAUGAUGAUUGAUGCGUCGUUAAGCCGCGCGCGGCGCGCGGCGCUCGGCGAAAGAGCCACGCCUGCCUCUUCCCUCGUUACGUAACGUAGCAGUUUUGUUUUCCAUGGCGGGACCAGGAGGGUCAAGCGGAGCGGGGCUUUAGGCCCGUGCGUAGGUCUGUCCGAGGUGCGCGGCGCGGAGGUCGGCGGGGUCGGCGCCGGCGGCGCGGUUGGCGGGGCGGUAGUAGCCGGUGACGGGGUCGGGCACCCACGAGGCGUCGGCCGCGACCUUCUCGGCCUCCCUGGCCGCCUUCCCGUCCGCGGCCGCCGCGGCGCCGCGCCUCAUCGCCCCGGAGGAGGCCGCCGCCGCGUAGCCCCUGGCGGUGGCCGGGGCCAGCCGCUGGGCGAGCGCGCGGGCAGCAGCGGAGCCGGAGAGAGCGAGGGCCAUCGGAUCCGUCUGCGUCGGAAGAUCGGACGGCUGGAGGGCUCCGGCUCUUUGCUGCUGCUACUGCUCCAACGUGGGCGUUUGAGGCUUUGGUGGUGUGGGGGGACGAGAGAGAGGCCAGGGCCCGUUUUUAAAGGGAUACGGGGAGGGGUAGGCGGGGUAAAAAGAGCCCAACGGCGCGGGGUUUUGUCAAAGAUUCGGUGGCUUUUGGGAGCCGUCACUCGGCGCGGCGAACCGGCACGUGCCCACGCGACGGGACGCAGGAAAUGGCGCCGCUGGUUCGUCGCUUCCUUCCUACGUGGUCGACCUGAUAUUUUUGUUUACUCUUCUCGAGCUGACGUUGGCGUGCAUUGCCGGGACGACAUGAGCCAGCGAGAGCGACGCACGUUUAAUUAAAUAUUAAAAGUUGGUGACAAUUUGGACUUUUGAGAGGAGUAUAAGCCAGGUCGUGCUUGUUUCGUUUUUUCUGUUCGGAUGUUUGUUUCGUUGUGAACGGCGAAGCUGCCUUUGCUCUUCUCGGUUUGGUGCGCAGUAAAAUUAUUUUUCAGCUUGGAUGCAGCGCGGGUCACCGUCGCCUGGAUGCAGCGCUGCGUCUCCCUGGCGUGUGGGUGCAGCGCCGGCUCGCGGAGGUCAACGCCGCGCGGGGCAUCACCAUGGCUGUCGGGUCGUCAUUGUGUGAUCGAGCGCUGCCCCGUCAGAGCUUGUGGUCAUUGCCGGGACGCGGUCACGUGGCCUCUUUGGCCAUAAGAAUGAGUUCAUAUAUGAAAUGAUUAUAUGUUAUAAUGUUAAGUGGUUUGCGUGUCACGGCAUGAGCUAAAGCCACGGGAUUGCUAUCUUAAUAUAAUGGACAUAGAGAUAGCCUACAGAUUACAUGGAGGACCCGGAGCUUCACCGGGCACAGCAGAACAAAAUCGGUGCCACGUCGAUAGUUUUCAAAAUUGUGGUGAUGGCAACUACUCCAUCCGUUUCAAAAUUCUUAUCUUAGAUUUGUCUAAAUAUGGAUGUAUCAAAUCAUGUCUUAGAUUUGUCUAAAUACGUAGGGAGUAUUUCGGAGAAAACUUCAUGAAGACUUCGGAAGACCAUGAGACGUUCCCGGAGCUCUCACUUAGUCCAUAUACGCCCGGACUGACCGGUACCCCUCAAAUCGGCCCAAUACAUAUGUGAAAAUUUUAAGUAUGAGCAAUUUAUUCGGAGUUUUUUGACAGCCCCGCCAGCCCAACAUGGACAUGAUGGUAUGCAUGUGUUUGCAUGUAUUAGCUAUUUUGAAAAUAGAAUUAAUGGUUGUAAAUGAUAAAAUUUGAGGCCCUCGAAGGGACCAAAUUUACAGGUUACGGCUCCAGAUGCUCUAAAGCACCUUUUAAGUACGGGGAUCAUUUUGAACCUGGACUGCAACUACGACGGUAGAUGCAAUUAUCUUGGAACUCUGGGACGUUUUUAGCAUCACAAGGUUCACAAACGAGUAAGCGCACUCGAGCCCGUGACAUCGACGUGCGGCCGGUGCGGCGAGAUGCAGAUGCGAUGCUUUCCGACGCCGUCGUGAGUGCAAGGCGACAUCCGUUCAAUCGAAGCGAGCUGAUUCCAUGCUGACCGCGCGUAGCAAUAUCCACGCUGCCCGGGCAGCGAGAAAAAGUGUUCACGGACAGCAACGACGUCGCGUGACCUACAUAAUUACAGUUUUACUAAAAAAACAACCUACUAACAUGCUUUAGAGACAGACGACGACGUGUCACGACCAGCGUUGGCGUGAAAAUUGCAAAAAAAAAGUUUGAGGCAGCAGCGCACACCGUGAGACGUCGGUGACACGGUAACAUUUUGUUGCGCAACUCCGCCGACGAGUCCGGUCCAAGGUUGCGGAGCAAGAGCGAGCGUCGUAGACGAAGUAGUCGAACACGCGAAAGUAAAUGACACAGAGAGAUAUGAAGGAGACCAGCUUUAUUAAUCACAGAGAUUACAAUGAUGGCUCCUCGUUGCUUUAUAUAGGGGUAGGGGGUCAAGGGAUAAGUACCCACUUAACGUAAAGUGGAGGGAAACGGGAGGGGCUAGCCCGUGCGAUACGCACAAGGCCGCCGCCACCCCUCGGUGGCCCCGGUUUCCCAACACUCCCCCUUGGGUAAUUAUCCGUAUAUCCAUGCCUCAAAACUCCGAAAAAUCCAGUGAAAAAAAUAUGGAGAAAGAGCACACGGUAUACAUUGUUGUAUUGCACGAAUUGCCUCGUCAAAAACCUCGUGUGAGAAACAUCAGGAAAACUCACUCAAGGGAAAAAGAGUACAAUCCACUCAACCAUCAAGUUGAGUACUCGAUCAUCAGGAUUGAGAUUUUAGCAACGAGUUUGUGAAGUUUCUCCCCCUGAACCUUGCAUCUCUCUAAGUCUCAUCAUACCGAUUUCACGCACACACCUCUCUAAGGUUGAUGCCGGUAAUGAUUUAGUGAACAUAUCAGCAAGAUUGUCACAUGACUUAGUAUGCAAAACUCUCACCUCAUUCAACUGUUGCAGCUCAUGUGCAUAGAAGAACUUGGGACUAAUAUGCUUUGUGAGGUUACUCUUCACGUAACCCAUCUGGACUUGUGCAACACAAGCAGCAUUAUCUUCAUAGAUAAUGGUAGGGGUUUGUACGGUGUUCAGCCCACAUGUCUGUUGAAUGUGGCCGACCAUCCGCCGAAGCGAUACACACUCUUUUGACGCUUCGAAUAGUGCCAUGAUUUCCGAGUGGUUCGUGGAAGUCGACACAAGUGUUUGCUUGGACGAUUUCCAGGAAAACGCAGUUCCACCACAAAGGAAAACAUAUCCAGUCUGCGAUUUGCAAUCAUGUGGGUCCGAUAGGUACCCAGCAUCGGCAUAGCCUAUAAUAAAUAGGUCUUGAUUUCUUUUAUAAAACAUGCCAAGAUCUUUGGUCCCUUGCAGGUAACAGAAGACGUCCUUGACACCUUUCCAAUGCCUCUUGGUAGGUUCAGAACUGUACCGAGCAAGCAAACUGACGGCGAACGCAAUGUCUGGCCGUGUACAAUUUGCGAGGUACAUGAGUGCUCCAACUGCACUCAGGUAAGGAACCUCUGGUCCCAGAGUUUCCUCCCCCUCUUCCUUUGGCCUGAACGGGUCCUUGUCUGGCUGUAAAGAUCUUCCGACCAUCGGGGUCUUAGAAGGAUAUGCCUUAUCAAAUCCAAAUCUCUCCAACACCUUCUGGGUGUAGGCCGACUGGUGCACUAGAAUCCCAUCAGGGGAAUGUUCAAGUUGCAGACCUAGACAGAACUUGGUUUUACCCAAACCCUUCAUCUCGAAUUCCGACAUCAGGUAGGAACUCGCUUCCUCAAUAUCCUCAGGCGUAGCGAUUAUGUUUAAAUCGUCCACGUACACCAAGAUUAUACAGAAUCCAUCUUGGGAUCGCCGUAUAAAAACACAUGGGCAAUCUUUAUUGCUCGUGUAGCCCUUCUCAUGAAGGAAAUCACUUAAGCGAUUGUACCACAUUCUACCAGACUGUCUGAGUCCGUACAGUGCCUUUUGAAGUUGAACACUGUAUAGACCCAUGUUUGCUCUAUCAUGGUUCGGAACAGGGAUACCUUCUGGAACCUUCAUGUAUAUGUUCGAAUCCAAGUUACCAUAUAGGUAAGCAGUGACAACAUCCAUUAGUUUCAUUUUCAAGCCCAUGUUUACUUCCAUCGAGAUCAAGUAUCUAAAGGUAACUCCAUCCAUGACCGGGGAAUAAGUCUCCUCAAAAUCGACACCUGGUCGUUGAGUGAACCCUUGAGCAACGAGCCUUGCUUUGUACCGUACUACCUUAUUAUUUUCAUCUCUCUUUCGAACAAAAACCCACCUAUGGCCAACAGGGCGAAUGUGGGGAGGAGUUCGAUAAACUGGUCCGAACACCUUCCUUUUGUUGAGAGAUAAUAAUUCGGCAGUAAUUGCCUGCUGCCAAUCUUUCCAAUCCGACCUUUUCUUGCAAUCAGCGAGCGUGUUAGGCUCAGGGUCAAGAUCUAUGAUUGAGGCAAUUUUCGUAGCAAAGUUGAUGUCGACAAUCACUGUUGCUCGGUUCAGGGAUUCCCCCGUAUAAAUAUAAUUUAUGGCCAUUUCGUCAUGGAGCGCAUCCGGCGCAAACACUUGCUCUACCAAAUUUCCCAUUGUGGGAGCAAGGUCCUUUAGAUUUCCCGCGCCGAUGUGUGCGCUCACAUCUCCGCUGGGUGUUUCCCCUAUGGGAAAGUUUAAGUCCGGAAUUUCGUGCACUGAAUUUUCCGUACUUGUGCCAGGUCUCGACUGGCUCCCCGUUUCAAUUUGGGGUACUUUGGCGACAGGCUGUGAUAAAUCUCUCUUAUCCUUUUUUGUCAGGCGUCCCCAAGUACUUGGGAUUUGAGAAGCCGGAUUUCUCGUCCUUUUAGGCCUUUGGACGGGAGCGGGUAUACCAUCAUUUUUCUUCGGUAUUUCAACCCUUUCCGGUGCAUUGCGCGCGUGCACAUGCGAUUUUGUCACAGUCUUUAAGUCACUAAAGUGGUCGGGCAGUUGAUUUGCUAAAGACUGCAAAUCUAUUAUCUUUUGGACUUUUCUCUCAGUCUCAGCAGCGCGCGGGUCAUGAGCGUGGACCCCCGUGGCUUGCCACGUGAUUUCUCGACUUUUAGCAUCAAGGGGUUGAUUCUCUCCCCCUAAAGUCGGGAAAAAAACCUCAUCAAAAAUGCAAUCAGCAAAACGAGCCGUGUGACAGUCACCUGUCAUGGGGUCCAGAUACCUGAUUAUGGACACAGUCUCAUAACCAACGUAUAUCCCCGACUUACGGAGCGGGCCCAUCGCCGAUCGCUGAGGGGGUGGUAUUGGUACAUAUACCUGGCAACCGAACCUAUGAAGGUGGGAAAUUUUCGGUGCCGACCCUUGCGCAAGUUGAACAGGAGAGUGGAUGUUGUAGGCCGACGGUCGAAAGUUGAUGAGAUUAGCCGCGUGUAACACCGCGUGGCCCCAACAUGUAGUUGGUAAAUUACAACCCUGAAGGAGCGGUCGGGCAAUGAAUUUAAUUCUUUUAAUCAAUGCCUCGGCAAGUCCAUUUUGUGUAUGAACAUGUGGUACCGAGUGCUCAACUUUGAUUCCCAUUGCCAUGCAAUAAUCAUCGAACGCCUUUGAAGUAAAUUCUCCGGCAUUGUCCAUUCGAAUAGACUUUAUACGAUAAUCCGGGAAAUUAUUCCUCAUUUGUAUGAUCUAUGAGAUCAAUUUUGCAAAGGCGUGGUUCCUUGUUGACAGCAGGCAAACAUUGGACCAUUUAGAGGAAGCAUCAAUGAGCACCAUGAAGUACCGAAACGGCCCCGUGAGGGGCUGAAUUGGACCGCAUAUGUCCCCUUGGAUACGUUCGAAGAACGCGGGGAUUUCAUCCCUCACCUUGAGGGGCGAUGGCCUAAUGACUAAUUUCCCCUUAGCGCAUGCAGAGCACACGAAAUCAUCGGGAUUCGGGAAGUUCUUCACGUUAACAUUAUGGCCAUGUGAGUUGUUAAUUAUAUUUCUCAUCAUCCUAAGUCCGGGGUGGCCUAACCUAUCGUGCCAGAGGCAGAAGAGUUCAGAGCUUCUAAAAAUGGUCUUGUGGGUAGUGUACACGGGCGGUGCUACUAUCUUAGUGUAGUAUAGCCCUGUGUCAAACGAAGGAAGCCUUUCGAUAACAUGUUUACCACCUGCAUCCCGCUUUGUGAUGAGUAGGCACUCCUUGCCGUUUUCAUCAUCGGUCUCAGCAUGGAAACCAUUAGCGCGGAUGUCUCUAAAGCUCAAAAGAGUACGAGUCGAUUCCGGGUACAACAACGCAUUAUUAAUGAUCAAAGUUGUUCCCAUGGGGAGUAUAAUAGUGGCUCGUCCGGAGCCAACUAUGUGAGAACCGCAGCCGGUGAUUGUCAUAAUACUUCCCGGAGAUUUUUUAAUUGACUCAAAGUACUUAGUUUCUCGUAAAAUGGUAUGAGUAGUGGCGCUAUCGGCAAGGCACGUUUCCUCCAUUCGGGCGCCACACGCGUUCUCCGCGGGAUCGACGAAAGCCUGCGUGAUGCAGGCUUGACGGAGAGUUGAUGGAGCGAAGCGUGCUGAUAACGUGUUCCGCAACUCCGCCGGCGAGUCCGGUCCGAGGUUGCGGAGUGAGGGCGAGCGUCGUAGACGAAGUAGUCCAACACGCGAAAGUAAAUGACACAGAGAGAUAUGGAGGAGACCAGCUUUAUUAAUCAAUGAUCAGAGAUUACAAUGAUGGCUCCUCGUUGCUUUAGGGGGUCAAAUGAUAAGUACCCACUUAACGUAAAGUGGGGGAAACGGGAGGGGCUAGCCCGUGCGAUACGCACGAGGCCGCCGCCACCCCCCGGUGGCCCCGGUUUCCCAACACAUUUCACCGUGUCCUGACGCGGAGCGAGCGUCUCAUCGCGUGCACACGGUUGCUGUAUGGCGGCUCAAGUUGUACGGUUGGCAAGGUUGGCGCUGGGUCAAACCAAACAGCCUCUUUUGCCUUUUUUUUAUAAUCCAAGCAAACAAAUCAUAAGUUAGAUUUGUUAUGGACGGAUUGGUUUGGUGAUUUGAUGAAUUGGUUAUUUGAUCAGACCAUAGAGAUGGUGAGGCGUCAUUUUUAAUUUCUUGAACUAUUUGACCACUAAAUUUUUGGUUGGUUAUCUGAUCAGACCAUAGAGAUGGUGAGGCGUCAUUUUUAAUUUCUUGAACUAUUUGACCAUUAAAUUUUUGGUUGGUUCUUUUUACCGUCUCUAGAUGCUGCUACAAGGUUAAACAAGAAGUUUGCAAGGCGCUAGAUAAAUAGAGAAGAAGGCAAUAUCAAGAUAUCAAGAGGACGACCAUCAAAGUGGAGCCGUGGGCUACCAUCACAACGAUCACUUCCAACAUGGACCAGUGCAGUGGCAGAGCUAGACAAAGAUAUCANNNNNNNNNNNNNNNNNNNNNNNNNNNNNNNNNNNNNNNNNNNNNNNNNNNNNNNNNNNNNNNNNNNNNNNNNNNNNNNNNNNNNNNNNNNNNNNNNNNNNNNNNNNNNNNNNNNNNNNNNNNNNNNNNNNNNNNNNNNNNNNNNNNNNNNNNNNNNNNNNNNNNNNNNNNNNNNNNNNNNNNNNNNNNNNNNNNNNNNNNNNNNNNNNNNNNNNNNNNNNNNNNNNNNNNNNNNNNNNNNNNNNNNNNNNNNNNNNNNNNNNNNNNNNNNNNNNNNNNNNNNNNNNNNNNNNNNNNNNNNNNNNNNNNNNNNNNNNNNNNNNNNNNNNNNNNNNNNNNNNNNNNNNNNNNNNNNNNNNNNNNNNNNNNNNNNNNNNNNNNNNNNNNNNNNNNNNNNUCCGCCGUUGGACCUGUGCAUUCCGCUAGAUGCUUUUCUUUUACAAAUCCAGUGCUAAUCAGGCUUUCCCAAGAAGAAAAUCAGCUUCGUCUAAUGUGAAGCAUGCAUGGUUCCGCAUCAAAUAAGACAAAAAAAAGAAUCAGAUCUACAAGGUUUAUAAGCGACCUUAUUUUCUAAAAAACCAGAUUAUUUGUCAUCCUGCGUUUUGUUUUUUCUAUGCAAGUUAUGUUUUCAAAGAGUUUUUUUUUCUGGAGGCGAUUUUCCUGGCGAUCUAGGGUUGGUGCGUGCUGAGGGAGUCCUGGAUUAGGGGCCCCUCGGGUGUCCGCGCUAUUUGAUAUAGACCGGACUGAUGGGCCGUGAAGAUAUAAAGCGGAAGACUUUCCUCCGCGUCCGGGGUAGGACUCCCAUAUGCGUGGAUGGCAAGAUUGGUGUCCGGAUAUGUAAUUUCCUUCCUCUACAAACCGACUGUGUACAACCCUAGACCCCUCCGGUGUGUAUAUAAACUAGAGGCUUUAGUCCGUAGAGGCUAUCAGAAUUCACAUAGGCUAGACAUCUAGUGUUUGGCCAUUACGAUCUCGAGGUAGAUCAACUCUUGUAACCCCUAUACUCAUCAAAUACAAUCAAGCAGGACGUAGGGUUUUACCUCCAUUAAGAGGGCCCGAACCUGGGUAAACAUUGUGUCCCACUUGUCCUUUGUUACCUUCGAUCCUCAAACGCACAGUUCGGGACCCCUUACCCGAGAUCGGCCGGUUUUGACACCGACAUUGGUGCUUUCAUUGAGAGUUUCACUAUGCCGUCAACAGAAAGAUCGAUGGCGCAUCUUGUCAUCAAUGAUGAUGUUGUUCCCGGGGAGACCUUUCUCCAUGGUCAACUUUUUGUGUUUGGCGGCUUCGCUCUACGUGCCAAUUCAACUGGUCGCCUCGAGAAGAUCGACAGCUACGCCCCUGGUUACCAGAUCAGAUUCGGAAGCCUGAAUUACAUCGCUGAUAUCUGAGGAGACUUGAUCUUCGAAGGGUUCUCGGCCUCGGCCGCCGCUCCUCAUCUACACGAAGGAAGCCCGUUGGAUCCACCACCAGGCUCUGUUCAAGGAUCAACUCUUGUUCCUGCCCAGUCUUAGAUCCAGAGCGGACCACUCUGUCCGAAGACGGGAGGCUAAGCCCCGCCGGACUCUCUCCUGUUGCGGAGUUCCCAACCGGAAACCCAGAGGUGGCUAUGUUGUCAACAAGCCUGGAGUCAAACAGGACUCUCUCUGUCAUCGGGAAACCGGACUCAUCUCUGGAGGUCAACACCGAACUCUCGAGGUCUGCGUCCAUUGAGCACAGUCAGGUGGCGUUUACCAGGCCCAGCUCCGCAGGUCCUCAGUCACCCAUCCAGCUUUCGCUCCUAAACGAGGCUCUGGACUUAAUGCGAUCUCUCGCCAUUACGGAAGUAUCACUUCCGAACUACGCCCAGCCCAAACUAGGGACUGAGAGCGGGGAAUUUUACGUCCCACCCACCACCCACUUGAUAGCCACUGUCAAGGACCUAACCGACAUGUUGGAUUACGCCUCCGAAGACAUCGACGACAUGGACGACGAUGCCGGAGCUGAAUCAGGCCAAAACCCACCCAUCACUGGGCAUUGGAUAGCCACUUCUACUUAUGAUGUGUACAUGAUGGAUACGCCCGAAAAGAAGGACGACGAUGGCACUCAAGAUCUGAUCAAGGACAAGCUCGUCGAGGCACCACCUAAGCGCCGACGUCAGCGGCGCCGCUCAUGAUCUCGUCGAGAAAAAGAUAGAAAUGCUGGCACCGGAGAUAACAACACUCCGGAUGAUGCCGAAGACCCCGUCGAGGCUGCGUCCAAGCAGGAUGAAUGGGAGGAGGGACAAGUUAACCCCGACGAACUCGUUGAUCAUGAGGAUUCGGAAGAUAGUAAUUAUCUACCGGUCUCCGAGGAGGACGUUAGCCUCAGCAACAAAGAUCUCAUCAUGCCUGAGGAACCCCUCGAAUAAGAACGCUUCAAGCGACAACUUAUCGCCACUACAAGGAGCCUGAAAAAGAAACAACAGCAGCUUCAAGCCGAAUAGGAUAAGCUCAACGACAGAUGGACCAAGGUCCUGGCCGCCGAAGAAUAUGGCCUUGAACGCCCAACAAAGAGCUACCCAAAACACAGGCUACUACCACAAUUCGACGACGAGGCCCUAGAGCCAAAUCCGUCAAAAUGCCACCAUGCUGAUGAACCAGACCGACCACCACGUGGACGGGACAAAAUGGCUAAUUAUGCCGAAUACCAGCCCGCGCCACCCCACCGUAGAGGCAAGGAGGCAUCGGCUCCGGGUUACACAUAUGACUUACGUCAGGACCUGGACAAUCGAGCCAGCCAUACCAGAUCCAUCUACGGAUCAAGGGGACGUGCUCCAACAAGAGACGACAGCCAUCAAGCCUGGCGCGACAAUCAUAAACCAAGUUCGGGCUGAGAACCGAACACGGAUAUCAUCCGAACUCCGUCGUGAUGUGGCCCGAUAUAGAGGCGCUGCACACCCCAUGUGCUUUACCGAUGAGGUAAUGCAGCACCAAUUUCCAGAAGGGUUUAAACCCGUAAACAUCGAGGCAUACGAUGGAAUGGCAAAUCCCGCUGUAUGGAUUGAAGAUUUUCUUCUCCACAUUCACAUGGCUCGCGGUGAUGAUCUCCACGCCAUUAAAUACCUCCCCCUAAAGUUAAAAGUACCAGCACGACACUGGUUGAAUAUCCUCCCAGAGAACUCCAUUGGCAGCUGGGAGGACUUGGAGGAUGCUUUUCGAGACAACUUCCAAGGCACUUAUGUCCGGCCACCAGACACCGAUGACCUCAGUCAUAUAGUCCAGCAACCCGGAGAGUCAGCCCGCAAACUCUAGACUCGGUUCUUAAAUAAAAAGAACCAAUUUGUUGACUGUGUGGACGCCGAAGCCUUAGCAGCCUUUAAGCAUAGCGUCCGUGACGAAUGGCUCGCCCGACACCUCGGUCAGGAAAAGCCGAAGACUAUGGAGCUCUCGCUGCACUAAUGACCCGCUUCUGUGUGGGUGAAGACAGCUGGUUGGCUCGUAGAAGCAGCAGUACAAACGACCCUGACACCUCUGAAGCCAGGGACGACAAUGGAAGGCCAUGACGUAACAAAAAUAAGCGUCGGAACAACAAUGAGGAAACUGAAGAUACGACAGUCAACGCCGGAUUCAGCGGUUCCAAACCCGGCCAGCGAAAGAAACCCUUCAAAGGAAAUAGAGAUGGUCCAUCUAAUUUGGACAAGAUACUAGACAGGCCUUGCCAGAUUCAUGGCACCCCGACAAGCCUGCCAAUCAUACCAACAGAAACUGCUGGGUUUUUAAACAAGCCGGUAAGUUAAAUACCGAACACAAGAGGAAAGGGCCUCAAAGCGAGGACGAUGAUGAACCCCGCCCUUCGAACACAAUUGGAUAGAAGAAGUUUCCCCCCGAGGUGAAAACAGUGAACAUGAUAUAUGUCACACAUAUCCCAAAGAGGGAGCGCAAGCGCGCACUAAGGGACGUCUACGCCGUAGAGCAUGUCGCCCCAAAAUUCAACCCAUGGUCGGCUUGUCCGAUCACCUUCGACCGCAGGGACCACCCGACCAGUAUCCGUCAUGGAGGUUCGGCGGCCCUGGUACUCGAUCCCUGUUGGGGAACGUAGCAUGCAAUUUUAAAAAAAUUCCUACGAUCACGCAAGAUCUAUCUAGGAGAUGCAUAGCAACGAGAGAGGGAGAGUGUGUCCACGUACCCUCGUCGACCGAAAGCAGAAGCGUUAGCUUAACACGGUUGAUGUAGUCGAACGUCUCCGCGAUCCAACCGAUCAAGCACCGAACGUACGGCACCUCCGAGUUCUGCACACGUUCAGCUCGAUGACGUCCCUCGAACUCUUGAUCCAACAAAGUGUCGAGGGAGAGUUUCGUCAGUACGACGGCGUGGUGACGGUGAUGGUGAUGUGAUCCGCGCAGGGCUUCGCCUAAGCAAUACGACAAUAUGACCGGAGGAGUAAACUGUGGAGGGGGGCACCGCACACGGCUAAGAAACAAUUGAUCUCCUUUGGGGUGCCCCCUGCCCCCGUAUAUAAAGGAAGGAGAGGGAGAGGGCCUCCUAGGGGGUGCGCCAAGUGGGAGGAGUCCCACUUGGUCUCCUAGUCCAAUUCGCCCCCUUCCUUUCUUCGGAGGGGGAAAGGGGAAAGGAGAGGCAGAGGGAGAAGGAAAGGGGGGACGCGCCCCCUCCCCUUGUCCAAUUCGGACUCCCCAUGGGGGGGGGGGCGCCACCCCUUGUGGGCUGCCCCUCUCUCUCCCCUAUGGCCCAUAGUGGCCCAUUACUUUCUCCGGGGGGUUCCGGUAACCCCUCGGUACUCCGAUAAAUAUCCGAAACACUCCAAAACCAUUCCGGUAUCCGAAUACUAUCAUCCAGUAUAUCAAUCUUUACCUGUCGACCAUUUCGAGACUCCUCAUCAUGUCCGUGAUCUCAUCCGGGACUCCGAACAAUAUUCGGUCACCAAAACAUAUAACUCAUAAUACAAAUCAUCAUCAAACGUUAAGCGUGCGGACCCUACGGGUUUGAGAAAUAUGUAGACAUGAUCGAGACACAUCUCCGAUCAAUACCAACAACGGAACCUGGAUGCUCAUAUUGGUUCCUACAUAUUCUACGAAGAUCUUUAUUGGUCAAACCGUAAUGACAACAUACGUCAUUCCCUUUGUCAUCGGUAUGUUACUUGCCCGAGAUUCGAUCAUCGGUAUCUUCAUACCUAGUUCAAUCUCGUUACCGGCAAGUCUCUUUACUCGUUCCGUAGUGCAUCAUCCCGCAACUAACUCAUUAGUCACAUUGCUUGCAAGGCUCAUCAUGAUGUGCAUUAUCGAUGGGCCCAGAGAUACCUCUCCGAUACUCGGAGUGACAAAUCCUAAUCUCGAUCUAUGCCAACCCAACAAACACCUUCGUAGACACCUGUAGAUCAUCUUUAUAAUCACCCAGUUAUGUUGUGACGUUUGAUAGCACACAAGGUGUUCCUCCGUUAUUCGGGAGUUGCAUAAUCUCAUAGUCAAAGGAAUAUGUAUAAGUCAUGAAGAAAGCAAUAUCAAUAAAACUUAACGAUCAUUAUGCUAAGCUAACGGAUGGGUCUUGUCCAUCACAUCAUUCUCCUAAUGAUGUGAUCCCAUUCAUCAAAUGACAACACAUGUCUAUGGUCAGGAAACUUAACCAUUUUUGAUUAACGGGCUAGUCAAGUAGAGGCAUAUUAGGGACACUGUAUUUGUCUAUGUAUCCACACAUGUAUCAAGUUUCCGGUUAAUACAAUUCUAGCAUGAAUAAUAAACAUUUAUCAUGAUAUAAGGAAAUAUAAAAUAAUAACUUUAUUAUUGUCUCUAGGGCAUAUUUCCUUCAGUCUCCCACUUGCACUAGAGUCAAUAAUCUAGUUCACAUCGCCAUGUGAUUUAACAUCAAUUCACAUCGUCAUGUGAUUGACACCGAUAGUUCACAUCGCCAUGUGACCAACACCCAAAGCGUUUACUAGAGUCAAUAAUCUAGUUCACAUCGCUAUGUGAUUAACACCCAAAGAGUACUAAGGUGUGAUCAUGUUUUGCUUGUGAGAGAAGUUUAGUCAACGGGUCUGUCACAUUCAGAUCCGUAUGUAUUUUGCAAAUUUCUAUGUCUACAAUGCUCUGCAUGGAGCUACUCUAGCUAAUUGCUCCCACUUUCAAUACGUAUCCAGAUUGAGACUCAGAGACAUCUAGAUCGGUGUCAAAGCUUGCAUCGACGUAACCCUUUACGACGAACUCUUUGUCGCCUCCAUAAUCGAGAAACAUUUCCUUAGUCCUCUUUAGGUACCUAAGGAUAAUUUUGACCGUUGUCCAGUGAUCUACUCCUAGAUGACUAUUGUAACCCCUUGCCAAACUCAUGGCAAGGUAUACAAUAGGUCUGGCACACAGCAUGGCAUACUUUAUAGAACCUAUGGCUGAGGCAUACGGAAUGACUUUCAUUCUCUCUCUAUCUUCUGCCGUGGUCGGGUUUUUAGUCUUACUCAACUUGACACCUUACAAUAUAGGUUAGAAUUCCUUCUUUGACUGAUCCAUUUUGAACUCCUUCAAAAUCUUGUCAAGGUGUGUGCUUUGUGAAAGUCCUAUUAAGCAUCUCGAUCUAUCUCCAUAGAUCUUGAUGCCCAAUACAUAAGUAGCUUUACCGAGGUCUUUUAUUGAAAAAUUCUUAUUCAAGUAUCCUUUUAUGCUAUCCAGAAAUUCUAUAUCAUUUCCAAUCAGCAAUAUGUCAUCCACAUAUAAUAUGAGAAAUGCUACAGAGCUCCCACUCACUUUCUUAUAAAUACAGGCUUCACCGUAAGCCUGUAUAAAACCACAUGCUUUGAUCACCUCAUCAAAGCGUAUAUUCCAACUCCGAGAUGCUUGCACCAGUCCAUAGAUGAAUCGCUAGAGCUUGCACACUUUGUUAGCACCUUUAGGAUCGACAAAACCUUCUGGUUGCAUCAUAUACAAGUCUUCUUUAAUAAAUCCAUUAAGGAAUGCAGUUUUGACAUCCAUUUGCCAGAUUUCAUAAAAUGCAGUAAUUGCUAACAUGAUUCGAACAGACUUAAGCAUUGCUACGAGUGAGAAAGUCUCAUCGUAGUCAACUCCUUGAACUUGUCGAAAAACCCUUUUUUGCGACAAGUCGAGCUUUCUAGAUAGUAACACUACCAUCAGCGUCCGUCUUCCUCUUGAAGAUCCAUUUAUUCUCAAUGGCUUGCCGAUCAUUGGGCAAGUCCACCAAAGUCCACACUUUGUUCUCAUACAUGGAUCCUAUCUCAGAUUUCAUGGCCUCAAGCCAUUUAUCGGAAUCUGGGCUCAUCAUAGCUCUUCAUAGUUCGUAGGUUGAUACGUCUCCAACGUAUCUAUAAUUUUUGAUUGUUCCAUGCUAUUAUAUUAUCUGUUUUGGAUGUUUAAUAUACCUUUUUAUAUUAUUUUUGGGACUAACCUAUUAACCCAAGGAGCAGUGGGAAUUGUUGUUUUUUGCCUAUUUCAGUGUUUCGUAGAAAAGGAAUAUCAAACGGAACGAAACCUUCGCGAGGAUCUUUUUUGGAGCAAAUGCAAUCCAGGAGACUUGGAGUGGAAGUCAAGGAAGCAAUGAGGCGGCCACGAGGUAGGAGGGCACGCCCAGGGGGGGGGGGGGUAGGCGCGCCCCCACCCUCGUGGGCCCCUCAUAGCUCCACCGACCUACUUCUUUCGCCUAUAUAUACUCUUAUACCUUGAAAACAUCCAGGGGAGCCACGAAACCACUUUUCCACCGCCGCAACCUUCUGUACCUGUGAGAUCCCAUCUUGGGGCCUUUUUCGGCGAUCUGCCGGAGGAGGAUUCGAUCACGGAGGGCUUGUACAUCAACACCAUAGCCUCUCCGAUGAUGUGUGAGUAGUUUACCACAGACCUUCGGGUCCAUAGUUAUUAUCUAGAUGGCUUCUUCUCUCUCUUAGGUUCUUAAUACAAAGUUCUCCCCGAUGUUCUUGGAGAUCUAUUCGAUGUAAUACCUUUUGCGGUGUGUUUGUCGAGAUCCGAUGAAUUGUGGGUUUAUGAUCAAGAUUAUCUAUGAACAAUAUUUGAUUCUUCUCUGAAUUCUUAUAUGCAUGAUUUGAUAUCUUUGCAAGUCUCUUCGAAUUAUCGGUUUAGUUUGGCCUACUAGAUUGAUCUUUCUUGCAAUGGGAGAAGUGCUUAGCUUUGGGUUCAAUUUUGCGGUGCUCGAUCCCAAUGACAGAAAGGGAACCGACACGUAUUGUAUUGUUGCCAUCGAGGAUAAAAAGAUGGGUUUUAUAUCAUAUUGCUUGAGUUUAUCCCUCUACAUCAUGUCAUCUUGCCUAAUGCGUUACUCUCUUCUUAUAAACUUAAUACUCUAGAUGCAUGCUGGAUAGCGGUCGAUGUGUGGAGUAAUAGUAGUAGAUGCAGAAUCGUUUCGGUCUACUUGACACGGACGUGAUGCCUAUGUUCAUGAUCAUGCCUAGAUAUUCUCAUAACUAUGCACUUUUCUAUCAAUUGCUCGGUAGUAAUUUGUUCACCCACCGUAAUAUAUGCUAUCUUGAGAUAAGCCACUAGUUAAACCUAUGCCCCCCGGGUCUAUUUUACAUCAUAUUAGUUUAUCAUCAACUUGCCAAUUUCUAUCACCGUUUAUUUUGCAAUCUUUACCUUCCAAUCUAUCCAACAAAAAUACCAAAAAUAUUUAUAUUAUUAUCUUUAUCAGAUCUCACUUUUGCAAGUUGCCGUGAAGGGAUUGACAACCCCUUUAUCGCGUUGGUUGCAAGGUUCUUGAUUGUUUGUGCAAGUACUAGGCGAUUUGCGUGUAGUCUCCUACUGGAUUGAUACCUUGGUUCUCAAAAACUAAGGGAAAUACUUACGCUACUUUGCUGCAUCACCCUUUCCUCUUCAAGGGAAAACCAACACAUGCUCAAGAGGUAGCAAGAAGGAUUUCUGGCGCCGUUUCCGGGGAGUGAAGCGCCUUUGGUAGGUGGAAUAUGGUAAGGAAAAAUUUAUAUAGUGUGCUGAAAUUUACUGUCACUUGUUACUAUGGAAAGUAAUCCUUUGAGGGGCUUGUUCGGGGUAUCUUCACCCCGACGAGUAGAGCAAAGAGUUGCUCCUCAACCUGCUGAACCUACUGAAAAUGUUUACUUUGAAAUUCCUUCGGGUAUGAUAGAGAAACUGCUAGCUAAUCCUUUUACAGGAGAUGGAACAUUACAUCCCGAUUUGCACCUAAUCCAUGUGGAUGAAGUUUGUGGAUUAUUUAAGCUUGCAGGUAUGCCCGAGGAUGUUAUCAAGAAGAAGGUCUCCCCUUUAUCUUUGAAGGGAAAUGCAUUGACAUGGUUUAGGCUAUGCGAUGAUAUUGGAUCAUGGAACUACAACUGAUUGAAAUUGGAAUUUCAUCAGAAGUUUUAUCCUAUGCAUCUGGUUCAUCGUGAUCGUAAUUAUAUAUAUAAUUUUUGGCAUCGUGAAGGAGAGAGCAUCGCUCAAGCUUGGGGGAGGCUUAAGUCAAUGUUAUAUUCAUGCCCCAAUCAUCAGCUCUUAAGAGAAAUUAUUAUUCAAAAAAUUUAUGCUCGACUUUCUCUCAAUAAUCGCUCCAUGCUCGAUACUUCUUGUACUGGUUCUUUUAUGAUGAAGACUAUUGAAUUCAGAUGGAAUUUAUUGGAAAGAAUCAAACGCAACUCUGAAGAUUGGGAACUCGACGAAGGUAAGGAAUCAGGUAUAAUGCCUAAGUUUUAUUGUGUUAAAUCUUUUAUGGAUACCGAUGUUUUCCAUGAAUUUAGCACCAAAUAUGGACUUGACUCUGAGAUAGUAGCUUCUUUCUGUGUAUCCUUUGCUACUCAUGUUGAUCUCCCUAAGGAGAAGUGGUUUAAAUAUCAUCCUCCCAUUGAAGUAAAAGUAGUUGAACCUAUUAAAGUUGAAGAAAAGACUAUCACUUAUAAUGUUGAUCCUAUUGUUCCUACUGCUUAUAUUGAGAAACCAUCUUUCCCUGUUAGAAUAACGAAUCAUGCUAAAGCUUCAACUGUGGUCAACAAAAGUAAUAUUAGAACAGCCAAACCCUCUGAGCAAAUUAAAGUUGAACCUAGUAUUGCUAUGGUUAAAGAUCUCUUGGUUGAUAAUAUUGAUGGGCAUGUUAUUUACUUCUGUGAUAAGCUGCUAGAAUUGCUAAACCCGAUACUAAAGAUAAACAUAGACCUGUUGUUGGCAUGCGUGUUGUUUCGGUUAAAUAGGAGAUCACUGUUGUCAUGGCUUAUGUGAUAUGGGUGCUAGUGUUAGUGCAAUACCUUAUACCUUAUAUAAAGAAAUUAUGCAUGAUAUUGCACCUGCUGAGAUAGAAGAUAUUAAUGUUACUAUUAAGCUUGCCAAUAGAGAUACUAUUUCACCAAUUGGGAUUGUUAGAGAUGUUGAAGUCUUGUGUGGGAAAAUUAAAUAUCCUACUGAUUUUCUUGCUUCCCCACAAGAUAACUUUUGUCCUAUUAUAUUUGGUAGACCCUUCUUGAAUACUGUUAAUGCUAAGAUAGACUGCAAAAAGGAUAUUGUUUCUAUUGGUUUAGGGGAUAUGUCUCAUGAUUUUAAUUUUGCUAAACUUCGUAGACAACCCCAUGAUAAAGAAUUGCCUAGUAAAGAUGAAAUUAUUGACCUCGCUUCUAUUGCCGUGCCUCCUAAUGAUCCUUUAGAACAAUAUUUGCUAGACCAUGAAAAUGACAUGUUUAUGAAUGAAAGAAGGGAAAUAGAUGAAGUAUUCUUCAAGCAAGGACCUAUUUUGAAACACAAUUUGCCUGUUGAAAUUCUAGGGGAUCCUCCUCCACCCAAGGUUGAUCCCGUGUUUGAGCUUAAACCAUUACCUGAUACUCUUAAAUAUGCUUAUCUUGAUGAAAAGAAGAUAUAUCCUGUUAUUAUUAGUGCUAACCUUUCAGAGCAAGAAGAAGAGAAAUUAUUGAAAACUCUAAGAAGCACCGUGCUGCUAUUGUAUAUACUCUGGAUGAUCUUAAGGGCAUUAUUCCCACUCUAUGCCAGCACAAAAUAAAAUUGGAGAAAGACGCUAAACCGUUGUUGAUCACCAACGACGGUUAAAUCCUAAGAUGAAAGAAGUGGUAAGAAAAGAAAUACUAAAGCUUCUGGAGGCAGGUAUAAUUUAUCCCGUUGCUGAUAGUCAGUGGGUAAGUCCUGUCCAUUGUGUCUGUAAGAAGGGAGGCAUUACUGUUGUUCCUAAUGAUAAAGAUGAAUUAAUCCCACGAAGAAUUGUUACAGGUUAUAGAAUGGUAAUUUAUUUCCGCAAACUAAAUAAAGCUACUAAAAAGGAUCAUUACCCUUUACCUUUUAUUGAUCAAAUGCUAGAAAGAUUAUCCAAACACACACAUUUUUGCUUUCUAGAUGGUUAUUCUGGUUUCUCUCAAAUACCUGUGUCAAAAGAGGAUCAAUAAAAUACCACUUUUACUUGCCCUUUCGGUACCUUUGCUUAUAGAUGCAUGCCUUUUGGUUUAUGCAAUGCACCUGCUACCUUUCAAAGAUGUAUGACGCUAUAUUCUUUGACUUUUGUGAAAAGAUUGUUGAGGUUUUCAUGGAUGAUUUUUUCCGUAUAUGGAACUUCUUUUGAUGAUUGCUUAAGCAACCUUGAUCUAGUUUUGCACAGAUGUGAAGAAACUAAUCUUGUCUUGAAUUAGGAGAAGUGCCACUUUAUGGUUAAUGAAGGUAUUGUCUUGGGGCAUAAAAUUUCUGAAAGAGGUAUUGAAGUUGAUAAAGCUAAAGUUGAUGCUAUUGAAAAGAUGCCAUGUCCUAAGGACAUUAAAGGUAUAAGAAGUUUCCUUGGUCAUGCCGGUUUUUAUAGGAGGUUCAUUAAAGACUUCUCAAAAAUUUCUAGGCCUUUGACUAAUCUCUUACAAAAAGAUGUUCCUUUUGUCUUUGAUGAUGAUUGUGUAGAAGCAUUUGAAAUAAUUAAGAAAGCCUUGAUUUCUGCACCUAUUGUUCAGCCACCUGAUUGGAAUCUACCCUUUGAAAUUAUGUGUGAUGCUAGUGAUUAUGCUGUAGGUGCUGUUCUAGGACAAAGAGUUGAUAAGAAAUUAGAUGUUAUUCAAUAUGCUAGUAAAACUCUAGACAGUGCCUAGAGAAAUUAUACUACUACUGAAAAAGAAUUUUUAGCAGUUUUAUUUGCUUGUGAUAAGUUCAGACCUUAUAUUGUUGAUUCUAAAGUAACUGUUCACACUGAUCAUGAUGCUAUUAAAUAUCUUAUGGAAAAGAAAGAUGCUAAACCUAGACUUAUUAGAUGGGUUCUCCUACUACAAGAAUUUGAUUUGCAUAUUAUUGAUAGAAAGGGAGCUGAGAACCCCAUUGCAGACAACUUAUCUAGGUUAGAGAAUGUUCUUGAUGACCCACUACCUAUUGAUGGUAGCUUUCCCGAUGAACAAUUAACUGUCAUAAAUGCUUCUCGUAAUGCUCCAUGGUAUGCUGAUUAUGCUAAUUACAUUGUUGCUAAAUCUAUACCACCUAGCUUCACAUACCAGCAAAAGAAAAAAAAUUCUAUGAUUUAAGACAUUACUUCUGGGAUGACCCACACCUUUAUAAAGAAGGAGUAGAUGAUGCUAUUAGAUGUUGUAUACCUAAGCAUGAACAGGAACAAAUCCUACACAAGUGUCACUCUGAGGCUUAUGGAGGACACCACGCUAGAGAUAGAACCUCACAUAAGGUAUUGCAAUCCAGUUUUUAUCGGCCUACUCUCUUCAAGGAUGCCCGUAAGUUUGUCUUGUCUUGUGAUGAAUGUCAAAGAAUUGGUAAUAUUAGUAGACGUCAAGAAAUGCCUAUGAACUAUUCACUUGUUAUUGAACCAUUUGAUGUUUGGGGCUUUGAUUAUAUGGGACCGUUUCCUUCCUCUAAUGGGUAUACACAUAUUUUAGUUGCUAUUGAUUACGUUACUAAGUGGGUAGAAGCUAUUCCAACUAGUAAUGCUGAUCAUAACACCUCUAUUAAGAUGCUUAAAGAAGUUAUUUUUCCGAGGUUUGGAGUCCCUAGAUAUUUAAUGACUGAUGGUGGUUCACAUUUUAUUCAUGGUGCUUUUCGUAAGAUGCUUGCUAAGUAUGAUGUUAAUCAUAGAAUUGCAUCUCCAUACCAUCCACAAUCUAGUGGUCAAGUAGGACUAAGUAAUAGGGAGAUUAAAUUAAUUUUGCAAAAGACUGUUAAUAGAUCUAGAAAGAAUUGGUCCAAAAAACUCAAUGAUGCAUUAUGAGCCUAUAGAACUGCAUAUAAAAAUCCCAUGGGUAUGUCUCCAUAUAAAAUGGUUUAUGGAAAAGCAUGUCAUUUACCUCUCGAACUAGAACAUAAGGCAUAUUGGGCCAUUAAAGAGCUCAAUUAUGAUUUCAAACUUGCUGGUGAGAAGAGACUAUUUGACAUUAGCUCACAUGAUGAGUGGAGAACCCAGGCCUAUGAGAGUGCCAAACUGUUUAAAGAAAAAGUUAAAAGAUGGCAUGACAAAAGGAUACAAAAGCGUGAGUUUAAUGUAGGUGAUUAUGUUUUGCUAUACAACUCUCGUUUAAGAUUUUUUGCAGGAAAACUCUUCUCUAAAUGGGAAGGUCCUUAUGUUAUCGAGGAGGUCUAUCGUUUCGGUGCCAUAAAAAUCAACAACUUCGAAGGCACAAAUCCGAAGGUGAUGAACGGUCAAAGAAUCAAACAUUAUAUCUCAGGUAAUCCAAUAAAUGUUGAAACUAAUGUUAUUGAAACCGUAACCCCGGAGGAAUACAUAAGGGACACUUUCCAGAAUGUUUCAGACUCCGAAAAGGAAUAGGUAUGUGGUACGGUCAGUAAACCGACUCCAAAACAGUUCUAAUAGCAUUUUUUCUCCGUUUUGGAAUAUUUAAGAAAAUAGGAAAAUAAGAACUAGUCCAAAGAGGACACGAGGCAUCCAUGAGGGUGGAGGGCGCGCCCCCUGCCUCGUGGGCACCUCGUGUGCCCUCCGGACUCCGUUUUCUUGAACGAUACUUCUUUUGGUCGAUAAAAAUUCAUUAUAUAAUCUCCCAAAGGUUUUGACCCUCGUAUCACGCAAAUACCUCCUGUUUUUGUUUCGAGCUAUUUUUCUGACAGAUCUAGAUCUCCAUGACGUCUCUAAGCGUCCCCAAGGACAAGUUCUUCGAGAAGGUCAUCAACCCCUACCUCGCGGAGGUGCUGCAACACCCUUAAACCAUUGAGAUGCGUGAGGGGUUGCUGCACAUCCGCGAUGUUGAGGGACCGAGGAGGACCGGAAGCGUGGAGACAAGACUCGAAGCAAUGGAGCAACAAGUUUUCAAGUGCCAGGAGAUGGUGGAACAUGGACUCGACGCCAACCACACAAUGAUUACGGAGUUCACCAACAACCACAAGCUAGAUGCCAAGAACAUUGGGGAGACCAUCUUCAAGCUUCACGAGAAAAUCGAGCACCUCCAAGCCCAGAUCUAUGACCUGCAAAACCAAAACUGUGAGUAUAAAUAUAGAUUCAAGAGGAUGAGUUUGGCUGCAGAUUCGAGGAUCCCGGAGACUCGAUCAUCCUUCUAUGAUGGUGAGCCUGUGCCUUGGAAGAUGGACGACAAGCUUACAACAUCAACAACUCCAUCAUCACCACUUCCGAAGAAAGAGACAUAAAUACAUGGGUAUGGGCACUCCCCUUGGCAACUGCCAAGCUUGAGGGAGGUGCCCCGGUAUCGUAUCACCAUCACACUCCUAUCUUUACCGUUUUUCUUAGUUCGAUCCUUUUGGUAAUAUCUUGAUCUAGUAGAAUAAAGUUUUAGUAUGAUUUAGUUUUGAGUUUUGCUUUAUGAUCCUUCUAUGUAAUCGAGUCCGUGAGCUAUAUAUAAUAAAGAUUAGUUUUAAGUUGAGGGCUUGGUUAUCUUGCUAUGAUCUUGAAGGAAUAAAAGAAAGAAUAAAAAUAAUUAAAGAGAUCAUAUUGAUCUUAUGGAGAGUAAUGACUUCACAUAUAAAGAGUAUGAUGAAUAAAAGUUGUUGAGAGUUGAGAAACAUAGUUUUGGUCAUCCUUGCAAUUAAUAGGAAGUAAUAAAGAAAGAGAGGUCUUCACAUAUAAAUAUACUAUCUUGGACAUCUUUUAUGAUUGUGAGCACUCAUUAAAAUAUGACAUGAUAAAAAGUUGAUGUUGGACAAGGAAGACAACGUAAUGGGUUUUGUUUUCUUAUAUCCGAAAUAAAGUAUAUUGUCAUGGAUCAUCCAACAUGUUGGGCUUGCCUUUCCCCCUCAUGCUAGCUUAAUUCUUUGCACCAAGUAGAGAUACUACUUGUGCUUCCAAAUAUCCUUAAACCUAGUUUUCUCAUGAGAGUCCACCAUACCUACCUAUGGAUUGAGUAAGAUCCUUCAAGUAAGUUGUCAUUGUUGCAUGCAAUAAAAAUUGCUCUCUAAAUAUGUAUGAUCUAUUAGUGUGGAGAAAAUAAGCUUUAUACGAUCUUGUGAUAUGGAAGCAAUAAAAGCGACAGACUGCAUAAUAAAGGUCCCUAUCACAAGUGGAAAUAUAAAGUGACGUUCUUUCGCAUUAAGAUUUUGUGCAUCCAACCAUAAAAGCAUAUGACAACCUCUGCUUCCCUCUGCGAAGGGCCUAUCUUUUAUUUUUGCUUUAUGUCUUAUGCAAGAGUCGCGGUGAUCUUCACCUUUCCUUUUUUACACUUUAUCCUUUGGCAAGCACAUGUGUGUUGAAAAGAUCCUGAUAUAUAUAUAUCCAAUUGGAUGUAAGUUAUCAUGAACUAUUAUUGUUGACAUUACCCUUGUGGUAAAAGGUUGGGAGGCAACACUAUAAGCCCCUAUCUUUCUCUGUGUCCGAUUAAAACUCCAUACCCAUAAGUAUUGCGUGAGUGUUAGCAAUUGUGAAAGACUAAAUGAUAGUUGAGUAUGUGGACUUGCUGAAAAGCUCUUAUAUCGACUCUUUCCGAUGUUAUGAUAAAUUGCAAUUGCUCCAAUGACCGAGAUCAUAGUUUGUUAGUUUUCAAUGAAGUUUCUGAUUCAUACUUGACAUUGUGAAUAGAUUGUUACUUUAGUAUAAAAAAUCAUAUGACAAUAUAUAUAUAUAUAUAUAUAUGUUGCUGUUAUAAGAAUGAUCAUGAUGCCCUCAUGUCCGUAUUCUAUUUUAUCGACACCUCUAUCUCUAAACAUGUGGAGAUAUUUUUCGUUAUCGGCUUCCGCUUGAGGACAAGCGAGGUCUAAGCUUGGGGGAGUUGAUACGUCCAUUUUGCAUCAUGCUUUUAUAUCGAUAUUUAUUGCAUUAUGGGCUGUUAUUACACAUUAUGUCACAAUACUUAUGCCUUUUCUCUCUUAUUUUACAAGAUUUACAUGAAGAGGGAGAAUACCGACAGCUGGAAUUCUGGGCUGAAAAGGAGCAAAUAUUAGAGACCUAUUCUGCACAACUCCAAAAGUCCUAAAACUCCACGGAAGUCAGUUUUGGAAUAUAUUAAAAAUAUUGGGCAAAGAAAGCACCAGAGGGGGCCACACCCUGUCCACGAGGGUGGGGGCGCGCCCCCUACCUCGUGCCCCCCCUGGCAGGCCUCUGGUGCCAAUCUUUUGCCAUAUAAAGUCUUUUGCCCUCGAAAAAAAUUGGGAGGAAGCUUUCGGGACGAAGCGCCGCUGUCUCGAGGCGGAACCUGGCGAAACCAAUCUAGGGCUCCGACGGAGCUGUUCUGCCGGGGAAACAUCCGUCCGGGAGGGGGAAAUCAUCACCAUCGUCAUCACCGUCGAUCCUCUCAUCGGGAGGGGGUCAAUCUCCAUCAACAUCUUCACCAGCACCAUCUCCUCUCAAACCCUAGUUCAUCUCUUGUAUCCAAUCUUUGUCUCAAAACCUCAGAUUGGUACCUGUGGGUUGCUAGGAGUGUUGAUUACUCCUUGUAGUUGAUGCCAGUUGGUUUAUUUGGUGGAAGAUCAUAUGUUCGGAUCCUUUAUGCAUAUUAAUACCCCUCUGAUUAUGAACAUGAAUAUGAUUUGUGAGUAGUUACGUUUGUUCCCGAGGACAUGGGAGAAGUCUUGCUAUAAGUAGUCAUGUGAAUUUGGUAUUCAUUCGAUAUUUUGAUGAGAUGUAUGUUGUCUUUCCUCUAGUGGUGUUAUGUGAACAUCGACUACAUGACACUUCACCAUUAUUUGGGCCUAGGGGAAGGCAUUGGGAAGUAAUAAGUAGAUGAUGGGUUGCUAGAGUGACAAAAGCUUAAACCCUAGUUUAUGCGUUGCUUCGUAAGGGGCUGAUUUGGAUCCAUAUGUUUCAUGCUAUGGUUAGGUUUACCUUAAUACUUAUUUUGUAGUUGCGGAUGCUUGCAAGAGGGGUUAAUCAUAAGUGGGAUGCUUGUCCAAGGAAGGGCAGUACCCAAGCACCGGUCCACCCACAUAUCAAAUUAUCAAAGUAACGAACGCGAACCAUAUGAGCGUGAUGAAAACUAGCUUGACGAUAAUUCCCAUGUGUCCUUGGGAGCGCUUUCCUUUAUAUAAGAGUUUGUCCAGGCUUGUCCUUUGCUACAAAAAGGAUUGGGCCACCUUGCUGCACCUUUUUUACUUUUGUUACUUGUUACCUGUUACAAAUUACCUUAUCACAAAACUAUCUGUCACCGAUAAUUUCAGUACUUGCAGAGAAUACCUUACUGAAAACCGCUUGUCAUUUCCUUCUGCUCCUCGUUGGGUUCGACACUCUUACUUAUCGAAAGGACUACGAUAGAUCCCCUAUACUUGUGGGUCAUCAUAGGUUUGUCAUGGUCUAGUAACAUGACUUCCAGAACAGGAUUACCGUACCACUCUGGUGUGGAACGUGCUCUGUUCGACCUACGAGGUCCAUUAGUAACUUGAUCUGAAGUUUCAUGAUCAUCAUCAUUAGCUUCCUCUCUAGUUGGUGUAGGCAUCAUGAGAACGGAUUUCUCUGAUGAGUUACUUUCCAAUUUGAUAGAAGGUACAAUUACCUCAUCGAGAUCAACUUUCCUCCCAGUCACUUCUUUCAAGAGAAACUCCUUCUCUAGAAAGGAUCCAUUCUUAGCAACAAAUAUCUUGCCUUCGGAUCUGUGAUAGAAGGUGUACCCAACAGUUUCUUUUGGGUAUCCUAUGAAGACGCACUUCUCCGAUUUGGGUUCGAGCUUAUAAGGCUGAAGCUUUUUCACAUAAGAAUCGCAACCCCAAACUUUAAGAAACGACAACUUAGGUUUCUUGCCAAACCACAGUUCAUAUGGUGUCGUCUCAAUGGAUUUAGAUGGUGCCCUAUUUAACAUGAAUGCAGCUGUCUCUAAUGCAUAACCCCAAAAUGAUAGUGGUAAAUCGGUAAGAGACAUCAUAGAUCGCACCAUAUCUAAUAAAGUACGGUUACGACGUUCGGACACACCAUUACGCUGUGGUGUUCCAGGUGGCGUGAGUUGCGAAACUAUUCCACAUUGUUUUAAAUGAAGACCAAACUCGUAACUCAAAUAUUCGCCUCCAUGACCAGAUCGUAGAAACUUUAUUUUCUUGUUGCGAUGAUUUUCCACUUCACUCUGAAAUCUUUGAACUUUAAAAAUGUUUCAGACUUGUGUUUCAUUAAGUAGAUAUACCCAUAUUUGCUCAAAUCAUCUGUGAAGGUCAGAAAAUAAUGAUACCCACCGCGAGCCUCAACACUCAUCGGACCGCAUACAUCAGUAUAUAUUAUUUCUAAUAAGUCAGUGGCUCGCUCCAUUGUUUCGGAGAACGGAGUCUUAGUCAUCUUGCCCAUGAGGCAUGGUUCGCAAGCAUCAACUGAUUCAUAAUCAAGUGAUUCCAAAAGCUCAUCUGCAUGGAGUUUUUUCAUGCACUUUACACCAAUAUGACCUAAACGGCAGUGCCAGAAAUAAGUUGCACUAUCAUUAUUAACUUUGCAUCUUUUGGCAUCAAUAUUAUGAAUAUUUUUAUCACCACGAUCGAUAUUCAACAAAAAUAGACCACUCAUCAAGGGUGCAUGACCAUAAAAGAUAUUACUCAUAUAAAUAGAACAACCAUUAUUCUCUGAUUUAAAUGAAUAACCAUCUCGCAUCAAAGAAGAUCCAGAUAUAAUGUUCAUGCUCAACGCUGGCACCAAAUAACAAUUAUUCAGGUCUAAAACUAAUCCUGAAGGUAGAUGUAGAGGUAGCGUGCCGACGGCGAUCACAUCGACCUUGGAACCAUUUCCAACGUGCAUCGUCACCUCGUCCUUAGCCAAUCUUUGUUUAAUCCGUAGCCCAUGUUUCGAGUUGCAAAUAUGAGCAACAGAACCAGUAUGAAAUACCCAGGCGCUACUACGAGCAUUAGUAAGGUACACAUCAAUAACAUGUAUAUCAAAUAUACCUUUCACUUUUCCAUCCUUCUUAUCCGCCAAAUGCUUGGGGCAGUUCCGCUUCCAGUGACCAGUCCCUUUGCAGUAGAAGCACUCAGUUUCAGGCUUAGGUCCAGACUUGGGCUUCUUCCGGGGUGCAGCAACUUUCUUGCUAUUCUUCCUGAAGUUCCCCUUCUUUCCUUUGCCCUUUUUCUUGAAACUAGUGUUCUUGUUAACCAUCAACACUUGAUGCUCCUUCUUGAUUUCUACCUUUGCAGCCUUGAGCACUUCAAAGAGCUCGAGAAUCGUCUUGUUCAUCCUUGCAUAUUAUAGUUCAUCACGAAGCCUUUAUAGCUCGGUGGCAGUGAUUGAAGAACUCUGUCAAUGACACUAUCAUCCAGAAGAUUAACUCCCAGCUGAGUAAAGUGGUUAUGGUACCCAAACAUUCCGAGUAUGUGUUCACUGACAUAACUGUUCUCCUCCAUCUUUGCAGCUAUAGAACUUGUUGGAGACUUCAUAUCUCUCAACUCGGGCAUUUGCUUGAAAUAUUAACUUCAACUCUUGGGACAUCUCAUAUGCUCCAUGACGUUCAAAAUGUCUUUGAAGUCCCGAUUCUAAGACGUAAAGCAUGGCACACUAAACCAUCGAGUAGUCAUCAGAUUUAGCUUGCCAGACAUUCAUAACAUCAGCAGUUGCUCCUGUAGUAGGCCUUGCACCUAGCGGUGCAUCAAGGACGUAAUUCUUCUGUGCAGCAAUGAGGAUAAUCCUCAAGUUACGGACCCAGUCUGUGUAGUUGCUACCAUCAUCUUUCAACUUAGCUUUCUCUAGGAACGCAUUAAAAUUCAAGGGAACGGUAGCACGGGCCGUUGAUCUACAACAUAGAUAUGCAAAAACUAUCAUGACUAAGUUCACGAUAAAUUUAAGUUCAAUUAAUCAUAUUACUUAAGAACUCCCACUUAGAUAGACAUCCCUCGAGUCAUCUAAAUGAUCACGUGAUCCAUAUCAAGUAAACCAUGUCAGAUCAUCACGUGAGAUGGAGCAGUUUUCAAUGGUGAACAUCUCUAUGUUGAUCAUAUCUACUAUAUGAUUCACGUUCGACCUUUCGGUCUCAGUGUUCCGAGGCCAUGUCUGUACAUGCUAGGCUCGUCAAGUUUAACCCGAGUAUUCUGCACGUGUAAAACUAUCUUGCACCCGUUGUAUGUGAACGUAGAGCUUAUCACACCUGAUCAUCACGUGGUGUUUCGGCACGACGAGCUGUCGCAAUGGUGCAUACUCAAGGAGAACACUUAUACCUAGAAAUUUAGUGAGGGAUCAUUGAUGGGGCUUGAAGCUACAUCGGUAUUUCCCCAAAGAGGAAGGGAUGAUGCAGCACAACGGCGGUAGGUAUUUCCCUCAGAUGUGAAACCAAGGUUAUCGAACCAGUAGGAGAACCAAGCAACACAACGUAAACAACACAUGCACACAAAUAACAACUACUCGCAACCCGAUGUGUAAAAGGGGUUGUCAAUCCUGUUGUGGAAUUGUCACGGCAGAUGUCCUAGUGUGAGGACUUAGUCGUGAGGCCAACGCAUCUAUGUGGUAGCUUGAGAGGGGUUGAGUGGAAUCGAGAAACACAACACAAGACAAGGGUUUAGACAGCUUCGGGCCCCGGGAAACAUCAUCCGGUAACAACCCUACAUGCUGUUUGUGGCUAGGUCUCAUUAUCAUCACGAGGGAGUCGCCGUAAACUGGCUCUCCCAGUUAUGUCUAGCCCUAAGAUUGUUUCUUCUUGCUUGUCCCUCUUUGGGGAGCCCUGCCCCUCCUUAUAUAAGUUGAAGGGGCGGGUUACAUGUAGAGUCCAACUCGGACUUAAGACUUAACUAUUCUGACUUCUCUUCAUGGGCUUCUUAACAUCUUGGGCUUCAUAACGUCUCGGGCUUCAUAACCCCUGGCAACCCAGUUAUCACUGUCUGCCGGUUUAUGACUGGUGCCGGUUUAUGAUGGUCUGCCGGUUUAUGAUUGUCUGCUGAGUUAUCAUCUAACUUAACUCCUGCCGGGUUAUCAUCUGACUUAACUCCUGCCGGGUUAUCAUCUGACUUAACUCCUGCCGGGUUAUCAUCUGACUUAACUCCUGCCGGGUUAUCAUCUGACUUAACUCCUGCCGGGUUAUCAUCUGACUUAACUCCUGCCGGGUUAUCAUCUGACUUAACUCCUGCCGGUUUACCACCUGCCAGUUUACCAUCUGUCUUAGCCAUCUGUCUUAACUAUCUGUCUUAACUGUCUGCCAGUUUACCAUCCGCCGGUUUACCAAGUCCAAGCCGGGUUAUGACUCCAGCCGGGUCAUACCGCGGGGUAUAUCCCCGACAAAUCCCUUUCGGGUAGCGGCUCCCCAGAUGGGCAAACAGACGUGAGAUAAAAUUGUAGUAAAUUGAUAGAUCAAACGCCAAAUAAAAUAAAUAAGAAUAAAUUGCAGCAAGAUAUUUUUGUAUUUUUGGUUUAAUAGAUCUGAAAAUAAAAGCAAAGGAAAACUAGAUCGAAAAGGCAAAUAAUAUGAGAAAGAGACCCGGGGGCCGUAGGUUUCACUAGUGGCUUCUCUCGAGAAAAUAGCAAACGGUGGGUGAACAAAUUACUGUUGGGCAAUUGACAAAACUUCAAAUAAUCAUGAUGAUAUCUAGGCAAUGAUCAUUACAUAGGCAUCACGUCCAAGAUUACUAGAUCGACUCCUGCCUGCAUCUACUACUAUUACUCCACACAUCGACCGCUAUCCAGCAUGCAUCUAGUGUAUUAAGUUCAUGGAGAAACGGAGUAAUGCAAUAAGAAUGAUGCCAUGAUGUAGACAAGAUCUAUCUAUGUAGAGAUAGACCCCAUCGUUUUAUCCUUAGUAGCAACGAUACAUAAGUGUCGGUUCCCCUUCUGUCACUGGGAUCAAGCACCGUAAGAUCGAAUCCACUACAAAGCACCUCUUCCCAUUGCAAGAUAAAUAGAUCAAGUUGGCCAAACAAAACCCAAAUAUCGGAGAAGAAAUAUGAGGCUAUAAGAAAUCAUCAUAUAAGAGAUCAAAGAAACUCAAAUAACUUUCAUGGAUAUAAAAAGAUAGAUCUGAUCAUAAACUCAAAGUUCAUCGAUGAUACGUCUCCAACGUAUCUAUAAUUAUUGAUUUCCUGCGAUGUAAAAAACAUGCAGAAAAUAGCAACUCGCACUUGGCACUAUGUCAAUAGGUUAGUAGCAAAAAAUGAUAUAAAAUGACUAUAAAAUGGCUAUAAAACACCCAAGAUUGAUAAUAUAACAGCAUGGAACAAUAAAAAAUUAUAGAUACGUUGGAGACGUAUCAGCAUCCCCAAGCUUAACUCCUACUCAUCCUCGAGUAGGUAAGUGAUAAAAACAGAAUUUUUGAUGUGGAAUGCUGCCUAUCAUGUCAUAUCAUAUUUCUUUUCUUUAAAGCAUGGACAUUUCGACUUUUCUAUUGUUUAGAGCAAUACUAUAGUUUUGACAUGAUAACUUAAAUACUGAAGCAUUCAACAAGCAACCAUGUCUUUCAAAAUAUCAACGCUGAAAUAAGUUAUCCCUAGCCCAUCAUCCUCAAUCAUUGAUCCAUUCAUGAAACACAUUCACAUAUUAUCUACACCCAAUGCUCAAGUAUGAUCAUAGUGCCUCCUAGUUGGUGCUUUUAUAAGAGAAGAUGGAGACUCAAAUUCAGAAAUAAAAAUUGCAUAAAGUAAAAGAAAGGCCCUUCGCAGAGGGAAGUAGGGAUUUGAAGAGGUGCCAGAGCUCAAAGCAAAAAAUUGAGAGAUAAAAACAUUUUGCGAGGUGUAUCCUUCCCACCAACGAAAACAACUUCGAGUUACCAACACUUUCCAUGCUAGAUAUAUCAUAGGCAGUUCCCAAACAAAAAAUAAAGUUUAUUCCUUUUUCAACCAUACUCUCACUUUCCAUGGCUAGCCGUAUCCACGGUUGCCCUCCAUACCAACACUUUCCAAGGAAUUUAUUAUUGGACAACAUAAAGUAAAUUCAUUUUUCAUUUAGGGACUGGGCAUCCCUAAUACCUUUGCCUUACUCUCAUGCAAUGCCAAGUGAAUAAACACUCAUCGUGAGAAUAACACAUCUAGCAUGGAAAAUAUUAGCCACCCCUCACCGCUCUGCGAGCGAAACGAACAGACAAAAGAGAAGUUUGUUAUGAAAAUUAGAGAUGGUACAUACAAAUUUGCUUAGAACGGCAAAAGAAUACUGCAUAUAGGUAGAUAUAGUGGACUCAUGUGGCAAAACUGUUUUAAAGGUUUUUGGAUGCACAAGUAGAGAUCAUACUUUGUGCAAAAUGAAGGCUAGCAAAAGAUUGAGAAGCGACCAACCAAGAAACGAAUAAUCUCAUAAGCGAGCAUUAAGCAUAAUUAACACCGAAUAAUGCACCACAAGUAGGAUAUAAUUUCAUUGCAUAAUUAUUGCCGUUCGUGCUUGCAUAUGGAAUCACAAACCUUAACACCAAUAUUCUUACUAAAGCAUAAUUACUCAUCAACAUAACUCACAUAUCACAUCAUCAUAUCUCAAAACUAUUACUAAGAAUCAAGUUUAUUUUGUCCAAUGAUCUUCAUGAAAGUUUUUAUUCUAUCCUUCUUGGAUAUCUAUCACUUUGGAUCUAAUUUUUAAUAUGUUGCUUUUGAUAAGCUCAAACAAAUAUAAGUGAGGAUCAUGAGCAUAAUUUUUCUUUCUUUCUCUCAAAUUAAUUUAAGUGAAGCAAGAGAGUAUUUCUUGAAAAUUUUACUAACUCUCAAAUAAAUCUAAGUGAAGCAAGAGAUCAUUUCUUCAAAAAUACUAAAGCACACCGUGCUCAAAAAGAUAUAAGUGAAGCACUAGAGCAAGUCCAUAGCUCAUAAAAAUUUAAGUGAAGCAAAGAGAGCAAUUCUAACAAGUCAUGACAUAAUUUUGGCUCUCUCAAAUAGGUGUGUCCAGCAAGGAAUUAAGACUUAAAACACAAAAUAAAACAAGCAAAGACUCAUAUCAUACAAGACGCUCCAACCAAAACACAUAGUAUGUGACGAAUAAAAAUAUAGCUUCGAGUAAAAUACCGAUGGUCGUUAGAAGAAAGAGGGGAUGCCACUCGGGGGCAUCCCCAAGCUUAGUUGCUUGCUCAUUUUUGGAUAAUAGCUGGGGAUGUCGGGGCAUCCCCAAGCUUAGGCUCUUCUUACUCCUUAUUCCUUCAUCCAUCGUAAGAUGACCCAAAACUUGAAAACUUCAAUCACACAAAACUCAACAAAACCUUCGUGAGAUCCGUUAGUGUAAGAAAGCAAAUCACUACUAUAAGUACUAUACCAAACCAAUUCAUAUUUUGUUUUUGCAUUAUAUCUAAUGUAUUCCAACUUUUCUAUGGCAAAAAAUCAUCAAAGAAAACCAUAGAGCCAUCAAAACAAGCACACAACACAAAGAAAACAGAAUCUGUCAAAACAGAACAGUCUGUAGCAAUCUGACUAUUUGGAAAACUUCUGGAAUUCCAAAAAUUCUGAAAAAUAAGGCGACCUAAGAAAAUUGUAUAUUAAUAUACUUAAAAAAGAAUUGGCAUUUUAGCAUGCUCUGGUAAAAAAUGGGAAUUGUUUUCGUGAGCACAAAAGUUUCUGUUUUUCAGCAGGAUAAACAACUAUUACCCAAGAAGAUCCUAAUGGCUUUACUUGGCACAAACACUAAUUAAAACACAAAAAACACAAUCAUAAUAGUAGAAUAAUUUUGUAAACACUCAAGAACAUAAAGCAAAAAUAAAUUUUAUUCAUUGGGUUUCCUCCCAACAAGCGCUAUAGUUUUACGCCCUUAGCUAGGCAUAAAGCAAGGAUCUAAGUUUUGUCAUCUUUGGUUCGAGAUCCAUAAGAUUCUCCCAUGAUUGAUUCUUAAGGUGGACUAAUUCUUGUUCUAGGAAAGUGUUCCAUACCCUACCUCAAGGGAAAUUGGAAUUUAAUAUUGCCUUCUUUCAUAUCAAUCACGACACCGAUAGUGCGUAAAAACGGUCUACCAAGAAUAAUUGGACAAGACGGAUUGCAAUCAAUAUCAAGAGCAAUAAAAUCUAUGGGCACAUAAUUCCUAUUUGCAAGAAUAAUAACAUCAUUAAUUCUUCCCAUAGGAUUUUUAAUAGUAGAAUCCGACAAGUGCAAAUUCAAAGAACAUUCUUCAAGAUUGGUAAGACCAAGCACAUUACAUAAAGAUUUCGGAAUUGUAGAAACACUAGCACCCAAGUCACACAAAGCAAAACACUCAUAAUUUUUAAUCUUGAUUUUGAUAGUAGGUUCCCAUUCAUCAUGCAAUUUUCUAGGAAUUGAAACUUCUAAUUCCAAUUUUUUUUUCAAAAGCUUUCAUCAUAGCAUCAACAAUAUGUUUAGUAAAAGCUUUAUUUUGUUCAUAAGCAUGGGGUGAAUUUAUCAUGGAUUGCAACAAAGAAAUACAAUCAAUCAAAGAGCAACUAUCAUAAUUAAAGUCUCUGUAAUCCAAAAGAGUGGGCACAUCACUAGCUAAAGUUUUGACCUCUUCAAAUCCACUUUCAUCAAUUUUCUCAACAAGAUUUUCACCCUCCGAAAUAUUGGGACGCCUUCUAGCUAAAGUUGACUCUUCUCGAGUCCCUUUUUCAUCAAUCUUAAUUUUACUAAACAAGGAAUCAAUAGAAGAAACACUAAUCAUUUUAAGAUCUACAUCACUUUUAUCCUCUAGUGAGAUUGGUUUAGCGUCCAUUUGAUUUACUAGAGUAGCUUGUGCAUCGGAUAUUUUUCCUAACAAACUUUCAGCAAAAGCAUACUUGGAUUGGAGAUUGCAAACUUCUCUACUAAUAUCAUCAAGUUGUUUUGUUAUAGCAUCAAGCACAACAGAGUGUUCCUUAAGUUCUUCGGUAAAAUAAUUAUUAUGCUCAAGUUGUGUAGUCAUAUAUUCCUUAGUACUUUUCUCAAUUUCAAGCAAAAUAUUGGGGUAAGGAACAUCAUAAUAUUUUCUUUGAGGCAUCAUGACUAUGCAAAUAAGAACACACACAAAACUAGAUCCGGCAAGAAAACGACGAACGAAAAAGAGGGGCGAAUAAAAUGGCAAAUUUCUGUGAAGUGGGGGAGAGGAAAACGAGAGGCAAAUGGCAAAUAAUGUAAAUUGCGAGGAGAUGAGAUUUGUGAUUAGGAACCUGGUAUAUGUUGAAGAUCCUCCCCGGCAACUGCGCCAGAAAUUCCUUUUGAUGCGGCUUGAAGCUACGUCGGUAUUUCCCCAAAGAGGAAGGGAUGAUGCAGCACAUCGGCGGUAGGUAUUUCCCUCUGAUGUGAAACCAAGGUUAUCGAACCAGUAGGAGAACCAAGCACCAUAACGUAAACAACACCUGCACACAAAUAACAAAUACUCGCAACCCGACGUGUAAAAGGGUUUGUUCGGGUAGCGGCGCCCCAGACGGGCAAACGGACGUGAGAUAAAAUUGUAGUAAAUUGAUAGAUCGAACGCCAAAUAAAAUAAAUAAGAAUAAAUUGCAGCAAGGUAUUUUUGUAUUUUUGGUUUAAUAGAUCUGAAAAUAAAAGCAAAGGAAAAGUAGAUCGCAAAGGAAAAUAAUAUGAGAAAGAGACCCGGGGGCCGUAGGUUUCACCAGUGGCUUCUCUCGAGAAAAAUAACAAACGGUGGGUGAACAAAUUACUGUUGGGCAAUUGAAAAAACUUCAAAUAAUCAUGACGAUAUCCAGGCAAUGAUAAUUACAUAGGCAUCACAUCCAAGAUUAGUAGACCGACUCCUGCCUGCAUCUACUACUAUUACUCCACACAUCGACCGCUAUCCAGCAUGCAUCUAGUGUAUUAAGUUCAUGGAUAAACGGAGUAAUGCAAUAAGAACAAUGACAUGAUGUAGACAAGAUCUAUCUAUGUAGAGAUAGACCCCAUCGUUUUAUCCUUAGUAGCAACGAUACAUAUGUGUCGGUUGAUACAUCUCCUUCGUAUCUAUUAAUUUUUGAUUGUUUCAUGCCAAUAUUAUACCACUUUCACAUACUUUUGGCAACUUUUUAUAUGAUUUAUUGGACUAACCUAUUGAUCAAGUGCCCAGUGCCAGUUCCUGUUUUCUGCAUGUUUUUUCUAUCGCAGAGUAUCCAUAUCAAACAAAGUCCAAACGUGAUGACAAUUUACGGAGAAUUAUUUUGGAAUAUAUGUGGUUUUUGGGAGUUGGAAUCACCGCAAACGGAGGCCCACACAGGGCACGAUACACCAGCGCAAGGGCCAGGAGCCUGGCGCGCGGUGGUGGGUUGUACCCACCUCGUACGUCAGAUGGAGCUGUACUUCGGGCGCAAGGAAGCUUAUAUCUGGAAAAAAAUCAUGUUAAAAUCUCAGCGCAAUCGGAGUUACGGAUCUCCGGGAAUGUAAGAAACAGUUUUCGGUCAGAUCUGAGGAACGCGAAACAGAAGAGAACAGAGAGGGAGAUCCAAUCUCGGAGGGGCUCCUGCCCGUCCGCCGCCAAGGAGCCAUGGACUAGAGGUGGAUCCCUCCUCCCAUCUAGGGGGGAGGCCAAGGAAGAAGAAGAAGGAGGGGGGCUCUCUACCCCUCUCUCCCGGUGGCGCCGGAGUGCCGCCGGGGCAACGAUCGGGACGGCGAUCUACAUCAACAAUCUUGCUACCGUGAACACCAACUUUCUCCCCCUCUAUGCAGCGGUGUAACACCUCUUCCCCCGCUGUAAUCUCUACUUAAACAUGGUGCUCAACUCCAUUUAUUAUUUCCCAAUGAUCUAUGGUUAUCCUAUGAUGUUUGAGUAGAUCCGUUUUGUCCUAUGGGUUAAUCAUGAUCUUGGUUGGUAUGAUUGUAUAUUAUAUUUAUGGUCUUGUCCUACGGUGCCCUCCAUCUCGCGCAAACAUGAGGGGCCCCCGCUGUAGGGUGUUGCAAUAUGUUCAUGAUUUGCUUAUUGUCAGUGUUGCGAGAGUGACAUAAACUUAAAUGUGGAUUGGUGGGUUAUGGCGUACGGGAGUAAAGAUUACUUGAUACUUAAUGCUAUGGUUGGGUUUCAUGACCUUAAUGAUCUUUAGUAGUUGCGGAUGCUUGCUAGAGUUCCAAUCAUAAGUGCAUAUGAUCCAAGUAGAGAAAGUAUGUUAGCUCAUGCCUCUCCCUCAUAUAAAAUUACAAGAAUGAUUACCAGUACUUGUUAUCGAUUACCUAGGGACAAACGACUUUCUUAUUGGCAAAAGCUAUCCUCUUUUAUUAUCUUUCAAUUUAUCGUAGUUUUAUUCUCGCAAAGUACUCGUAGUUUUAUUAUUGCCAAAUAGUUUCAUACUUGUUUCCGGUAAAGCAAACGUCAAGCGUGCGUAGAGUUGUAUCGGUGGUCGGUAGAACUUGAGGGAAUAUUUGUUCUACCUUUAUCUCCUCAUUGGGUUUGACACUCCUAUUUAUCGAAAAACGCUACAAACGACCCCCUAUACUUGUGGGUUAUCAAGACCUUUUUCUGGCGCCGUUGCCGGGGAGCAAUAGCGUGGGGUGAAUAUUCUCGUGUGUGCUUGUUUGCUUUAUCACUAAGUAGUUUUUAUUUCUCGUUCUAAGUUGUUCUCUAUCUUUAGUUAUGGAUAUGGAACACGAAACACCAAAAAAAUUAGUGGUACUUGCUACUCAUGGAGAUGGGGAACCUCCUAAAACCCUCGAUGCUCGUUUUGUGAAAAAUAUUAUGCACUACUUUGAUAAUCCUGAGAAAACCCCAUUCAACUUGAUAAUGGGAGUAACGUUGGAUCAACAUGAAUACUUUAGGGAUUAUCGCUUGACUCAAAAGGGAAAACUUUUAUGGGAUCAAAUUGAAAUGUUGCAAUGGUAUGCUUGGGAUUUAUGCCAGAGACAUGAUUAUACUUGUUGCUCUAGGAUGAAUGCUCCACAUCUUCCUUUUUCAUGUGAAUUUAAUGAUAAUGAAACCUUGGCUUCUUAUUCUAAUGGUAUGUAUGAUUUCUAUGAUGUGGAACGAAUAGAAGAAUUUGUUGCUUUUAAGGGUGCUUAUGAAAUAGAAUCUUUGUUUGAAAAGUUUGAAGAUUUUGAUGAUUCAGUUUAUGGACCUGAAAAUUUUGCUAUCCUUAAAUAUUGCUAUGUUAAUUAUAAAUACAAUUCCGAUAUUGAUGCAUUUAUUGAGAAAGUCUCCGCUGUGCAAGAAGAGACUAAUAUUUUGUAGGAGUCUAUGGAAGAAGGAAUUGAUGAAACUGUGAGCUCAUUGGAUGAAAAGGAUGAUGAGGAGAGCGAAGAACAAGCGAAGGAAGAUUGGAUUGAUCACCCGUGCCCGCCUUCUAAUGAUAGUAACCCUCCAACUCAUACAUUGUUUAAUGUUCCUUCGUUCUUACCGGAGGAUGAAUCCUAUGAUAAUUGCUAUGAUCCCGUUGGUUCUUUUGAAAUAUCCCUUUUUGAUGAACUUGAUGCUUACUAUGCUUGUGGCCCAGAUGCCAAUAUAAAUUAUGCUUAUGGAGAUGAACUUGCUAUAGUUCCUUAUGUUAAGAAUGAAAUUGUUGCUAUUGCACCCACACAUGAUAGUCCUAUUACCUUUUUGAAUUCUCCAAACUACACUAUAUCGGAGAAGUUUGCACUUGUUAAGGAUUACAUUGAUGGGUUGCGUUCUACCGUUGCACAUGAUGAUUUUGAUGAAUAUAAUAUGCAUGUGCUUGCUUCUCCUACUUGCAAUUAUUAUGAGAGAGGAACUAUAUCUCCACCUCUCUAUGUUUCCAACACGAUAAAAUUGCAAGAAACUUCUUAUACUAUGUAUUGGCCUUUACUUGAUGUGCAUGAAUUGUUCUUGUAUGACAUGCCGAUGUAUAGGAAGAGAGUUAGACUUCGUCAUUGCUUGACAUAUGUUGCUUUGUGCUCACUACUAAAUGCCAAAUCAUUGUUAAUUCAAACUGGCUUUGAUAUACCUUGGGAUCCGGGUGGAUUCAUUACUUGAGCACUUUAUGCCUAGCUUAAUGGCUUUAAAGAAAGCGCUGCCAGGGAGACAACCUGGAAGUUUUAGAGAGUCAUUUAUUUCUGUUGAGUGCUUUUAUAUAGUUAAAAAAAUAUAGAGGGGAACUUAAAACUUCACAAAAAUAAAAGUGAAAGUGAGAUAGACGAGCAUUGUGAAAGUGGGGGACGUCCUUGAACUUUGUUCAUGCCCAUGGAAAAUUUGUGAAUCUUAAUUACAGAAACUUUUCAACAAAAAUAAUUAUCCCCUUGUACAAUUCCAUUGUAUUAUAAAAAUAAUGUGCCAAGAUUUGCCUUUAGGAUGUUUACACCGCUUGUUGGUUUGUGCGGUGCAAAACAGAAACUUUGGUUGUAGUGCGCGAUUUUACAUUUUUUUGCUGGAACGUCAAAAGGUUCUGAAACUUUUUGCACUGGCUUUAUAUACAAAUUGUUUAUUUUUCUGUGACGCCCCCGAUUCAAUCGUACACUAAUCAUGCACGCAAAAAUGUAUGAUUAAGAUCAGGGACUCACGCGAAGAUAUCACAACACAACUCUAAAAACAUAAAUAAGUCAUAGAAGCAUCAUAAUACAAGCCAAGGGCCUCGAGGGCUCGAAUACAAGUGCUCGAUCAUAGACGAGUCAGCGGAAGCAAUAAUAUCUGAGUACCGACAUAAGUUAAACAAGUUGCCAUAAGAUGGCUAGCACAAACUGGGAUACAGAUCGAAAGAGGCGCAUGCCUCCUGCCUGGGAUCCUCCUAAACUACUCCUGGUCGUCGUCAGCAGCCUGCACGUAGUAGUAGGCACCUCCAGUGUAGUAGCAGUCGUCGUCGACGGUGGCGUCUGGCUCCUGGGCUCCGGCAUCUGGUUGCGACAACCAGGUAGAAGGGAAAGGGGGAAAAGAGGGAGAAAAGCAACCGUGAGUACUCUUCCAAAGUACUCGCAAGCAAGGAGCUACACUACAUAUGAAUGGGUAUAUGUGUAAAGGGCCAUAUCGGUGGACUGAACUGUAGAAUGCCAGAAUAAGAGGGGGAUAGCUAAUCCUGUCGAAGACUAUGCUUCUGGCCACCUCCAUCUUGCAGCAUGUAGAAGAGAGUAGAUGGUAAGUUCACCAAGUAGCAUCGCAUAGCAUAAUCCUACCCGGCGAUCCUCUCCUCAUUGCCCUGUUAGAGAACGAUCACCGGGUUGUAUCUGGCACUUGGAAGGGUGUGUUUUUAUUAAGUAUCAGGUUCUACUUGUCAUAAGGUCAAGGUACAACUCCGGGUCGUCCUUUUACCGAGGGACACGGCUAUUCGAAUAGAUAAACUUCCCUGCAGGAGUGCACCACAUUACCCAACACGCUCGAUCCCCUUUGGCCGGACACACUUUCCUGGGUCAUGAACGGCCUCGAAAGAUCAACAUGUCGCAGCCCUACCUAGGCACAACAUAGAGGUCAGCACGCCGGUCUAAAUCCUAUGGCGCAGGGGUCUGGGCCCAUCGCCCAUUGCACACCUGCACGUUGCGAGGGCGGCCGGAAGCAGACCUAGCCCCCUUAAUACAAGCGCAGGCUUACGGUCCAAUCCGCCGCGCGCCGCUUAGUCGCUGACGUCAAGAAGGCUUCGGCUGAUACCACGACGUCGAGUGCCCAUAACUGUUCCCGUGUAGUUGGUUAGUGCGUAUAGGCCAGUGGCCAGACUCAGAUCAAAUACCAAGAUCUCGUUAAGCGUGUUAUUAUGAAGUAACCGCGAACGCCGACCAGGGCCAGGCCCACCUCACUCCUAGGUGGUCUCAACCUGCCCUGUCGCUCCGCCACAAAGUAACAGUCGGGGGCCGUCGGGAACCCAGGCCCACCUCUACCGGGAUGGAGCCACCUGCCCCUUCAGCCCCCAUCUCCGAAUAGUAUCAUAAGUAAUGUAAUAGUAUAAAGUAUAUAGCAUAUGCCUGUGAUCACCUCCUGAAGUGAUCGCGGCCCAGUAGUAUAGCAUGGCAGACGGACAAGAGUGUAGGGCCACUAAUGGAAUACUAGCAUCCUAUACUAAGCAUUUAGGAUUGUAGGUAAGGGUAACAACUGUAGCAACAAUGACAGGCUAUGCAACAGAAUAGGAUUAACCGAAAGCAGUAACAUGCUACACUAUUCUAAUGCAAGCAGUAUAGAGAAGAAUAGGCNNNNNNNNNNNNNNNNNNNNNNNNNNNNNNNNNNNNNNNNNNNNNNNNNNNNNNNNNNNNNNNNNNNNNNNNNNNNNNNNNNNNNNNNNNNNNNNNNNNNNNNNNNNNNNNNNNNNNNNNNNNNNNNNNNNNNNNNNNNNNNNNNNNNNNNNNNNNNNNNNNNNNNNNNNNNNNNNNNNNNNNNNNNNNNNNNNNNNNNNNNNNNNNNNNNNNNNGGGGGGGGGGCUUGCCUGGUUGCUCUGGUAAGAAGGGUUCGUCGUCGAUGUAGGCGAUCACAGGGGUACCGGCAGCGGUCUCGGGAUCUACCGGAAAGAAGUAACGGAGGGGAACACAAUAAAUAAUAGAGCAAUCAAAGCAUCACAAAGCGUAACAUGGCAAUGCGCGGUGCUAGAGGUGAUCUAACGCAGGGAUAGGUAAUAUCGGCGAAGGGGGGAAACAUCCGGGAAAGUAUCCCCGGAGUUUCGUGUUUUCGGACAGAUGAACCGGAGGGGGAAGGUUGCAGGUUUGCUAUGCUAGGGACGCGUGGCGGACGAACGGGCUGCGUAUCCGGAUUCGUCUCGUCGUUCUGGGAAACUUUCAUAUAUAAAUUAUUUCCAUCCGAGUUACGGAUUAUUUUAUAUGAUUUUUUAAAGAUUAAAAGAUUUUAUGGAAAACUUUUAUUUCGAAAAUAAAUGACUAAAAGCUAGGUGUACCCAGGGUGUGUACACUACCAGUGCGGUUGUUUGACUGCCAGGUGGGGCCAGAGUCAAAAUCAACAGCCCUGUCAGAGUUGACCAGUCAAAGUCAACAGUGCCGACGGGACCCAAUUGUCAUAGAUAGUAGGUAAUUUGAUUUUUGUUUAAUCUCUAGGGUACCUGCAUGUCAGUGUCACAUGUGCUAAUAAAAGUAACUAGACUAAAUUAAUCUAGAAAGGGCCACAUGUCAUCUACACAUCUCACUAACUAAACAAAUAAACUAACCCAAUCUAUUCCUAGACUAAUCUAACUGGGGCGGCCUUGCUGGGUAGUAGAACAUACAGUCACGUAUGCACGGGAGUGCAUAGCGACCAUGGCCUGCGUUGGCAGCUGCACGCAGUAGCAAAGAGCAGCGGCAAGGAUUAGGAGCAGCAGCGGCAAUGAGCCGGAGCAGAGAGCACCAAUGGUGGCAUGAGCAGCAGCAAAGUAGCAGGCGCGAGUAGCAAGCAAAGGCAUCGGCAACGGAGCAGUAGCAGAAGAUAGCAGCAGCGACAACAGCAGGAGGCGGGCGUGGGCGCGUGGGCUGGGCGCGGGACGCAGCGGCCGGGCGCGCGCAGGGGCGGCAGGCAGCAGCGGUUCCAGAGCAGCAGCAGCGCGGGCACGCACGGGAGCUCGAGCUCCGGCCAUGGCGGCCGAAGUGCGGGGCGGCUAAACGGCGACGGAUCGAGGGCGUGAGCAGGGGGAGCGGGCAGAGGAGCUCACAGUGGACUCGGGGACGUGGUCGGGGCGGCCGGGGAUGGACUGGAUUAGCGGCAAACGACGGCGGACGGCCAUGAUGUACGCGGAGAUGAGCUCGAUGGCGACUGUACAGUACGUCCCUGCUCGAGAGUGUUGUUGUGGAGGUAGAGGGCGUCGAGGCGCAGCUCCUGGGUGCCUUCGAGCGGGACGGGGUGGUGCCGGAGCGUGCCAACAACGAGGCGGCGUCGACGGCUGCGUACGGGUGCCUCUCCAGAUCGGGGAGGAGAGCAAGGGGGAAGAAGUGGAUAAGGUAGGGUUCGACAGCGGCGUCGGGGACGGUCUCCUUAUCCACCAAAGGGCCGCGGGAUGCUUGACAGCGAGGCAAUCGGCGGGUGGACGGCGUACGUGCCAUGGCCACUCUGCCUCUGGUGAGAGGUUGGGGAAAAGGCCAAUGCGGGCUGGGCCUUAUGCACUGUAGCAAUAGGCUUUAUGAGCACAGUCUGUGCCGGGCCUCGUAAGAGCAUAGUGCCCUUUUCCUCUCUUUCAUUUUCUUUAUAUAUUUUUUUAUUAGCUACUGUUUUGUGUUAAGUUGAGCCACCAAAUGAAUUUUUUAAAAGUCCCACUUGUUAGAACAAAUACUAUGAAUUAUCUAGUACUUCAACAAAAAGUUUGGAGGCAAUAAGAUUUCAUUUAAAUUUUAUAUAAAUGAAAACGGAUUAAUGGGGAUGUUUUGGGCACUGUUUUAUUUGCCCGGGGCAUUCUAAACAUCUCCAAAAAUGUUGGUUUAUUCAUGAAAAUUAAUUAGUGAAUGUUUGCAACCUAACAAACAUUUUUAUUUUAAUGUUUGAAGAAUUAAUAACUUGACAUUAUUAAUUUGAAUUUCAAUCCAGUUUGGAACAAAGUGAGGUUUAGAAAAUAAUUGUGAUGACAUGGCACCAUUAGGGUGUGAUUACUGUAGCCUAAUUAUCCGGGCGUUACAAAUCUCCUCCACUACAAGAAAUCUCGUCCCGAGAUUUAAGAGGGGGAGUAAGGGGAAAAGUUCUGGUUGCGAAAUUCUAACAAAUCUUCUCAUUCUUGAUUGCUCUUCGCGAAGUAGUCGAUCCUUUUUGUUGAUGUCUUCAGUUCUCUGUUUCAGGGCAUCGUGACAAAGUUGUGAUUCUUCCUUCAUGAUCUUCAUCGUACUUACGGGAAAAAAUAAGAGGGGUAUUCCGGGAGAACGGACCCUUGCAAGGUUGACUAUCUGGUAGAUAACAUCAGGGAAGGUGGCGGAAAGUAACUCUCGAAUUGAAACUUAAGAAGAUAUCGAGGGCAAAGUAAGAAGGUACCAUGAGAAGUUUCAAACGGAUAGGCAAUCGUUCGAUGCCUGAAACAAAGUGUGAAAGGGGUUCAAGCAAUGGGAAUAAGUAUUGUGUCUGAUACCAGAAUAGAUCACUAGGAAUGUGGUUCGUGAAUUGCAUACGAAGCCAAGCUCAAGGAAUAUCUUUGGCAAUAGGGUCUACAGGAGAGUCAGGUUUCGAUCCUGUGGAACUGUGGGUUAUGGGCCCACCAUGUGGGUUAAAAGUAGAAAGUGGGCUGACAUCUUGCACGGUCACAAUAGCAAGGCAUGUCAGAGGGUAGUCUUUCAGUUAUGUCGGCAACAACGUGGGUACCAAGGGCGAGGGACGAAGAGAACCAUCUUCCUGCUUGUUGAACGAGGCAGACCAAUAGGCAAAGUUCUCGUCCAUCGGUGGUUACCGGAAUGCUAUCGACAAAUGCAACAGGGUCUUGCUGACAGAAUUGUACACCGGGGUGUUUACAUAAGCAGGAGAAUAUUACUGCUUAGAUAAUAUAGAUCACAAGAAAGAUCAAACAAAACAAUGGAAAGGGAAAUGGGUUUAAACACAUAUUUCAGGGGUAUAUCCUUCCCAAGGACAAGCAGAGCAUGAUAUCCAUGGCAGGAUAUAAUGUAGAUAACCCUUUAGGUGAGGGGAGAGGAAGUUCAUGACAUUUCCCAAACAACGGUGUUUGAAUAAUUGAUAAAGGAAAUUUAGCAUGGUGCUUCAAAUGUUCUUAUUGAUGAUCAGAGUACCACAAACAUGCUUCGAGAUAGCAUUACAUGGUCUUCAAGCAAGGUCAGACUUUGGAAACACAAUGGAUCCAUCAGGAAUAACUUGUGGAAUAAGUCUUACAAUUUCCUCAUGGAAGAAUGGAUAAACUUGUUCAAAAGGAAUCUAUAACAAUAGGGCCUCCGGCCAGGUGUGCUAGGCACGACAUCACCUUACCGGGUCACAUAAGGACCAAUGUUAUUACCCUUGGAAAAUGUUCCAACCAUCAUAUUUGACCGAGAUUCAGAUCUGGAUGGUGUCCAGAUACCUUAGACCUUAGGAUGCCUGAGAAGGAAAAGGUGCAACACCAGUUGACGAGAUGACAUUGUAAGAUUCUCGGAAAGGAACUAUGGAAGCGAGUUCCGAAAUAGGAGUUCAUCAUUAAACCAAGGAGAGGAUGAGGAGGUGGCUGAUGGACUCAGCGACAAUUCAUCGAGAUUUCCAAAAGGAUGGAUUUCCACAAUUAUGUAAACAAGGAGAUAAUAUUAGUCAGAUCAAAUGAUAUAAUGAUGUAUGUUCGAUGAAAACAUACAUGAUUGAACAAUGAUAGAAAGGUGCACCCGAAAUAUGGGCUUAGGUAGCAUGACCGAUGUUAUAAUGGUGAUUCGAUAACCAAUGGUCUAAGAAUGAAAUGUCGACCAUUAACUUCAAAGCAAUAGGGUUGCUAGAAGGAAAGAAUCCAAACAACACCGUUUACUUGUUGAAAUCAAGACGGGGACCAAGAAAGAAUGGUGAUGGUGAGAAGUAUCACUAUACCAAGAAUUCUUAAGAGGUGGAGUAAUCCUCAUGACAUUCUUGACAUAAAAGAUGGUAAUACUCCAAGGUAAAGAAGAACAAAUGCUGGAUAGCAAGGAACUCAAGGUAUAACACAGAACACGAACAAGUUUGUGUUGGAAGGCAAUAAUGUGGUCGAUGACAACACAAAACAUCGAGGGCAAGGAUGGUAUUUCUCAUCAAGAAUUCGAUUGGUAUCCUGGAAGGAGUCAAAAUGUUGAUGAUGAUCACGACAAAUUUUGUUGAGAUAUUUCAUGCAGAUGUAAUCGAUCAGCGAUGACAUAAAGUCAAAGGAAUGAUGAAGCAAGAGGUUAUUGGAACCACGGUUACGACACAAACUCGAAAUCAAGCUUGUUGUUUAAGGUGAAAGGGUAUGACGAGGAAGAUCGACGUAAGCUUAGCUAUCGUCGCAAAUUGCGCUCCCGGAAGGACCAGAUAGCACAGUUAAAAAUUUAGCACGAUAAUGAUAUACUCGGUCAGGCUAGGAAUGACUUGAAGGAUUAAUAAACUCAUAAGCAACGAAGAUUAUUUAGAGUUAUUGAAUUGGAGUGCAGAAUUGAUGCACUUAUCAGUGUUCUCGGUUGACGACAACCCAGAACCCAGGAAAAUUGGAAUCGGUGAGAAAUAACAAUUGAUGAAGAACCCAUAAGAAGUUAUGCAGUUCCGUGAUAUUCUUGAGAUACCAGAGUGUAAUACUCGACGGUAGAUCAAAGUAAAGGUUGGACAGGUGCAAUGAUCUGCAGAAGACAAGUGCUUAAACUUGUCCGAGAAAUGGGAUCAAAGAAGAACAAUAUGGUCGGAAAUCAUGAUUGCAAAAGACCAAAUCCCAGAUAUAAGAUGAAAUUAUAUCAAGCGGAUAAUUAUUGUUACGAGAAGCUUCCAUGACAAGAUCUACAUCAUGUCCAUGGGCAUGAACACAAAGUUCAAGGUCAACUCCCACUUCUUCAAUGUAUAACCUUUCAUUCACUUCUCAUUUUUCGAAGAAGUUGUAAUGUUAAAUUUUUUUCUAGCAAAACACCAGAAGAGUAUGACUUGUGAUAGCUCUCGGGUUUAGAUGGAUCUGGGAAGGCAUAGGUUCAACCCUUAGGGGUAUCUUGGGAACAUAUACCACAAGCUUCAAUAGUAAUUAACACAAGCUCGAUAGUAGAGCAUGGGUGACAAAAGAAGAGGUUACAAUUUACCGAAGGCAUUAUGUAUCAGGGAAAGAACUUCUCGAGGUUUUUGUAUACAAAGGACACCGUCGGAUGAUAUUUCAACAAAGGAUCUGACAGUCCAUAGCAGAGAUGAUGUGAGUAUCGGCACACAACCAGGGGAAUAAACAAUGCGAAGGCAUUGGAUUAUAGAAGCAACUGACUAGUUCAAAGCUCACAUGUAAAGGAAUUAUGAUUUCCAAAUCAAAGGAUCAGAAGCAAACGCUCUGAUUAAGGAUAGAUAAGUUGAGUAAGCUUAGGGGUAAAAUUGACAACAAUUCGAUUGGUCGAGAUCCAGCUCAUGCUUAAAAUGACGUCUGAACCGGAAAGAUAUUUUAAAAGGAUCAACCGAUGAUUGCGUGCACUCGCACUGAUGCUGAAUCAAUAGGUUCAAAAUGACGGUGUCAAAAGGAGACUAAUGGAUAUUGCCAGACAUAUGGGAAGCAUCCAUAAUGCAAGCAGACAAGUAUUUGCAGAGCAAUAAGCUACUAAGGAUUUUUGAAGGAUCGAAUAGUAUUUCGAAGACUUUUGUGAAACACCUGAACAACUGGGGAUGAGCGGAUACUAGGUAAGUGCGAGGAAUUAUCCGUAGGGGUAUUCAUGUGGCAAAGAACUACAACGCAGUAGGCACAAAAUAUUCUCGGAACAAUAGAGAGAAUUUUAAGGUAUCUUAUAAUAACAAGAUCAACGGGGAAUGAUUGUAAAUGGGAGGUAUACUUGGUUAUCCAUUGGGGUUUAUCGACGGAAUGGAAUUGCAAAAGCGAUGGCACAAAGUAUCGAGGGAACAUCAGAGAGUAACUUUGGAAUCUUCUAGUGCAUCAAGCGAUCAUCUGUAUCGAGUGGCUCUCUGGGAGGAAGUAGUUACGAGAACCUAGAGUUAGAGUUAGUAAACCAUUUAACCCAAGUAGAAGAGAGAUAAGAGUCCCAGAGUAUAGACGAGAAAUAAAAGAUCCUAAUACCACGCAAUGACGACGUGGGCCCGUAAGCCGCACAACCAUGUUAGUAAAAGUUUUUCAAUGUCUAGACUCAACUUCGGCCAAGGAGUUUGGAAGGGGGAUUCCUACAGGCAGUUGGCUCUGAUACCAACUUGUGACGCCCCCUUCAAUCGUACACUAAUCAUACACGCAAACGUGUACGAUCAAGAUCAGGGACUCACGGGAAGAUAUCACAACACAACUCUAAAAAUAAAAUAAGUCAUACAAGCAUCAUAAUACAAGCCAAGGGCCUCGAGGGCUCAAAUACAAGUAAUCGAUCAUAGACGAGUCAGCGGAAGCAACAAUAUCUGAGUACAGACAUAAGUUAAACAAGUUUGCCUUAAGAAGGCUAGCACAAACUGGGAUACAGAUCGAAAGAGGCGCAUGCCUACUGCCUGGGAUCCUCCUAAACUACUCCUGGUCGUCGUCAGCGGCCUGCACGUAGUAGUAGGCACCUUCGGUGUAGUAGGAGUCGUCGUCGACGGUGGCGUCUAGCUCCUGGGCUCCAGCAUCUGAUUGCGACAACCAGGAAGAAAGGAAAGGGGGGAAAAAGGGGGAGAAAAGCAACCGUGAGUACUCAUCCAAAGUACUCGCAAGCAAGGAGCUACACUAAAUAUGCAUGGGUAUAUGUGUAAAGGGCCAUAUCGGUGGACUGAACUGCAGAAUGCCAGAAUAAGUUGCAGCAUGAAGAAGAGAGUAGAUGGUAAGUUCACCAAGUAGCAUCGCAUAGCAUAAUCCUACCCGGCGAUCCUGUCCUCGUCGCCCUGUUAGAGAACGAUCACCGGGUUGUAUCUGGCACUUGGAAGGGUGUGUUUUAUUAAGUAUCCGGUUCUAGUUGUCAUAAGGUCAAGGUACAACUCCGGGUCGUCCUUUUACCGAGGGACACGGCUAUUCGAAUAGAUAAACUUCCCUGCAGGGGUGUACCACAUUACCCAACACGCUCGAUCCCAUUUGGCCGGACACAGUUUCCUGGGUCAUGCCCGGCCUCGGAAGAUCAACACGUCGCAGCCCUACCUAGGCACAAUAGAGAGGUCAGCACGCCGGUCUAAAUCCUAUGGCGCAGGGGUCUGGACCCAUCGCCCAUUGCACACCUGCACAUUGCGAGGGCGGCCGGAAGCAGACCUAGCCCCCUUAAUACAAGCGCAGGCUUACGGUCCAAUCCGGCGCGCGCCGCUCAUGCGCUGACGUCAAGAAGGCUUCGGCUGAUACCACGGCGUCGAGUGCCCAUAACUGUUCCCACGUAGUUGGUUAGUGCGUAUAGGCCAGUGGCCAAACUCAGAUCAAAUACCAAGAUCUCGUUAAGCGUGUUAUUAUGAAGUAACCGCGAACACCGACCAAGGCCAGGCCCACCUCUCUCCUAGGUGGUCUCAACCUACCCUGUCGCUCCGCCACAAAGUAACAGUCGGGGGCCGUCGGGAACCCAGGCCCACCUCUACUGAGAUGGAGCCACCUGCCCCUUCAGCCCCCAUCUCCGAACAGUAUCAUAAGUAAUGUAACAGUAUAAAGUAUAUAGCAUAUGCCCAUGAUCACCUCCCGAAGUGAUCGCGGCCCAGUAGUAUAGCAUGGCAGACGGACAAGAGUGUAGGGCCACUGAUGGAAUACUAGCAUCUAUACUAAGCAUUUAGGAUUGCAUGUAAGGGUAACAACUGUAGCAACAAUGACAGGCUAUGCAACAGAAUAGGAUUAACCGAAAGCAGUAACAUGCUACACUAUUCUAAUGCAAGUAGUAUAGAGAAGAAUAGGCAAUAUCUGGUGAUCAGGGGGGCUUGCCUGGUUGCUCUGGUAAGAAGGGUUCGUCGUCGAUGUAGGCGAUCACAGGGGUACCGGCAGCGGUCUCGGGGUCUACCGGAAAGAAGUAACGGAGGGGAACACAAUAAAUAAUAGAGCAAUCAAAGCAUCACAAAGCAUAACAUGGCAAUACGCGGUGCUAGAGGUGAUCUAACGCAGGGAUAGGUAAUAUCGGCGAAGGGGGGAAACAUCCGGGAAAGUAUCCCCGGAGUUUCGUGUUUUCGGACAGAUGAACCGGAGGGGGAAGGUUGCAGGUUUGCUAUGCUAGGGACGCGUGGCGGACGAACGAGCUGCGUAUCCGGAUUCGUCUCGUCGUUCUGAGCAGCUUUCAUAUAUAAAUUAUUUCCAUCCGAGUUACGGAUUAUUUUAUAUGAUUUUUCAAAGAUUAAAAGAUUUUAUGGAAAACUUUUAUUUCGAAAAUAAAUGACUAAAAGCUAGGUGUACCCAGGGUGUGUACACUACCAGUGUGGCUGUUUGACUGCCAGGUGGGGCCAGAGUCAAAAUCAACAGCCCUGUCAGAGUUGACUAGUCAAAGUCAACAGUGCCGACGGGACCCAAUUGUCAUAGACAGUAGGUAAUUUGAUUUUUGUUUAAUCUCUAGGGUACCCGCAUGUCAGUUCACAUGUGCUAAUAAAAGUAACUAGACUAAAUUAAUCUAGAAAGGGCCACAUGUCAUCUACACAUCUCACUAACUAAACAAAUAAACUAACCUAAUCUAUUCCUAAACUAAUCUAACUGGGGCGGCCUUGCUGGGUAGUAGAACAUACAGUCACGUAUGCACGGGAGUGCAUAGCGACCAUGGCCUGCGUUGGCAGCAGCACACAGUAGCAAAGAGCAGCGGCAAGGAUUAGGAGCAGCAGCGGCAAUGAGCCGGAGCAGAGAGCACCAACGGUGGCAUGAGCAGCAGCAAAGUAGCAGGCGCGAGCAGCAAGCAAAGGCAUCGGCAACGGAGCAGUAGCAGAUGAUAGCAGUAGCGACAACAACAGGAGGCGGGCGUGGGCGCGUGGGCUGGGUGCGGGGCGCAGCGGCCGGGCGCGCGCAGGGGGCGGCAGGCAGCAGCGGUUCCAGAGCAGCAGCAGCGCAGGCACGCACGGGAGCUCGAGCUCCGGCCAUGGCGGCCGAAGUGCGGGUCGGCUAAACGGCGACGGAUCGAGGGGGCGAGCAGGGGGAGCGGGGAGAGAAGCUCACAGUGGACUCGGGGACGUGGUCGGGGCGGCCGGGGACGGACGGGAGUAGCGGCAAACGACGGCGGACGGCGACGAUGUACGCGGAGGUGAGCUCGAUGGCGACUGUACCGUACGUCCCUGCUCGAGAUUGUUGUUGUGGAGGUACAGGACGUCGAGGCGCAGCUCCUAGGCGCCUUCGAGCGGGACGGGGUGGUGCCGGAGCGUGUCAACAAUGAGGCGGCGUCGACGGCUGCGUACGGGUGCCUCUCCAGAUCGGGGAGGAGAGCAAGGGGGAAGAAGUGGAUAAGGUAGGGUUCGACAGCGGCGUCGGGGACGGUCUCCUUAUCCACCAAAGGGCCGCGGGAUGCUUGACAGCGAGGCAAUCAGCGGGUGGACGGCGUACGCGCCAUGGCCUCUCUGCCUCUGGUGAGAGGUUGGGGAAAAGGCCAACGCGGGCUGGGCCUUAUGCACUGUAGCAAUAGGCUUUAUGAGCACAGUCUGUGCCGGGCCUCGUAAGAGCAUAGUGCCCUUUUCCUCUCUUUCAUUUUCUUUAUAUCUUUUUUUAUUAGCUACUGUUUUGUGUUAAGUUGAGCCACCAAAUGAAUUUUAUUUAAAGUCCCACUUGUCAGAACAAAUACUAGGAAUUAUCUAGUACUUCAACAAAAAGUUUGGAGGCAAUAAGAUUUCAUUUAAAUUUUAUAUAAAUGAAAACAGAUUAAUGGGGAUGUUUUGGGCACUAUUUUAUUUGCCCGGGGCAUUCUAAAUAUCUCCAAAAAUGUUGGUCUAUUCAUGAAAAUUAAUUAGUGAAUAUUUGCAACCUAACAAACAUUUUUAUUUUAAUGUUUGAAGAAUUAAUAACUUGACAUUAUUAAUUUGAAUUUGAAUCCGGUUUGGAACAAAGUGAGGUUUAGAAAAUAAUUGUGAUGACAUGGCACCAUUAGGGUGUGAUUACUGUAGCCUAAUUAUCCGGGCGUUACAAAUGUAUCAAUGGUUGAGCAUGAUGGGCUAGGGAUAACUUAUUUUAGCGUUGAUAUUUUGAAAAACAUGGUUGCUUGUUGAUAUGCUUGAGUAUUUAAAUUAUCAUGUCAAAACUAGACUAUUGCUUUGAACAAUAUAAAAGUUCAAAUGUCCAUGCUAUAAAGAAAAGAAGAUAUGAUAUGACAUGAUAGGCAGCAUUCCACAUCAAAAAUUCUGUUUCUAUCACUUCCCUACUCAAGAACGAGUAGGAGUUAAGCUUGGGGAUGCUGAUACGUCUCCAACGUAUCUAUAAUUUUUGCUUGUUCCAUGUUGUUAUAUUAGCAAUGUUGGAUGCUUUAUAAUCAUUUUAUGUCAUUUUUUGGUACUAACCUAUUGACAUAGUGCCAAGUUUUUCCAUGUUUUUUACAUCACAGAAAAUCAAUAUCAGACGGAGUCCAAAUGCCACGAAACUUUACGAAGAAUUUUUAUGGGCCAGAAGGAACACAACAGGCCGUGGCUGCGCCUGGGGGUGCCCCAACGGAGGCACAACCCACCAGGGCGCGCCAGGAGGCCCAGGCACGCCCUCGUGGGCUGUGCCCCCCGGACCGCCUCUUUGCUCUAUAAAUACCCCAAUAUUUCAAGAAUCCUAAAGGAGUCGACGAAAUAUUCAUCCAGCCACCGCAGAGUCCAGAACCACCAGAUCCAAUCUAGACACCAUCUCGGAUGGGGUUCACCACCUCCAUUGGUGCCUCUCCGAUGAUGCGUGAGUAGUUCUUUGUAGACCUUCCGGUCCGUAGUUAGUAGCUAGAUGGCUAUCUCUCUCUCUCUGAAUUCUCAAUACAAUGGUCUCUUGGAGAUCCAUAUGAUCUAACUCUUUUGUGGUGUGUUUGUUGGGAUCGAUGAACUUUGAGCUUAUGAUCAGGUCUAUCUUUUUAUAUCCAUGAAAGUAUUUGAGUUUCUUUGAUCUCUUUUAUGCAUGAUCUCUUAUAGCCUCGUAUUUUUCUCCGAUAUUUGGGUUUUGUUUGGCCAACUUGAUCUAUUUAUCUUGCAAUGGGAAGAGGUGCUUUGUAGAGGGUUCGAUCUUACGGUGCUUGAUCCCAGUGACAGAAAGGGAACCGACACGUAUGUGUCAUUGCUACUAAGGAUAAAGGGACAAUUACAUCCAUGCCACUAGUUGUGUCAUAGCCGUUUGUUUUGCCCCUAAAUUCAAAAAACCCUCAGUCUUGCCCAACCCCGUUUGCUGCACUUAUGUUUUUGCCCUUCCGUCACGGCUCCGCCUGGUCAGCGCCGUUUGACCAUAACCAGCGGCCGUUUAUGGACACAGCUUGCCCUUAGCUUGCUCUUACAGGUGGGUCCUGCCUCACUCUCAUUCCCCAUCUCACUCUAUCUCGCUCGACGAACCCUAAUUCUGAGCGGCGGCGACCUUGGCGAGAGGCGGCGCCAUCGAUUCUCCUCCCACCCAAUGGACAUCGGGGAAUGCACCGGUGGUGGCGGCGACCUUGGCGAGCGGCCGGGCCAUCGAUUCUCCUCCCACCCAAUGGACAGCGGGGAAUGCACCGGUGGCGGCGGCGACAAGGGAUCCACGCGGGCAUGCCAUAUUCCAUCGGGGUACUCCCUGCCUCUCUCCCUAGCUGUCUCUCUCCCCCUGGAUUUGGUCGAGUAGGCUCUCUCCCUCCUUCCCUUUCUCUCUCAUUUGGAUCUGGUGGAGUAAGCUCUUUUACACUAGAUCUACAUGAUGUAGGUAGUUUUUUCUUGUUCUUGUGUGUUGAUUUAUGCCCUGUUUGCAUAAUAGGAUGGAUCCCACAAGAGCAUUUUCUCUGUCUAUAAGAAUGGAGACAACUGUAUUAGGUUCUGUCGGCACAAAGCAACAAGGAUGUGGCUUUAGUAUCCCAUUAGUGGUGGACAACAAUAGCAGUUUUAAUGAGUUUAGAAAUGCAAUCUCUUCCAAGUAUCCCUGGGGUGUGCUUGAUGCAGUAGAGUUCAGGUACUGGGAUAGUGAGAAAGUUAAUUGGGUCCCUGUGCAGUCUGAUGAUGAGUUAGCAGUGAUGUUUGGAAGAAAUGCACGAACCAUGUCAUGUAACUUUGAAGUUACAGUUAUUCAGAGAACUAGAGCAGAAAGCAUGCCUUCUAGGCCAUCUGGUUCAAGGGGUUCAGGUGUCAAGUUCUCUGGUACACAAGCACAACGCAGGUCAAGCACAAGAGCAGGCAGUACUGCUUGUCAGCCACCUAGAACUCCAAUUGCUAGAGUCAAUUCUGAUCCUUCUUGCAGUCAGAGCCAAGCACAACCAGAGAAAGUGGUUGAUCAUGUUGUGGAGGAAGCUAUGCCUGAUGAGGCAAUAUUGUCUGAUGAAGAGGAUGUGAAAAUGUAUCCUAGCUAUGUCCAACACAAUAACCAGGAAGAUGCAGCAGAUGAGGAUUAUAUACCAGCAGAAUUUUCUGACACAGAGGAUGAUGAGAAGCAGGAGGAACAGGACAUGGGACAUUUUGAAGAUGAUGAUGAGGAUAGGCCUAUAGUUAUGUAUGACAGAGAGAAUCCCUCAGUUGAGGAAGGUGUAGUCUUUCCCUCUGUAGUUGACUGUAGAAAUGCAGUUGCAACAUUCUCAAUAAGUACAGAAACAGAAUUUCAAAUUGACAAAAGUGAUCCAACAAGGUUUACUGUGCACUAUGCAUAUGAUAGGUGUAAAUGGAGAUUGCAUGCAUCUUUGAUGAGGAGAAGCACACUGUUUCAGGUACUACACAUGUUUUCAUAGUUGCAACCUCUAAUAAACUAGUUGUGAUUAAUAGUUAUUUAUUACUUAUUGUGUUUUCUUAUUCAUUUCAGAUCAAAGUAAAUCCUUACCAACACAACUGUCCAAGUGUUAACAGAAGCCAAAGGCUGAGAGCUGCAAAGAGAAGGUGGAUAGCAGAUGCUGCAAUGUCAUGGAUCAGACAUAAUCCAGGCAUUGGUCAAAAAGAAAUUCAACAAAAGUUACUUGAGAAAUAUGGAGUAGAACCUCCAUAUAUGAGAUGUUACUAUGGGAAAGAGAUGGCCCUGGACAGGAUAUAUGGCAAGUAUAAUGACAGUUUUCAGCUACUUUACACAUUCAAGGCUGAAGUUGAGAGGGCUUCACCUCGCAGUGUUGUUGAGAUUGACAAACACACUGUACACACUACAAAAAAAUACACUUCCGUGAUGAUACGUGUUUGUCACAGUAGGUCGCGUUUUUUGUCAUGCAUGUACAUCCAUGACAAAUUUAUGACAGAAUCAAGAUAAUCAUACCUGUGCUGUCGUAGAAGUGUUCCAUGACAUUACCAAAAUUAUCAUCACGGAAGUGUCCACUUCCAUGACGAUAAAUCGCGCGUCACAAAAGUGCUUUCGUCAAGGGUGACCGACACAUGGCAUCCACCGUAACGGAACGCCGUUAAGCUAUCGGGUCGGGUUUUGGAUCCGAUAACCCGUUAACAGCCCCGACCAAUGGGGAUUUUCCACGUGUAAAAUCAUCAUUGGCUAGAGGAAACACGUGUCGGCUCAUCGUUGGGACAGGCCGGCCCAUUUUACUUGGUCAAAAGGUGGCGGGCCGGCCCAUGUAAAGCCUGUUAACGGCCUGUUCGCAUAUAGCCCAUUUACAACCCGCUAACCCAAGGCCCGUUACGCCCUAUCCGAAUUAGGCCCAGUAGCGUCAUCUGGGCCACCCAAUAUGAUUCCAGCCCGUUUUCACUUCUGGCCCAUGUAUGGCCCAUGACGUCUUUCGGCCCAUAUGAGGCCCUAUGUAACUCUUGGCCUAUUAACGGCCCGUGGUGAAACUGGCCCGUAAUGAACAGUGUAUCACUUUACACCCAUUAACGGCCCGUAGUGAAACUGGUCCGUAAUGAAUAGUGUAUCACUUUAUACCCAUUAACGGCCCAUUAUUCCGUUGGGCCGUUUCCAGCCCAUGUUAUCUUUCGGCCUUCUCAGAGCCCAUUUAUUCUUGGGCUCAUUUCCAGCAUUCGUUUACUUACGGCCCGUUACUGUCAUUUUCUGCUUGUGGGCCAAAGUCAGCCUGUGGUUACAGUCGGCCCGUUUGUGGUCCGUUAAUACGUUGGGCCGUUUUCAUAGCGUCAUCAAAUACGGCCUAUUAACGAUGGCCCGUUAUGGUCGGCCCAUGAACGGACGAUUCCAACUCUAGCCCGUUUACGGCAAAAUGCGGCCUGUUAUUGGCCCAUGUUUUGCCAAUCGAUCAUACUGCCCGUAUAAGGCCCAUUGAUGAUUCGGCCCGUAGAAGGCCCAUUGUUUCUACGGCCCGUAGAAGGCCCAUUGUUUCUACGGCCCGUAGAAGGCCCACUGUUUCUAUGGCCCGUAGAAGGUCCACUGUUUCUACGGCCCGUAGGAGGCCCAGUGUCACUACAGUAAAUAUUAGCCCAUGGUUAUUGUGGCCUAGUUUUAAAAAAUAGGUUAUUGCAGCCACUAGCAAACCGCGGAAAAAGAACUGCAAUGACUACAAUCAAACAAAUAAACAAGACAACAUGGAAAUAAAUAAGCAAGAAACUUACGCUAGGCUAUCACGGCUAUCACACAUAUUACAUCCACUGGGCAUCAAAGUUCGCCACCAGUGCAAAUAAACGCGCUGACAAAAGAAUAUACAAAACUGAGAGCACUUCAGAAGGCACUAGGCCUAGCCACGUCGGUCCCCCCAAACAGCUGAAGAAGCUGAGUAGACCUCAGUUGUGUCAACGAUAGAUGCAUCAACACUAUAUUUAAGGCAUGAUGGUGCGCACGGCAGUCCUCUGACAUCUUCAUUGCAUCUUUGACUUCAAGUCGGAGCUGAGCUAAAGCAAGCCUUUCUGCUUUAAGUUGAGACUGAAGAAGUCGAACUGAUUGAGGCAGCGACUGCACAGAGGUUGUCUCACACCUGCUGGUGAGUAGCUUCAACUCACUGUCUUCAUCAAGACAGGACCUUGGGGUCAUCUCGCUAUCCUCAAGAUGGUUUGGCUCACUAUCUUCCCUAAAGUUCUGCCUGGCGUAAGAGAUACGAGUCUGAAAGAGAAACAAGGAGACACGUAACAGGUUUCACAAUUAUAUAAGCAAAUAAAUGGAUCUGUUCUGCAUAAGGAACAUGUUUUUACAACUACAAUUUGAAACUGGUAGUUGUUGCAAACAUCCAAUCAGAUGUAAACAGCAAAGCAAACAGCAGUGGAGGAAAUGAUGCUUAUCCAAAUCUAUACUAGAACAAAGUUUGAAGGCUUGAGAAGGAUGAACUUACAUUACAUGUUAACACGGGCUGGACAAAGCCAUUCUCCAUGUUGAUGGAAGGAUAAUUCAAUAAAUUCCCCAAAGAAAAUUUUUAUAAGCGUUGCCAUUAUUCUACAUUUUGCAAAGAGUAAAUAUAGAUCAAAUAAUAUUGGAAGAAACAGAGGAUAAUGAAGCUCAGGUGGAGACUGAUGAUACAUAAUCAAAUAGCAAUUAAUUAAGUACAGCGUUACAAGGCAAAAGGGAGAGAGGUACUAACAAGAGCAAUGCAGAGCCCAUUAUUGUUUUGAGAUCGUAUGAUCCUUUGAGCAAGGAGAUUCAUCUGAAAUUAGUUUUCAUACAAGAGAGAAGGUAAGGCACAAGCAGAAAUUUAGGAGUUCAAAUUUUCAAUUGAUAUCAUAGACAGUACCUGACGCUGGGCUCCCAGCAGUUCUAAUAGGGGUUUGGCCACUAGAGUAGGGGUAAAGUGUGGUACAGUUGGGCCUGUGUUUUCUGUGGCUGCUGAUCUAUCUGAUUUAACAGGUAUCACUACCUUUUCCAAAUACCUAGUUUGUACUCCUUGAGGAUGUGCACUCACCCUCUUCCUUUUGGACAUCUAUUAUGAAAGAACAACAUUUGACUGGAAAAACAUAGUGUGACGACACAUGGAAUAGGUACAGAAAAUGGAUAGGUAUGGCAUAUACUCAUAUAUGAUGCUUAAACUAAGCAGAUGGUGUAAGAAAGUAGAAGUAAUGCAAGAGGUCAGAUGCAAAAUAUGUGCGACCAAUACAACUUUGCAAAGUUAGAGCAAGCACCUUGAUGGGUGAAUAAGAUAGGCCAUCCUCCACCAUGCCAAGUUUGUUAGCCAGUGGAUCUUUCCGCAAUAUUCCUCUCGUGCACCCAUUCUCAUAUUCAUUUUGAUAAUGUUCAAUAUCUGACAUGCAUGAAAACAUAAAAACAAGUGAGAUUUUCUUUGUAAUGCAGAAGUGAUUCUAAUCCAAUACUGCCUCCCUGUAAACCCCUUUGUGCUAUCUCUGCAAUUCUUUUAAAAGAUGCCAUGCAUUCUGUAAUUUGUUGUGUGCAUUAAUAUAAUGUGGCCUACUACUCAAAAUAUGAGAGCUCCAGAAGUGAUGACACUUCGCAGAUGAUAGCUUCAACAUAUAGUAAAGAAGAACAAGUCGACCUGACCUGACAGAUUCAAAAUAUACUAAGGGAGAACAACUCGACCUGACCAGUCGACCGCAAGAGAAGAGUAUCAUCUUAAAGAAGAGCAGAAGAGCAAGCAGAUUGAAGAUAUUACAAGUCUUUCAAUACAAUGUCGGUUGGCCACCCAUGAUGAACCAGAGCGCACAGAGAAAUACUAUUCUUUCUGGUCUCUCCAUAUGUGGCUCACAUGCAUUUCGAAACUAAAGUAGGAACAUUUAGCUAACCAAUUAAACAUCUCUCAGUUUUACUAAUAUCAGCAAUAAUAUCAGAUAUGAAUUUGUACAACUAAGCUUGUUUAGCUCGAUGGGUGGAGCAGUGCUAUUACGACACGAACCACGUAGGAUGAUUGUGGUCAUCAUAAAAUGGGGAAAACAUAAGCAUGAUGAGUACAGUGUUGACUGUGGCAGUGGGAUGGCAGAUCUGAAGCUGCAAACCGCGCAAAGGGUAGUUAGCAACCGAUGUUUGCUUUGAAAUAACAACUAAGAUUUGGUAUGGACAAGAAAGUACGGUCAACAAGUGACAAAGAAAUGCAAUUAUGCCGUCAAGUGGGACCUUUAGCUAACCAAUUAAAUGUGUCGGUUAACUAAUAUCAGUAUCAUAUCACAAUCAUAUUUGAACAACUAAGCUUUCGAAUUCUGAGUGUUGCGUUGUUUAGCUUGAAGGGUGGAGUAAUGCUAGUACGACAGAAAGCACCUACGCAGAUCAUAGUAGAGUAGAUAAAAGGGGAAAACCCUAAGCAUCAAGAGAAAAAUCAGGAAAGUGGAACUAGCCGGACCAGUGGGUGGCGCACAUGCUUUUCGAAACGAAUAUAGGAACAUUAGGUGACCAAUUAAACGUUCUCUGUUUUAGUCAUAUGAGCAUCAUAUCAGAUUCGUAUUUCAACACGUAAGCUUUGGGUUGAGGUCUUGAGGAGCAGUGCUAGCACGACACGAAGCACCUACGAUGAUGGUAGUGAAUAUAAAGGGGGGAAACCAUAAGCUUUACGAGUAUAGUGCCCGUGCCAUGGCAGAUCUGAAGGUGCAAACCGGACAAAGCUACUUCGCAACCAAUGUUUGCUUUCAACUAGCCACUACGAUUUGGUACGGAGAAGAAAAGUACAGUAAACAAAUUACGAUCUAUUUUCCGGGUGAGAUCAAUAACUUAAGCACAUAUGGAAGAGUACCACCUCUCUUGCGACACCGUGUAGGCCUAUGCUGAUACGUUGAGGGUGCUGCGGGUGCGAUGGCUGUCGGCGGCGGGGAAGAAGACUUUCGACGGCAGACGGCCGGGUCGGGGGAUAUAUCCUGUUGCCGUGGACGAGGCGGUCAUAGGAGCGGCAACGGCAAGGUGGACGACGGCGCCGAUGAAGCGAGAGGAGGCGAUGAAGGAUCCUAGUCCAGCGCCGUGGAUGAGAGACGUCCAUCUCUUGCAGUGGACGACGGGGUAGGGGUAGCGGCUCCGGCAAGGUGGAGGAUGGGGUGGCGGACGAAGGAGGCUGGCCACAGUGCGGAGGUUGUCGUGCCGCCGACGGUGUAUGAAUGGGGAAAUGGAGGGGAGGGGGGAUGUCAAACUUUGGGACGCGCUUCUCUUAAAUGGGGGAAAGUUACGAACUUAUCCCCCGUUUAAAAUUUCGGACAUCGCGUCGGUUGGGGAUAGGACGGUAAUCUCGCAUCUCCCAAAUAUUUGCCGGUAACUAUUUCGGGCGAGGAGAGGGUGUUUUGCCGCCCACGGUUGGCGCCCACGGUGUAUGAACGGGCCUGACAGGUAGGGCGGUUGUGUCACGUCUGAUGGAAGUUACACAUCUGCCCCUAUUUAAAAUAUUAGCCUACACCGAUUUCGGACGAGGAGAGUUUGUUUUGCCGCCCACCGUGUAUGAAUGGGGAAAUGGAGGAGGAGACACAUGUCUUUCGGACGAGCUUGAAUCAAAUGUGUUUUGCCGCCCACGUUUGGCGCCCACCGUGUCUGAAUGGGCUCAGAGGCCGUCGUGUCACGUCUGAUUGAAGUUACUAGUCUACCCCUAUCAACAGCAGUGUAAAUCCGGUCGAUAAGGAUGUCAAGUGUCAGGGGUAAACAGUAAUUUCCAUCUCGCAAACACUUGCUUCGGGAAGCCUACAAAUUAUAGUGGGUGUUUAGCCGCUUCAUUCAAAACUUGGGAGAAUUAGCACUCACGUUUGCCCUAGGACCUGGCAAACUAAAUUCAAAUCCAAUUUGUAUUCGAUUACGAAUAUCCACAGAUAAUUAUACGUUUUGUUAUUUAUUUCUUCAAAAGCACAACAAAGAUUUAUUCCACCUUUAUAUAUGAUUAUGAUUUAGAAAUGCCAUGAUCUUCGAAUUCAGUAGGUUGGAUACACUCUGAGUCAAACAGUUAUUUCAUCCAAUACAAUAUGCUCACACGAAAAACAGUUCACCUUAUGUCAAUCAUACAAGUACUGAGGAUUACCUCGCCUAAAAAAUUCGGAUCAUUACAACACAUGGACAACAUAGGGGGUCUUGCAACAUAAUCCAUUCAAAGACAUGACACAACAUGCAAGUACAAUAAUCUAAUGACAAUUUCAACUGGUAUCUAAAGAAGAACCGGGAUUACCUUGGGCUUCAGAUAGCAGAAACAGCAGGACCUCCUCCGUCUUCAAAUGCAACAUUCUUACUUCCUCCAAUUCUUGGGUUGCUUGCAUAAUGCGUGCCGCUAAUUCCGUAAUUUCCAGCCUCAAGAUAAAGAUUACCUCAUUCAUGGCAGCCACACCAUCUCUUUCUGCCUCUAGUAGAGCCUCAAGCACUAUAAUAUCUGUGCUCAGACUGCUCUCCGGCGGUGUUGCCUCUGAACUGCUACCAUCUGGUAACAUGGAUGGCGCACUGCUUCCACAAAUAGAUUAUGUGGUUGGACAUUGUGUCCUAGUGUGAACGGCAUCCUGAAAGGUUUCUGCUGAACAUCAGUAAGAGAUAGUUAUCGUAUGAUCCAGGCAGUAAGCUUACAUGGUAAACGACGGACGAAUUAUUGCCGAGCAUGGCAAACUAUAUUUAAAUGGUUCGAAGCAGCAUCAGCCGAAAAGAAAUUAAAAUGGUAAGAUGAAACUAGGGAUGUAAGUGGCAAAUAAACGACAUCCGCCAGUCCCAUCUAGUUAGUUUUUGCUACCUCCCUAGUUCAUUUUCCUCAAAAAACAAAAACUCUUUUGAACUAUCAUACCACUAGUGGACUUUAAUCCAGAUUAAACGGGACCCAGUUGACAUCCCUAGUUGAAAGGGAGUGUACAACCACUAUAUUUAAGUUGCCAAGGCAUCUAAGCAGUUGAAAUAAUCUGAGAAAGCACUUAACAGUGUGGCCACAUAUAAACUACGAAGACAGUCUUGUGAUGAAGUUGAGAGGAAAAGUUAAGGACUCAAAUGAAAUAGGCAUGCAUUUCUUUACGAUAGUACAGCAGGCACUGCUAACAUAUUGGCCAACUCAGGUAUAGCGUAACAACAAAUAAGCAUUCGAAUCAAGCAAUACAGCAAAGCAGACAACUGAACUAUUUGUAAUUCGGUAGGAUUACACGUUGAGGGCACAAGCCAAGAAAGCAGCCCACUCGCAUUACAUUUCACAUGUACUAAAACACACUGGCUUACCAUAUGUUGCUGUGAAGCCUAGCUGCUGUUGCAAUGUUCUUUGAAGAUAUCGUCAGCAUCCCGUGGUUGCAAAUCUAGUUGUUGUAGUUUAUUCUGCACCAUCUAUUUAGGUAAAAUUAAUUUUAAUCGCAUGCACUGGUCUGAAUUGAUCAUCAAUGGUUCAUCUAAACUAAUGAAAGAAGGGUGUGUGCAUACACGACAAUAUAUCUGCUUCCCUCUAUUUUUAUGCUUGUUUGAGGUGCCAGCCCCAAAAGAACAAAUAUUUUGCUUGAUGGGGUUGGCAGCUCCAUAAUUAAUAGAAGCCUCAAAUUAGUCAUGCAACUUGGGAAGAUCAAGAACACACAAACAAGUAAUGAACAGAGGCUCGGAGCAGUGAUGUAAUAGCUAGCAUCAGAAAAUGUAGGGUAAAACGAACAAAAAGCAGCGGAACCACAUGCUAGUUUGCUGAUGUGUAAUUAAGCAUACAGAACAUUAAGCAUUCUGAUGGAACCAACAGGUGGCAUCAGAACAAAACUAAAGCAUAUUAACUAUAUGUGCGCUGGUAUGUAAUUUAGCACAUGUAACAUGUUCACUGCCAGAAGUAUGGCCCUACAGGUGCAAGCAGAAUAACGCGUCUCAUGAAAAACUGAAUGAUGCCCUGAAGAAAUUCAAAGGUGCGGUGCUUAUGCUAGGAAAUUGAACGUAGGCGCCGGCCGUUGGAUAAUAGUACCUGAUUCUCGGUGGCGUAUGGGUAUCGUUGUCAUACUUGAUAGCUAAGGAUCGUCGAUGGUGCUCGUGUUGCGGUUGAGUUUGGGCCGGCUGUCGCCGUUGCUGAAGUAAGUGCUAGAAAGCUCAUCUGUGGUAAGUGAACAGUUGCGGCGCCUGUUGACAUACAAGAAAGCUCAUCUGUGGUAAGUGAACAGUUGCACGAUAAAGAGAAAAACCGAAGGAGUACAAAUCGAAAUAACCUGAUGAGGCUGCGGCGUCGGUAAAGCAGGGCCCGUGGAGUUGAAUAUGGCGUCUGUGGAGCGGGUCUGGUGCAGUGGACGAAGGCUUCGGCGGGCGCGUUGUACAGUGCUUUCGGUGAGGCGGAUCUGUUGCGGCGGACGAAGGCUUGUAUGAAGGGCCAGCGAAGGGGCAGACGAGGGAGUCAGUGAAGGGCCUACGCUGUGGUGGACGAGGGCGCCGGUUAAGCAGAUCCGGUGCGAUGGACCAUGAUGGCGGUCAAGGAGAUCUGGAGCGGUGGACAAGCCAGUCGCUGAAGCGGCUUUGGUGAAGUGGUGAGUUGGCAGUUGGGGGUUCCAAGGUGCGGAAGGUAGAUCCGGCGGGGUGUGAGGUCCACCGCUGCGGCGGAGGACUAGAUUCGGCGGCUUGCCGUGGUUGGGGGGUCGGGGAGGGGAAGGGGAGGGGCUCUGGGGAAGAAUGUUGGGGGCAAAGAGGGGAAAACAAUGGAGUUACCAAAGCAGCCUUUUCCGUUCAUGUGGCAGGGGUAAAACAGGAAUAUCGCAGGGCUAAACUUUCGGGCGCGUGAUAUUUCGAUGUGAGCGGGAAGUUUGAAAGCUUUUGGCACCCAAAAUUAUAAGUAUUCUGCUCUCGUACGGCCGACUAUGAUAUCAUGGCCGACAAUUUGUUUGUUUUGCAUGCAAAAAAAAUGUGCAAGUUUUGAAAAUCAAUGUCUCCAACUCGAAACUUAGAUUGUCCAUUCAAUUCAAAUAUGGAUCAUUGAGCUACUACAAGCAAAUACCAUCAUACGGUCCAAUUCAAAUGAAAUUCCAAAUGUGUUUAUCCUAAAUAUGAUGACAAAAGCAAAAAUGUGUAUGUGUAUGAAUAAAGUGGAUGAUUAUAAAGUUUGAACAUGCCCGUAUGUGUAUAUCUCUAGGUUUGAUAUAUGAAUUUGAAAUCACGAAAUCCCGGCUUAAAAAAUGUACCUCCGUUUAAAUGAAUUACAAAAGCUAAUGAUGGAGUCGAAUUCCAAAAUUCCAAUCUUAGGUUUGUAAUUCUGGUACAUCAAGGUAUAUCACGCAUGUUCAAAAGUAUCGUUAUCUCAUAGUACAAACUGUGAAACAAAUUGAUCAACCAUGAGUGCACAAUAUCUCAAUUACGCUAAAGUCCCUCAAAUAUAGACACCUCACUCUUUAUCUGAAGUCAACCCCCCCCACCACCACACACACACACAUAAAGAAGUCGUUCUCUCCCCCAAACACCAACACACGAGCACAUUAACACCCCUCUCUCUCUUGUAAUGUCCGGACCCCAACAUAGGUCUCUAUCACUUUGUCUCUCGGGCAUGCACACAUCUCUUCCCUCACUCUCUAGGUCUCCCGCUAUCUCUCUUACCCAAGCACACACACUAUGUAGAGUGUAUAUUUCCCAUACACACAAAACGUCGCCCCCAAACGUCUAUCUCCCUAGUCAUGUGGUUCUCGCGCACUCACCUCACACACCACCCCCACUGCAAACAAGCACACUUUGUCUCCUUGUGCACCACUCUCCUCUUUCUAUCUCUCCCACAUGCGGACCCGCCCCAGCUCCUUCCCUGUAUACAUAUAUGUCGUGACUCUUUGCAUAGCUCCCUAAUGUAUAAUCGUUCUUGAUUUCGCACAUUGUUCUCUACACCAUCUAUUCUAGAUCUCUCAUGAAGUCCCUAUCACACACACGAUGACUCGCUUCCCUUGCGUCUCCGUUCAUAGGCCAAUUUCGGACAACAUCAACAUUGUCUCCCUAUCUAUACGCCAUUUAUGGACACAAACGACCCCUCUCGCCCCCUCUGUUCCUCUCUCUCUCUCUCUCUCUCUCUCUCUCUCUCUCUCUCCGUCGCUAGCUCUCUCUUUCUCUCGCUCUCACACCCCUCUCCCACACACACACUCGAUGUCUCUUCCAAAUAGUCUGCUCCCCCCGCCCGCACCCGUGCUAUCUCGCUACUACACAUGUCACACCAUUCCCCCUUCCCUUAUACUAGGUUUACAUCAUCAGUGGUCUCUCUACUCCACAUACACUCUCUCCCUCUCACACACAAACACGUGCACAAACACACAGAGACACGCACAAACACCCAUUUAUUUGGAUCCUCAUCUCUCCUCAUGUCCGCAUGUGUAUCUCACACACUCACUCUCUAAUUAUGUAUAUGUGUCUCCACGUUACACAACACAAAGCCCCAUGUACAUGUCUCUCUCUAUCCUCCACACACAUAGACACAAAGAAUCUGUUAUCAUUGCCUCAGUCUCUAACAUAUCACACACGCACACUGUCUCUCUCUCUCUCUCUCUCUCUCGCAAACACGCUCAACAAGGGUUUCCCCGUGAAUAACUUACCGUCUAUUCAUCAACAGUCGUGGCAGUACGACGAACACGAGACGUGAAAAAGAAUAAAUCUACACGUGCUUAGACCACCUAGUAUGACUACUAGGACUAGAGCAAGCCAAAAAGCGUGCCGCCGUCGCCCCCUCGUCGGCGACGGGAAAAUCUUUGUUUUACACAGUCGAGAAGUCAUUGUGCUAAGGCCCCACAUGCCGAGGCAUUGAAUAGAAUGUAGAUGCUAGUUUACGGAAGCAAGUAUCGAUAAUACGUUUGUAUCUCCAUACUUAUAUUUCUUCUCUUAUAAAAAACCGAGUUGGUGAUGAUGGUAUGUGUGCCAUCUUGCAAUAUAGACCGUCCGAUCUAUAUCUGACGGAUGGAAAUUAAACUAAAAGAUACCCGCACGCCUCUCCACAUUUGCAGACAAGGCCCUCCCUCGUUCAUCCUUAUCUCCAACAAACCUCAUUGUUGAGCAAUUAAGAAAGGAAGCCUCUGGAACAAACUGGCCUGGUGGCCGCUGCCGGCGUCGUCAAUCCCCAUGCCUCCGCUCAGUCCGACCACCAAGCACCACCACACCCCACUCCUCUUCACCUUAUCUCAUAUUUCUCGAGAUAUCAUUAGUUUUUACACAUGGGAUUACUCCCGCAAGGGUCAAUCACAACAAGUGUUUUAUAAAAAAAUGCAUCUUGAUGUUCCAUGCAAUGCACGGAUCUUGCUAGUACUCCUACACAAGACUAAGUUGGUGAUGCUGGUGUGUCUGCCAUCUGUCGUUUCUGACCAUUAGAUCUACAUCUAACGAUUGUGAGGUAAGUUGUUGCCUUUUCUCACCAACAACCCACUUGUCUACCAAUUUGCAGAAAAACCCAUAAUUAGUAUCUUAAAACCAACCACAUCCCUCCCUGACCUCACCAAAACAGCCCAAGGAAUAUAUUCUAAUUGAAACAUAAUAUAUCUCUAGUGACAUAUGUAUAUCAAAAUUAGAGUGUUUUGUACCAAGUUUGUGAAUAAGUAUUAUUCUAAUUAUGAUUCGUUGCAACGGACAUGAACAUUGCUAGUAUUUCCAACCAUGCAUUUUUUUCCUAGUAUUCCAUAGUUUCGAGUUUUCCAUCAAGAUAUUAGUCACUCAUGGUUAAUAUUUACUUUCAAUCAUGUACACAUAUGCACUAUGUAACUAGCCUUGCUUAUUGGCUUCCAAAGCUUAACUUUCACUCCUACUUAAAAUAUGUAGAGUAUUUAACAUAAAACUACCACUUUCAACCAUCCCUAGGAAGAAUCUAUUGUACAAAAAAUAGCAAAAACAUACCCAAAUUUUUUUAAUCCAUGCCAAAAACUACCUAGUACUCCUACCGAUUAGGUUCAUUUAAACCCAUUUAUGACAGGGUUGGCCCACACGUCCGUGCUGAGAGGCAGCUUAAACCAACACAUUUUGUUUGACCGUUGACACGAGGGACCCACAUCUGACCUUCUAUCCUGUUAUUCCCCCUCAAAUCAUUAUUUUUCCUGAACAUUACUUCAAACAGUACUGAUGCGUGUUCGUCGGUGGCGCCGGUGAUGAGCGAGUUGGCCGCCGCUCCGCCGGACGGGCCGGACGCCGCGCUGGCCUCCGCACGGGUUGGCAGGCUGGCCCGAGCGUGACUCACGAGCGAGCAAACCGCCGCGCUGGCCUUCGCUCGAGCCAGAUGGCCGGCCUUAGCGCGGCGCGCACGAGCAAGCCGCCGCGCUGCCGUGCCAAUCUAGCUAGCAAACCUUGUAGACAAGCAGCUGGACGGAGCUAUCUUGGCUAGCUAGCGGCCGCGAGCGCCGGACGGAGCUGGCAUCCGGGCUGCCGCAACAUGGGCUCCGCACGCCGGCGGUUUUGACCUCGCCUUCUGCCGGCAGCGGUAGCUGCGUCCCAUGGCCGAGGAUGAGUAGGUGGACGGGCUGGAGGUAGGAGGUCACUCGAGGAUUUUUGUUGGUAAGAGCAUGUACAAUGGUUGAUAAGGUAGUCUUAUCUUAAGUCUGCCACGUAUGCAAGUGGUAGUAGUUUCUUGGCAUUUUAGUGGUUUCUUGCAUUAUUAGAGCAAGUACAAUAGAGCUGAGUCAGCAGGCUAUAAGAAAUAAACUAGUAUAUUUCUGCUUAGUUGGAGGAAAGAGAAGAGGGGAGAGAAGGUAAGCGGGCUCUUCGUGAAGAGCCAGCUCUAGCACGUGCUCCUAGGCACUUUGUGAGAAUGAGAAGUGGGCCACAUAAUAAAAAAGUAGUACACUCUUUUGAUCUAUUAUUGUACAUGUUGGCUAUAAGAUGGGCUGUAGAUGACAUGGCACUGGCUUAUAGCCAGCAGCUGGCUAUACUAUUAACCAUUAGGGGUUUCUUGUAAGGAACAAUGUACGUACUACUAGCGACAAAAGGCGAUUCUAGGUUACGUUGUACUCCAACGAGUACUACUAGUGGUCGUGGGAGUGUAUACCUCGUUUUGUGGGUUCGAUCCCGGCCGAACACACAGCGACCUUUUUUUUAAAAUAGUACUACUACACUUCGCUGCGAGCCAAUAUUUUACAUGGGUAGUUUGAGUUUUGAAGUCAAACGGACGUGCGGCCCCACAAUCUGGGUGCACAGGACAGCCUAGCCACAUGAACGGGUUUUCCUUCCCAGCAUCCCGUGGCUCGCGUGCUCGCCCUAGCCGCACCUCGCUUGCAGCUUCCAGCUAGUAGCAUAUUUAAACUAGUGUCUCCCAAUUAAGUCCGAGGAGCCGGAAAUGCCUGGCGGGGCAUUGGGAACUGUUCAAUAUGGCUCUGUACUUAAAGUUCUCUACUACUACUCUGUAGCUUGUGGCGUUGCACGCAUGGACUUCACUCCAUUAUCGGCUCUACUAUAAAAGAAAUUUCCUCUUGACGUGUUUUUUUUGAAACGGAGGCAAAAGCUUUGCUUCAUCUCAUUCAUAAAGAAGGAACUACUAACAAAGUUCGACGAGAUCCAUUACACCUCCACAAAUGGAAGCGAAAAGCCUAGUCUCGUUGUAUCAAAUAACUCAAAUGUUCUGCCCCCGCAGUAACCGUCGCUGAUAAACAGGUUGCUAGUGUGUGCGUGAGAGGACUGGCUGAGUAGGCCAGCUACGUGAGGGGAGCGGCUGAAUAGAGCACCGAGAGUACCCACUAGGCCACUACACAGGUGUACUUCCCCUACAUUGAUAGUACAGCGAUGGUUCUAGAGAACAGUAGUACCCUCCACUUCCAACUGUAGCUCCUUGGCCCUGAGAUUCAAGAGUUCAAAACUGGUGCACUAUACUAGACUAGACUAGAAGUACAGUACAUCGCACUACUAGUUGAGAAAACUAGUACUAGUACUGCUAUAGUACGAGUAUGUACUCCUCCGUCACAUAAUGUAAGACCUUUUUUGACUCUAGUUGGCGUGUACAAAAAAUGGCAAAACAUACCCAAAAUUUCAUAAUCCACGCCAAAAACUACUACCUAGUGCCAAAAAUUUCUUACUAGUGCUAUUAUUUACAGUAUAAUGCAAUCCCAUAACGUUCCAUAAUGCUAGUACUAGUAGUAAAUAAUAGCCUCACGCCUUCGCUGAGGAACGAUCUACAGUUGGAAGGGACGAGGCCCUGCGGUUACUACGCUCUUAUCUCCUCCUCGCCAGUUCCCCUCCCCCCGAAGAGAAGGCAGUUCGUCGCUGCACCCAUGGAUUCGCCAGGCGGUUCUCCUCCUCGUUGGGGCUGGGAGACCUUGGACGACGAUUCUCUGGGAGAAAUUGCACGCCGCUCCGACGUCCUCGCCGCCGCAAGACUCGGUGCUUCCUGCACCAACUUUUUCAAGACGCUGCUUAAACAGGCUUGGGAAAAGGCCAUGCUUGUUGGUCUUCCAUGCGUCCUUGAGGAGAAGGUUCUUCUAUGGGACAAUCCUUCGAACAGUCCACCGCUCCCUGGCCAUGGUUGCACGUUGACUCCGCUAGAGUUGCCGACGUUGAGAGGUAGUCGGAUUUUGUCCGAUCAGCAGGUCAGUAAUGGAGUUUGAAUAUGUAGUACGUAGUUAUUCCAUUUGCACCCCGUAAUUUCUCCGUUGCCCAUCGUCUUAUAUAUAGGUCUGGGUCGGUGCCAACGAAGAUUGGCUUGCAUACCUCCGGCCGGAUACCACCAUCAUUUUGCACAACAUCCACAGCAGUGCGGCCGUUCCGGUAGACCCCUUCUCCACCAUUGGGAUCGGCCUUCUGGACUGGCUGGGCUUGAAUACGUAUGAUGAUGCCUACAUGAGAUUGAAGAAGAUAGCAAUUGCGGACCCGCCGACAAAGCAACGCGGCUACGACGAUUACUAUCUCAUCGCGGUGUUCGACAUAAGGAUUGCCAUCAAUGCAAGAGGCAGUAACGGCAGAGGCUGGCGCGUGUUGGCGGCGGCAGAUUUGUACCCCUACACAUUCGAAGACGCCAUGCACCAUCUAGGCCGCAUCUUCGCGGUGACAAGCCAGGGGACUUGUUUCAUCUGGUUGCCAUCCUACGGUAUGGGAGAUUACAAACGGAAUGCACAAACCAUCAUUUGCAUCCCUAACGGUACUCCAUUAUUUUGCAGGGACCAGUCAUCCCCCGAUCAAAAUAAGAUCGCCGAUCCUGGAUGUGCAUUUGCAUCCGCGAUUCGGUCUAACCUGGAACCUUGUAGCUGACUUUGGCAUAUUGGGAUCAACUAUCUUAGCAGUCGUUACCCAUGGUACCACUGAUGUGCAACAUGGUCACACAAUCUACCACGAUCGGACCGUCACCAUCUACCCAGGUAUUCCAUUUUUUAACCCUCUCGCUUCUCUUUCAUUGUUGUACUAGUAGUAUACUUUGUAGUACUAGUAGGAGUACUUUUUACCUUGGAGGACGCGUAUAGCUAGCUAGGCCCUUGAAGACUUGAACCCACUAGCUGCCACCAUUUUUGUUUUUCCAUGUCUUACUAUCUCAUCCAUGUAGCCAAGAGUGGCUAUAUAUAAUAAGCCGGUUAUUUUACUUCCUCUAUACCGGAGUAGUACUAUUUGCUGCACAGUAUUACUGACCACCAUAUUUGAGCACAACAUUAUUAUGCAUGGACCUUGACUAUGUACGUCACCAUGUGUCCAGAUCUGGGAUGCCGCGUGUACCAGAUGAACGGCACCGAGUUCGACCCCCGUGAUGCUACGUGGGUGCCGAGGAACACUCUUGGAGAGUACUCGCUUUUCAUCGGGGACAGCUACCCCAUUGUGAAGCGGAUGCCACCUUCCGUGCACGACAUGGAAGAACUGCCGUUCAUGAAGCAUGGUUGUGUCUUCAGUGCGCACCGCCGGAUGAACGUCAUGCUGGGACACGCUAUCCCUGAUUUAUGCCGCUUCAGCUUGGAUGAGUCUCCAUCGUGUGGAACCGGACUAGAAAGCUGUGAAAAUAAUUCAUGUUGCCCACCGCUAUGGAUCGUGCCAUCCAUGAAGAACACCUGGGACUGGAACCUGGAGGAGGAAAUGUAGCCCAGCUAUAACGUGUAAGUGGAGUACGGUAAUUGUGAACGGUAGCGCUGUGAAUAUAUGUAGACUAGUCGUGCACAAAUUUAUCACAUGAAUUGGAGAUGAACUUGUGUGCCAUACUGGCAUUUGUCCUUUAGAAUUUAUUACUAGUAAAUGUGUUAUGUGUACGUGCAACUUGUGUGGUUGUUGCACGGGCUCCAACACGCUCUUUGAGAAAAAAAGGUGGCACUGCUUUGGAUAUACGUGACGUGGCGGCAUCAUACAGUAGCAUCGUUCGCUAUAGUUGUAGUACACUCCUACUAGGACGAAAACUCCUAUAAAACCUUGCGCUUGGCUCUUUGCCUCUUCGGGAGGUUCAAUAGUUCGUACUCGUGUGAACCUUGCACUUGGCUCUUCGCCUCUUCGGAAGGUCCAACAAUGAUGAUACUACAGUACAAUAUGCUUCUGGCAAUCUGACACCGAUUGAACUGCUGCACGUCCACCGCGAGGGCGAGGGUGAGGGAGAGGGAGAGGGAGAGGGAGAGGGCGUUGUAGUCAAAACCCUCUCCUCGUCCUGCGAACCACCACGCGCAUGGGUGAGGGAGAGGCGUAGUAAGCAAGCUUCUCCUCGUUCGGCGAGUUGACGGGACACAUCAAAGAAGUACUAGUACUAGUAGUAGUAGUCCAUACUGCGUCGUUUCUGAUUAAUAUGGCUUAAUUUGAAACGAGAAGAAUACACUGGCGGUCAACGUAUGUAACAAUACGCUCUUUACGGUCACUACAUAUAGUUUUGCGGCGAUUAUACGAUCACUAGCUCAUCGUAGAGCACCGUAUUGCACCCUACUGACCGGCCACAUAGUCGACGUGGCACUUUGUUGACUGGUUAAAUUGUCACCUGGUUUCUGGGUCCCACCUGUCAGUUGGCAGAGCAAAGAAACCAGUUAAACAAAACUUUACGCAGGCGCGACACGAGUCCAACCCUUGCGCGCGAACCGCCCUGGCUGUGUAUGUGAGUGCAUGCACGUGUCCUCCCUCGGUCUUCCAACAAAGAGUGUACAUCGGCUAUAAAACAAAGAGUACAUUUAGCCUUUAAUCUAAAUCGAUAUUGAUUCACUAAUGCACCAACUUGUGCUGUAGGUAUAGGCUACAUGUCUAUCCUUAAUUACAGCAUGCAACGGCCUUCAUUUAAUCUUCUUAUCUCAAUGGUCGCAUGCACACAUAAGUCUGUUACUUUUGGGCGUUAAUUAUGCCCUGGUCAAUGUGUAAAUCUCUAAAUGUACAGUCUUUCACGGACGUAGGGAGUAGGUUGAGCACUUGAGCGUGAGCGUGUGUGUUGCGUCGUGUGCUGUGUGCCGCAUGGGUGCGUGAGUGUUGCGUGCGUCCAUGUGUACGUGUGAGUGUUGCAUGUUGCAUGCAUGCAUGCAUGCAUGGGGCUUACUCCCUCCCAUUGACAUGUUCAUAUUUCAAGCUUCCUCUGUUCCCUCCAUAUGGUGAUACUCCCUCUGUUCCCAAAUAGUACGGAGUAAAAGCCUCCCUCUGUUCCCAAAUACGGAGUAUUUGUCUUUCUACAGAUUUCAACAAGUGACUAGGUACGGAGCAAAAUGAGUGAAGUGAGCGUAGAGGCAUAGGGAUACUAUAGAAAGGAAGUCCUCGCGAUCCAUUAUUCCCCAUCUCGGUCAGAGAGAACUAUUCAACUAGUCUUCGCAGUGAAGUGACAAUACACGCUGCAGCAGAUGGGACACGUAAUUAAUAAGCUGAACCAGCGUGUUGGUGUUACUAAAUCAGCCUUACCCAGUACUGCCAUCAUGUUUGCCAGUAGAGCACGCUUCCGCAAAUACACCUACGCACCUCUGUCCUCCAUUAACUAACAUACGGGCCCUGUUGUGGUAGACCCACAUGUCAUCGGUGUAACUAUUUACACUCCGAAGGACGGUAUAUCCUGGUAGUAGUACUAGUAGAAUUGAGAUUGAAUGCACUUUCUUCCCCGUCUUCCACUCUUCUUCCUCCUCUCUUCCCCAUCGUCGGCCGCGCACCAUUUACCCCCGCUCACUGCUCGCCCGCCCGCGCCAUCUUCCUUGGUAGCUCGCGCGUACCAUAUCCCCCCGCUCACUGCUCGGCCACACAAGGAGAAGCUUCUUCACUCGCCCGCCCGAAUCCACUUCCCUGCUGGCUCGCAGGCACCGAAAACCCCAAUGGCCGAAUCGACUGACACGCAGAGCCGCGAUUGGAAUUCCCUCCCCGAUGUUCUCUUGGAGCAGAUCUAUAGUCGUAUGGACCUACUCAGCACCGUCCGUCUGGCCGCAUGCUCGGUGUCUUUGUACCGUCUACUCGUCUGCAACCGGCCGGCUCUUUUCAAGACACCCUGCUUGCUAAUGCCCGAUCCUCGCAGGUGGCCCAGACACCGACUUGAAGAUCCUAUGGAGGUUGCCGUGGUUCCCCUCGACAUGCUACCACUACCCGUCCACCUGUCCUUCAUGCACGACCACUAUUGGGCGGGCAUGAAGGCCAAUUGGAUCGUCCUCAUCCACCACACCGGUAGUCCGUGGUGUCUCGUGGAUAUCUACACCCAGCGAGAGAUCACCCUUCCAUCGUUGGAUACCGCGGCCAUCGAGCCUCACGGCCCGCCGGACACUCCUGCCUACUACGCACGAGAUGCGUCAAGCUUUUGGCUUGACCUCUGUUUGCAGAAAGUUGUAAUCUGCGAAGUGCCCACACCAUCAGAUGACUACAUGGAUUACAAGCUCAUUGCCUUGUUCAACAUGGGAUUAGUCUAUCUGGAAUCCGGUCGCCAUACAUGGUUAUGGCUCAUCAUCAAUCCUGUUGAGGCAACAUUUCUGUCUGAUGCUAUAGUGCACGAUGGCAUUGUUUACACGGUCGACGCACAGAUUGGCUGCCUAUACUGGUGGAAUCUAUCGUCGUGUAAUUAUUCUAUCUCAUCUCAUCUUUACUUUAUGAAUACGACUCCCUGUUCAUUUGUUACAAAUUUAGAAUGCAUAGCAUGUCUAUAACCACAUCAUUGCUAUAUGUUCCUCUCAUUUCCUAGAUUUUUAUGACCACACAUGUUAUUUUUAGAGUUGAUAUGAGAACAAUUGGCAUCUAAUGAUUGUUAGAAUACAUAUUAUGAGCAUAACAUCAUGAUUGCUAUAUGUUACUCUCGUUUACAAGAUUUUUAUAACAACACAUGUUAUUGCUUAGAGUUGAUAUGAGAACAGUAGCAGUAAGUGCUAUGGUAGAAUAUGAGUAGGCGCUGUCAUAGCUGUUUUCCUCUCAUUGUUACAUGAUGUUUGAACCAUGACAUAUUGCUAGAAUAUGAAAGCCAUUGGCUUAUUUUUUUAACUUGGGGUAUGAUUAUGACCACGGCAUUGCAAUUCUCUGUCUAUGAUAUGUGUCACUGUUAUAAUAAUCUUAAUUCCACACAUACUCUGAACAUGAUUAUUUAUUUUUGUCCUUUUGGUCUCCAAUUUGAAUUGUUGCAGCAGAUGCAAAUGCGCUGGCCUUCAUGAUUCUAGGACUUGGAAUCAUACCAGCCGAUGGGUGGUGGUUUAUCGCUCGUUCAGCUGACGGCGGUCAUUUGAUGCUCAUUCGCACGUACCAAAUUGACCAAACCAUUACAUCAAACCACAUGCAGUACAAUGCGUGGGGCGUUCGUGACAUUGAUGGCUAUGGCUGCUUCGUGUUUGAGAAAGAUCCCAGCUCCGUUGGGCCAGGCGUAUUCAACUGGAGGCGGGUUUACAGCCUCGGCAACCACUCCUUGUUCCUCGAGCUCAAUUAUCCGAUCAUCCAACCAAUCAUCGAUCAUAUCACCGGCGAUGAUUACUGUGCUAUGCAACUUCCAUUCGCGAGGGGGGGCUGUGUUUACACAUCAUACCAUGGGUUUCAUGAAUCACCAUAUCCAGAGAUUCGUCGACACAGCUUGUUGCUGGAUAAUCUUCAGUGUGUGAAAGGCAUCAAGCUUCCAUGCGAUGGAUGACUUUUGCAAACCCGACAUGCGGUGAUGUGGUUCAUGCCAACAACAAAUAUGCACAACUUGAUUCGUGCUGAUAUCUAGACUGAGCCAUGUAUUCUGCUGCUGUAGCACGACCCUCUUUUGUUGGAUAUUAUGUACUGUUGUUAGUUUGAAGCACUCCUCUGGUUUGAAGGAUAGAUACCUUCCUGGGAUCAAGUGCAUCCUAACUCACCUGCGUAGGAUGUACUAAUAAUGAUGAUGGAGAUGCUGUGCAGAAGCCAUAUAUAUAUAUAUCAGUUAGGCUUCAAGUGCGUACUUGUUAGUUAAACCUAUGUAUAAAUUGUGACACUAAAUACAACUAGUAAGUAGUACAGUAGCAAUACUAGUAUACGUCGGUCAAAUUAUUCAUCAUGUCCACACAUUAAAUUGACGUGACAACACGCUGCGCGUGAGGUGACACAAGAAUCCCGGUGGCGUGUUCGGGUAUUCUGGACUUCAGAUUUGGAGUACCACUUAUCUGUCGAAAUCUUUCAUCAUUCACUUAAAAUAGUCGAUUGAUCAUACAUUCAGUACCAUAUAACUGGAAUUACCGAUGCAAGUCGAAGAAGGAUUGGCCGGUGCUGCCGGCUGGCGUCAAGUUCGAUCCCACGGAUCAGGAGCUGAUCGAGCACCUUGAGGCCAAAGUGAGUGCUGACAGCGCGAGAUUUCAGUCUCUCAUCGAUUUGUUCAUACCAACCAUCGACAGCGAGCACGGCAUAUGCUACACCCAACCUGAGAAACUUCCAGGUAAGACACCGAUCGACCGUCUACUUGCACAAACAUAUUCCUUUGUUUAUAGCUCUAUUUUUCUUUUUAGAUGCAGACCUGGUGAAGCAAUUACAAUUUGACAGUUAAUAAAAAGUGAAACAAGUGACUGCAACAUGCCAAAGAUGUUAUGAAAAUGCCAACUAGGUACACUAAAACCUGUAUUCCACAAUACUGCAGGUAUCACACUGAGUGGCCUAAGGAAGCAUUUCUUACAGCGCAAUUCCAGGGCAUUCAAAAGGGGCACGUGGACGCGUCGCAAGAUACAGUCGGAGUGCGGCAUGCACGCGGUGUGGCACAAGACCGGCAAUACCUUGCCGGUGAUGGUCAACGGCCGGCAAGACGGGCAGCAAAAAAGGUUCUGGUGCUGCACACCAACAAGAACUUUGACCAACAGAGGACCAACUGGGUGAUGCACCAGUACCACCUCGGGGACCUGGAGCAAGAGAAGGAGAGGGAGCUGGUCCUCUGCAAGAUUUUCUACCAGACGAACACUAGGGCCAGGAGUAAAAAGAUUAUAAGUUAGUUUGGUAUUGGUAGUUGUACUACCUUGUCGUCCGCAAGUUGGUAUUGUUGUUAACGAUCUUUUGGUAUGAACUUGCAUUUGCUUCCAACCAUCAUGCCGAGGGUCGACGUGGAUAUAAAGCUGAAUCAUUUGUUUCGAAACGAAUUUUCAGGCACCUGAUUUUUAUUUGAUGGGUAGCAUAAGCACCCGUCGUUCGAAUUCCCAUUUCUCCAAUUUUUUCGAAACAAGUGCAUGCACUUAUUAUCACGAUAAAAAACAAUAUCCGUGCUGCAUCCCAGUUAUCAGUCUGUACUUGCAGAAUUCUCUCGUUUAUUGAGCACGUAUAUUGUUUUUUUAGGUUGAGCAAGUUUCAACUGGGCUGUAGAGUGCCCAGGGUUGGUUUUGUUUUUAACAGGCCCAGCCCAUGACGACAACGGGGCACAAAGAUCCAGCAGGUAUAUACUGGCCUCUGGCCCGCCAGCGUUAGUUAUAUUUUGUGUUACAACAUCCGCAAGCAGUUUUUUUUACUAAAUCAAACACACAGCCCAGUUCUAUUUUCCUCUUGAAACGCAUGUCCUACAUCCGUUUUCUAAUCUCUACCUAUAGUUUUACUAGUUCAUAUACACGUAUCAUUAUAUUGAAAACACAUAAAAUUCCCUUUUCAUAUUUACAUCCUUAUUUUUGUUGUUUUUUCCCACCCAGCGCUGAUUUUCUUACCACUGGUUUUCCCUUAAACCAACUCAAUUGUCCCACGUCUUAUUUUCUUACAAAAACAAAACGAUUUUUUUGGCAAAUCAAUAAGUUCUUAAAAAUGUUUAUCAUUUCGGGAUUACAACAGUUCGGACUCCACCGAGAUAUGCAAAAUAAAGUUGAACUUUUUGACCGUGGUCCUGGGCAGAAAAUGGGCUGUAAUAAAUUACUUAAGAAUUAGCAAAUGGGCUGCAAAUUAUAAAAAAUAGCAAAUGGGCUUUAUGUUGUCUGCCACAGAUUUGGAGGCUGACUUGUGGGCCUACUAAGUGCAUGCGUACACAAGGUUUAUGAAAAAAGAAACUUAGUCAACAAUCGACUCUACCAGCGUCAGACCGUUAGAUGUCAAUCUAACGGCAAUCGUGCUUCUUCAGUCUCUGAUCUUCCUGCCCCAGCCGCCCAAACCAGCGCCGUCGGAACCGCCUGCUCCCACCUCCCGUGGCCGGCAGUGCUGCCGGGCAGGCCUCACGGCCCCAUCAUACUCGCAUCCCUGGCCUGUCUAUCCCUCUACUUACCCACACCUCCUGUUAUUUUCCGCUGACGGCAGGCGAACCAGUCAACCCUCGUACUCUCCACCGCGUGGGCAGCCACUGCCGUGUCUUCCCCGGCUCCGUGUCGUUCCCUUCGUAGGCCUCGCCAUCGUCCACCGCCCUGGUGCUCUCGGCGCGGCGUAGUCAACGAUGUCCAUCCAACGACCGUAGUGCUUCUUCAACCUAUGGUCUUCUUGCCCCAGCCGCCCAAAGCAGCGCCGGUCGUGCCGCAUGCUCCUGCCUCCCGUAGCCGGCUGUGCUGCCGCGGAGGCCUCACCGUUCCCAUACUACUCCCACCGCUGGCCAGGCCAUCCCUCCACUCACCCACUCCCCCUGUUAUACUACGGCGACGGCAGCCUCACACCGCAGCCGAACCAGUGAACCCUCGUACUCCUCUCCGCGUGGGCAUCCACUGCCACGUCUUCCCUGGCUCCGCGUCGUCCCCUUCCUAGGCCUCGCCGUCGUCCACCGCCGUGGUGCUCUCGGCGCGGCGUGGUCAAUGUGGUCAACGACCGACUUCCAUCGGAAGAGUACUGUACGUGGAGAGGCUAACAGCUAGGUCCACGGCAGCCGCAAGGAAGUGCCUCCUUAUUACGCGCAACAUAAUUAUUCCUCCACUUGACAGCAGGAACCCACCGAACGGGCCACCAGUAUUUCGCGGAAAAAAUGUUUCCCCCCUGACUGCCGGGACCCACCGGACGGGCCACCGUAUUUCGCGAAAAAAACGUUUGCCCCUGACUGCUGGGACCCACCGGACGGACCACCGUAUUUCGCGAAAAAAACGUUCCCCCCGCUGUCAGCUCGGACCCACCGGAAGUGCCUCCUUAUUACGCACAGAAAAAUGAAUACUCCCCCUGCUAGCUGGGACCCACCAUGGUGGGAGGCUGACUUGUGGGCCUACUAAGUUGACGGGGACGGAGGGCUUUGUCAACUUAGUCAAUAUGAAUGAUUCUAGCUUCAGUGACUGUACGAUGUCCAUCCAACGGCCGUAGUGCUUCUUCAACCUCUGGUCUUCUUGCUCCAGCCGCCCGCAUGCUCCUGCCUCCCGUGGCCGGCUGUGCUGCCGCGGAGGCCUCACCGCCCCCUACUAUUCCCACCGCUGGCCAGGCCGUUCGGCGACAGCAGCCUCACACCGCAGCCGAACCAGUGAACCCUCGUACUCCUCUCCACGCGGGCUUCCACUGCCGCGUCUUCCCCGGCUCCGCGUCGUCCCCUUCCUAGGCCUCGCCGUCGUCCACCGCCGUGGUGCUCUCCGCGCGGCGUGGUCAACAUGGUCAAGGAACGACUUCCAUCGAAAGAGUAUUGUAUGUGGAGAGGCUGACAGCUGGGUCCACGGCCACAGCCCAGUUUUUUUGUGAUUUGCCAAGUAAGUCUCUUUGUCAGGCCUUUUGGGCUGCAAAUCUUUCAAGACGAGGAGAGCUUUCAUUCGGCUGGCCGAGAAAAUGGCCCAUCAGUAAUGAGAAAUGGGCUGUACAUUUUUAAAACACAUCAAACCGGCAAUUAGUUUCAAAUUUCUUUUUUUCCAUUUAGAGAUUUUAAAUUACAUUAAUUUUUAUGCGUGGAGAAUUUGUUGGAUUUUAUAUUGAUAUACAUUUAUUUUUAAAAUCAGUUUGAAUGUGAGUCGAAAUUUCGGGAUUAAAAACAGUUCAGACCGCACCGAAAUAUGCAAAAUUUCGUAUAAUUUUUUAACCGUGGCCACAAUAUGGGCUGUAAUGCUAACAAAAAGAAUAUGGGCUCCAAAAAAACCUUAAUAAUUAGCAAAUGGGCUGUAAAUUAUUAGAAAUAAUGGCAGAUGGGUUGUAUGCUGUUUUCCACAGAUUUGAGGCUUUCCUAAAAAAAAGGUUGACGCACAAGCAGUGACUGUUGGAUGGCCAUCCAACGGCCGUCGUGCUUCUUCAAUCUCGACUCUUCCUGCUCCAGCCGCUCAAACAAGCGCCGGCGGGACUGCCUGCUCCCUCCUCCCCGCAGCCGGCUCUGCUGCCGCGCAGGCCUCACCGCCCCACCGUACUCCCAUCGCUGGCCUAGCCAUCCCUCUACUCACUCACACCUGCUGUUAUUCUCCGGCGACGGCAGACGAACUAGUAAAUCCUCGUACAGUCGUACUCCCCUCCGCGUGGGAAACAACUGCCGAGUCUUCCCUGCCUCCAUGUCGAUCCCUUCCUAGGCCUCACCGUCGUCCACCGCCCUGGUGCUCUCGGCGCGGCCUGGUCAACAUGGUCAACGACCGACAUGCAUCUGAAGUGGACUGUACGUGGAGAGGCCGACAGCUGGGUCCACGGCCGCACGCAAGGAAAUGCCUCCUUAUUACGCGCAAAAUAAUGAUUCCUCCACCUGACAUCAGGGACCCACCAAAACGGCCUCUGUAUUUCGCGAAAAAGCGUUACCGCCGCUGACAGCUCGGACCCACCAGCUAUAUCUUCGCACGCAAGGAAGUGCCUCCUUAUUACGCACAAAAAAAUGAAUACUCCCCCUGCUAGCUGGGACCCACCAUGGUGGGAGGCUGACUUGUGGGUCUACUAAGUUGACUGGGACGGGGGCCUUUGUCAACUUUAGUCAAUAUGAAUGAUUCUAGCUCCAGUGACCGUACGAUGUCCAUCCAACGGCCGUAGUGCUUCUUCAACCUCUGGUCUUCUUGCUCCAGCCGCCCAAAGCAGCGCCGGUCGUGCCGCAUGCUCCUGCCUCCCGUGGCCGGCUGUGCUGCCGCGGAGGCCUCACCGCCCCUACUAUUCCCACCGCUGGCCAGGCCCUGCGGCGACGGCAGCCUCACACCGCAGCCCAACCAGUGAAACCUCGUACUCCUCUCCGCGCGGGCUUCCACUGCCGCGUCUUCCCCGGCUCCCCCUCGUCCCCUUCCUAGGCCUCGCCGUCGUCCACCGCCCUGGUGCUCUCGGCGCGGCGUGGUCAACGUGGUCAAGGAACGACUUCCAUCGGACGUGGACUGUACGUGGAGAGGCUGACAGCUGGGUCCAAGGCCGCAGCAAGGAAGUGCCUCCUUAUUACGCGGAAAAUAAUGAUUCCUCCACCUGACAGCUGGGACCCACCGGACGGGCCAUUGUAUUUCGCGAAAAAAACGUUUCCCCCUGACUGCUGGGACCCACCAGCUACAUCUUCGCACGCAAGGAAGUGCGUCCGGGCAAAAAAAAAACGAUUCGCCCUUCUGACUGCUGGGACCCACCAGCUACAUCUUCGUAGGCAAGGAAGUGCGUGACGGUCGGGACCCACCUGGUCGAAGCGUACGUAGCGUUGUCAUUCUGGUCGCGAACGUGUACGUACAUAUAUACUGGUGGAUGUAGAGGCGCGCAUGUGUCGUAGUAGAGGCGCGUACGUGUCGUAGUAGAUGCGCGCACGUAGCAUGUACACGUACGUACAGCGGCCAGGGUGCAAGAAAGAAAAUACGGCCACGUAUGUGUACAUACUGGCGGGGUCUCGAACGCCUACUCGCGCAUAUGUAUGGCCAGGGCUCGUGUACAUGGCUGGGUCGGAACAGAGAAACAACGUCGUCGUCGUGUUCAUGGGGAGGCAAUGGAAUGCGUCGUGUUCAUGGGGAGGCAACGGAAUGCGUCGUGUUCAUCGGGAGGCAACGGAACGCGUGGGAGCCAACCGGCUGGGUCGGAACGGAAUGCGUGGUCGUGUUCAUCGGGAGGGCUUGGACGGAACAGGCGAUGGAAACGAGGCCUGGCGUACCGCAGAACGGAGGAAACGGACCUCCUACGGUCGAAACGGGGGUCCUGUUGAUCGGGAGGGGUGUGGCGUAUCGCAAAACAAAGGAAACGUACCUCCUAUGAUCGAAACGGGGGUCCUGUUGAUCGGGAGGGGUGUGGCGUACCGCAAAACGGACGAAACGGACAUCCAAUGGUCGAAACGGGGGUCCUGUUCAUCGGGAGGGNNNNNNNNNNNNNNNNNNNNNNNNNNNNNNNNNNNNNNNNNNNNNNNNNNNNNNNNNNNNNNNNNNNNNNNNNNNNNNNNNNNNNNNNNNNNNNNNNNNNNNNNNNNNNNNNNNNNNNNNNNNNNNNNNNNNNNNNNNNNNNNNNNNNNNNNNNNNNNNNNNNNNNNNNNNNNNNNNNNNNNNNNNNNNNNNNNNNNNNNNNNNNNNNNNNNNNNNNNNNNNNNNNNNNNNNNNNNNNNNNNNNNNNNNNNNNNNNNNNNNNNNNNNNNNNNNNNNNNNNNNNNNNNNNNNNNNNNNNNNNNNNNNNNNNNNNNNNNNNNNNNCACCGUCUACUGUUCAUCCAACCCUCCACACCACGGGGUCCUGUUCAACCAUCCCUCCACGGGCACCCCUCCACCGUCUACUGUUCAUCCAGCCCUCCACCACACCACGGGGUCCUGUUCAUCCAGAGGCAACGCCACCGCUCACUGUUCAUCCAAACCCCCUCGCAACACUCACUGUUCAUCCCAGAGGCAGCAUCGAUCGGCUUCAGUUAGCAGCAGUAGCGAAGGAAUCGCUCGAUCGGGUUCAGUUAACAGCCAUCGAUCGAUCGCUCGGGUUCAGUAACGCGUAGCCUGCAGUGCAAUCGCUCGGGUUCAGUUAGAGCCCAAUGCCUCGCUCGGGUUCAGUUAGAGCCAACGUCUCACACACGCGCGCGUACGUGUACGAGAGAAACGCGCAUCGCUCGGCCCCGACCUCCCACCGUAACCGGGAACUCCCCGAAAUUUUCCUCGCCCUCGCUUCUACCACGGUUUUUUCCGUCAUCGACGGCCCAAAGAAUGUCAUGCAGCAGCGUCUCCGGCCCGCUCAGGACGAAAAGCCCAUUUUCUGUCAUGAUUUUUUGUCAUAGAAGUAGGAGCUCACCACAUCUAUGAUGAUAUCGGGUUUUGUCACAAUUAUCGUCAUAGAAGUGUCAUAUGUAUGACAGAAAAAAAUUCCGUUCGGCCCAAAAUGUCACGGAUGUGUCUUUUUUUUGUAGUGACAGUACAAGCUCAGAGGUAAAUCUUUCUAGAAAGAGUGCUUUAGAGGAGUAUUUUUCUGUUUCAAGGCUUGUCAGAAGGGUUUCUUGGAGGGGUGUAGGCCAUACCUUGCUGUGGAUGCUACAACAUUGAAUGGAAGGUUUAGAGGCCAACUAGUUGCUGCAUGUUCCGUAGAUGCUCAUAACUGGCUAUUUCCUGUAGCAUAUGGUGUCAUAGAAGCAAAGUCUGAAGAGAGUUGGGGUUGCUUUUUCAAAAACCUAAAAAAUGUCAUACAUACUACUGAAUUCACAUAAAUAACUCAUAAACAAGUUCCAAACUGCAUCUUCCAUUACCAUUUAGUUCAUCAUCCAUCAUAAACAACACUACAUCAUCCAUUAACUUGCUCAAAUCCGUGAAGACACAGAGAUGGCCACAACAAUAACACACAAUAGGCUAAUACCAAACAACAGUGUCCACACACGCAACAUUUCAUCUCGCUCUUUCAGUUUCUUCUUCAAAGUGCGCUUCUUCUUCGCCAGCUCCAGGUUUCUCUUCUGCAACUGAUGACAUUUGAUCCACAUCCGUUCAAUCUCAGCAUGCAUGUCUUCAAAUGCAAGUGCAACACGAGUUGGGGGAGGCAGAUCAACCCAAACCAACCAGUGGCACUCUUCUGGCAACUGCAAUUUAGGCAAAGAUCAGAUCACAGCAAGGACAUGUCCAUAUCCAAGAUUAAUGAUCUAAAUGUUACUCUUACAUCAAGUGGGCACCCUAAAAACCGCCGGCCGGUGCUUCCCUCUCCCCAGGCGACUCGACGGGCCGGAACUAGGCCAUGUCCAGCGAAACGGUGCUUCGAGCGGUACUCCAAGCCGGUGUAGGUGUCGUCCGACAGAUAAAACUCGGAUGCAUGCUCCACAAUUCCCACCCCGUCGACCUUCUCGAAAAAUGUGAGAUUUUCCCCCAAAAUACACAAACCCUAACCCUAGAACAGAGGAGCCGCGGGAAAUCCAAGGGGAAUCACCAAGCGUUGCUUACCUCUCCAGCCAUGGCGGAUGCCGACGAAAUCUUAGAUGAGAUGCCCGGGCUCGACAUCUCCGGAUCCACCUCCUCCCGCUUCUCCUCCUCUGGUUUUGCCGCGCCGUCGCUCUUUUUUUCACUUCAGCUGAACGAGGAGGAAGUAAUAAGGGCAACCAGCCCAGGGGCAAAAAUGUCCAUAAACGGCCGCUGGUUAUGGUCAAACGACGCUGACCAGGCGGAGCCGUGACGGAAGGGCAAAAACAUAAGUGCAGCAAACGCGGUUGGGCAAGACUGAGGGUUUUUUGAAUUUAGGGGCAAAACAAACGGGUGUGACACAACUAAGGGCUGAAAUGUAAUUGUCCCAAGGAUAAAACGAUGGGGUCUAUCUCUACAUAGAUAGAUCUUGUCUACAUCAUGUCAUUGUUCUUAUUGCAUUACUCUGUUUUUCCAUGAACUUAAUACACUAGAUGCAUGCUGGAUAACGGUCGAUGUGUGGAGUAAUAGUAAUAGAUGCAGGCAGGAGUCGGUCUACUAAUCUUAGAGGUGAUGCCUAUAUAUGAUCAUUGCCUGGAUAUCGUUAUGAGUAUUUAAAGUUCUAUCAACUACCCAACAGUAAUUUGUUCACCCACCCUUUGCUAUUUUUCUCGAGAGAAGCCACUAGUGAAACCUACGGCCCCCGGGUCUCUUUCUCAUAUAUUUGCCUUUGCGGUCUACUUUUUCCUUGCAUUUAUUUUCAGAUCUAUUAAACUAAAAUACAAAAAUACCUUGCUGCAAUUUUUCCCUAUUUAUUUUAUUUGGCGUUCGAUCUAUCAAUUUACUACAAAUUUAUCUCACGUCCGUUUGCCUAUCUUGAGGCGUUGUACCCCGGAAGGGAUUGACAACCCCUUUAACACGUCGUGUUGCGAGGAUUUGUUAUCUGUGUGCAGGGGAUGUUUAUAUUGUGUUGCUUAGUUCUCCUACUGGUUCAAUAACUUGGUUUCAUAUCUGAGGGAAAUACCUACCGCCGUUGUGCUGCAUCAUCCCUUCCUCUUUUUGGAAAUACCAAUGUAGCUUCAAGCGACAUCAGGAACACAUCAAUAACAUGUAUAUCAAAUAUACCUUCCACUUUGCCAUCCUUCUUAACCGCCAAAUACUUGGGGCAGUUCCGCUUCCAGUGACCAGUCCCUUUGCAGUAGAAGCACUCAGUCUCAGGCUUAGGUCCAGACUUGGGUUUCUUCAUUUGAGCAGCAACUUGCUUGCCGUUCUUCUUGAAGUUCCCCUUCUUCCCUUUGCCUUUUUUCUUGAAACUAGUGGUCUUGUUAACCAUCGACACUUGAUGCUCCUUCUUGAUUUCUACCUCCGCAGCCUUUAGCAUUGCGAAGAGCUCGGGAAUUGUCUUUUCCAUCCCUUGCAUAUUAUAGUUCAUCACAAAGCCUUUAUAGCUUGGUGGCAGUGAUUGAAGAACUCUGUCAAUGACACUAUCAUCAGGAAGAUUAACUCCCAGCUGAGUCAAGUGGUUGUGGUACCCAGACAUUCUGAGUAUGUGUUCACCGACAGAACUAUUCUUCUCCAUUUUGCAGCUAUAGAACUUGUCGGAGACUUCAUAUCUCUCAACUCGGGCAUUUGCUUGAAAUAUUAACUUCAACUCCUGGAACAUCUCAUAUGCUCCAUGACGUUCAAAACGUCUUUGAAGUACCGAUUCUAAGCCGUAAAGCAUGGCACACUGAACUAUCGAGUAGUCAUCAGCUUUGGUCUACCAGACGUUCAUAACAUCCGGAGUUGCUUCUGCAGCGGGUCUUGCACCUAGCGGUACUUCCAGGACGUAAUUCUUCUGUGCAGCAAUAAGGAUAAUCCUCAAGUUACGGACCCAAUCCGUGUAGUUGCUACCAUCAUCUUGUUGGGGAACGCAGUAUUUCAAAAAGAAUUACCUACGAUCACGCAAGAUCUAUCUAGGAGAUGCAUAGCAACGAGACGGGAGAGUGUGUCCACGUACCCUCGUAGACCAAAAGCGGAAGCAUUUAGUAACGCGGUUGAUGUAGUCGAACGUCUUCACGAUCCAACCGAUCCAAGUACCGAACGUAUGGCACCUCCGUGUUCAGCACACGUUCAGCACGAUGACAUCCCUCGAGCUCUUGAUCUAGUUGAGGACGAGAGAGAUUUCCAUCAGCACGACGGCGUGGUGACGGUGAUGAUGAAGUUACCGGCGCAGGGCCUCGCCUAAGCACUACGACGAUAUGACCGAGGUGUGUAACUGUGGAGGGGGGCACCGCACACGGCUAAGACCAAUAUUGAAGUGCCUUUGGGGUGCCCUCUGCACACAUAUAUAAUGGAGGGAGGGAGAGAGGCCGGCCCUUCUAGGGGCGCGCCAAGUGUAGGCAGUCCUACUAGGACUCCCAAGUCCUAGUAGGAUUCCCUUUCCUUUUCGGAGUGGGAAAGAAGGAAAGGAGGGAGAGGGAGAAGGAAAGGGGGGCCGCGCCCCAACCCCUUGUCCAAUUCGGUUUGGGCAGGGGGGAGGCGCGCGCCACCUCGUGGCCCUUCUUCCCUCUCUCCACUAAAGCCCAAUAAGGCCCAUUAACUUCCCCAGCAAAUUCCCGUAACCCUCCGGUACUCUGAAAAAUACCCGAAUCACUCGGAACCAUUCCGAUGUCCGAAUAUAGCCUUCCAAUAUAUGAAUCUUUACCUCUCGACCAUUUCGAGACUCCUCGUCAUAUCCGUGAUCUCAUCCGGGACUCCGAACAAACUUCGGUCAUCAAAUCACAUAACUCAUAAUACAAAUCGUCAUCGAACGUUAAGCAUGCGGACCCUACGGGUUCGAGAACUAUGUAGACAUGACCGAGACACAUCUCCGGUCAAUAACCAAUAGCGGAACCUGGAUGCUCAUAUUGGCUCUUACAUAUUCGACGAAGAUCUUUAUCGGUCAAACCGCAUAACAACAUACGUCAUUCCCUUUGUCAUCGGUAUGUUACUUGCCCGAGAUUCGAUCGUCGGUAUCAUCAUACCUAGUUCAAUCUCGUUACCGGAAAGUCUCUUUACUCGUUCCGUAAUGCGUCAUCCCGAAACUAACUCAUUAGUCACAUUGCUUGCAUGGCUUAUAGUGAUGAGCAUUACCGAGAGGGCCCAGACAUACCUCUCCGAUACUCGGAGUGACAAAUCCUAAUCUCGAUCUAUGCCAAACCAGGAAACACAUUUGGAGACACCUGUAGAGCAUCUUUAUAAUCACCCAGUUACGUUGUGACAUUUGAUAGCACACAAGGUGUUCCUCCGGUAUUCGGGAGUUGCAUAAUCUCAUAGUCAAAGGAAUAUGUAUAAGUCAUGAAGAAAGCAAUAGCAAUAAAAUUGAACGAUCAACAUGCUAAGCUAACGGAUGGUUCUUGUCCAUUACAUCAUUCUCCUAAUGAUGUGAUCCCGUUCAUCAAAUGACAACACAUGUCUAUGGUCAGGAAACUUAACCAUUUUUUAUUAACGAGCUAGUCAAGUAGAGGCAUACUAGGGACACUUUGUUUUGUCUAUGUAUUCACACAUGUAUCAAGUUUCCGGUUAAUACAAUUCUAGCAUGAAUAAUAAAAAUUUAUCAUGAUAUAAGGAAAUAUAAAUAACAUCUUUAUUAUUGCCUCUAGGGCAUAUUUCCUUCACAUCUUUCAACUUAGCUUUCUCUAGGAACACAUUAAAAUUCAAGGGAACGAUAGCACGGGCAAUUCAUCUACAAUAGCAUAGACAUGCAAAAACUAUCAGGUACUAAGUCCAUGAUCAAUUAAAGUUCAAUUAAUCAUAUUACUUAAGAACUCCCACUUAGAUAGACAUCCCUCUAGUCAUCUAAAUAAUCACGUGAUCCAUAUCAACUAAACCAUGUCCGAUCAUCACGUGAGAUGGAGUAGUUUCCAAUGGUGAACAUCUCUAUGUUGAUCGUAUCUACUAUAUGAUUCACGUUCGACCUUUCGGUCUCAGUGUUUCGAGGCCAUAUCUGCAUAUGCCAGGCUCGUCAAGUUUAACCCGAGUAUUCUGCAUGUGCAAAACUGGCUUGCACCCGUUGUAUGUGAACGUACAGCUUAUCACACCCGAUCAUCACGUGGUGUCUCGGCACGAAGAACUGUAGCAACGCUGCAUACUCAGGGAGAACACUUAUACCUUGAAAUUUAGUGACAAAUCAUCUUAUAAUGCUACCGCCGUACUAAGCAAAAUAAGAUGCAUAAAGGAUAAACAUCACAUGCAAUCAAAAUAUGUGACAUGAUAUGGCCAUCAUCAUCUUGUGCCUUUGAUUUCCAUCUCCAAAGCACCGUCAUGAUUUCCAUCGUCACCGGCUUGACACCUUAAUCUCCAUCGUAGCAUCGUUGUCAUCUCGCCAACUAUUGCUUCUACGACUAUCGCUACCGCUUAGUGAUAAAGUAAAGCAAUUAUAUGGCGAUUGCAUUUCAUACAAUAAAGCGACAACCAUAAGGCUGCUGCGAGUUGCCGAUAACUUGGACAAAACAUGAUCAUCUCAUACAACAAUUUAUAUCUCAUGACUUCUUGACCAUAUCACAUCACAACAUGCCCUGCAAAAACAAGUUAGACGUCCUCUACUUUGUUGUUGCAAGUUUUACGUGGCUGCUACGGGCUUCUAGCAAGAACCGUUCUUACCUACGCAUCAAAACCACAACGAUUUUUCGUCAAGUGUGCUGUUUUAACCUUCAACAAGGAUCGGCCAUAGUCAAACUCGAUUCAACUAAAGUUGGAGAAACAGACACCACCCACUAGCCACCUGUGUGCAAAGCACGUCGGUAGAACCAGUCUCAUGAACGCGGUCAUGUAAUGUCGGUCCGGGCCGCUUCAUCCAACAAUACCGCCGAAUCAAAUUAAGACGGUGGUGGUAAGCAUUAUGACUAUUAUCGCCCACAACUCAUUGUGUUCUACUCGUGCAUAUAACAUCUAAGCAUAGACCUGGCUCGGAAGCCAUUGUUGGGGAACCUAGUAAUUCAAAAAAAAGUCCUACAAUCAUGCAAGAUCUAUCUAGGAGAAGCAUAGAAACGAGACGGGAGAGUGUGUCCACAUACCCUCGUAGACCAAAAGUGGAAGCGUUUAGUAACGCGGUUGAUGUAGUCGAACGUCUUCACGAUCCAACCGAUCCAAGUACCAAACGUACGGCACCUCCGUGUUUAGCACAAGUUCCGCACGAUGACAUCCCCCGAGCUCUUGAUCCAGUAGAGGGAUGAGGGAGAGUUCCGUCAGCACGACGGCGAGGCGGCGGUGAUGAUGAAGUUACCGGCGCAGGGCUUCGCCUAAGCACUACGACGAUAUGACCGAGGUGUUUAACUUUGGAGGGGGCACCGCACACGGCUAAGAGAUUAUCUGUUGUGCUUUGGGGUGCCCCCUGCCCACGUAUAUAAAGGAGGGGGGACGAGGAGGCCGGCCAAGUGUAGCGAUCCGACCUCAGACGGUCAAAUCUCUGUGCAUAAGUGUCUUCCCUGGAUCGGUAAUGCUGACACACACAUCACUUGAAGGGUUUAUAACAGAGUGCAAUCACACACUUAUUACAUCGAAUGUCUCGAAAGAGAACUUAUUACAAUAGUAUGGCUUAAGGCCAUCUAAAUAAGACAACUGCGGAAGCAUUGAAGGUAAAUGAGUCCAUCAACUCCAACGGCAUAGCUGAGUGCACGACAACGACCUAGCGCACCUUACUCUUCAUCUGAAAAGUCUGCAACAUAAUACGUUGCAGCCCGAAACGGGUCAGCACAUGGAAUGUGCUGGCAAAAUAACACUGUAGAGCAAUGAACAAUGUAACAGCUAACACUACAUGCAUAUAUGGCUGGUGGAGGCUCUAUGGUUAUCACUUUUGGUAAAGCCAAUUUUUUCCUACUGCAAAGGAAUAUAUUUUAUUUAACUAACAAGUUGGUUGAUAAACAUUGAGAAUGGAAACCCAUCUCAAUCCCAAUUAAACAGUAGUUAACAACCCAACAAAUUAAAUUAAGAGGGAUGAGAUCAAAUCUAUAAUUCAAGAACCAGAUACUCAAGAUGUCCAUAACCGGGGACACGGCUAACCAUGAUUAGUUUGUACACUCUGCAGAGGUUUGCGCACUUUUCCCCUCAAGACUCGAUCUCCUCCGUUGUAUUUCUCGCACUGCAUGGUGUUUGAGAAACGGAUGACCGAGACACAGUCUUUCCGAAGAGGUCCCCUUAACCGAUAGAUAGGCCGGUACACCUACAAUCCCCUACAUCUGCUAGCCCAUCAUGGAAAGGAUUCCCACAACUUACUCAACUAUGCCAGGGCCCGUAGUGGCUUGUGGCUGCACACGGAAGUUUCUAGCAUGUAUAAUCUUAUGAUCCCUUUGAGCCUGGGUGGCGAACCAUAGGAUGAUCACACGGAUUCCCCGGGAUCUCCUUGGACAACACUGGAUUCCCCAGGUGCCCACAAACAAUCCACCCAGAUGUGUAUUAAAGUAGCCACCUUAAGUUAACCAUUAAUUAACAACUCUCACAUCUGUCAUGGAUACACUCAACCAAUCCACGUCUACGAGCAUAGCAUAGCAAAGUAAGCAUAACGUAGUAACUCCCAAGGUUUGAAUAAAGCACAAUAGGAUCUACCUCAUCAACUACUUCCCAAUACCCACAUGUUAACAAAUCCUAACCAUGCAAUGUUUGAGGGUUGGAUCUAAUGCAUAAAAACUGGGUAAUAGAAAGGUAUGAUCAAAGUGUUACUUGCCUUGCUGACGAUCAGAAAACCCUAGUGACUCGUAGUAGCACGCUUCGCACUCCGGAAACUCUAUCACAAACAAACAAUAGCAUAGAUAAGUACUCAAGCAUAGAUGCAAGGGUAAAACUCAAUAGAAAAGAUUCAAACUGAAAGCUCAACUGAAGAACUUCGAUUUGCAAAAAGAAUCAAUCGAAUCGGAGCUACGAAACUCAAACUAUGAUCAAAACAAAUUCGAAUUCAAAUCUGCUUGAAACCAAAUUUUAAUUUUUCAAAACAAUGUUCAAGUUCAUUAACUGGAAAGAGGGGUUCGAGAUGAAGAUUAUGGCAUCGGUUUCACUGGAUUUGGAUGAACGAGCAAAAAGUUGCGAGGGUUUGAAGAUCAGGGGCUAAUCUACGAUAAAAAUAAUUGUGGAUAGGUCCCUGGACGAAAAAUAAAAUAAAAAGCAAAACACUAACGAACAAACGUUCGUUACCAGAGGCUAACGAACGAAAACGUUCGUCGAAAUGAUCUAACCGGCGAGCGUUCGCAAAAAUAACAAACCUAAAAAAACCAAUCUGAACCGAUCUAACCGAAAACCGAAAAAACGUAAACCUAAAAAAACGAACGGUUUUAUACCGUUUAACCGGGGUUGACCGACGGCGAGACUCCGGCGUGGUGGGGCGGCGGUGUCGGCGAGCGGCGGCGGAGCAACGGCGGCAGCAGGCGGCGGCGGCGCGGGCUGGCGGCACGAGCGGNNNNNNNNNNNNNNNNNNNNNNNNNNNNNNNNNNNNNNNNNNNNNNNNNNNNNNNNNNNNNNNNNNNNNNNNNNNNNNNNNNNNNNNNNNNNNNNNNNNNNNNNNNNNNNNNNNNNNNNNNNNNNNNNNNNNNNNNNNNNNNNNNNNNNNNNNNNNNNNNNNNNNNNNNNNNNNNNNNNNNNNNNNNNNNNNNNNNNNNNNNNNNNNNNNNNNNNNNNNNNNNNNNNNNNNNNNNNNNNNNNNNNNNNNNNNNNNNNNNNNNNNNNNNNNNNNNNNNNNNNNNNNNNNNNNNNNNNNNNNNNNNNNNNNNNAAUAAAUUCCGCCUAAGAAAAAUCCUAAUAAAAUAUAAAAAAUUCUAAAAAUGCCAAAAACAAAUUUCACCGUCUAAAUAAAAUAUUUAGAACAAAGUGAACAUUUUUGUGGCCUAAUAUUGCAAUUUUCAAGAAUGCAUAUUCUUCUAAUUCAAAUAAAAUCUCAAAUAAAGUCCAAAUAAAACAUAUAUAUUUGAUUUUAAUUUUUUUUUCCUCCAAUAUUCCUCUCUUUUUGAAGAUGUCAUAUUAUCUUCUCUGUUUUAUUUUAAUAUUAGAAAUAUUUGGAGAGAAAAAUAUUAAAACUAAAUUGAUCCUCUUUUUAAAUUUGAGAAAAUUCAAAUAUGAAAAUAAAUGAAAUCCCCAACUCUCUCCUUGGGUCCUUGAGUUGCUUAAGAUUUCUAGGAUCACAACCAAAAUGUAAAUAAAAUAUGAUAUGCAUAUGAUGACCUAUGUAUAACAUCCUAAUUGAAAAUUGGGAUGUUACAAACCUACCCCCUUAAGAUGAAUCUCGCCCUCGAGAUUCGGGUUGGCUAGAAAAUAGGUGUAUGUGGUCUUUCCGUAGGUCUUCUUCUCGUUCCCAGGUGGCUUCAUCCUCGGUAUGGUGGCUCCACUGAACUUUGCAAAAUUUGAGAACCUUGCUGCGCGUAACUCGGCUGGCAAACUCGAGAAUCUUUUUGGGUUUCUCCUCGUAGGUUAGGUCAUUAUCCAACUGAAUUGCUUCCCGGGGCACGAUAUCUCUCAGAGGAAUAUAGGUCAUCUCUGCAUGGCACUUCUUCAACUGGGAAACGUGAAACACAUCAUGAACUCCUGAUAGUCCUUCGAGUAACUCCAACUUGUAGGCCACUUCCCCCAUACGUUCAAAAACUCGGUAUGGUCCUACAAAUCUCGGGGCUAACUUUCCCUUAACUCCAAAACGUUUAAAUCCUCGGAGCGGUGACACACGAAGGUAUGCUCUGUCUCCUUGCCUUUGGUGUCUGCAUAACUCUUCUGCCUGGACCGAGCUAUCUUUAGUGUAUCUCGAAUCAACUUGACCUUCUCUUCAGACUCCUGAAUUAGAUCCGGUCCAAACAACUGAUGGUCUCCAACUUCAUCCCACAUUAAUGGUGUCCUGCACCUUCUUCCAUACACAACUUCGAAAGGUGCCAUCUUCAAACUAGCCUGAUAACUGUUGUUGUAUGAGAACUCCGCGUAAGGCAAAUUAUCAUCCCAACUAGAUCCAUAAUCUAGCGCACAAGCUCUCAACAUGUCCUCCAGAAUCUGAUUGACUCUCUCGGUCUGUCCAUCUAUCUGCGGAUGAAAGGCUGUACUAAGCUCUAGCCUGGUACCCAAAGUAUGGUGCAACUGAUUCCAAAACUUUGAAGUGAACUGUGUUCCUCUAUCUGAUAUGAUGGUCCUUGGAACUCCGUGCAGACAUACGAUCCUGGUCAUAUAUAUCUUGGCCAACUUCGCACUCGUGUAAGUGGUUUUCACUGGGAUUAAGUGAGCCACUUUGGUCAAGCGAUCAACUACUACCCAGAUGGAAUCAUAUCCCGACCGUGUCCUAGGUAAUCCGGUGAUGAAAUCCAUGCCAAGCUUGUCCCACUUCCAUUCGGGUAUCAGCAUAGGCUGCAGUAAUCCCGCUGGCUUCUGAUGUUCUCCCUUCACUCUCUGACGUACAUCACAUACGGCUACAUACUCGGCAAUAUCCUUCUUCGUACCUGUCCACCAGAAACGCUCCUUCAAAUCCAAAUACAUCUUAGUGUUUUCGGGGUGAAUCGAGUAUGGUGAGUCAUGAGCCUGCUGAAGUAUUAACUUCCUGAUCUCUGCAUUAUUGGGUACAUAUACACGAUCCUCAAACCAUAAGGUUUCGUGCUCAUCCUCACAAAAACCCUUGGAUUUUCCUUUGCUCAUCUUCUCCUUUAUCUCAGCAAUUUCCUUGUCAUCCUUUUGAGCUUCUCGAAUCUUUCCCAAUAAUGUAGACUGAACCUCCAUUGCUGCAAGAAAACCUCUUGGAACUAUCUCCAAACUAAGUUCAUUGAGACCGUCAACUAACUCCUGCGGUAGUCCUCCGCUUACGAGGGUAUUGACAUAACUCUUCCGGCUCAAAGCGUCUGCUACGACAUUGGCCUUUCCUGGAUGAUAAUGCAGCUUCAUAUCAUAGUCCUUUAUAAGCUCCAACCAUCUCCUCUGCCUGAGAUUCAUCUCCUUCUGAGUGAAAAUGUACUUCAAACUCUUGUGAUCCGUGUACACAUCACAACGAUUUCCAAUAAGAUAAUGUCUCCAGGUCUUGAGCGCAUGCACUAUGGCUGCUAGCUCCAAAUCAUGUGUGGCAUAAUUCAACUCGUGAGGUCGAAGCUGUCGUGAGGCAUAAGAAACAACUCUUCCGUCUUGCAUAAGUACACCUCCAAGUCCUUGGCGAGAAGCGUCGCAAUACACUUGGAAAUCCUUGCGAAUAUCCGGAUGAAUUAGCACUUGGGCUGUAACCAAACGUUUCUUCAACUCCUGAAAACUAGCCUCACAUUCUUCCGUCCAUUUGAACUUGGUGUCCUUCUUCAACAACUCCGUCAUUGGCUUCGCAAUCUUGGAAAAAUUCUCAAUGAAUCUCUGGUAAUAUCCCGCGAGUCUAAGAAAACUGCGGAUCUCCCCAACUGAGGUGGGUGCCAACUACUCAGUGACUGACUGAACCUUGGUAGGGUCUACUGCUAUACCUUCUCCGAAUAUAACAUGCCCAAGGAACCCAACUUCCUUCAACCAAAACUCACAUUUGCUGAACUUGGCAUAUAGCUAGUGUUCCCUGAGCUUCUCGAGAACUAAACGCAAAUGCUCCUUGUGCUCCUCUUCAUUCUUCGAGUAUACCAAAAUAUCAUCAAUGAACACCACAACAAACUUAUCCAAGAACUCCAUACACCUUGUUCAUCAUACUCAUGAAAUAGGCAGGGGCAUUAGUCAAUCCAAAUGACAUAACCGUGUACUCAUAUAGCUCGUACCUUGUGGUGAAAGGUGUCUUUGGUAUAUCCUGUUCUCGGAUCUUCAGAUGGUGGUAUCCUGAUCUCAGAUCGAUCUUGGAAAAUACUUUAGCUCCUUGCAACUGGUCAAACAAAUCAUUGAUCAUCGGUAGUGGGUACUUGUUCUUGAUCGUCACCUCAUUCAAUGCACGAUAAUCAACAACAAUCCUCAAGGAUCCAUCCUUCUUCUCAACCAAGAGCACUGGGGCUCCCCACAGUGAUGAACUUGGUCGGAUAUAACCUUUCUCCAAUAACUCCUUAAUCUGCUUCUUAAUUUCCUCCAGAUCAUUUGCGGGCAUCCGAUACGGUCUCUUGGAUGUUGGUCCGGUGCCUGGCAACAACUCUAUCAAAAACUCUAUGUCUCAAUCCGGUGGCAUGCCUGGUAAUUCCUCUAGAAACACAUCCGGGUAAUCCUUCACAACAGGCACUUCCUCCUGAACAACUCCUGAGAGAGAAUUUACUUGGGUCCUCCUCGGCGCAUGCCUAGACACAUACUUGAUCCGUUUACCCUCUGGGGUGGUGAGCAGAAUUGACUUACUGGCGCAAUCGAUGUUUCCUCCAUACAUCGAUAUCCAAUCCAUGCCUAGUAUCACAUCCAAUCCUUGUGACUCCAGAAUUAUUAGGUUUGAGGGGAAAACAUGCCUACCUAUGGUCAUGGCAUCUGAAAACAUCCUCUGCUUGCCAUAUACUCAGCUCCUAGCGAGCUUACUAACAUAGGUGUCUUAAGAACUUUGGUGGGAAACUUAUACUUAUCCAGAAAUCCCCUCGAAAUGUAUGAAUGCGAUGCACCAGUAUCGAAAAGAAUUAUUGCAGUAAAUGACUUAAUCAAAAACUUACCUAUAAAUGCAUCUGGCUGCUCUUCAACCUCCUCCACGUUAACGUGGUUCACCUGUCCCCUGUUGAAAGGGUUGGGCUUCUUACCAGAGCUUCCAUUUCCAUUGCCAUUCUUCAACUCAGAACAAUCAUUGGCGUAGUGCCCGGUCUUCCCGCACUUGUAACAGGUGACAUGACUCAGAUCCUUCUUAGCGGGUGUUGUUGGGUUGGAACGGUUCUGGUUGCUGCUUGCUCCAUUCCCAUUUCCAUUCUUGGAGCCACCGUGGUUAUGUGAACUUCCUCCAUUGUGAGUGUGGCCUCCAUGGUUAUGGGCAUAUCCUCCCGAGUUCGGGGUAAAACGAGGCUUCUGCUGAGCUCCAGAAUUAUACUUCCCUUGUCCAUACUUCCUUUUGCGGCUCUCUAUCUGCUGCUGCUUCCCUUCAAUCAUAAGAGACCUGUCUACCAACUCCUGGUAGUUUGCAAAUGUUGCUACCAUCAACUGCAGGCUCAGCUCAUAAUUCAACCCUUCCAUAAACUUCUCCUGCUUCGCGGCAUAUGUGGCCACAUCAUCCUGGGCAUAGCGUGCUAACUUGCUAAACUCAACCACGUACUGCCCCACAGUACGAUUUGCCUGGCGUAAGUUGUGAAACUCACGCUUCUUCAUGCUCAUAGCUCUAGUUGAGACAUGUGCAGUGCGGAAUGCUUGCUGAAACUGAUCCCAAGUGACAUUGGCUAUCGGGAAAGUGGCUGUGUAAUUCUCCCACCAUGAGGCUGCGGGUCCAUCCAGUUGGUGUGCGGCAAAGCGCACCUUCUCAGCAUCUGUACAACCUGCGGUGGUCAACUCCCUUCCAAUCAUGCGUAGCCAGUCAUCAGCAACAAUCGGCUCGGUGCUACUGGAAAACACAGGCAGAUUCAACCUCAGAAAACGGGCUAAGUUGUCAACUGGAGGUGGUGGCGGUGGGUUGUUGUUGUUGUUGUUGUUGCCUUGGUUCUGGACUAGCAACUGCAUCAAGGCAUUCUGUUGUUGGAUCAACUGAGUGAGCUUCGGUGGAAAGACAAAUCCGGGGUCAUGUCUUGGAGGCAUCUGAUGGGUUUAGAGGGAAGCGAUUAGAAUAGAAUGAGGUCUAAAGAGAAAUCACUACCCAUAUGCACUUGAGACAAACACAUUCAUAUCACACCACUCAAUUCAAACAAGGGCAUACAAUCAAUCUAACUACCGUUACAAAAUACUCGGACUACUACUAUAUACAUGGGGGGAAACUACAGAUAAUAUGGUGGUCGACUAAAAAUUUUGUUCAGUGGAAGACUCCAUGAUAUCCGCUCCAGCUUCGUCUUCGUAAUCAUCAUCACUUCUGUCGGGAUCGGAGUCGGUGUCGUCGAUGAUGAUGUAGUCUUCAGGUUGGUUGUCCUCUCUAGGUGCGGGAUCUCCCAUGAAUAUUCCUAGCUUCUUCUCCAGGUCUUCAUUCUUCUCCAGUAACACUACAAUUUCCUCCUCAUAUCCAUCGCGUGUCGACUUAAGUUCUUCUUCAAGCUCCAUGUUCCUGGUCAUCACCUUCUUCAGGUCUAUCAUGCUGGUGCACAUCUGGUUCUCCUGUUGGCGAAUGUGCUGGUUUAACUCCUGGAUGUAGGCUGAAAUAGACUUGUCCCUCCUGGUGCUGAUCAUCUCCCAUUGCUCAUCUCGGCGCCCACAUAUUUGGUAUAUGGUGUCCUUAAGAUCCUUGUUGUAAACUUGUCUGAUGCGUCCCAUGGUGACGUGGGCUGCCAUGCUCUUUCCUAGACUCCAGGUUGGUGCAUCAAAGGAAAACUCUAUGGGCUCAGUAACUGGCGUGAAUGUCCUUCCUGGAACAUGAACACGAAUCAUCCAAUGCUCCUCUUCUGGUAAAGUGGCGGUGUAGGUCCCGGUGAAGCUUGGUAUUCCAAUGUUCAGGUACCUAGUGACUUCCUUCAAGUGUCGUCCAAAAGGUGUGUCUUCAUUCGGUUGAGCAAACUGUUCCUUGGGUCCGCCAUCUAUAGGGUGAAAAUGGAGAGGAGUCAGAAAUGAGUAGAAAAGAGUGACCUAUGGCUUAUCUUAGUGGUCGCGUCCUACAUUCAACAUGUGCUCUGAUACCAUCUUGUAGCGAUCCGACCUUAGACGGUCAAAUCUCUGUGCAUAAGUGUCAUCCCUGGAUCGGUAAUGCUGACACACACAGUACUUGAAGGGUUUAUAACAGAGUGCAAUCACACAUUUAUUACAUCGAAUGUCUCAAAAGAGAACUUAUUACAAUAGUAUGGCUUAAGGCCAUCUAAAUAAGAUAACUGCGGAAGCAUCGAAGGUAAAUGAGUCCAUCAACUCCAACGGCAUAGCUGAGUGCACGACAACGAUCUAGUGCACCUUACUCUUCGUCUGAAAAGUCUGCAACAUAAUACGUUGCAGCCCGAAACGGGUCAGCACAUGGAAUAUGCUGGCAAAAUAACACUGUAGAGCAAUGAACAAUGUAACAGCUAACACUACAUGCAUAUACGGCUGGUGGAGGCUCUAUGUGUAACACCCCGGAUGUAACUUUCCAUAUUUGUAACUCCAACUCUUGCCAUUUUCGGCUAUGUGUUAUGAUACUCCCUUCGUGGUCGGGUUUUGUCUUUCGUUUUGCAUUUUGUUCUUGUCAUGCAUCUCAUACCAUGUCAUCAUGUGCAUUGCAUUUGCAUACGUGUUCGUCUCAUGCAUCCGAGCAUUUUCCCCGUUGUCCGUUUUGCAAUCCGGCGCUCCCACCUCCUCGGGCGCACCCCUCUUGUUUUCUUUCGUGAGCGGGUGUCAAACAUUCUCAGAAUGGACCGAGGCUUGUCAAGUGGCCUUGGUAUACCACCGGUAGACCACCGGUCAAGUUUCGUUCCAUUUGGAGGUCGUUUGGUACUCCAACGGUUAACCGGGCAUCCGCAAAGUCCAUUUGUGUGUGCAGCAAAACCCCCCCUCAAAACCAGCCCAAAACCCACCAAACUCUCUUCCAUGCUCUAGGUCGUUCGAUCACAAUCGUGUGGGCGAAAACCGCACCUCAUUUGGACUCUCCUAGCUCCCUCUUUCUAUAUAAAUGUGAGACCCCCCGAAAUUCCCGCAGUCCAAAACCCUAACCCGAUCAUCCGCGCCGCCGGACGUGUCCGUCUGGGGCCGGACACAUCCCCGCCGCCGCCGCGUCCAACGGGAGGCCGCCACGUGGCCCCCGCACCGCCGGCCCGGAGAGCCCGCGUCGGGCCCUCCCGGCCCGUCUUCCCCGCGCCCUGCCGNNNNNNNNNNNNNNNNNNNNNNNNNNNNNNNNNNNNNNNNNNNNNNNNNNNNNNNNNNNNNNNNNNNNNNNNNNNNNNNNNNNNNNNNNNNNNNNNNNNNNNNNNNNNNNNNNNNNNNNNNNNNNNNNNNNNNNNNNNNNNNNNNNNNNNNNNNNNNNNNNNNNNNNNNNNNNNNNNNNNNNNNNNNNNNNNNNNNNNNNNNNNNNNNNNNNNNNNNNNNNNNNNNNNNNNNNNNNNNNNNNNNNNNNNNNNNNNNNNNNNNNNNNNNNNNNNNNNNNNNNNNNNNNNNNNNNNNNNNNNNNNNNNNNNNNNNNNNNNNNNNNNNNNNNNNNNNNNNNNNNNNNGCGCCGCCGCCGCAGAUCGCCGUCGCCGCGCCUUUCUUCCUCCUCCCCACCGGCGCCUCCCCGCGCCUCCUCCGGCCCCGCGCGCCUCGAGCUCCGACGAGCCAUCGGGCCGAUCCGAUCUGGAAGACCGAAGGUUGACCCGAAAUCCCUUCGAAAUUUCUUCCAAGUCCUAUGCAUUUUGACAUUACACGUACAUGUUCAUCAUGGCAUAACUCUCUAUAUAUAGCUCCAUUUCGCGCGUGUAAUAUAUUGAUUUGUUCGUCUCAUGAUGCUCUUCAUUUUGUUCAAUUGCACCAUGUUCAUUUGAGUCCAUCUUGAUGCCCAAAUCUCCGGUGCAAGAGUGCUAGUUGCUGUUGUCUGUUGUUACUUAGCAGAACUUGAGGAUUUGUUAUUUUUGUAUCAUUUAAUCUGUGCAUCUUGUGGGCAUGAGCUCUACAUGUGUUUUGUUUUAUGCCAUGCCAUCUUUCCAGUGGUGUAUGCCAUGUAUUUUUGUGAUCUCUGUGGUGACUAGAACAAGCAUGCAAACUAGGCUCCGUAAUGUUUCUGAUUUCAGGGACGGUGAUUUCUCCGAGUCUGUCUGCUGUUAUUUUGUUGCCAUGUAAACUUGAUGAUACGGAGAGAUCCAUGCAUAUUUUGGAGAUGUUCAGUAAGGAUGUUUUGUAGAUAUUGUUGUAAUUGUUCCAUUCCUGCACUUGUUUGCAAUUAUGGAGUGCCAUAGCAGGACUCAAUCUUGCUCUACUUUUGCUAUUAAAUAUUUUUGGCAGAUUGUUUACGUGUUAUUCAAUUUUGCCAAGCUUGUUGUAGUUGUUCCAUACAUGCUAUGUAUUUGCUCUUGCCAUGGAUAGAUUCAUAAACAUGUCAUCUUGCUGUAGGUAUGCUUGUUUUGUCAUGUAUUGCCUUGUGGUGAGUGCAUCAAGCUCACCAAGAUGCCUUCAUAUUAUUGUUUCUGCCAAGCUCACCAAGUCUGAAACCUGUUAACGAAACUUGCUAUGUUUACAUGGUUGCCAUCAUAUCGUCUGGUCCUUUUUGGCUUAUGGUCAGUAAGGGACUUUUGUCAUAUGCAUUUAGUAGAAUACUGCCAUGCCUAGUUUUGCCAUGUUAAGUUCCUGUAGCAUGUUGAUUUCGUGCUCUGUGAACAUUGCUACCUGAUGCUGUUUCAGGCAUGUACGGUAAUUUCACAAAGUUUGUGAACCUGUUAUCUUUUGCACUUUUGCCAUGCUUGUUUGAGCUUGUUAUAUUGUGAUCUAGCCAUAGCUCAGUGUUCAUCUUUUGUCAAGCAUCUCCCGUAGAUCACUGCCAUAUGCUUUGUUGCUACGUUGGAGUGCUGUAGCAUUGUUACUUGUUGCAUUUUAAGUGCUAUCAUGCUGUUAAUCGCAGAUUCGUGUCAUUCUUGUUUUGCUUGCCAUUUGCAAACCGUGCAUCCGUUUCCGGUGAUCUUUAUAUCGAUUUCAACCGAAAUCAUCUCAUGUUUCCAGUGGCAUGCUUGGUUUGCCAAGUUACUGCCUUUUUCAUCUUUUCCUUCCGGAGCACGCAUAUGCAUCGCAUAUCAUAUCUUGCAUAUCAUUCAUGUAUUGCAUCAUGUUGCUUGUGCAUUCCCCGUGAUUGAUUGUGGUUCCGUUGCUUGUGUUCUUGUUGUGGGUAGAGCCGGGAGACGAGUUCGUGAAUGAGGAACCUGUUGAGUACGCUCACGAGGAUCAAGCUUUCGACAACUCUGAGAACCUUGCAGGCAAGAUGACCACCCCUCGAAAUCACUUCUAUCUUUGCUUUGCUAGUUGUUCGCUCUAUUUUCCAUGCUGCGCUACCUACCAUUUGCUAUAUCAUGCCUCCCAUAUUGCCAUGUCAGCCUCUAACCAUCCUUUCCUAGCAAACCGUUGUUUGGCUAAGUUACCGCUUUUGCUCAGCCCUUCUUAUAGCGUUGCUAGCUGCAGGUGAAGUUGAAGUUUGUUCCAUGUUGGAACAUGGAUAUGUUGGGAUAUCACAAUACCUCUUAUUAUAUUAAUGCAUCUAUAUAUUUGGUAAAGGGUGGAAGGCUCGACCUUAUGCCUGGUGUUUUGUUCCACUCUUGCCGCCCUAGUUUCUGUCAUACCGGUAUUAUGUUCCUUGAGUUUGCGUUCCUUACGCGGUUGGGUGAUUUAUGGGACCCCCUUGACAGUUUGCCUUGAAUAAAACUCCUCCAGCAAGGCCCAACCUUGGUUUUACCAUUUGCCACCUAAGCCUUUCCCCCGGGUUUUUGCGAGCCCGAGGGUCAUCUUAUUUUAACCCCCCCGGGCCAGUGCUCCUUCAAGUGUUGGUCCGAACUGAGUAGACUGCGGGGCCCCCUCCUGGAAACUUGAGGUCUGGUUUUACUCGUUGGAUGUCUCAUCCGGUGUGCCCUGAGAACGAGAUAUGUGUAGCUCCUAUUGGGAUUUGUCGGCGCAUCGGGCGGCUUUGCUGGUCUUGUUUUACCAUUGUCGAAAUGUCUUGUAAACCGGGAUUCCGAGACUGAUCGGGUCUUUCCGGGAGAAGGUUUAUCCUUCGUUGACCGUGAGAGCUUAUGAUGGGCUAAGUUGGGACACCCCUGCAGGGUAUUAUCUUUCGAAAGCCGUGCCCGCGGUUAUGAGGCAGAUGGGAAUUUGUUAAUGUCCGGUUGUAGAGAACUUGUCACUUGACUUAACCAAAAUACAUCAACCGUGUGUGUAGCCGUGAUGGUCUCUUCUCGGCGGAGUCCGGGAAGUGAACACGGUUUGAGUUAUGCAUGACGUAAGUAGGAGUUCAGGAUCACUUCUUGGUCAUUGCUAGAUGACGACCGUUCCGUUGCUUCUCUUCUCGCUCUCAUUUGCGUAUGUUAGCCACCAUAUCUGCUUAGUGCCUGAUGUAGUUUCACCUCAUUACACUAUCCUUUCCUAUAAGCUUAAAUAGUCUUGAUCUCGCGGGUGUGAAAUUGCUGAGUCCUCGUGACUCACAGAUUCUACCAACACAGUUGCAGGUGCCGACGAUGCCAGUGCAGAUGAUGGGAUCGAUCUCAAGUGGGAGUUCGAUGAGGAACGUGGUCGUUACUAUGUGUCUUUUCCUGAUGAUCAGUAGUGGAGCCCAAUUGGGACGAUCGGGGAUCUAGCAUUUGGGGUUAUCUUAUUUUCAUUUGGAUUUUGACCGUAGCCGGUCUAUGUGUGUAUUUUGGAUGAUGUAUGAAUUAUAUUUAUGUAUUGUGUGAAGUGGCGAUUGUAAGCCAACUCUUUAUCCCAUUCUUGUUCAUUACAUGGGAUUGUGUGAAGAUGACCCUUCUUGCGACAAAACCACAAUGCGGUUAUGCCUCUAAGUCGUGCCUCGACACGUGGGAGAUAUAGCCGCAUCGUGGGCGUUACACUAUGGUUAUCACUUUUGCGUAAAGCCAAUUUUUCCCUACUGCAAAGGAAUAUAUUUUAUUUAACUAACAAGUUGGUUGAUAAACAUUGAGAAUGGAAACCCCAUCUCAAUCCCAAUUAAACAGUAGUUAACAACCCAACAAAUUACAUUAACAGUGAUGAGGUCAAAUCAAUAAUUCAAGAACCAGAUACUCAAGAUGUCCAUAAACGGGGACACGGCUAACCAUGAUUAGUUUGUUCACUCUGCAGAGGUUUGCGCACUUUUCCCCACAAGACUCGAUCUCGUCCGUUGUAUUUCUCGCACUGCAUGGUGUUUGAGAAACGGAUGAUCGAGACACAGUCUUUCCGAAGAGGUCCCCUUAACCGAUAGAUAGGCCGGUACACCUACAAUCCCCUACAUCUGCUAGCCCAUCAUGGAAAGGAUUCCCACAACUUAAUCAACUAUGCCAGAGCCCAUAAUGGCUUGUGGCUGCACACGGAAGUUUCUAGCAUGAAUAAUCUUAUGAUCCCUUCGAGCCUGGGUGGCGAACCAUAGAAUGAUCACACGGAUUCCCCGGGAUCUCCUUGGACAACACUGGAUUCCCCAGGUGCCCACAAACAAUCCACCCAGAUGUGUAUUAAAGUAGCCACCUUAAGUUAACCAUUAAUUAACAACUCUCACAUAUGUCAUGGAUACACUCAACCAAUCCACGUCUACGAGCAUAGCAUAGCAAAGUAAGCAUAACAUAGUAACUCCCAAGGUUUGAAUAAAGGACAAUAGGUUCUACCUCAUCAACUACUUCCCAAUACCCACAUGUUAACAAAUCCUAAUCAUACAAUGUUUGAGGGUUGGAUCUAAUGCAUAAAACUGGGUAAUAAAAAGGUAUGAUCAUAGUGUUACUUGCCUUGCUGACGAUCGGAAAACCCUAGUGACUCGUAGUAGCACGCUUCGCACCCUGGAAACUCUAUCGCAAACAAACAAUAUCAUACAUCAGCACUCAAGCAUAGAUGCAAGGGUAAAACUCAAGAGAAAAGAUUAAAACUGAAAGUUCAACUGAAGAACUUCGAUUUGCAAAAAGAAUCAAUCGAAUCAGAGCUACGAAACUCAAACUACGAUAAAAUGAAAUUCGAAUUCAAAUCUGCUUGAAACCAAAUUUUAAUUUGUCAAAACCAUGUUCAAGUUGAUUAACUGGAAAGAGGGGUUCGAGACGAAGACUUUGGCAUUGGUUUCACUUGAUUUGGACGAAUCUAUGAUAAAAAUAAUCGCAGAUAGGUCCCUGGACGAAAAAGAAAAAAAAAAGAAAAACACUAACGAACGAACGUUCGUUACCAGAGGCUAACGAACGAAAACGUUCUUCGAAACGAUCCAUCCGGCGAGCAUUCGCAAAAAUAACAAACCUAAAAAAACCAAUCUAAACCGAUCUAACCGAAAACCGAAAAAACGUAAACCUAAAAAACGAACGGUUUUAUACCGUUUAACCGGGGUUGACCGACAACGAGAUCCGGCAGCGGCGGCGAGACUCUGGCGAGGCGGGGCGGCGUGCGNNNNNNNNNNNNNNNNNNNNNNNNNNNNNNNNNNNNNNNNNNNNNNNNNNNNNNNNNNNNNNNNNNNNNNNNNNNNNNNNNNNNNNNNNNNNNNNNNNNNNNNNNNNNNNNNNNNNNNNNNNNNNNNNNNNNNNNNNNNNNNNNNNNNNNNNNNNNNNNNNNNNNNNNNNNNNNNNNNNNNNNNNNNNNNNNNNNNNNNNNNNNNNNNNNNNNNNNNNNNNNNNNNNNNNNNNNNNNNNNNNNNNNNNNNNNNNNNNNNNNNNNNNNNNNNNNNNNNNNNNNNNNNNNNNNNNNNNNNNNNNNNNNNNNNNNNNNNNNNNNNNNNNNNNNNNNNNNNNNNNNNNNNNNNNNNNNNNNNNNNNNNNNNNNNNNNNNNNNNNNNNNNNNNNNNNNNAGUGGGCGGCGGCUGCGGAGAGAGGGGCCUGGGGCGCCGUAUAUAAAGGAGGGGGGCGGUGGCUUCCUUGGGCGAGGGGGCGGCGGUGGUGGAGUCUGGCUCGGACUCGGGGAGUCCGGCGGCGGCGCGACACCCGCUCGGGGAAGGCGGCGGCGGUCCGUCUCGGCUGGGCCUUUGGCCCACUCGGGCGGAAACUUUUUUUAAAAUAAAUUCCGCCGAAGAAAAAUCCUAAUAAAAUAAAAAAAAUCUAAAAAUGCCAAAAAUAAUUUUCACCGUCUAAAUAAAAAUUUAGAACAAAGUCAACAUUUUUCUUGCCUAAUAAUGCAAUUUUAAAAAAUGCAUAUUUUUCUAAUUCAAAUAAAAUCUCAAAUAAAGUCCAAAUAAAAUGUAUAUUUGAUUUUUAAAAAAUUCCUCCAAUAUUCCUCUCUUUUUGAAGAAGUCAUAUUAUCUUCUCUCUUUUAUUUUAAUAUCACAAAUAUUUCGAUAGAAAAAUAUUGAAACCAAAUUGAUCCUCUUUUCAAAUUUGAGAAAAUUCAAAUAUGAAAAUAAAUGAAAUCCCCAACUCUCUCCUUGGGUCCUUGAGUUGCUUAAGAUUUCUAGGAUCACAACCAAAAUGCAAAUAAAAUAUGAUAUGCAUAUGAUGACCUAUGUAUAACAUCCAAAUUGAAAAUUGGGAUGUUACACCAAGGGGGAGGCGCGCCAAGGGGGUGAGUCCUACUAGGACUCCAAACCUAGUAGGAUUCGGCCCCCCUUUCCUUCCAACGGAGAGGGGGAAAUGGGAAAGGAGGGAGAGGGAGAAGGAAAGAGGGGGUCCGCACCCCCUCCCCUUGUCCAAUUCGGAUUGGGGCAAGGGGGGCACGCCCCACCUCCUGUGGCCUGCCCCAUCUCCUCCACUAUGGCCCAUUAGGGCCAAUAACUUUCCCGGGGGGUUCCGAUAGCCUCCCGGUACUCCGAUAAGUCCCCGAACCUUAUUGGAACCAUUCUGAUGUCCGUAUAUAAUCUUCCAAUAUAUCAAUCUUUACCUCUCGACCAUUUCGAGACUCCUCAUCGUGUCCGUGAUCUCAUUCAGGACUCUGAACAAACUUCGGUCAUCAAAUCACAUAACUCAUAAUACAAAUCAUCAUCGAACGUUAUGCGUGCGGACCCUACGGGUUCGAGAACUAUGUAGAUAUGACCGAGAUACAUCUCCGGUCAAUAACCAAUAGCGGAACCUGGAUGCUCAUAUUGGCUCCUACAUAUUCUAUGAAGAUCUUUAUCGGUCAAACCGCAUAACAACGUACGUCAUUCCCUUUGACAUCGGUAUGUUACUUGCCCGAGAUUUGAUCGUCCGUAUCUUCAUACCUAGUUCAAUCUCGUUACCGGCAAGUCUCUUUACUCGUUCCGUAAUGCAUCAUUACGCAACUAACUCAUUAGUCACAUUGGUUGCAAGGCUUAUAGUAAUGAGCAUUACCGAGAGGGCCCAGAGAUACCACUCCAAUACACGGAGUGACAAAUCCUAAUGUUGAUCUAUGCCAACUCAACAAACACCUUCGGCGACACCUGUAGAGCAUCUUUAUAAUGACCCAGUUACGUUGUGACGUAUGAUAGCACACAAAGUGUUCCUCCGAUAUUCGGGAGUUGCAUAAUCUCAUAGUCAGAGGAAUCUGUAUAAGUCAUGAAGAAAGCAAUAGCAAUAAAACUAAACAAUCAUAAUGCUAAGCUAACUAAGAGUCCAAGUGGGACUCCUUCCACUUGGUGCGUCCCCUAGGCCGGCCCCCUCCCUCUCCCUCCAUUAUAUACGGGGGCAGGGGGCACCCCAAAGGAGAUCAACUGUUUCUUAGCCGUGUGCGGUGCCCCCCUCCCCAGUUUACUCCUCCGGUCAUAUUGUUGUAGUGCUUAGGCGAAGCCCUGCGCGGAGCACAUCACCAUCACCACGCCGUCGUGCUGACGAAACUCUCCCUCGACACUUUGCUGGAUCAAGAGUUCGAGGGACGUCAUCGAGCUGAACGUGUGCAGAACUCGGAGGUGUCGUACGUUGGGUGCUGGAUCGGUUGGAUCGCGAAGACGUUCGACUACGUCAACACUGUUAAGCUAACGCUUCCGCUUUCGGUCUACGAGGGUACAUGGACACACUCUCCCCCUCUUGUUGCUAUGCAUAUCCUAGAUAUAUCUUGCGUGAUCAUAGGAAUUUUUUGAAAUUGCAUGCUACAUUCCCCAACAGUGGCAUCCGAGCUAGGUCUAUGCGUAGAUGAUAUGCACAAGUAGAACACAGAGAGUUGUGGGCGAUCAUAGUCAUACUGCUUACCACCAACGUCUUAUUUUGAUUCGGCGGUAUUGUUGGAUGAAGCGGCCCAGUACAACCUUACAUGACCACGUUCAUGAGACCGGUUCCACCGAUAGACAUGCAACUUGUUUUGCAUAAAGGUGGCUGGCGGGUGUCUGUUUCUCCAACUUUAGUUGAAUCAAAUUUGACUACGGCCGGUCCUUGUUGAAGAUUAAAACAGCAAACUUGAUAAAAGAUCGUUGUGAUUUUGAUGCGCAGGUAAGAACAGUUCUUACUAGAAGCCCGUAGCAGCCACGUAAAACUUGCAACAACAAAGUAGAGGAUAUAUAACUUGUUUUUGCAGGGCAUGUUGUGAUGUGAUAUGGUCAAGACAUGAUGUAAUAUAUGUUAUUGUAUGAGAUGAUCAUGUUAUGUAAAAGUUAUCGGCAACUGGCAGGAGCCAUAUGGUUGUCGCUUUAUUGUAUGAAAUGCAAUCGCCAUGUAAUUGCUUUACUUAAUCACUAUGCGUUAGCGAUAGUUGUAGUAGCAAUAGUUGGCGAGACGACAACGACGCUAUGAUGGAGAUCAUGAAGUAAAUAUGCCCUAGAGGCAAUAAUAAAGUUGUUAUUUAUAUUUCCUUAUAUCAUGAUAAAUGCUUAUUAUUCAUGCUAGAAUUGUAUUAACCGGAAACUUAGUACAUGUGUGAAUACAUAGGCAAAACAGAGUGUCCCUAGUAUGCCUCUACUUGACUAGCUCGUUAAUCAAAGAUGGUUAAGUUUCCUGGCCAUAGACAUGUGUUGUCAUUUGAUGACCGGGAUCACAUCAUUAGAGAAUGAUGUGAUGGACAAGACCCAGCCGUUAGCUUAGCAUAAUGAUCGUUAAGUUUUAUUGCUAUUGCUUUCUUCAUGACUUAUACAUAUUCCUCUAACUAUGAGAUUAUGCAACUCCCGAAUACCGGAGGAACACCUUGCGGGCUAUCAAACGUCACAACGUAACUGGGUGAUUAUAAAGAUGCUCUACAGGUGUCUCCGAUGGUGUUUGUUGGGUUGGCAUAGAUCGAGAUUAGGAUUUGUCACUCCGAGUAUCGGAGAGGUAUUUCUGGGCCCUCUCGGUAAUGCACAUCACUAUAAGCCUUGCAAGCAAUGCGACUAAUGAGUUAGUUAUGGGAUGAUGCAUCACGGAACGAGUAAAGAGACUUGCCGGUAACGAGAUUGAAGUAGGUAUGAUGAUACCGACGAUCGAAUCUCGGGCAAGUAACAUACCGAUGACAAAGGUAAUAACGCAUGUUGUUAUUACGGUUUGACCGAUAAAGAUCUUCGUAGAAUAUGUAGGAACCAAUAUGAGCAUCCAGGUUCCGCUGUUGGUUAUUGAUCGAAGAUGUAUCUCGGUCAUGUCUACAUAGUUCUCGAACCCGUAGGUUCGGCACGCUUAACGUUCAAUGACAAUUUUUAUUAUGAGUUAUGUGUUUUGGUGACCGAAGUUUGUUCGGAGUCCCGGAUGAGAUCACGGACAUGACGAGGAGUCUAGAAAUAGUCGAGAGGUAAAUAUUCAUAUAUUGGAAGGUAGUAUUCGAACAUCGGAAUGGUUUUGAGUGGUUCGGGUAUUUUACUGGAGUACCGAGGGGUUACCGGAACCCUCCGGCGGAAUUAAUGGGCCUACAUGGCCUUAGUGGAGAGAGAGGAGGGCCGCAAGGGGUGGCCGUACCCCCCAUGGCAGUCCGAAUUGGACUAGGGGAGGGGGCGGCGCCCCCCUUUCCCUCUCCCUGUCCCUCUCCUUCCUUUUCCCUCCGGUGAAGAAAGGAAAAGAGGGGGCCGAAUCCUACUAGGACUAGGAGUCCUAGUAGGACUCCCCCCUUGGCGCGCUCCCUCCUGGCCGGACGCUUCCUCCUCCCCUCCCUUAUAUAUAGGGGCAGGGGCACCCCAAAGGCACAUCCAUUGUUCUCUUAGCCGUGUGCGGUGCCCCCCUCCACAGUUUACUCCUCCGGUCAUAGCGUCGUUGUGCUUAGGCGAAGCCCUGCGUGGAUCACAUCACCAUCACCGUAACCACGCCAUCAUGCUGACGGAACUCUCCCUCGACUCUCUGCUGGAUCAAGAGUUCGAGGGACGUCAUCGAGCUGAACGUGGGCUGAACUCGGAGGUGCCGUACGUUCGGCACUAAGAUCGGUUGGAUCAUGAAGACGUUCGACUACAUCCACCGCGUUAAACUAAUGCUUCCGCUUUCGGUCUAUGAGGGUACAUGGACACACUCUCCCCCUCUCAUUGCUAUGCAUCUCCUAGAUAUAUCUUGCGUGAUCGUAGGAAUUAUUUUGAAAUUGCAUGGUACGUUCCCCAACAGUGGCAUCCGAGCCAGGUCUAUGCAUAGAUGAUAUGCACGAGUAGAACACAAAGAGUUGUGGGCAAUAAUAGUCAUACUGCUUACCACCAACGUCUUAUUUUGAUUCAGUGGUAUUGUUGGAUGAAGCGGCCCAGACCAACAUUACAUGACCACGUUCAUGAGACCGGUUGUACCGACGUGCUUAUGCACACAGGUGGCUGGCAGGUGUCUGUUUCUCCAACUUUAGUUGAAUCGAAUUUGACUACGGCCGGUCCUUGUUGAAGGAUAAAACAACACACUUGAUGAAAAAUCGUUGUGGUUUUGAUGCGUAGGUAAGAACGGUUCUUGCUAGAAGCCCGUAGCAGCCACGUAAAACUUGCAACAACUAAGUAGAGGACGUCUAACUUGUUUUUGCUGGGCAUGUUGUGAUGUGAUAUGGUCAAGACGUGAUAAGAUAUCAAUUGUUGUAUGAGAUGAUCAUGUUUUGUAAAAGUUAUCGGCAACUGGCAGGAGCCUUAUGGUUGUCGCUUUAUUGUAUGAAAUGCAAUCGCCAUGUAAUUGCUUUGCUUUAUCACUAAGCGUUAGCGAUAGUCGUGGAAGCAAUAGUUGGCGAGACGACAACGACGCUACGAUGGAGAUCAAGGUGUCAAGCCGGUGACGAUGGAUAUCAUGACGGUGCUUUGGAGAUGGAGAUCAAAGGCAAAACAUGAUGAUGGCCAUAUCAUGUCACAUAUUUUGAAUGCAUGCGAUGUUUAUCCUUUAUGCAUCUUAUUUUGCUUAGUACGGCAGUAGCAUUAUAAGAUGGUCCCUCACUAAAUUUCAAGGUACAAGUGUUCUCCCUGAGUAUGCACCGUUGCUACAGUUCAUCGUGCCGACACACCACAUGAUGAUCGGUUGUGAUAAGCUCUACGUUCACAUACAACGGGUGCAAGCUAGUUUUGCACGUGCAGAAUACUCGGGUUAAACGUGACGAGCCUAGCAUAUGCAGAUAUGGCCUCGAAACAUUGAGACCGAAAGGUCGAAUGUGAAUCAUAUAGUAGAUAUGAUCAACAUAGUGACGUUCACCAUUGAAAACUAUUCCAUCUCACAUGAUGAUCGGACAUGGUUUAGUUGAUAUGGAUCACGUGAUCAUUUAGAUGACUAGAGGGAUGUCUAUCUAAGUAGGAGUUCUUAAGUACUAUGAUUAAUUGAACUUUAAUUUAUCAUGAACUUAGUCCUGAUAGUUUUUGCAUAUCUAUGGUGUUGUAGAUCAAUGGCCCGUGCUACCGUUCCCUUGAAUUUUAAUGCGUUCCUAGAGAAAGCUAAGUUGAAAGAUGAUGGUAGCUACUGCACGGACUGGGUCCAUAACUUGAGGAUUAUCCUCAUUGCUGCAUAGAAGAAUUACGUCCUGGAAGCACUGCUAGGUGCAAGGCCCGCUGCAGGAGCAACUCUGGACGUUAUGAAUGCGUGGCAAACUAAAGCUGAUGACUACUCGAUAGUUCGGUGUGCCAUGCUUUACGGCUUAGAAUCGGGACUUCAAAGACGUUUUGAACAUCAUGGAGCAUAUGAGAAGUUCCAGGAGUUGAAGUUAAUAUUUCAAGCAAAUGCCCGAGUUGAGAGAUAUGAAGUCUCCAACAAGUUCUAUAGCUGCAAGAUGGAGGAGAUUAGUUCUGUCAGUGAACACAUACUCAGAAUGUCUGGGUACCAUACCACUUGACUCAGUUGGGAGUUAAUCUUCCUGAUGAUAGUUGUUGGGGAACGCAGUAUUUCAAAAAAUUUACCUAUGAUCACACAAGAUAUAUCUAGGAGAUGCAUAGCAACGAGCGGGGAGAUUGUGUCCACGUACCCUCGUAGACCGAAAGCUGAAGCGUUUAGUAACGCGGUUGAUGUAGUCGAACGUCUUCGCGAUCCAACCGAUCCAAGCACCGAAUGUACGGCACCUUCGCGUUCAGCACACGUUCAUCUCGAUGCCGUCCCUCGAGCUCUUGAUCCAGUUGAGGCUGGGGGAGAGUUCCGUCAGCACGACGGCGUGGCGACGGUGAUGAUGAUGUUACCGGUGCAGGGCAUCGCCUAAGCACUAUGACGAUAUGACCGAGGUGUGUAACUAUGGAGGGGGGCACCACACACGGCUAAGAGAAGACUUGGUGUGCCUUUGGGGUGCCCCCUGUCGGUGUCAAAACCGGCGGAUCUCGGGAGGGGGUCCCGAACUGUGCGUCUAAGGUCGAUGGUAACAGGAGACAGGGGACACGAUGUUUACCCAGGUUCAGGCCCUCUCUAUGGAGGUAAUACCCUACUUCCUGCUUGAUUGAUCUUGAUGAAUACGAGUAUUACAAGAGUUGAUCUACCUUGAGAUCGUAAUGGCUAAACCCUAGAGGUCUAGCUUGUAUGACUAUGGUAAUGAGUAUAUCCCCCUCCGGACUAAGUCCUCCGGUUUAUAUAGACACCGGGAGGAUCUAGGGUUACACAAGGUCGGUUACAAAGGAAAAUAAUCUACAUAUUCGGUCGCCAAGCUUACCUUCCACGCCAAGGAGAGUCCCAUCCGGACACGGGUGCAGUCUUCGGUCUUCGUAUCUUCACAGCCCAUCAGUCCGGCCGAUGGCUAACAGGCCGGACGCCCGAGGACCCCUUAGUCCAGGACUCCCUCAGUAGCCCCUGAACCUGGCUUCAAUGACGAGGAGUCCGGCGCGCAGAUUUGUCUUCGGCAUUGCAAGGCAGGUUCCCCUUUCCGAACUCCAAGAUAGUCUCCAGAUGUGAUGAUUGUAUCCGCAUCUGUAACUCACACCACACACAACUACAGAGAGAAUAUAAUACUCCACGAGUCCAAUCCGCUGACAACUUUUUGUAACAUGACAUCACAUCCGUCCGGUCAUAAUUUCGAACCGUUUUCCGUUCACCGCUCCAUGUUUCGAGACGCGGUUGCCAUUGGCACGUCUUGUCAAAGUAGAGAUCGUGUCCCCUUAUUGCGGGAUUCUCAUCAAUACGGGCAUGGGUAACCCAACCGUGCCAUUUACAUAGUCCUUGGGAAUAGGCGAGUUUCGAGGCGAAUGGGGAGGCGUUCAAUAUUUACUGCCUUUAUAAGGGGAUAAGGAUUCCCCCUUCUUCUCCCACGCCUUCUCUCUUCCUCCGCCCUUCCAAUCAUGAGCUCCAGCGCCCAAGUCCUCAUCUUCUACCCACUCAAGCUAGCACUCGACCAUGUCCGGAUCCGAAGGUCAAGGCAAGUGGAUGGUUUCCUCUGUCGGGGAGAAGGACAUUACCGAGCUUCGGGCGGCCGGGUACUUGGCGAAGGAAAUCGCCCACCGUCUUCCAGCCCAGGGGCAAAUCGUCCCCACGCCGAAGCCCAAUGAGAGGGUGGUAUUCAUCCCUCAUUUCCUUCGCGGGCUAGGGUUUCUACUCCACCCUUUCGUCCGCGGGCUGAUGUAUUAUUACGGGAUAGAUUUCCAUGAUCUAUCCCCGAACUCUUUCCUCAACAUCUCGGCAUUCAUCGUCGUGUGUGAGGCCUUCCUCCGCAUCCAACCCCACUUCGGGCUAUGGCUCAAGGUCUUCAACGUGAAGCCGAAGGUGGUGGAUAGCCAGCACGCAGAGUGCAGAGGAGCCAUGGUGAGUAAGCUGUCCAAUGUCUCCUGGCCGAAAGGCACUUUCGUGGAGACUGUCAAGGAAUGGCAGAAACAAUUGUUCUACAUUACAGAACCCCGCGGCACCAACUGGGCCGCAGCUGCCGAAUUCAACCCUGGUGCCCCAAUGCGGCUCACCUCCUGGGUCGAGAAAAGCCCGAACUAGUGUUCGCCAGACGAGCUAAUAGCGCUGCAGACGCGCAUUCAAAGCAUGGUGGACAGGAAUGUCAAACUUGUCGAUAUAAUCCAGGUGAUGCUAGUUCGCCGGAUUCUCCCGUGCCAAAGCCGAAGCCUCCCGCUAUGGAAGUUUAAUCCGAAGAAGCACCAUACCCUGGAGAGGCUCUUCGAGACCACUCACGAAGAUACCUGGAAGUUGCUCUUCAAGGGCAACGAAACACCGCCAGCCAUGGAUUCGGAUCGUGGGCACGACAUUAACCACCCUGCCAGCGAGGUGAGUUUCCAACACGUCAUCUACUUGUCUGCUUUCAAGGCGGAUAUCUGAAAUUUUACUGUCAUUGUUUCUUCGGGAAUGGAUGAAGAGGGCGAAGCAGAUCCAGUGUCCGGCUCCGCUACCCGAAGAACCAGUCAUUCCUCGCUCAGCGAAGAUGCUGGUGCCGGCGCCCUAUACAGGGCCAGCGAAGAAGGCCAAGGGGGUCCGGAGUGGCCCCCGUCGCAAGAGCGCUUCGGACGCGACGUCCGAAGACAAGACCCGCUCCUCCGCCACCGAAGAUGACGAUGAUGAGGAGGAGGAGGAGAACAACCCUCCCCCUGAUGAGGGAAGGAAGAAGAGGGAGGCCUCCACGAACCUGGAGGCGGGGACGUCCAAGAAGGGGAAGGGCUCCUUCGCGGAUAACUCCGCGUGGGACAUCAACAGCAGUCCAGAGCGGCACCCUCGCACCAAGCCUCAAGCUGCAUCGUAAGUGCUAUGACUCCCGCACACCCAUAUGUCCAGCCUCUCCUCUUGAAUGUAUUGACAUGGUUAAUUAUGUUAUUACAGUCCGGCCCACGACAGCUCCCAGCGAUCCUCAUCUAGAGGUUCGUUGGACUCAAAGGAGAUGGCCAGCGAGACACCACCGGCCGCUUACUCUCCCAAGGCCAAAGGAGACGACGAGGUGUUGUCCUGAAGGACCGCUCCAGGCCAAGGAGAGGCUCCGGACGCUGUCAAGGGAGCGCCAAAGGGCAAAACCUCUACCGCCGGACACACGGGGGAGCAAAUCCCCACAGAGACUGGCGAGGAGGACCGUAUUCAGUUUGGCCCUCAGUCGAAUAUGAUUACUGAGACCAAUACGGCUCCGGAAUCCGGUGAGCGACCUCCUUUGAAAUAGGGGGGUGUGCCUAUUCCACCGGUGGCCCCUGUCCAACCAGGGGCACCGGAUAAUCUGAUGGAGGCACUUCGAGGUGCCUCCGUUGUGGACGAGCACCGUAUCCUUAUGGGUAUGGUGAUUGAGAGGGUCCAGUCCACCAAGAGCGGACUGACCGAAGCCUGCAGCAGCUUGCUGACAGGUUUUGAGGUAAGCAACGUAAAAAUCCCAAUAUAGUCAGUAGCCCCUGAGACACUGUCCGGUGUUCGGAAAGAAAAGUCGGACAGAGGAUCAAUCCUUUAUUGUAGGAAACUAACUAAACUUGUCAGGAAUGAAUAUGCAGGCGUCGCUGCUGUCCGCGGCCUCACAUGCUGCUAAAGUCUCCGAACUUAAGCGGAGACUGGAGAAGGCCGAGGAGGACCUCGGCCAGGUGAAGAGGCAGCUCCAGGAGAAUCAAGGUAUGUAAUAACCCAAGAAGUAUUCGGAAAGAGUAGGAUGAUAUAUAUUGACCGAAGUGUCCUGAUAUGUAUAGGAGCAACGACCGAGGUCAAGGCCCUAGGCGAAGCUGAGGGGAAGGCCGUCAAGGAGCAGGCUGCCCAUAAGAAGCUCAAGGCCCGGGUCAACGAGGUCCAACAAGAGCUCCAUGACACGGUGAAGAAGUGCGAGACCUUGGAGCGUGUCGCGUCGGCUAAAGAGGCCGAACUUUCCAAGGCUCGUCAGAGCACGGAGACAGCCCGGAAUGAAGCCCAGGGCACCCUCCAAGAGAUCCAAGAGGCGAGGAAGAUUGCGGCGGGUAAGGCAUUCAGUAUGCAAAGAAAAUAUGCAAAGAGGAAGUAUCUUUUACUAACCCAGAUUCGGAGUUCUCCAGGGGCUUUUGUUGAUCUGCCGCAAAGUGUGUCCGACGCCGCAGAGUUCUUCCGAGCUGAAGAAGGGAGCUCCACGGAGAAGCUGUUCUGGUCACAAUAUCUUGCGCCAGAGCAUCCCGUGCCCUUCACCGAUCAGCUGAAACAGCUGGUGGAGCUGCAUAGGGUGGCCGAACUAGCCAUGAAGGAUUUGAUAAUCCGGCUAUGGCCAGCCGAAGCUAUGCCCGACAGCUACUUCGGACUCGUGAGGCGGCUUGCGAACGCCUGUCCUUGGUUGGACGUCGUCAAGCGAUCGGCCUGUAUUGAAGGUGCGCGUAUGGCCUUCGCCCGUUGCAAGAUGUGGUGGGCGAAGAUGAACGCCGUCGAGCUGGCCAGGGGGCCGCCAGAGGGCAAGGAGCACCACACACCCGAGCGCUAUUUUGCGGAUGUCCUAGAGGGGUCUCGCAUUGUGGCAACGCAGUGUGGGCAGGACAUUAUUUUCGAAUGAAUACAUUCGUGUUGUCUUUGCCUUCUAUGAUGAAACAAAGUGGGUUUGUAAUAUAAUGAUUGUUAUGUUUUUAAUUUCACCUCCUGUGCGGCCGUGUUGUAUGAGAUCUGAGGGUUGGCCAGUCGUCGGCUUCUUCCCCCACGUAGGUAGUACGGAGGUGUUCGGGAUGGAAUCUAAACAAUCUUGAUCCAAUUAUAUGGUCCUUGAAGGAGUUGUUUAGCGCAACGAACCAGGCAACCAGACUAUUCAGCUUUAACACCCUCACUUAGCCAUAGGAGUUCGACAAUAAAAACAUGGACGCAGCCCAUAGUUUCUGAACUAGAGUGCUAUAAGUGUCUAAUCGGGAAGUACCAAUCCUUCGCGUAACGCGGAAGAAAUCUCCAACGAUUUGCAACCGCCGAACAGCUGACCGGCGCUCGCCACAUCAUGACAGUCAGUUUUCGGCUUUCUCUACUAAGGUGCUCCUUUGGAUAAACCAGGGCACAAUCAUAGUAGUUCUCCCUUUACUACCUUAGCCGAUAUAGCGGAACGUAAGGUAGCAAGCACAGGAGUUGUGCAACCCAACUAUUGACCAAAGACAUGAUUCGGAGCCAAUGCACAUAAUGCUAAAUUCGGGGUGCCGAACUAUACUAUAAAAAAGUGUUUGGACUUUGUUGCCAUCUUGUGGGGCACUGGGGAGCCCCUGGCAAAUAUGAAACGUACCAAAGUGUACGGGUGCUAGAAGAUAAGUUAUCAAAUGGGAAAAGGAAAACAGAAAGAGAGCAGAGGUAACAUCUGGGGCCCUUAAACUUAUGCCACGAACUGCUUCCAUUAUAAUUGGGUUAAUGCGUCAAAGCGCAUUAAUACAAAUAGUGCGAUAAGCAAGCGGCUAUUUAACAUGCCAUGACCAAAGGCGAGCUGCGUGUGGGUCCUGACAACAGGUAGAGUGGUCGUUGAGUUGACCUCUAGAGGUUCCCCUAUACGUCUGUGCUUCUUGCCAUCCUGGUAUUUUUAUCCUUUGACAGGACCGGUAGUCGGGUCGUCAAAGAAGUCCUAUGUGAAAGAAACCUGGAAAAAAAGGAAAUAGUGAAAGUAUAUGUGUGUCCCGGAUCGGUCGAGCCGAACUGUGGAUCACAAGCUAGUUGUGCCUCCGUCGAUGCCCGUGGGAUUUCUAGUGUGUAAUUGUGCACGCGUGGUACGAAUGCCACUACCUGAUCGGGGCUGGGACGGAGGCCGAAUUGCUAAUCGAGCUCUUGAUGAGCCGAGCUCUCCUGUUGCAGCGUAGUCUGGACCCUCUUUACGAUGUCCAGGGGCUCGGCAACCGGAUUACGGUUCUGCUUGAGACGACCGCUCUGUACUUCUGCUGUUAGGGAGUCGGUGUGCUCCUCUGUACGGAGGGAGCGUUCCGUGUUUCCGUUGACCGUUAUGACGCCGCAUGGACCGGGCAUCUUGAGCUUAAGAUAAGCGUAAUGCGGCACCGCGUUGAACCGAGCAAAUGCAGUCCGUCCGAGCAGUGCGUGAUAACCACUGCGGAAUGGGACGAUGUCGAAGAUUAACUCUUUGCUUCGGAAGUUGUCAGGGGAUCCGAAGACAACCUCUAGUGUGAUUGAGCCCGUAGAGUGGGCCUCUACACCUGGUAUGACUCCUUUGAAGGUAGUCUUUGUUGGCUUGAUCCUUGAUGGAUUAAUGGCCAUUUUGCGCACUGUGUCUUGAUAGAGCAGAUUGAGGUUGCUACCACCGUCCAUGAGGACUCGCGUUAGGUGGAAUCCACCAAUGAUUGGGUCCAGGACUAGUGCGGUUGAUCCUCCAUGCCAGAUACUGGUCGGAUGAUCCCGAUGAUCAAAAGUGAUCGGGCAUGAUGACCAUGGGUUGAAUUUUGGGGCGACUGGCUCUAUCGCAUAAACGUCCCUUAGUGCGCGCUUGCGCUCCCUUUUGGGGAUGUGUGUAGCAUAUAUCAUGUUCACCGUUUUGACUUGAGGGGGGAACUUCUUCUGCCCCCUUAGUUCGGUUGCCGGGGCUCUUCGUCAUCGUCCUCACUUUGUGAUCCCCUUUCCUUAUUCUCGGCGUUUAACUUGCCGGCCUGUUUGAAGACCCAACAAUCCCUAUUGGUAUGAUUGGCUGGUUUGUCUGGGGUGCCAUGUAUCUGGCACGGACGAUCGACUAUACGGUCCAAGCUGGAUGGUCCCUGACUGUUCCUUUUAUACAACUUUUUCCGCUGACCGGGCUUGGAGCCGCUGAAUCCGUCAUUAACUGUAGUGUCACCGGUAUUAUCACCAUUGCUUCGGCGCUUGUGUCUGUUACGUCAGAGCUUGCCGUUGCUGUUUGUGACCUCGGAGGGGCCCACCUCGCUGGCUAUGUUUUUGCUACGAGCGAGUGAACUAUCCUCACCCACGCAAAAACGGGGCAUGAGUGCCGUGAGGGCUGCCAUAGAUUUGGGCUUUUCUUGGCCGAGAUGGCGGGCGAGCCAUUCAUCACGGAUGCUAUGUUUAAAGGCCGCUAGGGCUUCGGCAUCCGGACAAUAAAUGAUCUGGUUCUUUUUAGUUAGGAAUCUAGUACAGAAUUUCCUAGCUGACUCUCCAGGCUGUUGGACUAUGUGACUUAAGUCAUCGGCGUCUGGUGGCCAGAUGUAUGUACCUUGGAAGUUGUCAAGAAAAGCUUCUUCCAAGUCCUCCCAGCUACCGAUGGAAUUUUCAGGCAGGCUGUUAAACCAGUGCCGGGCUGGCCCUUUGAGCUUUAGUGGGAGGUAUUUGAAAUCAUGGAGGUCAUCUCGGCGGGCCAUGUGAAUGUGGAGAAUAAAAUCCUCGAUCCAUACCGCGGGGUCGGUUGUUUCGUCGUAUGAUUCAAUAUUGAUGGAUUUGAACACUUCGGGGAAUUCAUGGUCCAUUACUUCAUCAGUGAAGCAAAGAGGGUGUGCAGCGCCUCUAUAUCUGGCCGCAUUGCGCCGUAGCUCCGAUGGAGUUCGUCUGCGGUUAUCGGCUCGGGUGUGACUAGGUUUGUCACGCCCGAAUAGGUAUCCAUCAUCAUGUGUCGAGGGACAUCCCUGUGAUCCAUAAAUCGAUCGGGUAUGUCCUGCUCUACUAUCCAGGGUCUACCGGAGGUCGUAUCUAUGACCCCGAGCUGUUUCCUCUCUAUUUUUAUGAGGCGGUGGGGCAGGCUGCUGUUCGGCCUGAGUUGCCGCUCUAUCCCGACCAUGUGGUGGUCGGUCCGCCGCACUGUCCCGAUCGCGUAGUGGUCGAUCGGCCGUAUUACGCGAGGGAGGUAUGGGCUCCGGCGCCUCUUCAUCAAACUGGGGUAGCAGCCUUCGCUUUGGGUAACUCUUGGCUGGGCGUCUGUGGCCGUAUUCUUCGGUUGCCAGGACAUCAGUCCAUCUGUCGAUGAGCAGAUCUUGGUCAGCUUGAAGCUGUUGUUGUUUAUUUUUUAGGCUCCGUGCCGUUGCUAUUAGCUGGCGCUUGAAGCGCUCCUGCUCGAGAGGUUCCUCAGGCAUGAUGAAAUCUUCGUUGCCGAGGCUUUCCUCAUCCUCAGAGAGCGGACGAUAACUACCGUCCUAUUGAUUCGUUGGGCCUGGCCUGUUCGUCGGGGCUAGCUUGCCCGUUUGCUUGCUCCUCCUAUUCGGAUAUUACUUCGGCAAGGUCUGCAUUGUUUUCGGCAUCGUCCGGAGUAUUAUUUUCACUGGUGCCAGCAUUGCUAUCUUUUGAAUGACGUGACUUUGAGCGGCGCCGAGGACGCCGGCGUUUCUGCUGUGUCCCAGGAGGUUUAUUCUCGACUGGAUUUUCUUUGUCAUCGUCGUUGGUUGUUUUGGGUGUGUCCACCAUAUACACAUCGUAUGAAGAGGUGGCCGUCCAGCGUCCAGUGAAUGGCGGACUUUGAUUUUGCUCCUCAUCGGCAUCGUCGUCCAUACCGUCGAUGUCUUCGGAGUCGUAAUCAAGCGUGUCGGUUAAAUCCUCGAUUGUGGCUAUGAAGUGGGUGGCGGGUGGGAAGCGAGAUUCUCCUUCAUCAGCCCCUAGUUCGAACCGAACAUAGUUCGGCUGUGAGUCCCCCACCAAGGACAUGCUCUUUAAAGAGUUUAGCACAUCGCCCAAGGGCGAGUGCUGGAAGAUGUCUGCGGUGCUGAACUCGAAGAUCGAUAAAUGAUCAAGUUUGACAUCCGCGGGCUCACAUGGUUCGGAACUUAUGCCCGGAGACGAGUCUGGAGUUCCAGAAACACAAAGAUUGUGUGAGGUUAAGUCCAUGUGCGGCUCCAACGUCGGGGAAUCUGUGGCCUCCGUGGUGGGAUUGAGCCUCCAAUCCUUGGACGGCGCUGUAUGCUCCGAAUCUAAGGCCAGAGCUGUUACAGGAGCUAUCUCCUGGAUACGGAUUGAUGACAGAUUUAAUUCAUGUUCAUCAAGGUGACCGGGAGUGGUUGCCGCGGUCUCGAAUCCGGCGAAGAUCAAAUCUCCACGGAUGUCCGCGACGUAGUUCAAGCUCCCAAAUCUGACCUGAUGGCCAGGGGCGUAGCUAUCGACCUGCUCCAGAUGGCCAAACGAGUUGGCCCGCAAUACGAAACCGCCGAAUACGAAGAUCUGUUCGGGGAGAAAUGUUUCUCCUUCGACAGCGUUGUUGCCGAUGAUUGAAGGGGCCAUAGAAACCUUUUGGGGACGGCACAGUGGAACUCUCAAUGAAAGCACCAAUGUCGGUGUCAAAACCGGCGGAUCUCGGGUAGGGGGUCCCGAACUGUGCGUCUAAGGUCGAUGGUAACAGGAGACAGGGGACACGAUGUUUACCCAGGUUCGGGCUCUAUGGAGGUAAUACCCUACUUCCUGCUUGAUUGAUCUUGAUGAAUAUGAGUAUUACAAGAGUUGUCUACCACGAGAUCGUAAUGGCUAAACCCUAGAGGUCUAGCUUGUAUGACUAUGGUAAUGAGUAUAUCCCCCUCCGGACUAAGUCCUCCGGUUUAUAUAGACAUCGGGAGGAUCUAGGGUUACACAAGGUCGGUUACAAAGGAAAAGAAUCUGCAUAUUCGGUCGCCAAGCUUGCCUUCCACGCCAAGGAGAGUCCCAUCCGGACACGGGUGCAGUCUUCGGUCUUCAUAUCUUCACAGACCAUCAGUCCGACCAAUGGCUAAUAGGCCGGACGCCCGAGGAUCCCUUAGUCCAGGACUCCCUCACCCCCCUCCCAUGUAUAUAAAGGGGGGGAGUGGAAAUGGCCAGCCCAAGGGGGGGCGCCAGGUGUGGGGAGUCCUACUAGGACUCCCUAGUCCAAGUAGGAUUCCCCUCUCCUUUUUCCUUUUUCGGAAUAUCAAAGAGGGAUAGAGAGGAGGAGUAGGAGAGGGAAAGGGGGGCGCCGCCCCCACCCCUUAUCCAAUUCGGAUUGGCAAGGGGGGGGGGCGUGCCACCUCCCUGGCCAGCCCUCUCUCCUCCACUAAGGCACAUGUGUGGCCCAUUAACUUCCCGGGGGGGUUCCGGUAAAACCCGGUACUCUGAAACUUAUCCGAUACGACCCGAACCAUUCCAGUGUGCGAAUGUAACCUUCUAAUAUAUGAAUCUUUACCUCUCGACCAUUCGAGACUCCUCGUCAUGUCCGUGAUCUCAUCCGGGACUCCGAACAAACUUCGGUCAUCUAAUCACUUAACUCAUAAUACAAAUUGUCAUCGAACGUUAAUCGUGCGGACCCUACGGGUUCGAGAACUAUGUAGACAUGACCGAGACACAUCUCUGGUCAAUAACCAAUAGCGGAACCUGGAUGCUCAUAUUGGCUCCUACAUAUUCUACGAAGAUCUUUAUCGGUCAAACCGCAUAACAACAUACGUUGUUCCCUUUGUCAUCGGUAUGUUACUUGCCCGAGAUUUGAUUGUCGGUAUCAUCAUACCUAGUUCAAUCUCGUCACCGGCAAGUCUCUUUACUCGUUCCGUAAUGCAUCAUCCUGUAACUAACUCAUUAGUCACAUUGCUUGCAAACCUCAUAGUGAUGUGCAUUACCGAGAGGGCCUAGAGAUACCUCUCUGAUACAUGGAGUGACAAAUCCUAAUCUCGAUCUAUGCCAACUCAACAAACACCAUCGGAGACACAUGUAGAGCAUCUUUAUAAUCACCCAGUUACGUUGUGACGUUUGAUAGCACACAAGGUGUUCCUCCGGUAUUCGGGAGUUGCAUAAUCUCAUAGUCUGAAGAACAUGUAUAAGUCAUGAAGAAAGCAAUAGUAGAAAAAGCUAAACGAUCAUUAUGCUAAGCUAACGGAUGGGUCUUGUCCAUCACAUCAUUCUCUAAUGAUGUGACCCCGUUCAUCAAAUGACAACACAUAUCUAUGGCUAGGAAACUUAACCAUCUUUGAUUAACGAGCUAGUCAAGUAGAGUAAUACUAGGGACACUCUGCUUAUCUAUGUAUCCACACAUGUACUAAGUUUCCGGUUAAUAAAAUUCUAGCCUGAGUAAUAAACAUUUAUCAUGAUGUAAGGAAAUAUAAAUAACAACUUUAUUAUUGCAUCUAGGGCAUAUUUCCUCCAGUCUCUCACUUGUACUAGAGUCAAUAAUCUAGAUUACAUAGUAAUGAUUGUAACACCCAUGGAGUCUUGGUGCUGAUCAUGUUUUGCUCGUGAGAGAGGCUUAGUCAACAGGUGUGCAACAUUCAGAUCCGUAUGUAUCUUGCAAAUCUCUAUGUCUCCCUCCUUGAGUUGAUCGCGGAUGGAAUUGAAGCGUCUCUUGAUGUGCUUGGUUCUCUUGUGAAAUCUGGAUUCCUUUGCCAAGGCAAUUGCACCAGUAUUGUCACAAAAGAUUUUCAUUGGACCCGAUGCACUAGGUAUUACACCUAGAUUGGAUAUGAACUCCUUCAUCCAGACUCCUUCAUUUGCUGCUUCCAAAGCAGCUAUGUACUCCGCUUCACACGUAGAUCCUGCCACGACACUCUGUUUAGAACUGCACCGACUGACAGCUCCACCAUUCAAUAUAAAUACGUAUCCGGUUUGUGACUUAGAGUCAUCCGGAUCAGUGUCAAAACUUGCAUCGACGUAACCAUUUACGAUGAGCUCUUCGUCACCUCCAUAAACGAGAAACAUAUCCUUAGUCCUUUUCAGGUAUUUCAGGAUGUUCUUGACCGUUUUCCAGUGAUCCACUCCUGGAUUACUUUGGUACCUCCCUGCUAAACUAAUAGCAAGGCACACAUCAGGUCUGGUACAUAACAUUGCAUACAUGAUAGAACCUAUGGCUGAGGCAUAGGGAAUGCCUUUCAUUUUCUCUUUAUCUUCUGUAGUAGUCGGGCAUUGAGCGUGACUCAACUUCACACCUUGUAACACAUGCAAGAACACUUUCUUUGACUGAUCCAUUUUGAACUUCUUCAAAACUUUAUCAAGGUAUGUGCUUUAUGAAAGUCCAAUUAAGUGUCUUGAUCUAUCUCUAUAGAUCUUGAUGCCCAAUAUAUAAGCAGCUUCACCGAGGUCUUUCAUUGAAAAAUUCUUAUUCAAGUAUCCUUUUAUGCUAUUCAGAAAUUCAGUAUCAUUACCGAUCAACAAUAUGUCAUCCACAUAUAAUAUCAGAAAUGCUACAGAGCUCCCACUCACUUUCUUGUAAAUACAGGCUUCUCCAAAAGUCCGUAUGAAACCAUAUGCUUUGAUCACACUAUCAAAGCGUAUAUUCCAACUCCGAGAGGCUUGCACCAGUCCAUAAAUGGAUCGCUUGAACUUGCACACUUUCUGAGCACCUUUUGGAUCGACAAAACCUUUUGGUUGCAUCAUAUACAACUCUUCUUUAAGAUAUCCAUUAAGGAAUGCAGUUUUGACAUCAAUUUGCCAAAUUUCAUAAUCAUAAAAUGCGGCAAUUGCUAACAUGAUUCGGACAGACUUAAGCAUAGCUACGGGUGAGAAAGUCUUAUCGUAGUCAACUCCUUGAACUUGUCGAAAACCUUUUGCAACAAGUCAAGCUUUGUAGACAGUUACAUUACCGUCAGCGUCAGUCUUCUUCUUGAAGAUCCAUUUAUUCUCUAUGGCUUGCCGAUCAUCGGGCAAGUCAAGCAAAGUUCAUACUUUGUUCUCAUACAUGGAUCCCAUCUCAGAUUUCACGGCCUCAAGCCAUUUCACGGAAUCUGGGCUCAUCAUCGCUUCCUCAUAGUUCGUAGGUUCGUCAUGGUCAAGUAACAUGACCUCCAGAAUAGGAUUACCAUACCACUCUCGUGUGAAUCUUACUCUGGUUGACCUACGAGGUUCGGUAGUAACUUGAUCCGAAGUUUCAUGAUCAUCAUCAUUAGCUUCCUCACUGAUUGGUGUACGAAUCACUGGAACUGAUUUCUGUGACGUACUACUUUCCAAUUUGGGAGCAGGUACAAUUACCUCAUCAAGUUCUACUUUCCUCCCACUCACUUCUUUUGAGAGAAACUCCUUCUCUAGAAAGGAUCCAUUCUUAUCAACGAAUAUCUUGCCUUCGGAUCUGUGAUAGAAUGUGUACCCAACAGUCUCCUUUGGGUAUCCUAUGAUGACACAUUUCUCUGAUUUGGAUUCGAGCUUAUCAGGUUGAAGCUUUUUCACAUAAGCAUCGCAGCCCCAAACUUUAAGAAAUGACAACUUGGGUUUCUUGCCAAACCACAGUUCAUAUGGUGUCGUUUCAACGGAUUUAGAUGGUGCCCCAUAUAAUGUGAAUGCAGCCAUCUCUAAAGCAUAACCCCAAAAUGAUAGCGGUAAAUCAGUAAGAGGCAUCAUAGAUUGCACCAUAUCUAAUAAAGUACGAUUACGAUGUUCGGACACACCAUUAUGCUGUGGUGUUCCAGGGGGUGUGAGUUGCGAAACUAUUCCAUAUUGUUUCAAAUGAAGACCAAACUCAUAACUCAAAUAUUCACCUCCACGAUCAGAUCGUAGAAACUUUAUUUACUUGUUACGAUGAUUUUCCACUUCACUCUGAAAUUCCUUGAACUUUUAAAAUGUUCCAGACUUAUGUUUCAUCAAGUAGAUAUACCCAUAUCUGCUCAAAUCAUCGGUGAAGGUCAGACAAAAAUGAUACCCGCCGCGAGCCUCAAGACUCAUCGGACCACAUACAUCAGUUUGUAUUAUUUCCAAUAAGCCUGUUGCUCGCUCCAUUGUUCCGGAGAACGGAGUAUUAGUCAUCUUGCCUAUGAGGCAUGGUUCGCAAGCAUCAACUGAUUCAUAAUCAAGUGAUUCCAAAAGUCCAUCGGCAUGGAGUUUCUUCAUGUGAUUUACACCAAUAUGACCUAAACGGCAGUGCCACAAAUAAGUUGCACUAUCAUUAUUAAACGUGUAUCUUUUGGCUUCAAUACUAUGAAUAUGUGUAUCACUACUAUUCAGAUUCAACAAAAAUAGACCACUCAUCAAGGGUGCAUGACCAUAAAAGAUAUUACUCAUAUAAAUAGAACAACCAUUAUUCUCUGAUUUAAAUGAAUAACUGUCUCGCAUCAAACAAGAUCCAGAUAUAAUGUUCAUGCUUAACGCUGGCACCAAAUAACAAUUAUUCGGGUCUAAAACUAAUCCUGAAGGUAGAUGUAGAGGUAGCGUGCCGACUGCGAUCACAUCGAAUUUGGAACCAUUUCCCACGCGCAUCGUCACCUCGUCUUUAGCCAAUCUUUGUAUAAUCCGUAGCCCCUGUUUCAAGUUGCAAAUAUUAGCAACAGAACCAGUAUCAAAUACCCAGGCGCUACUACGAGCAUUAGUAAGGUACACAUCAAUAACAUGUAUAUCAAAUAUACCUUUCACUUUGCCAUCCUUCUUAUCCGCCAAAUACUUGGGGCAGUUCCGCUUCCAGGACCAGUCCCUUUGCAGUAGAAGCACUCAGUCUCAAGCUUAGGUCCAGACUUGGGCUUCUUCACUUGAGAAGCAACUUUAUUGCCGUUCUUCUUGAAGUUCCCCUUCUUCCCUUUGCCCUUCUUCUUGAAACUAGUGGUCUUGUUAACCAUCAACACUUGAUGCUCCUUCUUGAUUUCUAUCUCCGCAGCCUUUAGUAUCGCGAAGAGCUCGGGAAUUGUCUUAUCCAUCCCUUGCAUAUUAUAGUUCAGCACGAAGCUUUUGUAGCUUGGUGGCAAUAAUUUAAGAACUCUGUCAAUGACACUAUCAUCAGGAAGAUUAACUCCCAGUUGAGUUAAGUGGUUGUGGUACCCAAACAUUCUGAGUAUGUGUUCACAGACAGAACUAUUCUCCUCCAUCUUGCAGCUAUAGAACUUAUUGGAGACUUCAUAUCUCUCAAUCCGGGCAUUUGCUUGAAAUAUUAACUUCAACUCCUGGAACAUCUCAUAUGCUCCAUGAUGUUUAAAACGUCGUUGAAGUCCCGAUUCUAAGCCGUAAAGCAUGGCACAGUGAACUAUCGAGUAGUAAUCAGCUUUGCUCUGCCAGACAUUCAUAACGUCCGGAGUUGCUCCUGCGGCGGGUCUUGCACCUAGCGGUGCUUCUAGGAUGCAAUUCUUCUGUGCAGCAAUGAGGAUAAUCCUCAAGUUACAGACCCAGUCCGUGUAGUUGCUACCAUCAUCUUUCAACUUAGCUUUCUCUAGGAACGCAUUAAAAUUCAACGGAACGGUAGAAUGGGACAUUGAUCUACAACAACAUAGACAUGCAAAAUACUAUCAGGUACUAAGUUCAUGAUAAAUUAAAGUUCAAUUAAUCAUAUUACUUAAGAACUCCCACUUAGAUAGACAUCCCUCUAGUCAUCUAAAUGAUCACGUGAUCCAUAUCAACUAAACCAUGUCCGAUCAUCACAUGAGAUGGAGUAGCUUUCAAUGGUGAACAUCACUAUGUUGAUCAUAUCUACUAUAUGAUUCACGUUCGACCUUUCGGUCUCAGUGUUCCGAGGCCAUAUCUGCAUAUGGUAGGCUCGUCAAGUUUAACCCGAGUAUUCUGCGUGUGCAAAACUAGCUUGCACCUGUUGUAUGUGAACGUAGAGCUUAUCACACCCGAUCAUCACAUGGUGUCUCGGCACGACGAACUGUAGCAACACUGCAUACUCAGGGAGAGCACUUGUACCUUGAAAUUUAGUGAGGUAUCAUCUUAUAAUGCUACCGCCGUACUAAGCAAAAUAAGAUGCAUAAAGGAUAAACAUCACAUGCAAUCAAAAUUAGUGAUAUGAUAUGGCCAUCAUCAUCUUGUGCCUUUGAUCUCCACCUCCAAAGCACCGUCAUGAUCACCAUCGUCACCGGCUUGACACCUUGAUCUCCAUCGUAGCAUCGUUGUCGUCUCGCCAACUAUUGCUUCCACGACUAUCGCUCCCGCUUAGUGAUAAAGUAAAGCAAUUACAUGGCGAUUGCAUUUCAUACAAUAAAGCGACAGCCAUAUGGCUCCUGCAAGUUGCCGAUAACUGUGUUACAAAACAUGAUCAUCUCAUGCAACAACUUAUAUAAUCACGUCUUGACCAUAUCACAUUACAACAUGCCCUGCAAAAACAAGUUAGACGUCGUCUACUUUGUUGUUGCAAGUUUUACGUGGCUGCUACGGGCUUAGCAAGAACCGUUCUUACCUACGCAUCAAAACCACAAUGAUUUUUCAUCAAGUUUGCUGUUUUAACCUUCAACAAGGACCAGGUGUAGUCACACUCGAUUCAACUAAAGUUGGAGAAACAGACACCCACUAGCCACCGGUACGCGAAGCACGACGGUAGAACCAGUGUAAGGGCAUAUUUAUCCCUAAGAUAUUUUGGUGAUUGAUGAUAAUGCUUUUGCGGACUUAUCGUGUGCAUUGAGUUUUUUCAGAGAUUUAUCCUUUGGCACGAGACGAUUCCCUCCCCUCGGAGUUUGAAGCGAAGACGGUGUAGUACUUUCGAAUUAGUUUGGUGGACUAGUUUUGUAGGGAUCACCGUACUAUCAAGAGGAGGUCCGCUUUGGAAAGGCUAGGGUGGAAUCAUCACGUACACUUCCUUUGCACACCCUCCGAGCCUUUCCGCUUCGUUGAUGAGCUCGUUCCCCUCUCUCAGUGUGCCCUCUCUGGUCCCAGCGGUAGUACCGCGGGCCGGAGCGGUAGUACCGCUUGGGUGCUACAAGCGGCAGUACCGCUCCACAGCGGUAGUACCGCUGUAGCCCCCAGCCGUAGUACCGCUGCCGCUUCAUGCUAGUACCGCCUCGAUUCUUGGGGCUUUUUCCAUGUCGGGUUUUACGGUACUUGUCGCGGCAGUGGGGGGUAGUACCGCUCGUGUGCGGUAGUACCACCCUGACCACCGCGGUAGUACCGCUCAGGGCCCAGCGGCAGUACCGCGGGAGGGAACGGUAGUACCGCUGGCUUAGCGGUAGUACCGCUGGCCAAGCGGUAGUACCGCUCUCUGCGGGGCUGAAGUGGGGGGUAACGGUUGGAUUGCUUCCCCCACUAUAAAAGGGGGUCUUCUUCCCCAAAGUUGACUCACCUCUUCCCCCAAAAGCUCCAUUGUUGCUCCAAGCUCCAUUUUCGCCCGAUCUCUCUCCCUAGCCAAUCAAACUUGUUGAUUUGCUCGGGAUUGGUUGAGAAGGCCCCGAUCUACACUUCCACCAAGAGAAAUUUGAUUCCCCCCACUUAUCCCUAGCAGAUCUUGUUACUCUUGGGUUUUUAGCACCCUAGACGGUUGAGGUCACCGCGGAGCCAUAGUCCAUUGUGGUGAAGCUUUGCGGUGUCGUUGGGAGCCUCCAAUUAAGUUGUGGAGAUUGCCCCAACCUUGUUUGUAAAGGUCCGGUCGCCGCCUUCAAGGGCACCAAUAGUGGAAUCACGGCAUCUCGCAUUGUGUGAGGGCGUGAGGAGAAUACGGUGGCCCUAGUGGCUUCUUGGGGAGCAUUGUGCCUCCACACCGCUCCAACGGAGACGUACUUCCCCUCAAAAGGAAGGAACUUCGGUAACACAUCCUCGUCUUCACCGGCUCCACUCUUGGUUAUCUCGUCCCUUUACUUUCGCAAGUUUACUCGUGUUAUAUCUCUUAUUUGUUUGCCUGCUUGUUGUCAUUGCAUCAUAUAGGUUGCUCACUUAGUUGCAUAUCUAGACAACCUAUUUUGAUGCAAAGUUUAAUUUGGUAAAGAAAAGCUAAAAAUUGUUAGUUGCCUAUUCACCCCCCCUCUAGUCAACUAUAUCGAUCCUUUCAAUUGGUAUCAGAGCCAGGUUUCUUUUUUAAGGACUUUACCGUCCGAAGAGUAUGGUUGACGUCGUAGACGGUGUGGAGGAGCACUCCGGUGUGAAUCCGGUCUCGUCUACGGGAGAUGGGGGAACCGCGGUCUCUCGUGAGGAAUUAAAUGUGGCGUUGGACACAUUGAAAACCUCCAUGACUACCGAGGUCGAAAGCAUGUUUAAUAAAUACUUAGAAGGGCUUAAGCUUUCCACCGCACCGUUGAAAGUGGGUGAUUCCGCCAACAAGGUGACAGAUGCUACCUCCGACAAAGGGGAAGCUACUAGCGAGAAAGCUCCUUCUUCUAGUGGUAAAAAGGGCACCGGCAUCUUUGCCCAUGUGGAACCUCCACCUGUCUAUGGUGGUCCGCUCCCUUCCACUCAUUUAAAUCAUGCCGGCCCGGCUCCUAAGAUUGAGAAGAAUGUAGAUUUUGAUUCUUGGGUCUAUCAUUUUAAGCGUCGUUUAAAUCAUGUGAACACUAACCUUUGGAGAAUCAUUGAAGAAGGUUUCUAUCCACAUGACCGAAGUAACUUCACUCCUAGAGAAGUUGUGGAUCAUCAAUUCAAUGAGAAUGCUCUCUUCAUCAUCCAAGAAGCAAUCCCACCCGAAGAUCUUCCUCAUCUCCGGCCUUACACCGUGGCCAAAGAUGCUUGGCUCCAAGUUGUUUCCCUCUAUCGGGGAAGCGCAAGCAUUCAACGCUCCAACUAUGAAGUAGUGCAAGAUGAAGCCGACGAGUUUGCAAUGAAAGAAGAUGAAGAACCUCGUGAGCAUUUUCGGAGAGUAACCAAACUCGCGGUCUCUCUCCGAGAUCAUGGAAGUAAGGACACAGAUGACAAUUGGAUCAAGCGCAAAUUCCUCAAGGCAAUGAUGCCCUACCACAAAGCCAUGUCCUUCGUAAUUCGUCAAAGGCCGGACUUUCACACCUUGUCCUCAAGUGAAGUGUUGGAUGAGUUUGUUGCUAUGAGCAUCUUGGACAAGACCGCCGACAAUGCGGUUCUUCGCUCUCAAAGAGUAAAGAAGCCCAACCUUGCUCUAAAGGCCAAGGUUAGUAUGGAGGAAGAGGAUGAAGAGGAAGAAGAGGAGGGCAACCUCGAAGAUACGAAGUAUGCCUAUCAUGAACACAUGGCUUUUGCUUCAAGGCAAUUUUGGAGCAAGAAGAACACAAGGCCAAACUUCAACAAGAGCAAUUCAAGUGGCGCAAAGGGCAAGCAACUAGUGAGGACUUGCUUCAAUUGUGGCAAUGUGAGCCACUUUGUUGCGGAGUGCCCUUAUGAGAAGAGGGAAGACAAUGGUGGCAAGCUCAUUAGAAAGGACAAGGCCAAGUCGUUCCCCAACAAGAGCAACUUCACCAAGAAGUCUCCUCCCAAGGCAUUGGUGGUACAAGAAGAGUACAAUGAGGAUGAUUACGAUGAUGAAGAUGGUGAUUCGGUUGCCAUGGCCUCCGUUGCCAUUGCGAAGACUCCAUGGAUGUCUCUCUUCGACUCACCCAAUGAGAACAUCACCGCCAAGUGUCUCAUGGCUAAAGCGACCAACAAGGUAACCCCCAACAUCAAAACUACCAUCAUUAAUCAUCCUUCUUUGAUGGAUAGCAUUGAUGAACAUGAGGGGACAAGUGUGGAGGAAAAUGAGUUUGAGACCUUUAUGGGUAAGCUCAAGGGUAAAUCCAAGAAGCACUUCGUUGCUCUCUUGGAACAACUUGGUGAAGCCAAUGACAUGAUCGAGGCUCACGAAGAUACCAUCUCUAAGAUGGAGGGGCAUAGUCGUGACUAUGCCGAUGAGAUUUCGGAUCUUUCCAAUGCUCUUGAUGAAGAGCGUGGUCUUCGUUUGGCUCUUGAGGAGUCAUACAACGAUGAUCAUGCUAAGUUAAAGAAAGAUCUUGAUCAUGCUCUUGUUGUGUCUCGUGUGCUAAACUCCGAGAAGGCAAAACUUGGGGUUGAUCUUGCUAGACUUAAAGAGGAGUUUGACAUUCUCGACAAGGCUCACAAAGUCUUGAAGGGUGUUCAUGCUAGCCUCAAGGAGUCUCAUGAUCAACUCCAAGUAAAGCUAACUAAGGAGAAAGCCACCUUUCCUCAUAUGGUGUUAAUUGAUAAUGCAAAUGCUACUAACCCUUGUUGUGAGCAUGUGCACCUUGCUGAGGAGAAUGCUAAGUUGAAGGAGCAGCUUGAUAAAGGCCUUGUGUCAUGCAUACAAGGUGAGAAGAACCUCAACGACCUUUUGAGAAACCAAAAGGAAGUUGUGGCCGAGGAGGGGAUUGGGUUCGCACCCAAGCCCAAGAACAAGAAGAAGAAUGACAAGACCAAACGACCUCCUCCUCUCAAGCAAACUUUUGUGAAGGAGGGAGAGGGUGCUUCCAAGGAGAAGAAGAACAAUGCGAAGGGUGACGGUGUCAAGAAGGGCAAUACCACCCCAUCCAACAAAGCCGGCGACUUUAAUCCUUCUUAUGUGUUAUGCCGUGCUAGUGAUGGGCAUGUUUAUGCCAAAUUUGUUGGUUCUCCUCAUGAGUAUAUUGAAUGGUCCAUUUGGGUUCCUAAGACCCUUGUUACUAACAUCAAAGGACCCACUACAAAAUGGGUACCUAAAACCAAGCAUUGAUCUCUUGUAGGUGUUUGCUUCCGGUGGGGGAUCAUGGUUGCUCGAUAGUGGAGCUACAAAUCAUAUGACCGGAAGCAAGGACUUGGUGGUGGACGUGCACAAGAUUCCAUCUAUGCCCACCAAUGUCGAGUGGGGUGAUGCCUCGUCUUCUAAGGUAUUGGGACUCGGCAAAGUUGUCAUUUCUCAUGAUCUCACGAUCGAGAAGGUCAUGCUAGUUGAGUCCCUUGAAUACAAUUUACUUUUCGUUCGUCAACUUGCUAUCAUGGGCUUUGCCACUUUCUUUGAUAUUGAUACCGUGCCCUCUUGUGGAGCAAGACUCUUAAAGUAGCCUUUGUUGGGCAUGUCGAGAACGGUCUCUAUGUGAUUAACUUUUCGGAGCGACCCACUAAGACCGCGACAUGCCUAAUGGCUAAAAUUGACGUGGGAUGGCUUUGCCAUCGCUGUUUAGCCCAUGUCAAUAUGAGAUCUUUGCAAAGUCUUCUCAAGGGGGACCAUGUCCGUGGACUAACGAACGCUAGUUUUGCUAAAGAUCGUGCUUGCAGUGCUUGUAUCGAAGGAAAGCUUCAUGAGAAGACUCACCCUCCCACGACUCUCAUUUACUCGAAGAGGCCUUUGGAGCUCCUUCAUUUGGAUCUCUUUGGGCCUCCAUCCUUUGAUAGUCUUGGGGGUAGAAAGUAUUGCUUGGUAAUUGUGGAUGACUAUUCAAGAUACACUUGGGUGUAUUUCUUCAAGAGGAAGAGUGAGACCCAACAAACCGUCAUUGACUUUGCAAAUGAAGCCCAACGUCAAUACAAUGCAAAGAUCUUGACAAUAAGAAGUGACAACGGCACCGAGUUCAAGAACUACACCUUGGAUGAGUUUCUUAGUGAUGAGGGGAUCAAGCAUCAAUAUUCCGCACCUUACAGCCCUCAACAAAACGGUGUUGCGGAGAGGAAGAACCAGACGUUGAUGGAUGCCGCAAGGACCAUGAUGGCGGAGUUCAAGUCUCCAUACAACUUUUGGGCAGAAGCCAUCAACACCGCGUGUCAUGCAUCCAAUCAGCUCUACCUCCGCAAGGGCUUGAACAAGACUCCAUAUGAGAUACUCACCGGUAACAAGCCCAACCUCAAGUAAUUUCGGGUGUUUGGGUGUAAGUGUUUCAUUCUCAAGAAAGGUGUUCGAUUGUCUAAAUUUGAGGCUAGAGCAUAUGAGGGCAUAUUUGUUGGUUAUGCUACAAACUCCAUGCUUACCGUGUCCUCAAUAAAUUCACGGGACUUAUUGAGGAGACGUGUAACAUGGAGUUUGAUGAGAAUAACGGCUCCCAAGUGGAGCAAAGUGGCACUUGUGAUGUAGGUGAUGAAAUUCCUCCUCAAGCCAUAAGAAGAAUGGGUGUUGGUUUUAUCCUACCCAUUGAGGAACCCCUUGUGGCCGAAGGAGAAGGACAAUGCUCCACUCAAGUGGAGCCAUCACCAACCCAAGGCCCACACGCUUCCGAAGAACAAAGUGAAGGCCCUCAACCUCAUGAACAAGAACAAGGGCAAAAUCAUGAUCAAGACGGUGGAGACACACCAAGUGAUGACCAAGGUCAAGUUCUCUCCUCCGAGCAAGUUCAAGAUCAAGAACAAGCUCAAGACGGCGCUCAAGAUGACCAAGUGACCGCUCCUCAACUCACCUCCGAGGAGGAAUUGGAGCGUCGUGCCGCCAAGAUUGCUUCCAAGCUCUCCACCAAGGGUCAUCUCAUGAAUAAUGUACUUGGAAGAAUUCAAAAGGGGGUAAGCACUCGUAGACAAUUGGCAAACUAUUGUGAACAUCACGCGUUUGUCUCUUGUGUGGAACCCCAAAAGGUAUAUGAAGCUCUCGAAGAUCCGGAUUGGCUCAAUGCCAUGCAUGAAGAACUCAACAACUUCGAGUACAACAAGGUGUGGAGAUUAGUGCCAAGGCCAACGGGGAACCACAAUGUCAUUGGAACAAAGUGGAUAUUCAAGAACAAGCAAGAUGCUCAUGGGACCAUCAUCCGCAACAAGGCACGAUUGGUGGCACAAGGCUACUCCCAAGUCGAGGGUAUCGACUACGGUGAAACCUUUGCUCCCGUUGCUCGCCUUGAAUCUAUUCGUUUGUUGAUUGCUUAUGCUUCUCAUCACAACUUUAAGUUGCAACAAAUGGAUGUGAAGAGUGCUUUUCUUAAUGGACCUAUUAAUGAGUUGGUGUAUGUCAAGCAACCCCCCGGGUUCGAGGAUCCCUACUUUCCCGAUCAUGUGUAUCAACUCGAUAAGGCACUCUAUGGCCUUAAACAAGCCCCACGUGCGUGGUAUGACCACCUUACCGAGUUGUUACAAGAUCGUGGGUUUGAAGUUGGGCUAAUCGACCCCACUCUUUUUACUAAGAAGGUCAAAGGGGAGUUGUUUGUGUGCCAACUAUAUGUUGAUGACAUUAUCUUUGGUUCCCCUAACAAAGCUUUCAAUGAGGAAUUUGCCGCACUCAUGACCUCAAAGUUCAAGAUGUCUUCCAUGGGAGAGUUGAAGUUCUUUCUCGGUUUCGAAGUAAAGCAAAGAAGAGAAGGAACCUUCAUCAACCAAGCCAAAUACACUCAAGACAUGGUCAAGAGAUUCAAGCUAAAUGAUGUCAAGCCGGCGUCCACUCCAAUGCCCACCAAGUGCCAACUUGACAUCGAUCCCAAUGGUAAAGCGGUGGAUCAAAAGGUAUAUCGCUCCAUGACUGGUUCAUUACUUUACCUUUGUGCAUCUAGACCGGAUAUCAUGUCGAGUGUGGGAAUUUGUGCACGUUUUCAAGCCGCACCUAAGGAAAGCCACUUUGUGGUGGUCAAGCGGCUCAUACCCCAAACUUUGGCUUAUGGUACCCAAGAGGAGCAAACUUCAAGCUUGUAGGGUAUUCGGACUCCGAUUGGGUGGGAGACAAAGUGGAUAGGAAGUCCACUUCCGGAGGUUGCCAAUUCCUUGGUUGCUCUUUGGUAAGUUGGUCUUCUAAAAAGCAAAGUUGUGUUUCUCUCUCGUCCACCGAAGCGGAGUAUGUGGCGGCCGGGAGUUGUUGUGCACAACUCUUAUGGAUGAGGCAAACUUUAAAGGAUUACGAUGUCAUUUGUGACAAAGUGCCUCUUUGGUGUGACAAUGAAAGUGCCAUCAAGAUUUCUCUCAACCCGGUGCAACACUUCAAGACGAAGCAUAUUGAGAUUCGGUAUCACUUCACCCGGGAUCAUAUUAGGCGAGGGGUGAUCGAGCUCAACUAUGUCAACACUCGUGAUAACCUUGCAGAUAUUUUCACGAAGCCAUUGGAUGAAGCAAGAUUUCGCGAGUUAAGGCAUGAGCUAAAUAUCAUUGAUUCGAGCAAUGUUGCUUGAGCACUUGCACUCCCCACCAUACUCGACUUGUUAUCUUGUUUAGGUGUAGGCAUGGACAUAGGGGGAGUGUUGUUCUCUUAAUGAACUCUCCCUCCCCUUAUUAUGCAUAAAUUGAUCAACUCUUUCACAUUAGCCAUUUUUGAUGAUACUUGUGCUUCAAAGACGAGUUUUGGUCAUGGGUCCAAGGAUAAUUCUUCGCGGUGCCAUACCAAUUGACUCAAACAUAGGUGGCCUCGGCCACCGCCCUCUCUUGUAGAGGUGUGUGGUUCUUGUCCUUGUGCUGAUGCUUUUGUUGGUGUGUGUUUUGCUCUCUUUUCUUGCCGUUUGUUUCUCUCUUCUUUUGAGCUAAGCCUCUGUGUCUAGACUUUGGAGUAUUGGCUGGGCGGUACUACCGCUGGUGGUGCGCGGUACUACCGCUUAUGUUGACAAGCGGUACUACCGCCCACCCGAGCGGUACUACCGCUUAUGUUGACAAGCGGUACUACCGCCCACCCGAGCGGUACUACCGCUGGGGGCGGGAUCAGGGGGUUAUGUUGGGGCAGGGGGAGGUUUCUCCUCCCCCAUACCCAUUCGCACCACCCCUUCGUCCCUCUCCCUCUCUCCAGCGACUCCUCGCCGCGGGAGGGCUCCGGCGGGCCGCCGUCUCCGGGCCAUCCCUCUCCAUUCCCUUUGGUGGAGUCGAUCCCCACCUCGUCCUCUUGCCAUGGAUGCCGGUAUUGACCUCGUUCUUUCUCUCUUUUUGUCUAGUUCUUAGAUCUAGUGUUUUUGGGGCAAUAGUGGUUGCAUCUCUAGAUUUUUGGCUAAAUCUCGGCUUGAGUUGUUUGGAGAAGGCGUCUAGACUAUGUGGAUUAAGUUUUGGUAGGAUUAUUUUUGAAUUUGGCAGUCCGGUAGUGCCGGAUCUGACCACCAUAGUAGGAACUGCCGGUUCCCCGUCUUGCGCAGUACUACCGCUUGGGCGGUACUACCGCUCCCACUGGGGCGGUACUACCGCUUGGGCGGUACUGCCGCCUAUGGCCAGCGGUACUACCGCUGUCUGGCAGAUUCCAUCAUUCCCAACCUUUGUUUGAUCCAUGUUGUUUUGUUUGGAGGCUUACGCUUUCUUCUUCCGUGUUGGUUUUCUGUUCGUGUGUUUGGUUCCAGGUGAUGAACAUCCUGAGCAGCAAGUCCGCCGUGUCAACCCCGGACGUUCAACGUCAAAGCGGUAUCGCACAUCUGAGUCUGCUGGUGGUUCCUCCAAUGCUCCACCGCCGCCAGUGGGUGCUUCCUCAAGUGCUAAUCCUCAACAUCAGAAGAAACUUGCCAACAGGCCGAAGCCAAGGGCCAAGACUGUGACUGAGAUGUCUGCAAAGGAGUUCUGGGCAAAGCGUCGCUGCAACCCCUAUGCGGAAGACCAAGAACCCAGUUUGGUCAACUGGCUGUUCUGGAACCGCUUUCAUUUUGCCAUCUACUUUGAUGUGAUCAAGGCCAAGAAGAAUCUCUUUGUUAAUGUUCGCUCCAUCGACACAGAUGCCAUGGAGAAGGAUCCCGAAUACUUUGGUGAAGCUCUUCAGAUGUGUACUCAGCUCAACAUUCUCAGAAUCAUGCAGUUCAACAAGGACUUUGAUGCAGAGUUGGUGGCUCAGUUCUUUGCUACUGUCCAUCUUGGAACUGGUGAAGAAAGGUCUCUGACCUGGAUGACAAAUGGCAAGUUACUGUCUGUCAAGUGGAAGGCCUUCAUGGAGUUACUUCAUGUGGAAGAUGGCGGGCUUGAGAUGCCUGUUGGCUUUCGCCCUCACCACAACGUCAACUCCACUCACAAGCAAGCCCUCUGGCCCUACUGCACAGUGAAGGUUCACCCUGUGACUAAGAAGGAGACCUAUGAGUUGUCCGCCUACCUGGACAUCCUUCAUCGUAUCUUUCGAGAGACCCUCUUUCCUCGCAUCGGGAAUCUGGAUAUGGUUCACUCCUAUCUCGUGGAUAUGCUUCUCUUCUGCCAGCGUGAGAAGGAAGCAAACACUGGCGAGUCCCUGGACAUCUCUCAUGUUAUGUGGUCUGAACUUCUCACUGCCAUUUCUGAGCGCAAGUGCCCGAUCUAUGGUCCAUUCAUCAUGUUGCUCAUUGAGAAGGCCUGGCGACGUUCCUUUCCCGCGGAGCAGCUGGAAACUGGAGAGUUGGUUUCUCAUGAGAUCAAGCGUCUGAGGAAGAAGGAUAACUGGGGCACCUCCGUUCCUACAUCUGGGGUUCCGUCUUCUGCUGCUACCAUGGAGUCCGAGGGCGAGGAUGAGGCCGAUGAUGACGAUGAGGAUUAUGUGCCUUCUGGGACAGAGCCUUCUGCGGCAGAGCCCUCUUGGGCAAAGAAGCUCAAACACAAGAUGAAGAAGCUAUUCUGCAUGGAGUCUCACGGUCAGUACAUGACUCAUGUGGCUGAGAAGAAGGCAAGGGGACGUCACAAGGAGCUUAUGCGUCAGUUGGGUGCGACAGUCACCAGCGGCUCUGAGGGUCAGAUCACUGAGGAGGAGGAGUGGAUCCAGCAGCACUGUCCGUGGACCGAUUCAGAUGCCGAGCAGUUUCCAGCCGAGGAUGGUGGUGCAGAUGAUCACGCAGAGUCCUGAUGUUCGAGAUCCUCAGCAUGCUCUCACCUGGAGCCGUAGGUUAGCUCUUUGCCCCUUUUGGUGUCUCGAUGCCAAAGGGGGAGAGAGUUUAGGGAUUUGCGUCAUUGUGUUGCGAGUGUGUCUUUGUCUUUGUGCUUUCGUUGUGUUUGCUACCUUGUGCUUUGUUUGGUUUUGUGUUCCGUGAGACCUAAGUUCCAGUCAUAUGGUGUGAGACAUAUGCUAUCUUAUCCUUAUCAUAUCUUUAUCUAUGUCUCUAGUCUUUUGGUAUCUCAUGAGUUGCAUGCUUAUUAUGUUAUAUAUCCUGCUCUCUUGAAUCACACUUAGGUUGUUGGUCUCUAAAAUACAGGGGGAGUGUUGAUCCUAGUAUGUGUGUCGUGCAGUCCAAAGCACUUAUCUUGAUGGCACACAUCUAGGGGGAGCCCGUCUAUAUUUUAGAGACUUGGGGGUUUGCUUAUGUCCUUUGUCUUUUCCCGUUUGUGCAAAUCCCGUAUUGUCAUCAAUCCACCAAAAAGGGGGAGAUUGUAAGGGCAUAUUUAUCCCUAAGAUAUUUUGGUGAUUGAUGACAAUGCUUUUGCAGACUAAUCGUGUGCAUUGAGUUUUUUCAGAGAUUCAUCCUUUGGCACGAGAUGAUUCCCUCCCCUCGGAGUUUGAAGCGAAGACGGUGUAGUACUUUCGAAUUAGUUUGGUGGACUAGUUUUGUAGGGAUCACCGUACUAUCAAGAGGAGGUCCACUUUGGAAAGGCUAGGGUGGAAUCAUCACGUACACUUCCUUUGCACACCCUCCGAGCCUUUCCGCUUCGUUGAUGAGCUCGUUCCCCUCUCUCAAUGUGCCCUCUCUGGUCCCAGCGGUAGUACUGCGGGCCGGAGCGGUAGUACCGCUUGGGUGCUACAAGCGGCAGUACUGCUCCAUAGCGGUAGUACCGCUGUAGCCCCCAGUCGUAGUACCGCUGCGGCUUCGUGCUAGUACCGCCUCGAUUCAAGGGGUCUUUUUCCGUGUCGGGUUUUACGGUACUUGCCGCGGCAGUGGGGGGGUAGUACCGCUCGUGUGCGGUAGUACCACCCUGACCACCGCGGUAGUACCGCUCUGGGCCCAGCGGCAGUACCGCGGGAGGGAACGGUAGUACCGCUGGCUUAGCGGUAGUACCGCUGGCCAAGCGGUAGUACCGCUCUCUGCGGGGCUGAAGUGGGGGGUAACGGUUGGAUUGCUUCCCCCACUAUAAAAGGGGGUCAUCUUCCCCAAAGUUGACUCACCUCUUCCCCCAAAAGCUCCAUUGUUGCUCCAAGCUCCAUUUUCGCCCGAUCUCUCUCCCUAGCCAAUCAAACUUGUUGAUUUGCUCGGGAUUGGUUGAGAAGGCCCCGAUCUACACUUCCACCAAGAGAAAUUUGAUUCCCCCCACUUAUCCCUAGCAGAUCUUGUUACUCUUGGGUUUUUAGCACCCUAGACGGUUGAGGUCACCGCGGAGCCAUAGUCCAUUGUGGUGAAGCUUUGCGGUGUCGUUGGGAGCCUCCAAUUAAGUUGUGGAGAUUGCCCCAACCUUGUUUGUAAAGGUCCGGUCGCCGCCUUCAAGGGCACCAAUAGUGGAAUCACGGCAUCUCGCAUUGUGUGAGGGCGUGAGGAGAAUACGGUGGCCCUAGUGGCUUCUUGGGGAGCAUUGUGCCUCCACACCGCUCCAACGGAGACGUACUUCCCCUCAAAAGGAAGGAACUUCGGUAACACAUCCUCGUCUUCACCGGCUCCACUCUUGGUUAUCUCGUCCCUUUACUUUUGCAAGUUUACUCGUGUUAUAUCCCUUUUUUUGCGUGCUUGUUGUCAUUGCAUCAUAUAGUUUGCUCACUUAGUUGCAUAUCUAGACAACCUAUUUUGAUGCAAAGUUCAAUUUGGUAAAGAAAAGCUAAAAAUUGUUAGUUGCCUAUUCACCCCCCUCUAGUCAACUAUAUCGAUCCUUUCAACCAGUCUCAUGAACGCGGUCAUGUAAUGUCGGUCUGGGCCGCUUCAUCCAACAAUACCGCCAAAUCAAAGUAUGACAUGCUGGUAAGCAGUAUGACUAUUAUCGCCCACAACUCUUUGUGUUCUACUCGUGCAUAUAACAUCUACGCAUAGACCUGGCUCGGAUGCCACUGUUGGGGAACAUAGUAUUUCAAAAUUUUCCUACGAUCACGCAAGAUCCAUCUAGGAGAUGCAUAGCAAUGAGCGGGGAGAGUGUGUCCACGUACCCUCGUAGACCGAAAGCGGAAGCGUUAAGUAACGCGGUUGAUGUAGUCGAACGUCUUCGUGAUCCAACUGAUCAAGUACCAAAUGCACGGCACCUCUGCGAUCUGCACACGUUCAUCUCGGUGACGUCCCUUGAACUUCUAGAUCCAGCUGAGGUCGAGGGAGAGUUUCGUCAGCACGACGGCGUGUUGACAGUGAUGAUGAAGUUACCGACGCAGGGCUUCGCCUAAGCACUACGCCAAUAUGACCGAGGUGGUAAUAUGUGGAUGGGGGCACCGCACACGGCUAAGAAUCAACUUGUGUCUCUAUGGGGUGCCCCCCUCCCCCGUAUAUAAAGGAGGGGAGGAGGGGCCGGCCGGCCUCAUGCACUACAAAAAAAGACACUUCCGUGAUGAUACGUGUUUGUCACAGUUGGUCACGUUUUCAGUCAUGCAUGUACAUCCAUGAAAAUUUUAUGACAGAAUCAAGAUAGUCAUACCUGUUUUGUCGUAGAAGUGUUCCAUGACAUUACCAAAAUUAUCAUCACGGAAGUGUCCACUUCCAUGACGAUAAAUCGCGCGUCAUAGAAGUGCUUUCGUCAAGGGUGACCAACACGUGGCAUCCACCGUAACGGGAUGCCGUUAAGCUAUCGGGUUCGGUUUUGGAUCCGAUAACCCGCUAACAGCCACGACCAAUGAUGAUUUUCCACAUGUAAAAUUCUCAUUGGCUGACGGAACCACGUGUCAGCUCCGCGUUGGCACAUCCAAUGGGCGAGAUGCGCCUAUGAUACGUUGACACGUGGACCGGCCCAAAAGUGGCCCAUAAAGAUUAAAUGGGCAGGCCCAACUAAAGUCCCACAAGAUUUAGCGGGCCAUAAUGGGCCAGCCCAGCUAACGGCCAACAAGAUUUUGCAGACCAUAAUGGGUCGGCCCAGCUAAAGGCCCAAAAUUCUCUGUUAAGGCCCGUGCGGCUAGUGUCAAAUCGGCCCGUCAACGACCCGUCCAAAACUUGUCAUCAUCGCGGCCCAUGGUCACUUCUGGCCCAUUAACAGUCCGCUAAGAAUUUGGGCCGAAUUACGGCCCAGUGUGUUUCCGGCCUGUUAAAGGUCCUGCUUCAUUUGGGCCCAUUUAUAGGCCAUUGAAACUUUCGGCCCAUAAAUAACCGUGAAGGAUAUGGGUCAUAUUCGGCCAUGUCUGACAUUCGUCCUGUUAGAGGCCCACUACAGAUUUGGGCCACUUUCAGCCUGUUGUGACUUUUGGCCUGUUAACGUCAUACGAAAUCCAUGGGCCAUAUGUGGCCCAACGCCACAUCGGGCCUACUAACGACCCAUAUAAAAAUGACACUAAUCAAGCCCGACGGAACUUCCAGCCUGUUAAAGGCCCGUGUAGUAGGUCGGCGCAUUUACGGCUCGUCUGGAUCUCGGCCUGUGGACGAUCCGCAUUGUAAAUGGGCCACCAUUUUGGCCUGCUAAGACCAGUGGGUUAUUUGGCACAAUCAGGGCCCAAUCUUACUUUCGGCCUAUUAAAGGCCCAUUUUUUUGUAGGCUCGAGAUAUUUACACGUGUAAACAGCCUAUCAUUACCGAGGGCCCAAAUUAUGUUUAGGCCUGUUAAAGGCCCACUAUGGGCACAUGCCUACCAGAAAAAUAUGAAAGCUUAUGCUGAUUUAGGCCCAGAUAUAUUUAGUGGGCUACAUGCAAAUUUCGGCCCAGAAUCGUUUUUAGACCAAUUGGAAUAAGCCCGACGAAUGUUGGCAUGCUGGGCUCCUACGAAGCUUUUUUGACCGAAUACAUUACUAAGAUAAACCUACACUAUACAAAAAUAGCGUCGUAAUUACUGCAGCCUUUGGCAGCAUCAUAAAUGUUGUAUCACAACAAAAUAAAUUCCAACCAUACAACAAAAGGCCUGUUGGCAUAAAGUUUACAGUCCUUGCAGAUAAAAGCACCAUCAGAUGUAUAGAAGCACAAAUCAUUUGACCUGGGUGCUUAUGUUUCAGGUUGUAGAAUCUGAUGGAGCAGCACGAUCUUCCCCCUUUUCCUGCCAUUGCUCUUGAACAACGAAGCAAAUGUCUGAUAGUCUUGUUUCAAAACCAUUCAUAUCUUCACGACAUUUUUCAACCACUAUUUUUGUUUCCGACACAACGUCCAUUAGGGAUUGGACUUGUGUCUGGAGCACAGAUAUAUCACUCUGUCUAGCUAGAAGAUUUUGUUCAGUAGGCGAUUUGGACGAGGUUACCUUAACAACCAACCCAGAAUUACGCAGGAAGGUGAUUUUUGCACUGUUAGUGGAGAGAUACUGACGCAUUGCAGCAAGAGGUGACACUGUGCCUGUGGUAGCCUCGUCACCUUCAGGUGGUUGUGGUUGUUCAAUAAUUUGUUCCAUAGCUUGCUGAAAGUUUGAACUUGUAGAUUAGUGUACCAGAUAAGUUACUAAUGAGACAAAAACAAACAAAGUAGGUUUCACAUUUAUACAUAACUUAUUUUGGUGAACUACUAUAAUACAUUAGCAUGUAUUGUAGUGCCAACUACAUAAUAAAAUCACUUUCGGAACAUAUGUCCAUGUAGCAUGCCUACUGUAUUGUCUAUUUCCUCACAUUCGUUGACAUCUAAGGAUAAAGAGACAUGGUUUAAAGUAGGAUGAACAUAGUAUGACAUCAUUCAUAUCAUGGGCAAACAAAUAUAAAACAAACAGGCUAUUGUAUCAUUGUGUGCGCACGUGAACAUCACAACUAGAUUACAGAUCAAGACCAAAAGAAUAUCCUUCAUCUCAUUUAAACAAUGUAAGGUGAAAUGAUACGUUAAGACAAUUGUGUAUAAAAGUGAACAGAGUAACUGACAUUGGCUGCAAACCAAGCAGUUAAAUGAACACAUCACAGUACCAAUCAGUUCAAAGGCAGGAGUAAGGACUUACAAUAGCGGCCUGAACUGGUGUGCUCAUGCCCUUCAUCUUGCUGGUGUGGCAAUCCUUGAAGAUUUGCACUGCAUUCGGUUCAGGUUCUUUUUGGUCCGCACGGGUUUUCCUCUGUAUUUGGAACAAGUCAAUAUAGAUACGACAAUAUGGCACAGAAAAAAGAAGGAAGUAGCAGCUAUUUACAAGAGCCUCGCAGUGUGCAAUAUAGCUAGGAGAUCAUGUUGUCUGUUGGAAUUUCACUUUAGAACGGUUGGUCGUGUUCUUCAAAUAGUUAGCCUAGAAGAAGAUACACUUGUAAGGCACAUACAUAAAUACAAGUUCAAUAUGUGGUCUGAUCAAAUACAUAUACCCUACCUGAUACUUUGGAUCAGACCAAUGUUUAAUAAGGGUUGUCCAGUCUUCAUCUGUAAUAUAUUCCACUAGAGAUGUUUGGGCGAUUUCAUUGUUAGCCUUGCCAUCAAAGUGAGAUUUUCUAAGGUGGUACCGAUACUGUCGCAGAGCAGACUGAAAAACAUGAGUGCAUGCUUGUUUAGUUGCAUCAUCUUUAGGAUCCAACUUGAACCUCAUCUGUGAAAAAAGAAUGUGAGUCUAAAUAGGAGGAAGCUAGAAAGUAUGGCACAGAGCAAGACAAUAUUACAAAUUGUGAUGAAUAACAUUACUUACGGAUAAAUGCUCAAGGAAGGUGUUAAACUGGGUAUUGUCUUUCUCAUUCCUGUACUGGAUCCAUGUAGGGAAGGAUUAAGAUAGAUAUUGCGCAAACUUGGGAAGGUCUUCAUCGAACCACCGGUAGGAUUGAAACAACGAAUAAAUUAAUAUGCGGACAUAGGAAAAGGAAUCUUGAACGAACCACCGUAAGAAUUUAAAAUGAAUGAAGAAAAGAGAACGAAUCACCGUAAGAAUUAAAGAGCGCGCGAAAAUAUUCAAGGGAAUUUGAUACACAAGAACGAAGAGAUCACGAGCUGAUUAGAUGAUACUUGAAUGAUGCACCGGUAAGAUUUGGAGAACAAGAGCUGAAUGUUGAAAACGAAUAAAUCUUCUGAAAUGAUGGCCUUCGGAGAAUCAAACUGAAAAGACUCAUGAAUUGCUCCGGAUGGGUAUGAAAAGAAUUCUCACAAUUGAAAACAACUAUGAGAGGAUGGCAUAAGCUAGAACUAUGAAUCUUCAAGAGAACGGAUAAGAUUUGGAGGAAAAACUCUUCUUCGGUCUUCAAAUGUUGAGAAUGAUGACGAGAAACACCACCAUGAAUUUAUGAGGCACUCCGGAACCAUGAAGAAUAGAAAGGUUGAAUCAACAAUGAAAGAAUUUGAAAGAUCUUGGAGAAAGACAUAUGACUGAUGAUAACUCAUUCUUACGUCAAACUUUGCAAAGAAUUUGAGAAUAACUCCGGAAAAAUUAGAAGAGUCAGGUAAGAUCCUGGGGAAAAACCUGUGGGUUAGGGCCCACUCAAAAGAAACACCGUUGAAAUGAUUACUUGAAAAGGAGAUAGCACCGGUUGAAUGAUUACCUCGCUCUGAUACCAACUUGUAACACCCACGAUGCGGCUAUAUCUCCCACGUGUCGAGGCACGACUUAGAGGCAUAACCGCAUUGUGGUUUUGUCGCAAGAAGGGUCAUCUUCACACAAUCCCAUGUAAUGAACAAGAAUGGGAUAAAGAGUUGGCUUACAAUCGCCACUUCACACAAUACAUAAAUAAAUCAUACAUCAAUCAGAGUACACACAUAGGUCCGACUACGGAACCAAAAUAAAAGAAGACAACCCAACUGCUAGAUCCCCGAUCGUCCCAACUGGGCUCCACUACUGAUCAACAUGAAAAGAAACAACACAACGGACAAGAUCUUCAUCGAGCUCCCACUUGAGCUCAGUUGCGUCACCUGCACUGGUAUCAUCGGCACCUGCAACUGUUUUGGAAGUAUCUGUGAGUCACGAGGACUCAGCAAUCUCACACCCGCGGGAUCAAGACUAUUUAAGCUUAUAGGAAAAGAUGGGGUAAUGAGGUGGAGCUGCAGCAAGCACUAGCAUAUAUGGUGGCUAACAUACGCAAAUGAGAGCGAGAAGAGGAGCAACGGAAUGGUCGUCAACUAGUAAUGAUCAAGAAGUGAUCCUGAACUCCUACUUGCGUCAAACAUAACCCAAGAACCGUGUUCACUUCCCGGACUCCGCCGAAAAGAGACCAUCACGGCUACACACGCGGUUGAUGCGUUUUAAUUAAGUCAAGUGUCAAGUUCUCUACAACCGGACAUUAACAAAUUCCCAUCUGUCUCAUAACCGCGGGCACGGCUUUCAAAAGAUAAUACCCUGCAGGGGUGUCCCAACUUAGCCCAUUAUAAGCUCUCACGGUCAACGAAGGAUAAACCUUCUCCCGGGAAGACCCGAUCAGUCUCGGAAUCCCGGUUUACAAGACAUUUCGACAAUGGUAAAACAAGACCAGCAAGACCACCCGCUGUGCCGACAAAUCCCGAUAGGAGCUGCACAUAUCUCGUUCUCAGGGCACACCGGAUAAGCGAAGCGUACAGGUACCAACGUAACCCAAGUUGCCAAGGGACGGUCCCGCACAGUGCUCUAGUUUGGACCAGCACUCAGAGGAACACUGGCCCGGGGGUUUAAAUAAAGAUGACCCUUGAGUCUGCACGACCCAAGGGAAAAAGGCAUAGGUAGGCAAAUGGUAAAACCAAGGUUGGGCCUUGCUGGAGGAGUUUUAUUCAAGGCGAACUGUCAAGGGGGUCCCAUAAAUCACCCAACCGCAUAAGGAACGCAAAAUCAAGGACCAUAACACCGGUAUGACGGAAACUAGGGCGGCAAGAGUGGAACAAAACACCAGGCCUAAGGCCGAGCCUUCCACCCUUUACCAAGUAUAUAGAUGCAUUAAUUAAGAUAAGAGAUAUUGUGAUAUCCCAACAUAAACAUAAUCCAACAUGGAGCAAUCUUCAUCUUCACCUGCAACUAGCAACGCUAUAAGAGGGGCUCAGCAAAAGCGGUAACAUAGCCAAACAACGGUUUGCUAGGAAAAAGGUGGGUUAGAGGCUUGACAUGGCAAUAUGGGAGGCAUGAUAUAGCAAGUGGUAGGUAGCGCGGCAAAGCAAUAGAGCGAACAACUAGCAAGCAAAGAUAGAAGUGAUUUCGAGGGUAUGGUCAUCUUGCCUGUGAUCCCGCAAGGAAGAAGAACGAGUCCAUGAAGAAAACAAAUGGACGUAGACGAACGAAUCCUCACAACUCCGGAACGAAACCAAAGCUAACGAGAGAAGCAAACCGGAAAGAAACAAACAACAUAGUAAACAACCACCACAUAAACAUUGCAUGAUGCACAAUCAAGUAUGAUGCAUGUCCGGUUUAAUGAGGCAUGGCAUGGCAAAGAUUAAUGACAUGAUGACAUGAUGCAAUGCAAAAAUAAAAGAGCAAGCACCAAAAGAAACACGCGGUGAUCACGAAAAUAAGGAAGUCUUCUGAAGCGUCGGUCUUGGGGCGUUACAGAUACGUGCAUGACACCUAACAACAAUGGCUGUCUCUAAUACUAACUUGGCUGACUCUGUAGCAUCACAUGGCCAUUUUAAACCUGCCUCAAAAUGGAUCUCCAUUCUUCCUCCUUUAGAUUUUGUUAAUCUAUCAAGCAUUAUCCCUGAUGUCUGUUUCCACUUGUGAUGUGGUGCUAGUUCAACAACGAAUAUGGAAAGUGUUAGUGCACAUCAAACUGUGAGAGUACAUAUAAAGGAGCAUGCAACUGCAACUUUACUCGGUCAGGUACCGUCUUGGUGUUGAUGCUCAUGAGGUUCAUUUGAUCUUGCCAAGUCCUGUUGUGUCAGUAGUGCUUCGGAAGUAGUGUUAGGUGUGAAUACAACUUGGGAACUGGCCAGUUCCGGAGCAAACGAACGAGUAACUCGUUGAGAUGUUGGUACAGUUGAAGCGGAUGCUGCAGCUAGUGGAGCAGGUGAUACUGUGUUUGUAGAUUUAGCCGGUGGACCUUGACCUUCUACUGCACUAUAAGUACCAGCAGAAUCUCGAGGGCAGAUCCUUUUCUGUUUCACUGACGAGUAACAACAUUCCCUACUAUAUUCUUUUCCUUGCUCAUUUUUGACUUUGCCAUGUCAAGGCAUACCCACAACACAAAGGAAUAAAAUUUCUCUUCAGAACUCAUUGAUGCAUGAUACGGACAAGCAAUACUUUGAUGUAAGACAACCGCAUGAGGAUGGAAUAUGUAAGAAAAAUAGGACGGCAUGACAUAUUCAAAGCUACGAUGUGUAAACUAAGCAGAAGGAUUUUCAAGAAAAUAGAAGUAAUGCAAGCUAGACACCAUAUGAAAGAUGCAACCAAUAUCACUCUGCCUAGUUAAAAGUGUCUCGUCAUAAGUGGCAUUUCGAAAAAUUAGAAGCAGUACAAUGUAGAAAUCAAUCCAAGAUGCAACCACUAUCAAACUGCCAUGUUAAAAGCGUCCAAUCAUGAGUGACUGAUGCGGGAUACACAACAGCAGUACUUUGAUGUAAGAACAUGGUAUGAUUGAUAGAUGCAGUGUAUUCUAGACACAAAAAGGCAUGUCAUAUGCACAUGUAUAACGUAUAAACUCAGCAGCUGCAAUUUAAUCAAAAUAGAAGAAAUACAGGCUAGACAACAUAUGCAACGUGAAACCAAUUAUCACACUGUCAACUUAGAGAAAGCACCUGCGAUGUGGAGUACGGGAGAUGAACUCAUCAUGUAGACUUGGUACUUCAACUUCAUUAGCAGUAGCAGUGGCAAAUCUAGAGAGUAUCUGUUUGCGUCGGCCCGGAGGACCACCAACAUCCCCUAACUUACUCUUUUCCUUCCUAUUUUCUGAUAUUGCCUUAUGAAGUCAAAACCAAAAGAAGAUGAAUAAAAUUAGCUCUGCAUAACUGGUUGAUGCAUGAUACAGACGAACACUACUUUGAUGUAAGGCAAGCGCAGGAUAGGAGGAUGGAAUAUAUACAAAAAAAGACAUCAUUGCAUAUUCAGACGUACGAUAGGAGGAUGGAAUAUGUAUGAAAAACAGUAAGAAAAAGGCAUUGCAACAAAAUUAGAAGAAAGGAAAGCUAGGCACAAUAUGAACAUGCAACCAAUAUCACUCUAUCAGGUAAAAAGUGUCUUGUUGUAAGUGCCAUUUCAAGAAAUUAGAAGCAGUACAAGCUAGAAGACAAUGCAAGAUGCAACCUACAUCACACUCCCAAGUUAAAUGUGUCUUAUGGGUAAGUGAUCAUUGCAGGUAUAAGUUGUAAGCUACGCAGAUGUAAUUCAACAAAAUCAGAAGCAAUACAAACUAGACAUCAUAUGAAACACGCAACCACAUAUAAGAGUUCCAAGUUAGAGCAAGCACCUGUGAUGGUGGAGUAGGGGAGAUGUGCUCAUCAUCUACACUUAUGUUCUAGAAACAGGAACAUGUGUCAUAUUAACAGGCAUUAUGUGUAAAGUAAGCAGAUGCAAUUCAACAAAUUUAGAAGCAAUACAAGCUAGACAUCAUACGCAAUAUGCAACCACAUAUAAUAGUGCCAAGUUAGAGCAAGCACCUGUGAUGGUGGAGUAGGGGAGAUGUGCUCAUCAUCUACACAACUACGUUGACAGUCCAGCCUUGUGUUGUCUUGGGAAUCUUGUUGGUAGGAUGGCGGAGUAGAAUCUAUAGAGACCCUCUAUUUGAGUUGCUCCGAAGGACCACCAUCAUCCACUGCUGGACUAAUUUCCUUUAGUUGUAUUGAUUUUUCAUUGUGAAGUCAAACCGAUAAGAAAAAGGAAUAAAAUUCGCUCUUCAGAACUCAUUCAUGCAUGAUACUGACGAACACUACUCGGAUGAAAGGCAAACACAUUAUACGAGGAGGGAAUAUGUACGAAAAAUAGGACGGCAUGACAUAUUCACACCUAUGAUGUGGUAACUAAGCAGAAGGCAUUUCAACAAAUUAGAAGCACUGCAAGCUAGACACCAUAUGAAAGGUGCAACCAAUAUCACUCUGCCAAGUUCAAACUGUCUGGUGUUUCAACAAAUUAGAAGCAGUACAUGCUAGAAAUCAUAUGCAAGACACAACCAAUAUCAAAGUGGUGACUUAAAGGUGCCUUAUCAUAAGUGACUGAUGCGGGAUAUGCAAGAACAGUAGUCUGAUGUAAGAACAUGGUGUGAUCAGAUAUAGUAUGUUCUAGAAACAGGAACACGUGUCAUAUUCACAGGCAUUAUGUGUAAAGUAAGCAGAUGCAAUUCAACAAAGUUAGAAGCAAUACAAGCUAGACAGCAUACGCAACAUGCAACCACAUAUAAUAGUGCCAAGUUAGAGCAACCACCUGUGAUGGUGGAGUAGGGGAGAUGUGCUCAUCAUCUAUGCAGCUACGUUGACUGUCUAGCCUUGCGUUGUCUUGCGAAUCUUGUUGGGAGGAUGGCGGAGUAGAAUCUAUAGAGACCCUCCAUUUCAGUUGCUCGGAAGGACCACCAUCAUCCAAUGCCUUACCAAUUUCCUUCCGCUUUAUUGAUUUUGCAUUGUGAGGUCAAACCGACAAGAAAAAGGAAUAAAAUUUGCUCUUCAGAACUCAUUCAUGCAUGAUACUGACGAACACUACUAAAGGCAAAGUCAUGAUACGAGGAUGGAAUAUGUACGAAAAACUGGACGGCUGGACAUAUUCACACCUAUGAUGUGGUAACUAAGCAGAAGGCACUUCAACAAAUUAGAAGCACUGCAAGCUAGACACCAUAUGGAAGGUGCAAUCAAUAUCACUCAUCAAACUAGAAGCACUACAUGCUAGAAAUCAUAUUCAAGACGCAAACUAAUAUCACACUGCCAACUUAAAGGUGUCCCGUUAUAUGUGACUGACGCAGGAUACACAAGAAGAGUAGUUUCAUGUAAGAACAUGGUGUGAUAGACAGAUAUAGUAUGUACCAAAAACAGGGAAGCGUGUCAUAUUCACACGUAUCAUGUGUAAGCUAAGCAGAUGCAGUUUACACUAAUUAGGAGCAAUACAAGCUAGACACCAUAUGCAACAUGCAUCCAGAUAUCACACUUCCAAGUUAGAGCAAGCACCUUGGAUGGUGGAGUAGGGGAGCGGAGACUUGGAACUUGUAAUACACUAGCUGUACAUGGUGAAUCCGUACAAAUGCUCUGUUUACGUUGCUGCAGAGGACCACCAUCAUCGCCUUCCUUACUCUUUUCCUUACUCUUUUUUUAUUUUGCCUUGUCAAGUCAAACCCACAAGAAAAAGGAAUAAAAUUUGCUCUUCAGAACUCAUUGAUGCAUGAUACUGACGAGCACUACUUUCAUGUAAGAUAGCCGCAUGAUAGGAGGAUGGAAUAUGUAUGAAAAACAGGACGGCAUGACAUAUUGACAUGUAUGAUGUAUAAAUUGUAAACUAAGCACAAGGUGUUUGAACUAGUUAGAAGCAAUGCAAACUAGAAACCAUACGAAAGAUGAAACCAAUAUCACUCUGCCAAAUUAAAAGGGUGGCCUAACAAAUGUGUUUGACCAAAUUAGAAGCAAUACAUCGCAACAGGCUAGAAAUAAUAUGCAAUAUGCAACGAAUAAAGGUGUCUCAUCGUAAGUGAUUGAUGCAGGAUACACAAGAGAGGUAGUUUCAUGUAAGAACAUGGUUAACACAUAGACGUAGUGUGUACCAAAAAUAGGAAGGCAUGUCAUAUUCAUAGGUAUAAUGUGUAAACUAAGCAGAUGCAAUUUACCCUAAUUAGAAGCAUUACAAGCUAGACACCGUAUGCAACAUGCAACCACAUAUCACACUGCGAAGUUAGAGCAAGCACCUGCGAUGGUGGUGCAGGGGAAGUGCGGUCUUCAAGUACAGAGCUACGUUCAAUAUCUUCAUUUAGGCUUGUUAUUUCUUGAGAAUCAUGUGGAGAGGAUGAAACUGCACUCCUUAUGAGAGUAGCGCGUCUCAUACUAACCCACGGGCGUGACUGUCUCAUCAUAAGCGAUAGAUGCAGGAUACAUAAGAACAGUAGUUUGAUGUAAGAACAUGGUGUGAUAGGCAGAUGUAGUAUGUACCAAAAAUAGGAAGGUGUGUCAUAUUCACAUGUAUAAUGUGUCAGCUAAGGAGAUGCAAUUUAACAAAUUAGGAGCAAUACAAGCUAGGCACCAUAUGCAACAUGCAACCAGAUAUCACACUGCCAUGUUAGAGCAAGCACCUGGGGUUGUGGAGUAGGGGAGAUGAGAUUUGGAACUUGCGCUGCAGUAGGAGUAGCAGGAGAAUCUGCAGAGAUCAUCUGUUUCGGUUGCUCCAGAGGACCACCAUCAUUCCGUGCCUUCGUCCUUUUAGAUUUCGCCUUGUCAAGUAAACACACAAGAAAAAGGAAUGAAAUUCGCACUUCCAAAUUCGUUGAUGCAUGAUACUGACGAACACAACUUUUAUGUACGGCAACCACAUUGUAGGAGGAUGGAAUAUGUACGAAAAACGCUAAGCAGAAGGCAUUUCAACAAAUUGGAAGCAAUGCAAUCUAGACACCAUAUGAACGAUCCAACCAAAAUUACUCUACCAAGUUAGAUGUGUCUCAUUAUAAGUGGCACUUCAACAAAUUAGAGGCAAUACAUGUUUGAAAUGAUAUGCAAGAUGCAGCCAAUAUUACAUUGUCAACUUGAAGGUGUCUCGUCAGAAGUGAUUGAUGAGGGAUACACAAGAAAAGUAGUUUGAUUAAGAACAUGGUUAAUAGAAAGACGUAAUAUGUACCAAAAACAGGAACGCAUGUCAUAUUCACAGGUAUAAUGUGUUAACUAAGCAGAUGCAAUUUACCCUAAUUAGAAGCAUUACAAGGUAGACACCAUAUGCAACAUGCAACCACAUAUCACACUGCCAAGUAGGAGCAAGCACCUUCGAUGAUGGUGUGGGGGAAUUGUGGUCAUCAACUAGAGAGCUACGUUGACUAUCUUCAUUUAGCCUUGCUGUUUCUUGAGAAUCAUGUGGGGAGGAUGACACUACACUCUUUAAACGAGUAGCGCGUCUCACAGUAACCCACGGGGGUUACUGUCUCAUCAUAAGUGAUUGAUGAGGGAUACAAAAGAGCAUUGGUUUGAUGUACGAACAUGGUUAAUAGACAUAUGUAGUAUGUACCAAAAACAAGAAGGCAUGUCAUUAUCAAACAUAUAAUGUGUAAAGUAAGAUGAUGCAAUUUAACCAAAUUGGAAGCAAUACAAGCUAACACCAUAUGCAACAUGCAACCACAUUUGACAGCGCGAAGUUAAAGCAAGCACCUGGGAUGGUUGUGUGUGGAAAUUGAGAUCAUCAACUACAGAGCUACGUUUAUUGUCUCCAUCUGGUGGCACCGCACCCUUUAGAGCGCUAAGACGCUUAGUGCUUAUCUUUGAAUUACACUGGAGCAACUUCUGUCUUUUCUUUUUUGUAUUCAUCAACACUGCGUCAGAGUCUGAAAUACCCAUGCGUAAAAAAACAAUAGUGUGAGUAUGGGUGAAGUGUGUGCACAAGUAGUACAAUGUAAAGGUAGCAGAUAGUAGGUCGGUGAGAAAUAAAUGACGGGAGACAUAUGAUAGCUCUACAACAUGCAUGACAGACGAAAUUACUAGAUUCUAGGAUUUUGAAAUAUGAGCACAGGGAUGGCUGGUAAAUGGAGAUGCUCCUCCAGCACACCACAAGGUGUGGUCCUAUGAAAAUAACAGUCGACUGAAAAAAAUAGGUCAGUCCAUUUUUUCUGCACCGUCCGAUGUACAAAGAAUGGGCAGAUCGCCUUCCUCUACCUCCAGCUAGUCAGUAUUACGAUCUUCCUCGAAACGCGAGCGACCACCGGCCCAAUCCCCUGCCUCCGCCCUUCCCUCGACCUCACUGCACCGCCGUGCUUGGCACCCCCCGGCCAUCCCUUCAAGCCCCGCCGACCUCCAGAUCGGGCGCAAGCAGCUCCUGUGCCCCACACCCAUAUGAUAGACACCGAUGUGCCGCUUCCCCGGCGAACAGGCAGACUAGGUGCUCCGCGCGCCUAAGCGGGUGCUGCUUCUUUUAAUUGCAAUUCGACUGACCCUGAAUUGAAAUCCAGGCGGGCUACUGACCUCUAGCAAAGGUGAAAUAGUAAAUGGGAGGAAACCUUGUGCAUUUAGUAUCACGAAGAAGAUGCAGUACGAAGCGCUCAACUAGUUUCUUUCGUGGGAUGAAUAUGGCGUGAGCAGAGACGUAAGAUUUGCACGAAUAAGGGAAGAGGAGUACCUCUUUCUGCUGGCAGUGUUGUGCCCUUCUUCUGUUUUUCCAACGAUCUUCUUGUGGUUCGCUGGAAAUGAGAAGUUGUAGAGGACGGUGGAGCCUUGGACGAACCCAUGGCCAAGUUGUUGAGUGUGGUGCGGUGGCCAUCGGUCGGCGGCGGGGAACCAGAUCCGAGGCGGCGAAUGACGGCGUAGCGGGAACAGCUCCGGUGCGGUGGACGGUUGCGACAGUGGAGUGGCAGCGGUGAGGCGCAGGACGGCGUGGUCGAAGUGGUUCUGGUACGGCACACGUUGGCGUCAGCGUCGUGCAGGCAGCUCAUCCUUGGCUUCAGCUGCUAAGUCCUUGAGGGCGUAGCGGUUGCGUUUGUGUUGGAUGAAGACGUCGGGGUACCGGCUCCGGCGUGAUGGAGGUGGGCGGCGGUGGAUUGGGCGCGAUGGGGUGGAGGAUGGAGGAGGCUGCGGUUUCGCGGCUGGUGGAGAGGGCGUUUUGGCGCCCACGGAGUAUGAAUGGGGAAACGGAGGGAGGGAGAACUAAGGGUGAAUAGUGUUUUGGUUUGGGACGCGCUUGUUCGAAAUUUGGGGAAAGUUACAAACUUUGCCCCCAUCUAAAAUUUUAGACAUAUUGCGGGUUCGGGGUAGGACAGUAAUCUCAGGUGUCCCAAAUGGUGGGCGGGAUAGAUCUCGGCCGAGCGCAUGUGUGUUUAGGCGCCCACGGCGUAUGAAUGGUUCUCAGAGGCGGUUGAGAUUAGCGUCUUGGUGAAGUUACAAACCUACCCCGGUUUAGACCUUUGGACAUCGGGCCGAUAGGCUACACGUGCCAGAGUCAGGACAGUAAUUUCCUACCACGAAACAUUAGUCUCGCGCGGUUUCGGGUGACCAGAGGCUUAUUUGGCGCUUCGUUCAAUAUUUGGGAGCAGAAGCAUUAACGUUUUCGGUUCUCUUGAAUUGAACUUUCAGGAUUUGUCAAACUUCACAAAUCUUUACUCUUGAAAAUCCUAAAACUACGAUUAUUGUGGAAUGGAGGGGGUACAUUUGAAUAUGCAUUGUACACGAGUAUAUAUUAAAAAAUAUGCAACUUACCUCAGUUCAUGCAUGGUUCCAGAUAUAAUCUCCUUGGUUGCAAAAAAUAGUUAGACAUGCAUAUGAAUAUAUAGCAUGUUCAAACGCACAACAAAGAUUGAUGCCCCCUUUUAGAUCUGAUUUACAAAUUCCAUUAUCUCGGGUUCAAAUAGAUCAAUGCACUUCCUAUGAAUUUGAAUCUUCAAAACCCCCUUUAUGUUGAAUUCAACAUGUAUUCUAUUUCGUAGCUAGCAAUUUGGAAUGUAUCCAUGUAAGUGACAAAUGUAUAAAGUGCUUCACACUAACAACAUGGAGUGCACUAAUUAAUGUUUAUAUAUGAAUUGCAAAAGCAAUGCAUUGCCUGUAUUUCAAACCGCUCUCACUCUAUGGAUCGAUAAUAUGAAAUAAACACAUGCACAUGUUAGAAUUCAAUAGAGUAUGGGUGUCUGAUAGACCAAUUUUCGUUCAUACACAAAUUGCAAAAUUCAUGAUCUCAUCCCAAAAUAAUAAUGCCAUUUAUAUUUUAAUUUAAUGCGUAGAACUGCCUUUUACACGUAGAUGCACUAUGCCUCGGCCCAUUCUCACAAACGUGCUAUAUAUCUCUCUAUCUAACGCAUAAAUGUGCACACUUUAUACACAUCGGCAUUUCUCUGUCACACAUGCUCACAAUCUCUCCCGGGGUGUCGGGGUGUCUCAUGCACAAACUCCCUUUGUAUCUCUCUCUCUCUCUCUCUCUCUCUUUCUGACUACUAUGUACCACUCUUUUCACUAAUCUCAGUUGGAAAACACUAUUUCUCUCACAUGCAUAUAUACACACGCACGGUCUCUACUAUCCCUCUAUUCGCACAUAUAUGUGCCUACGUGCCUCCCGCACGCACAUUAUCUUUAGGCCUCUCUCGCACACAUUGCCCCCCCCCACAGACACACCUCUCUCUUUGUAGUUGGCAGAUAUGAUUCCAUCAGAUCAUUCGGUAGGAUAUCCCUGACUGUUAGGCUGGAUGGUAAUAUGAGGCAAAGUUUUACCCAAGUUCGGACCCUUGCAGUUGAGGAAAAAGCCUACUCCUGGUACUAUAUAUUAGUGAUAGGGGUGUGUACAAAGUACACAUGAAUACCAGGCAUUGUGCGUGUGUGUAUACUUUCGACGAACUAGCCCCCAGGCUUCUAUAACAUACUCGGGGCCUAGGGUUACAAAUCAUAUAGUCGGCUUAUCACUAGUCGGGAUAGAGUCCUCCACGACUCUGGUAGCUUCGUGUUCUACGCCGAGUCCUCCACAUGGGUCUUCGUAUAAUGCGUCUCGGUCCAACCUAUGUGGCGCAGGAUGGAACCGACCCAUGAGUCCUCAUGUUGACCCACCACAACUAGAAAUGAUGUGCCCACCCCAACUAGAAAUGAUGUGCCCACCACACCACACACGCAAUCGGCCACUAAGAAAUAAGCAUAUACAAUAGUACAAUGUUAUACAUGAAAGUUAAUUGCAUGGUGCAUCCAAAAAAAUGUGUUCUGCAUUGUGAAUGUUUAUAUUUUCUCCUAAAAUAUUAGUCACGGGAAAGAGAAACGAAGGGCAUAUCUCACCUUGUCUCCACCGGACACCCCCUCUUUCUACACCACUUUCACGUACGCACACAAACUAUCUCUCGGCCCUCUAAAAGUAUGCAUGCCCAUGACACAUUCAUGCGUGACGGUCACUGUAUUUCAAGCGAAAGCACUAUACGGUCGAUGGACUUCAGAAUAUGCUCAUUACGGUCACCGUAUAUAUUCUCGUGGUGAUCAUACGGUAUCUAGCUCACGAUACGUCUCCGUAUUUUGUUGAUGACACUGACGGACAUUGUAUUUGAUGCGUGCUCCGUAUUUUGUCGACGACACUUACGGUCAUUGUAUUUGAAGCGAAAGCACGAUAUGGUCACUGGACUUCAUAAUAAGCUCAUCACGGUCAGCACAUACAUUUUGUGGUGCUAACCAACCUGUGGUUGGAUGGUUAGGAGGACAGUGGUUUCUCGAGCCCACCAGGGUUAAAGUCCUGGUGCUCUCAUUUAUCCUGGGUUAAUUUCUGUAUUUUUCCGGCGAUGUACGUUCAGUGGGAUGAGAUGUUCCACUCAACUACGAGGCACCUAUGGUGACUCCGUAAAAUCUCAAGAUCAUAUGCUGGCUCACUCUCUCGAAGGUGCUCAUAGGGGUAGGUUCUGCAUGUGUGCGCUUAUAGCGGUGAGUGCUUGUGCGUAUAUAUGAGCGCUUGCGUCUGUACCGUGUUAGAAAAAUACAUGUCGUGAUUAUACGGUCACUGGCUCACCCGUACAACUCCGUAUUUUGUUGAUGACACAAUCAAUUGACCAGUCAAAUGUUCCACGUGGUGCAACUAGUGUUGCACCAUCCGGGCGCGUAACCGUGGGGCCCACCUGUCAGCGCGUAUAUGAAAGAAAGAAAUGGUAGUUUGAGUCUGUACUGUGUUAAUAAAAUACAUUUAGGGUGAUCAUACGGUCACUAGCUCACCAUACAGCUCCGUAAUUUGUUGAUGACACGACCAAUUGACCAGUCAAACAGUCCACAUUCAGCAGCGCACAUUACCAUAGGGCCCACCCGUCAGCGCGUAUAUGAAGGACAGAAAUGGUAAUAAAUUAGUGGUCGAUGGGGAUUAGAAGUCUUGAGACCUCUGGUUGGCAGUCGCUAGCGGUGGGGGGCGCAGUGAUUGGGCGGCGGCGUGGGGAUCGCCGGAGAAAAAGCUCGGCGCGGGGGGGCCUAGAGGGAUGGCCGGGGCGGCGGCGGACCGGUGGUGGGGAGUGGUUUCAGGGCAGGCGGGGCGGCAUGGCCGCGCGGGCCGGCCACGGGCGGCGGCGGCCGGCAGUGGUUGGUGGCUGAGGGGGUGGAGGUUGAAGAUAAACUACAGGCCCUUGAUUUCGUAUCCAACGGCUGGAAAAUCUACUGACCAGAGAUGAAAAAGUCAGUCGACUGACGUGUAGCCUCACCUCGCACGUACACAUGCACGCAUGCAACACUCGCACGCAUGCAGGCGUGCAACACUGACACGUACAAAUAACAAACACACGCACGCAUGCAGGCGUGCAACACUGCCAUGUACACAUGCACUCACGAACACACGCACGUACACACACAUGCAUGCAACACUGAAACGUACACAUGCACGCACGCAACACUCGCACGCCUGCAUGCACACCGCACAUGACGCAAGACACACGCUCAACCUAUACGUGCACGCACCCUUUGUUAAGGACAUGGAUUGUUACGGGUAUUAAUCAAUCUUAUCUUUUUUGCAAGGUUUAAUCAAUCUUAUCUGUGAUAAGCAGAACAUUGAUGUUUGCAGCGGUUUUUAUGAAUCACAACGUAUCGAACGGGCUAUCAACGUAUAUAUGAAAAUUUUAAAAUUCUCUUACAUUAUAUAGUAGGCUUAUCUAGAUGAAAUAGAUGAUGUCACACUCAAUGAACAAUCAUCGGUGUAUGAAAUGCCCGCUUCUGACCGCCCUGGCCCACCAAAAGUUCCUCUGCCAUGCGCUGCCUGCGUUGGGUCACUGACAUGCAGGCCAUCUACCCAAAGAGCCCACACGUCAGUGGAAGAACGGCGCGGUGUCGUACGUCAGAGUCGAGGGCGCCACUCGAUGCACACCUGGCUGAACACGCCUCCUUGCCGCAUUCAAACGCCUCCAUGAAACCCGUGUGGAAGCCGAGAAACCCACUCUGGACACACGUCCGUUCAUGACCGGGCCGACAUUAAACACAAGGCCAGCCGAGCUCCUCCCGUCCGCCAUCUAAUUAAUCUCCUAUUUAAAUGAGGCCAAACGCCGGCCAGAAUCGCACCCCUCCGCCGCUCCCCUAUCUCCUCCUUCACCAUUUUGUCCACUCUUACAAUGGCUUACGAAGAGCAGUUAUCCCGCAUCCAAGCCGGCUUGGUGGCCUGCCGAGACCGCCGGAUACGAGCUAUGCAGCUCGCUGAUCCACCUCCCUCCCCUCACCCGACGGAGCCAGUUGUCGCCCCAAGCUGCCGCGCAGUUCAGCAACUCGCCGCUCCAGGCCAGCUCGACGAGGAGCGGCGCACGGGCAUCAUCGCUGCCGUCCACGCUGCCGCCUCGUACCGCGUCUCCCGUGUCUAUGACCGCGUCUCCUGUUUUUGUGGCCGAGACUCCCAUGCCGGCGACCGUGCCAUGCAAGCAGAGACAUAAGCCGGGUGCGUGGAGAGCGACGAGUCGGUGGCCAGCGCCUCCGCGUCCGCCGCCAUCAUCGAGGAUAAGUAGAACACGGGAGGUCGCCUCCGCUUGGGUCCCAUGAAGGCCACCGCGGAGGCAACGCAGGUGUCUUGCCAGAUCCUUUUGUUGCGAGGACCUUCGUCGACCCCGCAUGGGCUCCAUGGAAGCGGAGAAGCCCCCUUCCACCAUCAUCUUGGGCAUCAGCCAACCAUAUCAGUUGGGCAGCGAGGAAGCGAGCCGUCUUUUGCGCUGAAGCAUAUACCUCCAGGACUCCCGGCAGUCCGGUGAUCGUGCUGCCGGACAUGAGGAACACAAAUGGAUCGGCGGGCGACCAUUUAGGCCAGGUAUUAUAUACCUGUGCUGUCCAGAACUAGCACCGCUUAAUUGAUUUGAAUGUAAUGAAAUCCAUCAUGUUCGUAUGAAAAUCCGGUAUUUUAUAUGAAUUCCGUCAUUGUUUAUGAGAAAUAUCGCCGUGUUUGCAUGAAUUUCGUCCGGUUGGUUGAGUUGCUGUCAGAAUGUGUGUGGCUACGGUUGGAUAGCGUAAUAUGCGGGUCGCCGGUUGGUAUGCGGCCGGCUCGGGCGGCGUGGUGGGACAAAAAAAGCACAACUCGUUUGAGCUCGUCUCCAACGUGUGCGCUAGAGGAUGCAUGAGCACCCGAGCCAUUCCUCGUUCAUCGGUGGCAAAGGCACCGGUGGACAAAAGGGUCGUCAAUAUUUUGGCUACCCCGGGAAAAAUCCAAACAACCCCUCCCAGCGGAUUCAAAUCCCUCGUUCGCCGUGAAAUUUUGCCAUGUGUUGUUUUCAUGGACUAGCAAGAUGCCCGUGCAUUGCACGGAACAUCAAGAUGCAUUUUUUUACAAAACACCUGUUGUGAUUGACCCAUGCAGGAGUAAUCCCAUGUGUAAAAACUAAGGGAACUAAUGAUAUCUCAAGAAUUUUAUCGGAAAAAUGGUAUCUCGAGAAUUUCAUCAAAAAAAUGAUAUCUCGAGAAAGAUGAGAGAUAAGGUGAGGAGGAGUGGGGCGUGGUGGUGACUGGCGGUCGGUCUGGGUGGAGGCUUGGGGAUGGACGGCGCAUUAUGUCUAGGUUUGUAUCUCUCUCACACACACCCACGUAGGUGGGGGACGUGCACGAAGAGAAGAGGUGCACGCACGGCGCACGUACUCCCGUCUCUUUCCCAACCACACCCGCGCGGGUACACGGUGGAGCUCAUUUCUGUACAAAAAGGCAGCCCACGUGGUAAUUUGACACGUGUACUGGUUGUCCACUUGAUAGAGGACCGUCUACCACGGGUGAACAAACAAAUUGCGACUUGACGCGUCAUGUGGGGCCUACCUUAGAGGCAAGGUUCUAUACACUCGAGAUGCUCUGUACGUAUUACUUUUGAUGUGUCCCGUCAACUCGCAGAACAAGGAGAAGCUUGCUUACUACGCCGUCUCCCCCGCCCAUAGGCGCGGUGGCUCGCAGGACGAGGUGAAGCUUGCUUACUACUCCUAGAAACUACCUCCGUCCUGGUUUAUUGGUCUCCAUUAUAUAUUGUGUCAAAUUUUUACUAUAGAUUGAACUAACAAAAUGUUCGUGCAUGUUACCAAAAAUUAUAUCAUUGAAAACUAUGUUGAAAUACGAAUCCAAGAAUAUAAUUUUUGUUGACAUGCAUUAAUAUUUUGUUAGCUAAAUAUUUGGUCAAAAUUUGGCACGAACUACAAAGGUGGCCUAUAAACCAGGACAUAGGUAGUAGUACUACGCCUUACGCCCGCUCCCUCGCCCACGCGCGCGAUGGCUCGCAGGACGAGGAGAAAUUUUUACUACUCCCUCCGUUUACUCCUUGUCCCUACGUUGGUUAGAGAGAUUAUCAUAUUGUUUGGAAUAUAUGUCUUUUAGUAGUACUCCCUUCUUUCCAGUUUAUGGCUCAAUUUCCUUGGAGUAGUAUAUAGGAGUAGUACUACUACAGCAAUUUCCUUGGAGUCCGUGGUGCAGCAAGCUACCCUAGGCUAUGUUACUACUCCCUCCUUUCCAGUUUAUGGCUCAAUUUCAAAAUCUCUCCAACCAAGGUAGACAGUGAGUGGCGGAAUUAAUUUCGUUGUUUGCACAAGUAAUGUACGCUCUUUUUUCUCAAGAAGUUAUGUUUACCGAGGCAUUAAUUAGAACGAAUGCAUGCAUGAUCACUAAAUUUCCAUGAACUUCUACAUGCAUUGGUGAGUUUUCUCUUGACAAUGCUUGCAUCGGGUGAUUUAACGCACCUCGAAAUCCAACAUGUGAUGGUACUAGUACUAGUAGAAUUGAGACUUAUAAAACAAAAAAACAAUUUUUUUAGACGAGCCCUAUAAACCGGAAAGGAGGGAGUAGUAAGUAGUAUACUACCUCCAUAGUGGGUACGUACUCCGUAAAAUCAGAUUUUCCCAAAACUAAGUCGCUCAACCUUUAUUUGCUUGUUUUCCUUCCUGCCUCGUAGCCUCGAAUAGACUAUGCCAAACUUCCCUGCCUGUCGUGCGGGAAAAGAUCAGCCCUCGCCUUUUUUUAGUCCGGGUUUGUAUUGAUGGAUCACACGAAGCAGCAAAAACCAAGCCGUGUCUUGUACUCCUCUGUCAACGCUCGCUUUCAUGAAUUCCGUACUUCCUCUUGCCGACAUGUGGGCAUAUAGCAACCGGGUCGACGUGUCAUGCACCAAAUAACAGUGCAGAACGGCAGGGGGACGCACCCCAGUCGUACCGCCCAGUAGUAGUAAUGAGCAAUGAGAUGUCAAAUCAUAAUGUCGCACCUUCCCAGAAGGACGAAGCAACCAUUAUUUCACACUUCGCUUCGCCAUCAUCUCCUUCAAGAAAACCACGUAGUAUUGCUUCUGCCAUUGUUCUGCCUCAAGAGGGACACGCGCAUCGCCUUGGUACAUCAUGACACAUGGGACCGCAUGACAGGCCAUGCUCCCCCGCCCAUCGCUCGGUAAAAUCACCUCAUUUUUACUACUUCCUACGUAUUGGUUUACAGGGCAUGCAUGUCGUUCUAGGUUGAGAAUUUAAAUGGCUAUAUAUGUGAUGAACAGUAUAUGUUUAGAAACAACAUCCGCUUAAGAAUCGCAUGAUAUACUUUUUGUGACAUAGUAACUCAUAUUUAGUUAGUCAAAUGGAUGACCGAGAACUACGUGCGCGCCCUAUAAACCAAGACGGAGAGGGUAGUAUAGUAUGUAUCUUUUUAGAUCAGUAUAGUUGGGAUUCACCAAGGAGCAAAACCAAGUGGUAGGCUGCUCCUGUUGUGUUGGCGUAGCAACUCAAGCAGGGUCAGUCCGCACACGAAAUGCUGACACACUUAACAGGACCCCUUUAGCCGACAUGUGCUCAUCCACCGUCUUGUUCCACGUGCGAUGCACCAAAUUACAGUUCGGAGCAUCGGUUGGACUUGGAGGCACCCCGGUCGUAGCGCCGCAGUAGUAGUAAAUGAGCGAUGAGGGGUCAAAUCACAAAGCCCCACCUUUCCCGCAUUAAGCUGGACGGACGAAGCAACCAUCAUUUCACUCUAGGGCGCAAGAGCAUAAAGAAAACAGAUAAUCAAUGAUGCAUGCGGCAGCUACCUAGGGCACCCUAGGGUAGGGGCCUCCACUACAAAUCCAUUUUUAAGCGCCUCCACUACAAGUCCGCUUCUCCCUCGUCCUCUUGAAGAAAACCUAUGAUGCGUGCGGCGGUAGGGUUUGCAGGAGUACUGCGGCGUGCGAGGCCAUGUCGUAGUAAACGGGAGAGGGAUUGAGUUCGAGUCGACGCCUUAAUAUGUGUGGGCCGCUUGGUUUUACGAGAACGAGGCAUCAUUUUGGGUUCGGGGACCAGUGGAGAUAUACGUACAUACAAAAAAUUGUGGACGUAGGUUCGACCGAAAGGCAAUGAUGCAUGGCCCCUGCAUUUUGAUAUACCCGCGACCGCGUGAAAUUUGCUACUCUGCUAAAAACUAGUAAGGUACACAUGCAUUGAAUGCAUGAGAUUUGGAAACCAAAUUAUGAAUAAAUACACACUAUAGCAUGUAAAGCUUUGAGUCAUAUAUGCAUGAUGUAGAUGUUCGUUUAGUUCUUAUAGUUAAUCUCAUUCAAAAUCAAUUAGUUUUAUAAAAAGGGUGCAUUUUAAAGCAUAAAGUAAAAAACAAAUAAUGGAAAUUCAUUUAGAAAAAAAAGUUUGGGCAAUUAUGAUACGGAAGAUUCUAGAACAAAGGAGAAGUGCUUGUGUUUUGGGAAAGCAUGCACGGCCCACAUCUCUUAUUGGUUGAUAUGUCACGAAACAAGAAAUGAGGAGGGAGUUAAUGUACCAUGCCAAACUGUAUUGGGAUUAUUUGGUUUUCGGAAGAUGAUUUACACACCUUGACGGUGGGAGUACAAAGAGAAAAAAUGAAUUACAGUUAAAAGAAUGGCAUUUCUAACAGAAAAGUGAAUGUGAACUACAUAUGUGUGCACGUGACCAGCACAUACAUUGUCAAUGCAAAAUUUAAUGCAAGAAAUAACUUAUGAGUAACAUGCACGAAUUGAUGAUGUGGUGCUUGCAUGCAUAGAGUAGAAAAACAAUGUGAUUUAUGACUUGCAUGCAUGACGUGUUCUUGUGCCAUAGUUGCAUGUCUAGGAAAAAAGCUACUAGUGCGUUGUACUAGGUAUUUAGGAAUAGAAGAUGUAUACAUGGAAGUUGUAGGGAAAGAGAUGACAUGUAUCUCAAUUCCCAUGAGUAGGGAUUGGAAAAGAGAUGUCAUUUGGUUCACAUCAUAGGAACUUUUCUAUUGAAUCUAGAGAUGACAUGUAUCUCAAUUCCUAUGAGGAGGGAUUAGAAAAGAGAUGUCAUUUGGUUCACAUCAUAGGAACUUUUCUAUUGAAUAUACGCUAAUGUUUAUUUUUCUUUGAAAUUAUGGGAGUAUAUGAAUCCAUUCAUAUGAACGAAGUGGCUCUAAAGCUAUAAAAAUGAUAUCAUGUUUAUUUCCUUUGAAAUGUAGAGUAUAUGAAUCUAUUCCUAUGAAGCAAUUGGCUCUGAAGGAAAAAGUCCUAUAAAAAUCAUAUCAUAUAGAGUUCCUAUGAUAUUCCUCCACACCAAAGGAUGGUUGAAAUUGCUGCAGGUGAUACGACGGUCUUUCUUUCUAGACUCCUCCCCCAUCUUUAUAGUUACCUCUCGAAGAAGAAUGAAAUGAUAUAUACUGGGUAUUCUAUAUGUGCAUUUUGGUACACGAAAACUCGGUAAAAGUUUGCGAGGUUCGAAUUUUCAGUAAAGCUAUAUGCACUGCAUUUUGGAACGGAGGGAGGAGCAUACGGUAGUUGCUAACACUCACGUGGAAGAUUUGUGUGUAGGAGGAGUGGCUGCUCUAUUAAAUGACAUGGCAAAACUGACACUGUCGGAUGCUGAUCUAACGGUUCUUAUGGCGUUCGUCAGGAAACGGCUUGUGGCGAACGUUUGUCGGAUAAUGAUUUACGGACACAUGCAUUGCAUUGAUACGUGCCCCCUCUCUCUCACACACACAUGCACCCUCACGAGUCAUGACUCUCCUGAGUCCUCUCGCACCCACCGUCUAUCUGCAGGUAGACGUCACACACAUAUGUGCUCUUCACACCCUACCCUCAGAACUUCUAAAAAACAAAAGACAUCGCGCACCUUUUAUUUUAGCUCACACGUCACACACUUAUAAUAUUACUCUUGUGGCGAACGUUCUUUGGGCAUAGUAUAUUGUACUCUCACGAAAAGAAGCAGUGCACGCACGCACUAGUUCUCUCACACCCACUCGCGGGUACACAUAGGAGCGCAUUUUUUGAAGCUGGUACAACAAAAUCACUCCACUAUAUAUAUAAGCAGGAGCCUUAGCGCUUGCUUUACUAGGGUUCCUCUCUUUCAAUCUCUCAUGCUCUCUAGAUCUAAGCAAGACAUAGGUGGCCACACUCUCUCUCUGCUCACGGCUGGUCACAAAUCCGGCCGGACCACCUCGACCGGGGCAGGGGCGUAGGUGCAUUGUUCACGCUGUCGUCGGCGGCGAGGGAGGAGACCAACGGCUGCCCACGCGUCCCGAUCGGCGGCCGUGCCAUUCUCUUCGAGAGAGCGCCGGCUCAGGAGGGCCUCCGACCCCUUCUUCCUCCCUGCGGUAUUGUGGCCAAGAUGCGGCCUCCCGACGCCGUCUUUGCCACAUGCCGACGACCCUCAGGUAUAUAUUCCUUCGAAACCUGCCUUGCUCUACUGCCCCAGAUCCCCACGUGGCUGCGUGUGGAUCUUUUUCUACUUCCGUCGGCUGUUCCAAAGCCACCUAGACUUUUACUAUUAUUAGAGGUAAAGGUAGUUCGUACAGUCGAAUCUAAGAGUUGGUUCAAACAGGGAAGAAAGUGGGAAAACUGUAGCAUGAAUCUAGGACUUGGUUCUAAGAGGAAACGGGGAAAAGUAGUAGAUACUGGCUACCCAACCGGUUUAUUGGUUGAAAAGGCGAAGAAAGCAUGGUGGAUGGCGAAGGGUGGGGGGAAGUGGACCUGUCUCUUGGUUGAAAAAGGAAAGAAAGUGAGGGGUGUUGGGGGACAACGCAAAUGAGAAUGAGCAGGUCUAGAUUUCCUGUGCUCACAUAGGAAAAUGUCACCGAGGAGAUAAAAAAUGGGACAAAUGCAGACAUGUUGCCUGAAUGUUUGCCGCUCUCGGCAACCACAUCUGCCUCACCACUUUAUGCCCCUAUUGUCCCUACGACCAUAUCGCUAUCAUUAAUGUAAAAUCACAUGAAGCAUUAAGCAAUGCCACCUAAUGUCACUAUAAGUAAUGGUCUAGUGUCGUCGAUAAAUUGAAGCAAUGCCACCACCAUUUUAUGAAGUGCUUCCGUCUUGCUUUAUUUCCCAUGAAUUGUGUUGUUGCAGUUACACUUAAAUCUCACACCGCUAACAUUACUUCAUCCCAGUUGAACUGCACAAAUUUGAUUGCACAUUUACUGACCAUGUGCUACUCUCAUGACAAUAAUACUAAUGCUAUUGUUCUGCAUGUUAAUUUAGUGGCAGUGUUGAUGUGAUGUGAUGCUACUUACUUAAGGGCACUUUCAUACUGCCAGUCUAGUGCCAAUUAUAAUACAAUAGAUGUUGUUGUUAAUCAUACGCCACUGCAAAUAUUUGUCACUGUUUAAAUAACCGUAUUUCGUAUUUGCACAAACAGGGAUGUCUGUCUCCAUAUCGUUUCUAUCUUCCCAAUCAAAAGUACACACCUCAGUUUAGUACAACUGCACAAAGUGAGAUGGCUAUUCCUAGAUAUCGUCCUCUAACCACCAGUAUUCCAGGUAUUACUACAUUGGUAGUAACUAGGUAGAAUGACCAACGUAAUCUAAAAGAAGCUGAUUCAUUCGUUUUACUUCCUGAUUGCAGUGCAGGGACGAGCGAAAACAACUGCAUCCUAGUCCGGAAUUCACUUUCUACGAGGUGAUCCAUGGACCGAGGACUAGCUGGCACGGCUGCACGGAGGUUUUUGGGACAGGUGCGUCGACAAGAGGCAUUGUGGUCUGCUUAUUUAUGCAAAUAGCGGUUCUUAAAUUUAGUGGAAUGCACAAGAAUUUCAGCUGGUCAGUACACUACAUGGUUCAGUUCGACAUUCCAUAGUGAACUCCAGGAAAAGCAGGGGGAAAUUUAAGCCUGCCUAGGGAGGCCCUUUGCUCAGAGAAGCCUUGCUUGAUUUUUCCUGAUUUGUAAACCUUCUCACAACUUUGUCUUUAGCUGUGAACUAGUAUAUGUUUGUUAUGUUCUAUGAAUCAUUGAGAUGUAUAAAAUUGCUUAACUUAUGCUUUUCAAGUUUUUUAUGAAGCCGAGUUUAAUGUGAGUGUUCCACAUGAACGCUGGACUAGCGUGUGAACGUUUGGAAUUUACAUUGUGGCCUCAGUUAACUGCAUGAACCACUGUAACAAGAUACGUAGUUGCUUAUAUGUUAGACAGCAGAUUAUUGAUUGUUAGCUGGUCGAUAGCCUAGUGUUGAAGCGAGCUGAGCCAAUGUGCCGUGUUUUGCACAACUGCUUACAAGUGGGGUAGCACCAACAGUGUUUACAAGUACUUAUGUAUACGUCGGCGCACAUUUCUCGAACGAGUACUCUAUUUCAUCAAACACACACUGCUCGUAUGAUAAACAGUGACAACUUAUGUCUUACAUUGCCAUAUUCAUGAGAAAACUAGUAAGGACACAUCUGUUUCGGCAACAAUUAUGAUGGUUCUCACAUGAUUCACGGGCACACAAAAGUAGCAGUGGUUCCCAUAGAUGGAUUCAAACAGAGUACUAGCCCCUAAGGGCUCGAUAAUAGGCAAGGUUCGGAUAAGUAGACACAAUCCAAACUAGUAUUAAACACUAGCUGGGGCAACUAUUUCAUGCCUCGAUCUAAUUUGGGCUGGACACAAGAUGGACCUUGCCAUGAACAUCAUCGAGGACAUCCGGCAGCAGCUCAAUCCUGUGAACCUUCAUGAAGAUAACCUUGUGGCCUUGCCACUCAUAAACUUGUUUGUGGAGGCAUGCCACGUCAUCUUCCUGUGUAAGCUUGGCAAGAACAGUAUGCCUCACAAACGAAGGAAUAGCUUUGAACUUCUUGUGCUUCAGUACACCCUGGACAACACGCCUAACAACAAUGAGGCUGGAAUACAACUCGACAUCGGUAUAAGCGCAAAUGGCUUCCAGGAUCCAACAGCCUAAGAACUCUGUUUUCCCAGUUGUCGGUGUCAAAACCGGCGGAUCUCGGGUAGGGGGUCCUGAACUGCGCGUCUAAGGUCGAUGGUAACAUGAGACGGGGGACAGGAUGUUUACCCAGGUUCGGGCCCUCUCUAUGGAGGUAAUACCCUACUUCCUGCUUGAUUGAUCUUGAUGAAUAUGAGUAUUACAAGAGUUGAUCUACCACGAGAUCGUAAUGGCUAAAACCCUAGAAGUCUAGCCUAUAUGACUGUAUGUCUUUCCGGACUAAGCCCUCCGGUUUAGACACCGGAGGGGACUAGGGUUGUACAGAGUCGGUUACGAGAAAGGAAUCUUCCUAUGUAGUCGCCAAGCUUACCUUCCACGCCAAGGAGAGUCCUAGCCAGACACGGGAGAGAGUCUUCGGUCUUGUAUCUUCACAGCCCAUUAGUCCGGCCUAUGUCCAACAGGCCGGACACCCGAGGACCCCUUAGUCCAGGACUCCCUCAGUAGCCCCUGAACCAGGCUUUAAUGACGAGGUGUCCGGUGCGCAGAUUGUCUUCGGCAUUGCAAGGCGGGUUCUCCUUUCCAAAUACUCCAAGGUAGUCUUCGGAUGAAUGUGUCCGGAUCUGCAACGCGAGCACCACAAGAGAAUAUAAUAUUUUACGAGUCCAAUCUGCCGAUGACUUUUCGUAACAUGACAUCACGCUCGCCCGGACAUUAUUUUGAACCGUUUCCUGUCCUGCCGUUCCACGUUUCGAGGCGGGGUUUUUAUUGGCACGUCUUGUCGAAGCAGAUAUCGUGUCCCCUUAUCACGGGAUUCUUAUUAAUACGAGUGUGGGUAACCCUACCGUUCCAUUGGAAAGAUUCCUUAGGAAUAGGCAAGCUUCCAGGCUUUAGGAGGAGGCAUUCGAUACCCAUUGCCUCUAUAAAGGAGUCAAGGGUCAUUUCUAUUUACGCCAAACCUCUCCUCAACCUUUCCACCCUCAAGUUCUAGCACCCACGGUUCGACUCUAUUGCUUCAAGCUUCCCGGUCAUGUCCGGACCCAGUUCACAGGGCCGAUGGGCGGCUUCCUCUGUUGCAGAGGAGGAUAUUGCGAAGCUGCGGGCGGCCAGAUACCUGACAGCGGAGAUCCCCCACAGGCUUCCUGCUCAAGGACAGGUUAUUCCGACUCCCAGAUCCGGCGAGAGGGUCGUAUUCAUCUCUCACUUCCUCCGAGGGCUAGGGUUCGCUCUUCACCCCUUCGUCCGGGGGCUCAUGUUUUAUUACGGACUAGAUUUUCACGAUCUAGCCCCAGAUUCUUUCCUCCAUGUUUCGGCGUUUAUCAUCACGUGUGAGGCCUUCCUCCGAAUUCCCCCACACUUCGGCUUAUGGCUCAAGACCUUUAGCGUGAGGCCAAAGGUGGUCGACGGGAAACAAGCGGAGUACAGCGGCGCUGCAGUGAGCAAGCUUACCAAUACUCUCUGGCCAAAAGGCUCUUUUGCCGAAGCAUCUGACCAAUGGCAGCGCGAGUGGUUCUACGUCACCGAACCCCGUGGUACCAAGUGGGCGGCCAUACCUGCGUUCCGUUCUGGCCCUCCAUUGCAGCUUGCAUCAUGGAUCAAUAAGGGACUGGGGAUCAGUUGACGAAGUGCAGACUUUAUAGAGCCGCAUCCGAACUCUCCUUGAGAAGGACAUCGACCUUGUCAACGUGAUUCAAGUAAUGCUAGUCCACCGAGUCCUGCCAUGCCAGCGUAGGCCUCUUCGCCUGUGGGAGUUUAAUCCGUAAGGACCACGGACCCUCCAACACUUCUUCGGCACUACGCACAAAGGGAUGUGGAAGUUGUUUUUCGGGAAACGGAAACAGUGGCCGGACACCACCGAGGACAUCGGCCUCGACUGCAACCAUCCAGAUACCUCGGUAAGCGCUCCAUCCCCGAACACUUUGUAGUUAAGCAUGUCAUAAUAUGUUUACCGAGCAAACUAUCUUCUUCCAGGGCUGGGUAAAUAAAGCGGGGCGAAUUCGGUGUUUGGCCCCCCUCCCCGAGGACUCCGCAGAUCCCGUACUAACAAGGAUGCUGGCCCCGGCACCGUACCAGAUGCCUGUGGAGGAGGACAAGGCGGAAAGUGGGAGGACCAAAGGCGGUCUUCAUCCCGAAGGUAUCCCGAACGUUGUGCCCGGGGGAAUAAAAAUUCCCUCGUCCGAAGACAAAAGUGAAGGAGGAGUUGACGUCUCUUUGCCCCAUGGAAAGAAAAGGGUUGCCUCCGAAGAUUGGGAGAAAGAGGCUCCUAAGCGAGGCAAGAUGCCCCAGUCGGGCGGCUCGGGCUUGGAGGAUGGCAUCUUUGCACGGUCCCAUGAUAAGGGCAAGCCUCCAGCCGAAUCGUGAGUGGCCUAGGAUGUUUUAAACAUAUCCCGUUCCUUUCCUGGUACCAGGUAACUUCUAAAAUAUAUGUUUUCGCAGCUCAGAAAAUAGUCUUCUUCACCAAUCCUCUUCUUCGGGAGAUCUUCUCCCAGAGAUGAUGGAAAGAGAGACACCUCCACUGGUCUCCUAUCCUAAUAAGGCGGACGAUUUUGAGGUGUCGUCCCGGAGGACCUCUGCUGAUCAACAAGUGGUGCGAGGGGUGAUGAAGACACCGCCCAAAGGUGAUACUUUGGUAGCCCAGGAUCCAGGGGCCAACAAUAAACCCCCCGGACUGUCCGGUUUACAACCGGAGACGACUUUGGGAACAGAUGAGUGGAUCCCUUCGAAGGGAGGCCGUACUCCUGCAGCAGCUUCCGGAGGUCCAGAAGCGCCGAAUAUAUUGACGAGCAUGCUGCGACAGGCGUCCGUCUCGGAAGAACAUCGUACCUUGAUGGGUAUGGUGGUUGAAAGCACUACAAAAAAAUACACUUCCGUGAUGAUACGUGUUUGUCACAGUAGGUCACGUUUUCUGUCAUGCAUGUACAUCCAUGACAAAUUUAUGACAGAAUCAAGAUAGUCAUACCUGUGCUGUCGUAGAAGUGUUCCAUGACAUUACCAAAAUUAUCAUCACGGAAGUGUCCACUUCCAUGACGAUAAAUCGCGCGUCACAGAAGUGCUUUCGUGGCAUCCACCGUAACGGAACGCCGUUAAGCUAUCGGGUCCGGUUUUGGAUCCGAUAACCUGAUAACAGCCCGGACCAAUGGGGAUUUUCCACGUGUAAAAUCAUCAUUGGCCGGAGGAAACACGUGUUGCCUCACCGUUGGGACAGAUGUCAUCCACUCAUUGGACAAGAGGCGCCUAUGACAGGUCGACACGUGGCACGGACCAACAGUGGCCCAUUCCGGCGAAAAAGGCCGGCCCAGUAAAAAAUAGCAGGGUGGCCCAUAUAAGGCCUACUUGUGUCAGGUCCAUUUAAGCCCACGGCCCAUACGAGAUGUGCCAAUUCGGCCCGUCAACGGCCCGUUAAUGAUUUGACACCAUUGCAGCACAUCGUCAGUUCGAGCCCAUUAACAGCCCGCUAUAUAUUUGGGCUCAAUAUCGGCCCGAUGAGAUUUCGGCAUGUUAACGACCCAUUCAGCGGAUGGGCCAAUUUUCACGAUGUACAUCUUUUGGCCUUUUAGCGACCCAUUUAAAUAUUGGGCUAAUUUCCGGCCCGGUGUGUCUUUCAGCCUGUUGACGGCCCAUAAAUCAGUUGGGCCAUUUGUAGUCAGACCUGAGUUUCGGCCUUUUAGCGACCCAUUUAAGUGUUGGGCCAAUUUCCGGCCCGGUGUGUCUUUCAGCCUGGUGAUGGCCCAUAUAUUUGUUGGGCCAUUUGUAGUCGGACCUGAGUUUUGGCCUUUUAGCGACCCAUUUAAGUGUUGGGCCAAUUCCCGACCCUGUGUGCCUUUCAGCCUAUUAACGAACCAUAAAUGAGUUGGGCCAUUUGUAGUCGGACCAGAGUUUUGGCCUUUUAACGGCCAUGCCCUUCAUGGUCCAAUACCAGCCCGGUUUCUCUUUCGGCCUGCUAAAGGCCCACAACACAGUUGGGCCAUUUACAAUACGACCUGACUUUCGGCCUCUUAGCGGCUCAUGCUCUUCAUGGUCCAGUACAAGCCCGCUGUCUCUUUCGGCCUGCUAAAGGCCCACAGUAUAGUGGCCCUUAUGUACCCCGAACUUAGUAACGGCCUGUUAACGGCCCGUGAAAUCAAUUGGGCCCACCUAUUGCCCGCUUCGAUGUCAUGCUGUUAACGACCCGGGAGUUAAGAGGGCCGACCAUUAACUUUCAGCCUGGUAACGGCCCAUUAACUUAAUGGGCCCACUAAAGUUCGUACAUGUCUUUAGGCCAAAUUAGAUAAUUUGAGCCCAUUACGACGAGCAAUUAUGCACAGGACCAAAACCGAUCAAGCAAACGUACGGCAUACAGGGAAAAACGUUGCACAUCCAGCAUAUAUUACAGGAAAUUACAUCCACUGGGCAAUCAAAGAUUGAUGCCAGUGCAAAUAAAUGAACACAACCUAACGAUCUACAACGUCACAAUCUGCAACCUCAGCACGGAUGACGCCCAUAAGCAUGUGGGCAAGUUCUUGCUGCUUUGCUACACUGUCUCUGAAAACAUUAAUCAGUUGUUGUCUCGCACGACUCUGCACCUCUGAUUCAUCCACCAUUUCCAUCAUUCCUUCAGCCAUUAAUUGGUUCACAAACAUACAUUUUUUCCGUUGCAUUCGAGAUAGAGGAUACUGAACAGAUUCAGAUGGCGAUUUUGGCAGGCUUGUAUUAUUGAUAGUGGAGAGUGUCUUGACCACUGCAUCAUAACAUAAAUUAGGAGGGGAACCAAACAUAUUAAUCAUGAGUUAUUGGCAUAUUACCUGGCCUAGAUUUAUUGGAAAGGAACAAUGGGGUUGCCUUGCUGUUUUCAGAGUUUGUCUUCUUAUCUUCAGCAGCCUCCACCAAAUUAAGACACUAGCAUUGCUAUCAUUGGCCAAGUUAGAUAACAGGAAAGCAACAUUGGCACAACGAACGUUUGGGCAACUAGCCAACACCAAAUUAACACAAUAUGGCACAGCUAUCAUCAGCCAGGUAAGGUAAUACGAAAGCAACAUUGACACAAUGAAUGAAUGGGUAAGCAGAGCAGCACUACAAUUCAGUAAUGUGCAUGAUAUGAGAUAGUACACUCAUGCAGCUCAGUAUGCAAAACUACCAGGCAGUUUUCUUUACAAAAAUCAACAUUGGCGCCUUUAACAUUUUGCUACAACUAAUUUUAGAUCAGACAAAGGUUGGAUUCACGCCGAUUAAAAAAAUACACGUUGAUGUAAAAAUAUAGUGAUAUACAACAGGUACUUACAUCAGUAUUGGAGCACAGAGAAUUCCCGCAAGAUAUUUUCCUCGAAUGCAAUCCCAAUGAAGAAAAUCCUCUAUCAUUUAACCUUAUUUUCUAAAAGAGAGAUGGGUAAGAAACAUGUAGAAAAUAUGAUCAGAAUGCUAUAAAAUUUCAUGAUGCGAGGAUACGCACACGCUUCUUAGAAUGGAGUUGACAUUCUUUUGCUGGACUGGAGCGGACUAGUUCUUUGGCCACUGGAAUCUGCUUAUUAUCAGUGGGAGUUGGGUUUCUCUGUGCUGGAGCAGUAUCUAUGAAAAAUGGAGUUGGUUUAUUAUCUCAUGGCGUUUGGAUCUUUUGCAAAGACCUGGUUUGUAACCCUUCAGAUUCUAACAUAACCGUCUUCCCCUUGCAUGCCUUAUAUAGAAGAAUGGUGCUUCAAUUAUAAAACAUGCUACAGCAAAGAUGGAAUAGGUACUCAAGAAUAGAAAGGCAUGACAUAUUGACAUGUAUUCCCUCCAUCCGGAAAUAAAUGGAUGGGUCUAGGCGCAUUUCAGUUCUAGAUACAUCCAGUUUUAUCCAUUUCUACGACAUGUAAUCCGGACGGAGGGAGUAUGAUGUAAGAGCUAGGGAUACGACAGGACAACACAGUAAAAAAACACUGAAAACCCAUUGCAGAACCAAAGUAAUCAAACCCACUGAUAUGAGAUAGUACACUCAUGCAGCUCAGGAUGCAAAACUACCAGGCAGUUUUCCUUACAAAAAUCAACAUUGUGGCCUUUAAUCAUACAUUUUGCUACAACUAAAUUUAGAUCAGAUAAAGGUUGGAUUCACGCCGAUUAACAAAAUACAUGCUGGUGUAAAAAUAUAGUGAUAUACAACAGGUACUUACAUCUAAAUUGGAGUACAGAGAAUUCCUGCAAGAAUCUUUCCUCACAGACGAUACCAGUGCAGAAAUUCUUCUAUCUGUUAAGCUUAUUUUCUAAAAGAGAGAUGGGUAAGAAACAUGUAGAAAAUAUGAUCAGCAUGCUAUAAAAUUUCAUGAUGCAAGGAUACGCACAUGCUUCUUAGAAUGGAGUUGACAUAUUUUUGCUGGACUGGAGCGGACUAGUUCUUUGGCCACUGGAAUCUGCUUAUUAUCAGUAGGAGUUGGGUUUCUCUGUGGUGGAGCAGUAUCUAUAAAAACUGGAGUUGGUUUAUUAUCUCCUGGCGUUUGGAUCUUUUCCAAAGACCUGGUUUGUAACCCUUCAGAUUCUAACAUAGUCAUCUUCCCCUUGCAUGCCUUGUAUAGAAGAAUGGUGCUUCAAUUAUAAAACAUGCUACGGCAGAGAGAUGGAAUAGGUACUGAAGAAUAGAAAGGCAUGACAUAUUGACAUGUAUUCCCUCCAUCCGGAAAAAAUAGAUGGGUCUAGGCGUAUUUCAGUUCUAGAUACAUCCUUUUUUAUCCAUUUCGGCAACAUGUAAUCUGGACGGAGGGAGUAUGGUGUAAGAGCUAGGGAUACGACAGGACAACACAGUAAAAAACACUAAUGUAAAAUUGUAUGCUAGCGGAAUACGUACAGAAAAAACUAAGGCAGCAUACACGUGUAUGAUUGGGAAACUAAGAUGGCAUUGCAACAGAGCACUAGAACAACACUUCAAUGUAAAAAAACAUGGUAUGGUAGACAGAUGAAGUACGUACUGAUGAAUAACAAUGCAUAAGAUAUUCAGAAGCAUGAUGUCCAAAUUAAGCAGAUGGCAUUGUGAUAGAGUAGAAUGACAGUACUUGAAUUUGAAAACAUGUUAUCAUGAAUGGAAUAGGUACUGAAAAACAGGAAGGCAUGACAUAUUUACAUGCAUGAUCAGCAUGCUAAGCACAUGGCAUUGCAACAGAGUACAUACACUCCAGGACAUUAUAUGCAUGUUGUACCCAUAUCACGGGCCAAGUUAGAGCAAGGACCUUGUGGGGUGAAGAGGAUUCAACAUCUUUCUGCAAGUCUUCUGAAGAACUGCCUUUACAUGUUCCAUCAUAUUGGGUAUCAUUGACAUCAAGUUUAUUGGCCUUUACAUUGCUCCGUGAGGUUCUUGUGGAUAUAUCAGUGUGUGCAAUUAUAUCUGACAUGCAUGGAAGACAACUAGUAGUUAGAUUUAUGUAAUGAGUGCCUGUAGGAGACGACAUAAAUAGUAGGACUGGGGUUAACUAGCAGCAACAGGUCUCAAAAACUAAAGGGAGAACACAGAUGAAAGCUACAGAAUAUGUAUCGUUUGUACUCGAGAUUAACUAGAUGGCACACAAAAGUAUUAAAGAACAACAUAGGUAAUACUAGAAGUGGUACAAUACUAUAAUCACCAGCCUGUGGGAUAGCAUUGGCUGAUGGAUGAUAACUAUGGAACAACGUUACCUAAAGAACAAGUAUCUUAGCUGAACUAUGGAACAACGUUAACUCCUGAACAAGACCCGUAAGAGAUCAGCAUGAAUAUACAGUGAAAUGUGAUAAUCUAUUUUCCAUGCUUAGAUGAAUAACAAAGCCAUAAAUGUUGCACACAAGUAAGAUGAGGGUACAACCUAACUGGCCGCCAUCCAUAGGAGUGAGCAUCAUGUGCUGACUUGUCGAUGGCCCUGCAGUUGUUGUGGUUGUCCAUGUCGGGCACGCGCAUUCGAUGCAGGGAACUGUUGAGUGGGGACUAUAGCUCCCUUCUGGUGUAUACUUACCUUGUUGGAGCAGCUGUGGUGAGUCGGAAGACGGUGUGGCUGAAGAUGCAGAUAACGCAUAAUGUUAAGAACGACACAUCUCUUUGAUCUGAAGAAAUACACUAAGAGAUCAACAACAAGGUACGAGAGUGGUCACACGUCUGUUGACUGAGACUAAAUUGGGGUCACACGAUUUUAUUUUAUUUUGGUACUGUCCGAUCUACGCCAGAUGGCUUGAUGGCCAUCUUGUGCCUCCCGGCUGACACUGUUAGGAAUCUUCCCCGAAGAGCUAGCGACCAACAGCAGAGCAGCUUGCCUCUGCCGUCCGUGGCCCCGGCCAAAACCCCGCUCCCCGCCCCACUGCACUGCCGUGGUUGCGCCACCCCCAGGCCAAUCCACAAAGACUCCCCGUCAUCCAGAUCCGGCGACGGCAGUACCUUGAACCCAUGCAACUCUAAGAUAGCCAUAUAAGCACUGCUACCGCGGCAAACUUGCGGCCCCGCACCCUUACGUUAGACACCAGCCAACCGGCAGCCUAGGAGCUCCGCCGCCUCGAGGGGUGCUGCUUCCCAUUGGGAAUCGAUUGGCCCAAAAUAAAAAUUCAGAUAACUGACGCCUAAAUAAAGUGAUUUGAGAUGAGGGUGUGACCUAUCUGGCGGCAUGGUGAAGUAGGCAGGUCCAGCUGCCGAGUCGGUGAGGCCGGCUCGGUUGUGGUGGCCACCGGCGGCAGGGAAACAGCGAUGUCGCGACGGUCUAUGGCCUCGGGGAAGCAGCGCCGGGACUCUGGACGGAUCUGAAGUUGGAGCCGCUCUGGCGCCGUGAACAACGGCAGGGGUGAAUCAGCUCCGGUACGGUUCACGCGGCUGUCAUCGAGGCAGCUCCAGCAGCACGGAGUAAGAGGCACACGGCCCAGUGCACGACGGCAAAUGGACAGCGUCUCCGGCAUUAGGGAGGAGGGCAGCUGUGAAAUUGGUGCGGUGGGGGCGCCAUGGAGGAGGGGCUGAGGUUUCGCGGCUCGGGAGAAGGGAGCUUCCGGGGAGAAGGUGAUUUGGCACCCAUGACGUAUGAAUGGGGGGAAUUGGGAUAUGGACGCAUUUGUCUGAAAUGUGAGGGGGAGUUACAGUCCUACCCCUACCUUUAGGCUUCUCGGCUUGGGUCUGUGUACUGAGGGUCGGGGAUAGUAGAGUAACUUUGCUUCUCCCCAAAUAGUGGGCGGGAGCGAUUUCGGGCGAGGAGGGCGUGUUUUGAAAUAUAGAGGGCGCGAGCGAUUUCGGGCGAGGAGAGCGUGUUUUGAAAUAGUGGGCGCGAGCUAUUUCAGGUGAGGAGAGCGUGUUUUGCCGACCAUGGUUUAUGAAUUAUUCGGCACAUGUCAUUUCGGCCGAGGAGAAGGCGCGCUUGGAUGAAGUUACGAACCUACCCUCGAUGCACAAUGGGCCAAUUAAUGCGUCUCCCGCAUAGGACGGUAAUUUCGCGUCUCCCAUUUAUUUGCUCGGGCGAAUUCCACCGAGCAGAGGAUGUUUAACGGUUCGUUCAAAAUUUGGGAGAACGAGCAUCCACGUCUACCUUACCAAGUCGAUUCAAAUCAAAUUUAGAAAUAUUAGCUUGCCACUUCUUUUUUAGAUGGAGAGAUGAUGCUCGGGAGUAAUGUGUUUUUACAUGCUCGUUGCUAGCGAUUUACUAUAUGACAAAUAGUUGACCCACUCAAAAACAGGAAUCAAACCCAAAAUGAAAUAUCUCGAUUCAAUGAAAUAGCUCGUUCACCAGGUCAAAAUAGUGAACUAAAUCCAAAAUUGAAAACCUCAAUCGAAUAGCAUAUUGUACAGUAUUAUAGUACUCCAUGAACAUGUUGAAAGCCAAAUUAAUGAACUUGUUUGAUAUACGCAUAUAUCCGUUCAUGUGUGGAUUGCAGACAACAUGUUCUCCAAUUUAAAUAUUUGAAUGCAUGUUUAUAUCGAAACAUGGUUUAUAUCAGUCUUUGAUGCAUAAAACAUGACCUCCCCCUCUCCCGGACUCCUGCUCUCUCUCUCUCUCUCGCCGACAAUCUUCAAUUCUGUUGCACGCAUCCAACACACAAACCUUGUUGGUCCUCUCUCUUUAUCUCCAUCUCUCUCUCUCUCUCUCUCUCUCUCUCUCUCUUUGUGUGUGUGCGUGGGGGGGUCUUUCUAGUUCGCAUGCAUAUAUACUCCAUCUAUAGGUCUCUCUCGCACACUAUGUAUGAUUCUCUAGUCCAAGCUAGAUAUCUUGGGUGCACUCAUCGUACGCACACAAAUUCCUUGGCUCGUUGCCCGUAACUCUCUCACGCACCACUCUAUCGUCUCGGAGCUCUUCCCCCCCUCUCUCAAACUCUCCAUCUACCUGGGUCACACAUACACAUGCAUAUCUCACUCGCACUCGAUAGGCCCAUCUAAAACUCUAUCCCUCUCCCUCGUUCUCUCUCCAUCUCACACGCACACACACACAAUCUCAUGCCUAGCUAGCCAAGUAUGAUGGUAUCUCACUCAAUUGUAGGCAUACGCAGUCCCCCCUAUAUGUAUAUGACUAGCUAAUCUUAGUCUCCAUCACAAACAUGUGGAUGGUCUAUCUCGAUUUCUCUCGGGGCAUCUUUCUAUCGCGCACGCACCUCCCUCGAUCUCCCACCCAUAUAGUCCCCUCACGAUCUCGAGGGGGUCUCUCUAUCACAAACACACCCUCUCGCCCUCCCCAUGCAUCCAUGUUAUCCAUGUGUCCCUCUCGACCUUUGUUCCUUGUUGGCCAGACCUCUAUUGGACAUGUACUUAUUAGCUAUCUUCGUGUAUCUCCUCGCCUCGCUUUUCUAUCUCAGAGAUGCAUGCGUGAUAUGUUCGCCUAAGAAACGAAAAAACACACACUCUCUCUAAUUUAUCGUUUGUUGUCACUUUCUCUUUCACACACGUACUCUUUUUGCACACUUACUCAUUCUCCUUCACACGCACUUGAUCCCUCUCGACUUAGGCACUCUCCUCGGUCCAUAGCAUAUUGAUUUAUUGAAAAGUCAAACAUCACAAAGUUUGACCAUGUACGUGGAGAAAAACAAUUACAUCUGGAACGGCAAACAUAUACCAUUAGAUUCACCAUGAGAUGUAGUUUCGUAUGAUGUAUAUUUGGUAUUGAAGAUAUAAAUAACAUUUGUGUAAACCUGAUCAAAGUUUCCAAAGUUUGACAUCUAAAAAAAUUACAUGCACUGCAUUAUCGAGCAGAUGGAAUAUCCCUUUCCCCCUCUCAGCUAUCUGACGCACCACUCAGCCUUAUCGGGGCUCCUCAAUCUCUCUCAAACUUUAUAUCUCCCUGGUUCACACAUACACAUGUCUCGCUCGCGCUAUACAUAUAGACCCAUCCAACACUCUCCGCCCUUGUUCUCUCUCUAUGUUACACGCACCCCCCUAAUAAGUACCAUAAUCCCUCACUCCAUCAUAGGCGCAAGCACCCCCCUACGUAUGAUUAUCUCUCACUAGCCAUCAGGAACACACGUAUUGUCUCCUUCCGUCCAUACGUCUAUCUCGAUAUCUCUCGGGGUAUCUUCUAUCGCGCACACACCUUGUCACUCGAUCUCCCACCCAUGUAGUCCCAUCACGAUCUCCAGGGGAUCUCUCUAUGACAAACAUACACUCUCUCCUCCCCAUGUCUGCAUUUUCUCCGUACGUCUCUCUCGACCUCUCUCCCUUGUUUGUCAGACCCCUCUUUGCCACGUGCUAGGGGUCUUGCUCUCUUGGUUGCAAACAACCACACACUAUCUCCUCACCUUGCUUCCGUUGUCAAAGAUGCAUGUGUGAUAUGUUUGCAUAAGACACACACGUUUUUUCUCGACUUUUAUCGAGUGUUGUCCAUGUCUCUUUCACACACGCACACACACUUUUUUCACUCACUCUUUCUAUUUCACUCUCUCUCUCUCUAGUUAGGGACUCUCUCACGUCCAUAAGCAUAUGGAUGUUUUGAAAAGUCAAACCUCAGAAAAGUUUGACCAGGUAUAUGUGGAGAAAAACAUUUACAUCUGGAAAGAUCAUUAGAUUCAUCACAACAUGUACUUACUUCAUACUAUCAUUUAUCUUUGGUAUUGUAGAUAUAAGUAAUUUCUUUAUAAACUUGGUCAAAGUUUCAAAAGUUUGACUUUAAGAAAAAUGUUGGAACUACAUUAUCGAACGGAGGGAGUAGCUCUUUCUCUCUCUCUCUGCUAUCUCUCACGGGCCUCCCCUCUCACACGAACACUCUAUAACGAUGGAUUAUACGCUCACUGUGUUAGCGUAUAGCUCCGUAUAUUGUUUAGUUGACCGGUCAACCAGUCCACAUGCUGCCUUGUCAGCUCGUGUUCUGUAUCUUCGUGUGUUGGCCCAUGUGGCAGUGGGUGAAAAUAAGUAAACUAGAGGCCCAUCUGACACGCAGUGAAGUAAACAAAGUUGAAACCACUCGGGGUAGCACCCCGCACGCUAGUAAAUUGAAGGUGCAUUGAGGACACACUUCUUCCGCGUGGAGGAUGCACUCGCGCACAAUUCACCACUGCGCGGCGGCAUGCACAGAAGGACGCACUCGCGCACACCCAGCACACAACACACACCAGCACACGUGUACACCGGCGUCGCCGACAGUUGAGAUGGACGGCGAGGCAGCCAACAAGCGGAGGCGGCUCGAGCCAAAACCGCAUCCGGUGAGCCUGGACUUCAUCAGCAGCCUCCCCGACGACAUGCUGCUCGUCAUCAUCGGCCUCCUCCCCACCAAAUCUGCCGUGCGGACCGCCCUGCUCUCCCGGCGGUGGCGCCCCCUCUGGCGCCGCGUCCCCCUCAACCUCACCGUCGACAGCUGCCUCUGCGACGGGGAUUGCAAACGCAUGGCCGCAGUCUCCAAGAUCCUUUCAUCGCACCCUGGGCCAGCCAGACGCCUUGACAUCCGCAUGUUCAGUACCAACUACAAGGUCCAACCCAAGUUUGACGAGUGGUUCUUAUCCCCGCCCUAGAUCAGCUCGAGGAGCUCAGCUUUGAAGCUGGACGAUGUUGCUCUCUGCCGCCGUCCGCGCUCUGCCUCGCGCCAACGCUGCGCCGCGCCAGCUUCGGCUCCUGCUAUCUUCCCCGGAUUAAUGUCACGCCCGCCCUUCUUCUCCCUCAACUCAAUCAGCUCGACCUCUUCGACGUUGUCAUCUCGAAGAAGGCUAUGGAGCACCUACUCCGCAGCUGUACUGCGCUCGAGUACCUUCGUCUUGAUCAGAUCCACGGGUUCAUUAGCCUCCACAUCGCCUCGACGAAUCUUCGAUGGAUUUAUGUGUCUUGCUGGCCCCGCAACAAGACAUCAAUUGGGAAGAGAUCACUCCAGUUGUUCCACGUUAUGGUCAUUGAGAAUGCGCCUUUCCUUGAGAGAUUGCUUGUACCGGAUCAAGAAGGUCCAACAAAAAUCAGGGUCAUUGACGCGCCGAAAUUGACAGCGUUGGUGCACUCGUCUGCCAAAUUCUCCGAACUCAUUAUUGGAUCCGUAAUCAUUCAGGUACAGCACUCAUCUUCUUCUCUGUCUUCUUGAAAUUCACAUUUUUAAAUUUCUUCUUGAUGUAUUUACGACCGUCUUCCAGAAAAUCAUUCCCACAAGCUUGACCCAGUCUAUGCGCACAGUGAAGAUCUUGGCAAUAAAAUCUAUCGGCCCCAAUCUGGAUCAAGUUGUUGGAUUCCUUACAUGCUUUCCGUGCACGGAGAAGCUACUCAUCGAGGUGAAACUUCUUUCCUAUUAGUAAACGGUAAUCACAACGUAGCUCAAAUUUUUCGUAAUUUCCCAAAUUACGAUGACAAGUGUAGUGUUCAAAACGGCAUCUACGCAUUGCACCAAAAGAAAUGUUUUUAGUAUUUUUUUCUCACGUGAGCACCUGCAUCGUUUUGUUGUUGUACUACUAUAGUAGCCUAGGCUAGUCAUAGUGGAAAGUAACUUAGACUACUCCAGUAACUCUAUGGUUACCCUAAGAGCAAGUACUACCUCCAUCCUGGUUUACUCUUCCUAUUUUGUAGUAUCAAAAUUUGACCAUAGAUUUAACUGACAAAAUGUUAAUGCAUGUCACUAAGAACUAUAUCGUUGGAUUCGUAUUUGAACAUAAUUUCAAAUGGUGUAAUUUUUAGUGACUUGCAUUGGCAUUUUCUUACAUAAAUAUAUGGUCAAAAUUUUAUAUUAAAUAAGAGGUAGUACAAAAGUGGGCUAUAACGGCCCUCCACUAUGUAGGCCAAAACACGUGCCAAAUUCACUUGUGAUGCAUUUGGCAUCGAUGCCCCUCCAUUGCUCACCUGGUGCCCCAAUCUGGAUCACCUACUUUGCUCCGGUGCCAAAUUAACCCACGCAAUGAAAAAACACUUGCGUGGGAGAGAGAGAGGACUGAGGCAAUAAAAAACACUUGUUUGGGAGAGUGAGAGGCUGGUGUAGUUGCUUUGAUUGAUUUGUUUAUACAUGUGGGUCUGUGUGCACAGCGGUGCCAACUCUCUCACAUUGCGAGAGCGGUGCCAAAAUCUUUUGGUUUGACAUCGAUGCGUAUUAUGUGGCAUACUUUUACGAAAUAUGGCAUCGGCCACAUAGUGGAAGGCAACAAAUGCCCAAGCUCUUCACGUACUCCUAGGUAAAUGAGAGGAAAGAGAAAGAGAGAGAGAGAGUGAACAAAUAUCACUAGCCAGCCAACCCUAUCGUAUGAGCGAAUGAUAUUGGUACCUCUUGAUGACACGACAAUCUUAUACAACCAACUGCUCUAAUAUGUUCUCUUCUUUUGCAGAUAAAAAAAGACCCGAAAGUGAAAAAUGUGAUGCACUAUAACAAUCUCAUCGAAUGCCUUGAUCCCCAUCUUACAUAAAUUGAUUUGAUUGACUACCGAGGCAGCACAUCCGAGAUUAAAUUGGCCAGGUUCUUUGUUCGGGAGGCAAGUGUGCUCAAGGUAAUGAGGUUUGGCAUUCUCUGGCGCAACAAUGAAUGGCGUGCUGAUCACCGCAAGCAUCUAAGCCUAAAUGACAAAGUCUCCGCAGAAGCUGAAUUUGAUUUUGAAACAUCAAGUGGCCAGAGACUCGAAAACUUAUUUUUCCGUUAGUGACUUGUCAGGGCGGUGGAUUUUAGUUUGUACGAUAAUGCUGCAUCCACCUAAAGUAACGAAAGUUCUUACGUAAACUUCCUAGUAAUUCCCUCUUCGUAUGUGCAGCAUUACUCCUAACAUUUGUAAUAUCAGUUUGAAACUUGUAAUAUUGUCGUGUCCUAUCCCUGCGUUUUCAAAAUACUGCGAAUCAAACCGGUCCUGAGUUGGUGAUGAUGUUGUGCCUGCCAUCUUUCACCAAUAGCCGUCAGAUCUAGAUCUGACGCAUACAAACCAAACUUCUCCAGUUUUGCAAAAAGAUGCCCGCACUUGUUCCCUAUUUACAAACAACUCCUUGUCUCUCACAAUCAGCCUUAUCUCCUCCCCACCACAUCUAGAAGGCCAUGAAAAAAUCUGGCGCGAUGGCCGCUGCCGGCGCCGUCCACCCCCCAAUCUUGGUGUUUCGUGCAAUGCACGGGCAUCUACGCACGGGAAAUUAUGUCGAACACGGCUAGUUGUAAGCAGGCUAGGUCUACAGCCAUGAUGAUAGUGACUCCAGACGGUGAGGCUGACUAUGGUAUGCCGAACACGGCGCCUAUACUCAGGUGUCAUCUCCGGCGUAGGGUCUUGUCACUUCACUGUGAGUAGCAGCACGUAAUAAUUUGACCAACGGGUAGUACAGUGCUACUACAUUGGUAGCACUACUAGUACUAGCACCACCGUCUGGAUUUAGUAGUACUACCACGUCCAUCUGGAUUUACUAUUUGACUAGCAAUAUCUAGUAAUGCAUGUCACAAAAAAUGUACUACUCCCUCUGUAAAUAAAUACAUGGUGUAUUGCUUUAUUCCGAUCGGCGAGGUAACUUAAUGUCUUUUUGCUACUUAAUAGGAUUGCAUGCAAUGAACUAACCACUGCAUGUGAUGUUUGGUAGUCUCAAGUCAUUGAAAGCAUGCACGGGCACGGAGGGGGACGCAGCUUCAUUGACUUACUGCACCUGCCUUUGGGUGUAUGACACAUGGACCCAACGGGUGGCUGGCCAACCUGUCAUAUAGCCAAAGGCAGGUGCAGUAGAGGGGCGAGGAGUAGAUGGCCAACACGCACGUGAAUUCAACGCAAUCUGCACUUCUCAUAUAAAGGCUCCCGCCAGUCCAAUCUAUGAAAUCCUACGCACCUACGCACCCAAGGGCAAGAGUGACCACUCCAAUCGCAAGAUCAGUUGACUAGAAGCUAGACCCAUGGAGGCGAUGAGCGCGAGCAUCAGCCGGCUGUGCCAGAUGGUCCACGACGCUGGCCUGCGGCCCGGCACCGAGGAACGUCUCCAGGUAGAGCUUGAGGCCGCCAGGGCGAGGGGCCGCUUGGACGACAGCUUCGUCUCCUUGUUCGACGAGGUCCUCGUGGGCUUCCUCGACAAGUUCACCGUCGUCAAGAAGCUCAUGGACGACCUUGACGUAUGCCUCCAGCCCACGCGCCUAGGCUCUGCGAUGCCUGCCACCCUCAACGGCCUCUAUGGUGACAACCUCUUCGACGCACUGGUGGCCCUGCGACUGCCCGCCGUCACGCCGGAGAAUGUCCACCUCGAGGUCGCGCUCGUCGCGCUGUGCCUGGUGCAACAAGACACCAUCGACAUAAUCACCCACGUCUACGCGCAAAUCAUCCACAAGGACUACUACAUGCAAGAGGAGGACGAUAGGACGCUGGCCUUCUUGGACCGUAGGGCAACCUUGGACGGCAUUGUUCAGAAGCAUGUUGAGCUUGCCGCCAACGCCGCUGCUCCUCACACGUCGGUUGGUGACCCGGUGCACUAGGGCGUGAGGAUGUCGUUGAUGGAUCCGUAUGUAUCUUUAUCUUUCCGUCAAAUCCAUGUAGUAGUAUAUGGUACUACUAGUAAUUAUCUUACCUUUCGCAUCAACUUCAUAAUUUUCCUACGUACCCCAUGCAUGAACCGCGCCAGAACCAAACUUCUCAUUACUCUAGGGAAAAUCGUUAUUUCUAUCUAUCGGUCGCGCCAUGGAGCAGAACCAAAUUUUACAAGUUACAAGUUCAAAAGGAAAAGCCUGUCGUGUUCGCGUCGCACCCUCACACGGUUGGUCCGGCACGCCGCUCAAGGGGGAAUGCGUGUUGUGUUGCAUUUUCACUUACAAGUGGGACCGCAGUUGAGCAAACCGACUAUCGGCAAACCCCCACCCCGCCCACCGUGCGAUGGCUGAGAAAACAGGAGGGAGAAGAGAUGGCUCUAGCACGGACUCCAAGAAAAUUGGUAUCGGAUGGGACUCGUGUGGGUGGCGUGUGCCGUACUACUAGACAUGAAUGCUAGUUAUGGCCCAUGCCACCCCACUAUAUCGAGGUGCUGGUUACAUAGAACAAAUUUCCUGUAGUCCGCGCUCAGCCCUCCUCUAUCUCUCUUCUCACCAGCUAGCAGACGCGCGGAGCCCAUCGUCUGUUUGCUCAUAUGUGGUCCCACAUGUCAGUGAAAACGCAAGAGGACCCACUGAACCUGCACAUCUUUCACCUCGACGUGCUGGUGAUGAAAAACAAAUCCAAUAAAGAUCUUCGGUGGCCGCUUUUGGAGUUACUCAAGAGUAGUAAGAUUCUAUUUACAGUUUAACCCAAGAUGCACAUCACGUGGCUUCAACUACCACUCUAUUUUCUUGCAUGACACGACAUGGAUGCUGGAUGUCCCACGUGUCGGCAAAAGGAGGGAGAACUUGACCAAAUCUUCGGUUGUGCUCUCGGAUUAGACUAGUUGUGCUAACUUAAAAUUUUAUUAUGUAGAAUGGAUGCAAGUUUUGGUAUUGGGAAGAAGAGUACAACGAUAUAUUGAUAGAGCACAAUUUAGUAGAUGUUCUAGCACUUUUAGCUAGCAUAGAGGCUAGAGAUAAGACUAGUGCACUUGUUCAUAGAAUAGAGGCUAGACACAUCUACUUCUUUACACUCGAAGAAGAAAGAAGCACGCAGGAUCGAGCCUCCGCAGAUCAACAAUGAAUGCAUCGAGAAGGCACUAAUCCAACUUACAGGAGCAGUUAUGGAAGUUGGAUAUCUUCUAAAAUGUAUUCUUGUGGUUCUUGUUUUUCUAGUCAAAAUUUUGGUGAUGUAUUUCCAUGUACCAAAAAAUCAAUGAUGAAAAAAAGAUAUGUGUUCGCAAAGAAAAAUGUACGCGGCCGGGAUGCGUCCGCGCGUUCGGUGCACGGCCACCGCAUCCGAGAAAUGGCCCGGACACGACCCCAUUGCCCUACCCAAACGGACAGAAUCCAGGCAAAACGGAGGUCCAUUUGGGGUCGUGCGUUGGAGUUGGCCUUACAAGUGGGACCGUAGUUGAGGAAACCGACUAUCGGCAAACCCCCACCUCGCCCGCCGCGCGAUGGCUGAGUUAGAGAAACGACGAGGUUGAAGAGAUUGCUGUAGCACGGACUCCAAGAAAUAUGGUGUCAGAUGCAAGUCGUGCUGGUGGCGUGUGCCGUACUCCUGGACGUGAAUGCUUGUUCUGGCCCAUGCCACCCUACUACUCCUACUACUACUCCUACUACUCCUAUCGAGGCUUCGAGGUGCUGGUUACGUACAGCACAUUAACAUAUGGCCCACCUCACACUGUGGCCAAAUUUCCUGGAGUCUGUGCUAGGUUAAAAAGUGUUCUUUGUGAGGAUGGGUGGCUGGUCUCAAGUUUAAAACUUGUUGUAUUACGUACGUAGACAUAGAGAUAGUGCAGCAUGUGAAGCUAGUACAAAUAGUGUACUAUUGUUGAUUGGCCUCAUCCGAUAACCUGUUGCAAUGCACGUACAAUUAUGUAUUCGGAAAAUAUAUUUUUGCCUCGUCGCAGCACCCACUCAGAGAAGCGACUCGAAACCCAUUCAUAAAUUUAGUAAGUUUAUAACAGGCAUAUCAUUUUAUUACAUACAACAGGUCAUCAACCCACAACGACAACGAGGAUACAUUAUAAAUACUGAAGUUUUCAUCACACAACAAAUAACAAGCAAUGAAAUGAACUUCAACUCAACCAAUCCUCGGCGUUGGAAAUGCUUGCUUUGAACCACAAGCGAUUCUCUGGGAAGAGCCAGCUACUGUCAAUCUCGAGACCAACGCAGGACUGAUCAUCCAGGCUGAUGCGGCCUACUAUAUCACGACCAGGGUAGGGAACCACCACAGUGUGCAACGUAUAGAUGCAAUUGCUUCUCAUAAAUGGUAGUAACGUUGUGUCAACAGCAGUUGGAUCGCCUUUCACCAUCAUUGGAUAGUUUUGUCCAAGGAAGAGUGAGUUUGCUCCAAGACUAUCAAUACUGUACCAGGGAGAAGGUGUUGGCGCUAGCACACUAGUAUCCAUCCCGAAUACCAUGCAACAGGUGUUGGAAUAGGUCCGGAGAGUGCGACCAUGGGAGACAACACCUGCUCCCUCAGUAGUAACAUCAGCAGUGGGCUGUAUACACACAAGAAGUGGUGAUCCAUUGGAAUUAGUUGCCAGCCGCCAGUGAGCAUAUGGGCCCUGCUCGUCCUCAUGCUCGUGAUCAUCACCAUCUUCAUCUCCCCCUUGGUUAUAAAAAUUUUCAAGUAUAAGUGGUGGAAUGUUCACAGGACCUUGGAAACACAAGAAGAAGGGUAAUUAGUAGAGAAGGGAAACUCGCUAACUCGCAUGCAUGUGGAUGAAACAAUUAUAAUUACGGUGGAACAAAAACGUACUGAAACUACGAGGAUCCCAUGCAAAAACAGUGCCACGAGUGGUGGCAGCAAAGACAAGACCGUCGUAUUCAAUUGCAUCACAGUACACAUCCGUGUAUAGAAACUGAUUUUUGAGCAAUAUCCAUCCAGUCGAACCACGAAGGACAGCAACAAACUUGUCGAAGAUAGCAACAACUUGAUAGUUCUUGUAAUUCCAAGAGCGGUUGGGAACUCGAGAAAUUGCUAUCUUCCGUAGACGACAGUCACCAUGAUCAUAUUUGAACGUACGUAGAUCAUUUGUGUGAUCAACCUCAGGGCACUCGGAGAUUUUUGGAAGUGGAAUCCAUUGACGAGUGUACACAUUCACAAGUUCCCACUCGCAAUUGUACCCAAUAUAAACAACCCAAUCUCCAUUUGCACCUGCCCAAGCCUUACCCUCAAGCGAUGGCAUCUUAACAUCAUACGUAUCAUUAUCAAGUGGCAUCAACUUGCACAAGGCGAGGCUUCCCUCGUCCCCGCGCCAGUCAGCAGGGUGAUACGUCCAUUUUGCAUCAUUCUUUUAUAUCGAUAUUUAUUGCAUUAUGGGCUAUUAUCACACAUUAUGUCACAAUACUUAUGCCUAUUCUCUCUUAUUUUACAAGGUUUACAUAAGGAGGGAGAAUGCCGGCAGCCGGAAUUCUGGGCUGGAAAGGGAGCAAAUAUUAGAGACCUAUUCUGCACAACUCCAAAAGUCCUAAAACUCCAUGAAAGUUGUUUUUGGAAAUAAUAAAAAAUACUGAGCGGAAGAAAUACCAGAGGGGGCCCACACCCUGGCCACGAGGGUGGGGCGCGCCCUACCCCCCUGGGCGCGCCCCCUGCCACGUGGGCCCCCUGUUGGCCCUCCGGUGCCCAUCUUCUGCUAUAUGAAGUCUUUCGUCCGAAGAAAAAUCAUAAGCAAGCUUUCGGGACGAGACUCCGCCGUCACGAGGCAUAACCUUGGCGGAACCAAUCUAGGGCUCCGGCAGAGCUGUUCUGUCGGGGACACUUCCCUCCGGGAGGGGGAAAUCAUCGCCAUCGUCAUCACCAAUGCCCCUCUCAUCGGGAGAGGGCCAAUCUUCAUCAACAUCUUCACCAGCACCAUCUCCUCUCAAACCCUAGUUCAUCUCUUGUAUCCAAUUCUUGUCUCCAAGUCUGGGAUUGGUACCUGUAGGUUGCUAGUAGUGUUGAUUACUCCUUGUAGUUGAUGCUAGUUGGUUUAUUUGGUGGAAGAUCAUAUGUUCAGAUCCUUUAUACAUAUUAAUACUCCUCUGAUUAUGAACAUGAAUAUGCUUUGUGAGUAGUUACGUUUGUUCCUGAGAACAUGGGAGAAGUCUUGCUAUUAGUAGUCAUGUGAAUAUGGUAUUCGUUCGAUAUUUUGAUGAGAUGUAUGUUGUCUUUCCUCUAGUGGUGUUAUGUGAACGUCGACUACAUGACACUUCACCAUUAUUUGGGACUAUAGGAAGGCAUUGGGAAGUAAUAAGUAGAUGAUGGGUUGCUAGAGUGACAGAAGCUUAAACCCUAGUUUAUGUGUUGCUUCGUAAGGGGCUGAUUUGGAUCCAUAUGUUUCAUGCUAUGGUUAGGUUUACCUUAAUACUUCUUUUGUAGUUGCGGAUGCUUGCAAUAGGAGUUAAUCAUAAGUGGAAUGCUUGUCCAAGUAAGAACAGCACCCAAGCACCGGUCCACCCACAUAUCAAAUUAUCAAAGUACCGAACGCGAAUCAUAUGAACGUGAUGAAAACUAGCUUGACGAUAAUUCCCAUGUGUCCUCGGGAGCGCUUUUCUCUAUAUAAGAGUUUGUCCAGGCUUGUCCUUUGCUACAAAAAGGAUUGGGCCACCUUGCUGCACUUUAUUUACUUUUGUUACUUGUUGCUCGUUACAAAUUAUCUUAUCACAAAACUAUCUGUUACCUAUAAUUCAAGUGCUUGCAGAGAAUACCUUGCUGAAAACCGCUUAUCAUUUCCUUCUGCUCCUCGUUGGGUUUGACACUCUUACUUAUCGAAAGGACUACGAUAGAUCCCCUAUACUUGUGGGUCAUCAAGACUCUUUUCUGGCGUCGUUGCCGGGGAGUGAAGCGCCUUUGGUAGGUGGAAUUUGGUAAGGAAAAAUUUAUAUAGUGUGCUGAAAUUUAUUGUCACUUGUUACUAUGGAAAGUAAUCCUCUGAGGGGCUUGUUCAGGGUAUCUUCACCCCGACCAGUAGAGCAAAGAGUUGCUCCUCAGCCUACUGAACCUACUAAAAAUGAAAAUGUCUACUUUGAAAUUCCUUCGGGUAUGGUAGAAAAACUGCUAGCUAAUCCUUUUGCAGGAGAUGGAACAUUACAUCCUGAUGAGCACCUAAUAUAUGUGGAUGAAGUUUGUGGAUUAUUUAAGCUUGCAGGUAUGCCCGAUGAUGUUAUCAAGAAGAAGGUCUUCCCUUUAUCUUUGAAGGGAGAUGCAUUGACAUGGUAUAGGCUAUGUGAUGAUAUGGGGUCAUGGAACUACAAACGAUUGAAAUUGGAAUUUCAUCAGAAGUUUUAUCCUAUGCAUCUUGUUCAUCGUGAUCGCAAUUAUAUAUAUAAUUUUUGGCCUCGCGAAGGAGAAAGCAUCGCUCAAGCUUGGGGGAGGCUUAAAUCAAUGUUAUAUUCAUGCCCCAAUCAUGAGCUCUUAAGAGAAAUGAUUAUUCAAAAAAUUUAUGCUCGGCUUUCUGAUAACAAUCGCACCAUGCUCAAUACUUCUUGUGCUGGCUCUUUUAUGAUGAAGACUAUUGAAUUCAAAUGGGACUUAUUGGAAAGAAUUAAAUGCAACUCUGAAGAUUGGGACCUCGACGAAGGUAAGGAGUUAGGUAUGCCACCUAAGUUUGAUUGUGUUAAAUCUUUUAUGGAUACCGAUGUUUUCCAUAAAUUUAGCACUAAAUAUGGACUUGACUCUGAGAUAGUAGCUUCUUUCUGUGAAUCUUUUGCUACUCAUGUUGAUCUCCCUAAGGAGAAGUGGUUUAAAUAUCAUCCUCCCAUAGAAGUAAAAGUAGUUGCACCUAUUAAAGUUGAAGAAAAUACUAUCACUUAUAAUGGUCCUAUUGUUCCUACUACUUAUGUUAAGAAACCACCUUUUCAUGUUAGGAUAAAGGAUCAUGCUAAAGCUUCAACUGUGGUUCGUAAAAGCAAUAUUAGAACUUAUACACCUCCUGAGCAAGUUAAAGUUGAACUAAUAUUGCUAUGGUUAAAGAUCUCUUGGCUGAUACUAUUGAUGGGCAUGUUAUUUAUUUCUGUAAUCAGACUGCUAGAAUUGCUAAACCUUGUGCUAAAGAUAAACAUAGACCUGUGGUAGGCAUGCCUGUUAUUUCUGUUAAAAUAGGAGAUCAUUGUUAUCAUGGCUUAUGUGAUAUGGGUGCUAGUGCUAGUGCAAUACCUAUUGACUUAUACAAAGAAAUUAUGCAUGAUAUUGCACCUGCUGAGUUAGAAGAUAUUGAUGUCACAAUUAAACUUGCCAAUAGAGAUACUAUUUCACCAAUUGGGAUUGUUAAAGAUGUUGAAGUCUUGUGUGGGAAGACUAAAUAUCCUCCUGAUUUUCUUGUUCUUGGUUCCCCACAAGAUAGCUUUUGUCCCAUUAUAUUUGGUAGACCCUUCUUAAACAUUGUUAAUGCUAAGAUAGACUGCGAAAAGGAUGUUGUUACUAUUGGUCUAGGUGAUAUGUCUCAUGAGUUUAAUUUCUCUAAAUUUUGUAGACAACACCGUCAAGAGGAAUUGCCUAGUAAAGAUGAAAUUAUUGGUCUUGCUUGUAUUGUCGUACCUCCUAAUGAUCCUUUAGAACAAUAUUUGCUGGACCAUGAAAAUGAUAUGUUUAUGAAUGAAAGAAGGGAAAUAGAUGAAGUGUUCUUUAAACAGGGUCCUAUUCUGAAACACGACUUGCCUGUUGAAAUCUUAGGGGAUCCUCCUCCACCCAAGGGUGAUCCCGUGUUUGAGCUUAAACAAUUGCCUGAUACUCUUAAAUAUGCUUACCUUGAUGAGAAGAAGAUAUAUCCUAUUAUUAUUAGUGCUAACCUUUCAAAGAAGGAGGAAGAAAAAUUAUUGAAAACUCUGAAGAAGCACCGUGCUGCUAUUGGAUAUACUCUUGAUGAUCUUAAGGGCAUUAGUCCCACUCUAUGUCAACACAAAAUAAAUUUGGAGAAAGACGCCAAACCCGUUAUUGAUCACCAACGACGGCUGAAUCCUAAAAUAAAAGAGGUGGUAAGAAAGGAAAUACUAAAGCUCCUUGAGGCAGGUAUAAUUUAUCCCGUUGCUGAUAGUCAGUGGGUAAGUCCUGUCCAUUGUGUCCCUAAGAAGGGAGGUAUUACUGUUGUUCCUAAUGAUAAAGAUGAAUUGACUCCGCAAAGAAUUAUUACAGGUUAUAGGGUGGUAAUUGAUUUCCGCAAAUUAAAUAAAGCUACUAAAAAAGACCAUUACCCCUUACCUUUCUAUUGAUCAAAUGCUAGAAAGAUUAUCCAAACAUACACAUUUUUGCUUUCUAGAUGGUUAUUCUGGUUUCUCUCAAAUACCUGUGUCAGCUGAUGAUCAAGCAAAGACCACAUGUACUUGCCCUUUUGGUACUUUUGCUUAUAGACGUAUGCAUUUUGGUUUAUGUAAUGCACCUGCUACCUUUCAAAGAUGCAUGAUGGCUAUAUUCUCUGACUUUUGUGGAAAGAUUUGUGAGGUUUUCAUGGACGAUUUCUCCGUCUAUGGAUCCUCUUUUGAUGAUUGCUUGAGCAACCUUGAUCGAGUUUUGCAGAGAUGUGAAGAAACUAAUCUUGUCUUGAAUUGGGAGAAGUGCCACUUUAUGGUUAAUGAAGGCAUUGUUUUGGGGCAUAAAAUUUCUGAAAGAGGUAUUGAAGUUGAUAAAGCCAAGGUUGAUGCUAUUGAAAAGAUGCCAUGUCCCAAGGACAUCAAAGGUAUAAGAAGUUUCCUUGGUCAUGCCGGUUUUUAUAGGAGGUUCAUUAAGGACUUCUCAAAAAUUUCUCGGCCUCUGACUAAUUUAUUACAAAAAGAUAUACCAUUUGUCUUUGAUGAUGAUUGUGUAGAAGCAUUUGAAAUACUUAAGAAAGCAUUGAUUUCUGCACCUAUUGUUCAGCUUCCUGAUUGGAAUUUACCUUUUGAAAUCAUGUGUGAUGCUAGUGAUUAUGUUGUAGGUGCUGUUCUAGGGCAAAGAGUUGAUAAGAAAUUAAAUGUUAUUCAAUAUGCUAGUAAAACUCUAGACAAUGCCCAGAGAAAUUAUGCUACUACUGAAAAGAAUUUUUAGUUGUUGUAUUUGCUUAUGAUAAGUUCAGACCUUAUAUUGUUGAUUCUAAAGUAACUAUUCACACUGAUCAUGCUGCUAUUAAAUAUCUUAUGGAAAAGAAAGAUGCUAAACCUAGACUUAUUAGGUGGGUUCUCUUGCUACAAGAAUUUGAUUUGCAUAUUAUUGAUAGAAAAGGAGCUGAGAACCCCGUUGUAGACAACUUGUCUAGGUUAGAAAAUGUUCUUGAUGACCCACUACCUAUUGAUGAUAGCUUUCCUGAUGAACAAUUAAAUGUCAUAAAUGCUGCUCAUACUGCUCCAUGCUAUGCGGAUUAUGCUAAUUACAUUGUUGCUAAAUUUAUACCACCUAGUUUCACAUACCAGCAAAAGAAAAAGUUUUUCUAUGAUUUGAGACAUUACUUUUGGGAUGACCCACAUCUUUAUAAAGAAGGAGUAGAUGGUGUUAUUAGACGUUGUGUACCUGAGCAUGAACAGGAAUAGAUCCUACGCAAGUGUCACUCCGAGGCUUAUGGAGGACACCACACUGGAGAUAGAACUGCACAUAAGGUAUUGCAAUCCGGUUUUUAUUGGCCUACUCUCUUCAAGGAUGCUCGUAAGUUUGUCUUAUCUUGUGAUGAAUGUCAAAGAAUUGGUAAUAUUAGUAAACGUCAGGAAAUGCCUAUGAAUUAUUCACUUGUUAUUGAACCAUUUGAUGUUUGGGGCUUUGAUUAUAUGGGACCUUUUCCUGCCUCUAAUGGGUAUACUUAUAUUUUAGUUGCUGUUGAUUACGUUACUAAGUGGGUACAAGCUAUUCCAACUAGUAGUGUUGAUCACAACAUCUCUAUUAAGAUGCUUAAAGAAGUUAUUUUUCCGAGGUUUGGAGUCCCUAGAUAUUUAAUGACUAAUGGUGGUUCACAUUUUAUUCAUGGUGCUUUUCGUAAAAUGCUUGCUAAAUAUGACGUUAAUCAUAGAAUUGCAUCUCCAUAUCACCCACAGUCUAGUGGUCAAGUAGAAUUGAGUAAUAGAGAACUCAAAUUAAUUUUGCGAAAGACUGUUAAUAGAUCUAGAAAGAAUUGGUCCAGGAAACUUGAUGAUGCAUUAUGGGCCUAUAGAACUGCAUAUAAAAAAUCCUAUUGGUAUGUCUCCGUAUAAAAUGGUUUAUGGAAAAGCAUGUCACUUACCUCUUGAACUAGAACAUAAGGCUUAUUGGGCUAUUAAAGAGCUCAAUUAUGAUUUCAAACUUGCCGGUGAGAAGAGGUUAUUUGACAUUAGCUCACUUGAUGAAUGGAGAACCCAAGCCUAUGAAAAUGCCAAAUUGUUUAAAGAAAAAAGUUAAAAGAUGGCAUGACAAAAGGAUACAAAAGCGUGAGUUUAAUGUGGGUGAUUAUGUAUUAUUAUACAACUCUUGUUUAAGAUUUUUUGCAGGAAAACUUCUCUCUAAAUGGGAAGGUCCUUACGUUAUCGAGGAGGUCUAUCGUUCCGGUGCCAUAAAAAUCAACAACUUCGAGGGCACAAAUCCGAAGGUGGUGAACAGUCAAAGAAUCAACAUUAUAUCUCAGGUAAUCCCAUAAAUGUUGAAACCAGUGUUAUUGAAACCGUAACCCUGGAGAAAUACAUAAGGGACACUUUCCGGAACGUUUCAGACUCCGAAAAGGGAUAGGUAUGUGGUACGGUAAGUAAACCGACUCCAAAACAGUUCUAAUGGCAAUUUUUCUCCGUUUUGGAAUAUUUAGAAAAAUAGAAAAAUAAGAAGCAGUCAGGGAAGGUCACAAGGGCUCCACGAGGGUGGAGGGCGCGCCCUACCUCCCUGGGCGCGCCCCUACCUCGUGGGCACCUCGUGCGCUCUCCGGACUCCGUUUUCUUGCACGAUACGUAUUUUGGUCGGUAAAAAUUCAUUAUAUAAUCUCCCUAAGGUUUUGACUCCUGUAUCACGCAAUUAUCCUCUGUUUUCGUUUUGAGCUGUUUUUCUGUCAGAUCUAGAUCACCAUGAGAUCUCCAAGCGCCCCCAAGGACAAGUUCUUCAAGAGGGUCAUUAACCCCUAUCUCGCGGAGGUGCUGCAACACCCUCAAACCAUUGAGAUGCGUGAUGGGUUGCUGCACAUCCGCGAUGCUGAGGGACCAAGGAGGACCAGAAGCGUGGAGACGAGGCUCGAAGCAAUGGAGCAACAAGUGUUCAAGUGCCAGGGGAUGGUGGAACGUGGACUCAACACCAACCACAUGAUGAUCGCGGAGUUCACCAACAACUACAAGCUGGAUGCCAAGAACAUUGGGGAGCCAUCUUCAAGCUUCACGAGAAGAUCGAGCACCUCCAAGCCCAAAUCUAUGACCUGCAAAACCAAAACUGUGAGUAUGAAUAUAGAUUCAAGAGGAUGAGUUUGGCUGCAGAUUUGAGGAUCCCGGAGACUCGAUCAUCCUUCUAUGAUGGUGAGCCUAUGCCUUGGAAGAUGGACGACAAGCCCACAUCAUCAACAACUCCACCAUCUUCUUCGAAUUUAGGGUUAGGUCUCCGCCGAAUUCAUCUCGGACCGACCGAGUUGUAGAAAUCGGUCUCACCGAUUUUGGCUUAGGCCAGAGCACACACAUUUUCGGUCCUAUCGAAAAUUGCAAAUCGGUGUGACCGAGUUCGAUUCUCUGUGAAACCCUAGCAGUCUCGGUACCACCGAACUGUGACUCGGUCUGACCUAGUUCACUAGUUCAGGUUCCAAAAGCUGCUUCGGUAUCACUGAGUUUACAAAUCGGUAGAUCCGAAAUGCUUUCUGUGAAGAACUAAAACUACGUUUUUAAGUCAUCUGUUUUGCAAAAACUCCUGUACUUUGUGAUGCUCAUCUACUCUACCUCAUCUAUAACCUAUUCACAGGGGCUGCUGACAGUUUGCUUGCAAGAUAUCUGACCAAAGUGACAGCCAGAACAAGUCAGAGCAACAGGUUCAGUUGAGUGAGGGCACUAGUCCCUCUAGCAGCUAUGAUGAAGGCAGCAGGAGCACUCCAAGCAAUCUGCCAAAGGCUGCUACCAGAACAAGGAAGAAGAGAACUUCUGACUCUGAAGAUGAAGACUAUGUGGCUGUUGAAGAUGAAGCCACUUCCAAGAAGAAAGUGCUGAAGAAAGAAUAUGGCACAGCUGCUGCAACAAAGCCUGGUUCGAAAACUAAAAUGCCAGCAAGAAGACAGCCCAUGCCUAAGCCAAGGAAGGUUGCCACAGGUGAAACUAUGAAGUUCACUAUUGAGUCUGAAGAAGAGGCGGCUGGAAAAGAUAAGAAGAAGAAGAAGAAGAGGGCCAGAACCACUACUGCCAGAGUUCUUGGCAAGCCCUCAAUGAUGAGAGAUUCCGAAGAAGAUGAAGAGGAUGCAGCACCAGCACCCAAAGCUCAAAAGCUCAUGGGAGAUGCAAUCAAAUCAGGGGUUGCUCCAUCUAAGCCCAAAACUGCUCCUAAGACUGCUGCUCCAGCUCCAAAGCCAAAACCCAAGAGGAGCACCAGGAACAUCCCUGCUGAGGAGAAAAACAAGGCCCCGGUGCCUUAGGCUACUGAAGAAGAAGAAGAAUAUGAUUCUGUUAUUUUGAGGAAGCUGAAGCCCAAGAUCCCUGAUCACAAUGAUGCACACCCAGUUGCAGAGAACAUAAAAAUCAGGAAGGGUUCAGGAUUAAGGCUAUGGAGAGAGUCUGAUCCAUAUGCCACUAGGAGAAGGACUGCUGUGGACUACAGAUUCCACACUAAGGAACAGCAGGACUUCUAUGAGACUGUUUUACUUGACAAGAAGCCCAUAGUGUGUGACAUGAGAUGGGUUGAUUGGAAAUUCAUCAAGGAGAAUGAGGAUCACUUCCCUGGUGUAUAUGACAGCUUCAAGGCAUGUGGAGUUGAUGAGUUUGUGGCUCAGAAGUUCACCAAGUGGAAUGAUGAGUUCAUUGUGCAAUUCUACUCCACUGCACACUUCUAUCCAGAUGGAAGGAUUCUGUGGAUGUCUGAGGGUACUAGGUACCAGUCUACUGUUGAAGAAUGGGCAAAACUCAUAAAUGCUCCUGAGGAACAUGAGGAUGACUUGGAUGUCUAUGCCAAGAAGAAGAAAGACCACAACUCUAUGGCAAAUAUGUACAAAGAGAUCCCUAAUGAUGCUUUGGACACACAUAAGUUUGGAUCUGUACACUAUUUGUUGUCUGGUCUGCCUACAAUCAAUUGGAUUCUGAGGCACACACUUCUUCCCAAGUCAGGUGAUCACAAGAUGAUCAGAGGACAUGCUAUCAACUUGCUACACAUAUUUGAUGUCCCAUAGAAGUUCAAGGUUAUGAGCCUGAUUGUGGAAACAAUCAAGAGGACUGCAGCUGAUCAGAAGAGAAGUUGUGGAUAUGCCCCACACAUCCAGGAGCUCAUUAACUCAAAGAUGGGCAAGGGCAAGUACAUCUUGACAAAGAGCAUCUUCCCAUCUAUCCUGAAUUUGAGGACAACACAGUAGUCAUGACUGAGAAUGAACCAUCAUCUGUGAAAGCACAAGAGAAGAAAGCCAAAGCUAAAGCUGAGAAGGCUGCAAAGAUGCCAACUAUGGAAGAGGCAUCUCAGGUCUUCUUGAAGAGCAAGCAAGACCAGCUUGGAUAUCUGAUCCAAUCCACUCUGAGGAUUGAGCAGGGCCUGGCCACCCUGACCAAAAACCAGGAGAGCUUGGAAAGGAUUGUUGAGACAAAAUUCUAUGACCUUGAUGUCAAGAUCACAGAGAUCCAAAAUGCAGUUGAGCAACUUCAGGAGGAAGCAGAGGAGAAGAAGGGAAAGUCUACCACAGAUGCAUUUGCUAGAGUGCCCAGAGGACAGAGAUCUGCUGCAGUGCCAGUGACAGACACUAGAGCUACAGCAUCAGCACCAGCAGCUACAGCUCCAGUCCCAACUCCAACAGCUACUCCACCAGCUCCAGCCACUUCAUCAGAAGCUUUUGUCCUCGGCGUUCUCUCAACACCACCUCCCGAAGAUCAAGCCCGAGAGUCGUUUAGCACUAUGCAUUUUUGAAAUUUUUGGUAACUUGUGCCAAAGGGGGAGAAAAAUGUAUAGAUCAUAGGCUUCGAGAGAGAGAGAGUGUUGGUUUUUAUCUCUCUUUGCACUCUUUUUGGUUGGUUUGAAACUUUAUUGCGUGCUUGUGUGAUACUACUUAAUGUCCUUGUGAGAUACUUAUUUGGUCAAGUGUUUGAUCAUAUGCUACCCUUAAUGCUUGUUGGUUAAUGCUAUCUUUCAUAUCCUAUUAUGAUCAUUCACUUUGCUUGGUGAUGAGUGCAUACUUUUAAUUUCUAUCAUUUUGAGCGCUCCACCAACAUGUAUGUGACAUGGAAGAGUAACCCAUGAUACUAAUCGAUUAUGCAUUUGCAUUCAAAAGCAAAUCUUAAAUAAUGCACAAAUUUAGGGGGAGGUCUUGCUUAUCACAUACUUCUCAAAGCGACGAUGUCUUUCAAUCUUAUUUAUCAUUUGUCGAAGCUUUGAUCUAUAUGUUGUCAUCAAUUACCAAAAGGGGGAAAUUGAAAGUGCAACUAUCCCUGGGUGGUUUUGGUAAUUCCUAACAACAUAUAGCUCAUUGAGCUAAUGCUAUUCCAAGAUAAAUAUUUCAGGAAAGCUCAAUGUUUGGCAUGGCAUGGAUUAGAAAGUGGACCCUUCAAAAUGCUAAGGACAAAGGAUUGGCUCAAGCUCAAAGCACAAGACUCUACAUUUUCUAUUUUAGUGAUCCAAGAUCACAUUGGGUCUAUAGGAAAAGCCAAUACUAUUAAGAAGGGAUGAGGUGUUGCUUGAGGAUCUUGCUCAAAACGCUUAGUGAUAUGCUCCAAAACCCUCCACUACUUUCUCAUAUCCACAUAUGUCCAAAACCAAAAGUCCAACUCGGCCCCAUCGAUUAUGUCCAUCCGGAGCCACCAAGUUCAGUUGACAUAGCUACUGCCAGAAACCCUAAUCAAUUCGGUCUCACCGAUAGGGAUCUCGGUCUCACCGAGAUGGGAUUGCAAACUCUCUGUUUCCCUUCGUAACGUUCGGUCAAACCGAGAUGAGCGAUCGGUCCCACCGAGAUUGCAAUGCAAACUCUCUGUUUCCUCUUCGUAACGUUUCGGUCCAACCGAGAUGAGCGAAUCGGUCCCACCGAGUUUGCCUGACCAACUCUCUGUUUGGCUAUUACCAAAAUCAGUCUCACCGAGUUUGUGUAAUCGGUCUCACCGAGAUUACGUUAUGCCCUAACCCUAAUGACAUCGAUGAGGGAGUCCUGGAUUAGGGGGUCCUCGGACAGCCGGACUAUAUCCCUUAGCCGGACUGUUGGACUAUGAAGAUACAAGAUUGAAGACUUCGUCCCAUGUCCGGAUGGGACUCUCCUUGGCGUGGAAGGCAAGCUUGGCAAUACGGAUAUGUAGAUCUGCUCCCUUGUAACCGACUCUGUGUAACCCUAGCCCCCUCCGGUGUCUAUAUAAACCAGAGGGUUUAGUCCGUAGGACAACAACAAUCAUACCAUAGGCUAGCUUCUAGGGUUUAGCCUCUAUGAUCUCGUGGUAGAUCAACUCUUGUAAUACUCAUAUCAUCAAGAUCAAUCAAGCAGGAAGUAGGGUAUUACCUCCAUCGAGAGGGCCCAAACCUAGGUAAACAUCAUGUCCCCCGCCUCCUGUUACCAUCCGCCUUAGACGCACAGUUCGGGACCCCCUACCCGAGAUCCGCCGAUUUUGACACCGACAUUGGUGCUUUCAUUGAGAGUUCCACUGUGCCGUCACCGUAAGGCUAGAUGGCUCCUUCGAUCAUCGGCAACAAUGCGAUCCAGGGUGAGGUUUUUCUCCCCGGACAGAUCUUCGUAUUCGGCGGCUUCGUACUGCGGGCCAACUCGCUUGGCCAUCUGGAGCAGAUCGAGAGCUACGCCCCUGGCCAUCAGGUCAGGUUUGGAAACUUGAACUAUACUGCCGACAUCCGCGGAGACUUGAUCUUCGACGGAUUCGAGCCCAUGUCAGGUGCACCGCACAAUCACGACGAGCAUGACUUAGCUCUGCCACCGGACAAUGUUCGGGAGAUCACACCUGCAACUACUCCGGCCCUCGAUCCGGAACAAAUUGCGCCAUCUAAGGACGGGUGGAUGGACCCCGCCACGGAGGCCGCACACUCAGUGACGAUAGAGCCGAAUACUGACUUCACCUCCUACGAGACCCAUGUUGCCGAACCGUUGGAUUCGUCCCCGGCCACGGGCCCCCGCCACGGAGGCCGCACACUCAGUGGCGAUAGAGCCGAAUACUGACUUAUCUUCAGCACUCGCCCUUCGGCGACGUGCUAAACUCAUUGAAGUCUCUCUCCCUGUCAGGAGACCCUUGUCCGAACUAUGUCCGGCUAGAAUGGGAUGCGGACGACGAAGAAAUUCGCUCCCCACCCACCACCCACUUAGUAGCCACUGUCGACGAUUUAACCGACAUGCUUGACUUCGGCUCCGAAGACAUCGAUGGUAUGGACGACGAUGGAGGAGACCAACAAGAACCACCGCCCACAGGGCGCUGGACUGCCACCUCAUCAUAUGACAUAUACAUGGUGGACACCCCCAAAGAAGGCAAUGGCGAUAAGACAGCGGAGGAUAAUCCCUCCAAGAAGCAAUCCAAGCACCGGCGUCAACGGCGCCGCUCUAAGUCCCACCAUAGCAAAAGCAGCGAUACCGGCACAAGAGACAAUAAUGCUCCGGAUAGUGCCGAGGACGACGACAAUCCCCUCCAGCCAAACCUCGAGCGGGAGGAUGAACAAGCUAGCCCUCCGGAAUAGGCAGCAGAUGGAGAAUCAGAGGAUGACAAUUACAUGCCUCUCUCCGAAGACGAGGUGAGCCUCGGCGACGAAGAAUUUAUCGUGCCUGAGGAUCCCGUCGAGCAGGAGCGCUUCAAGCGCCGGCUUAUAGCCACAGCAAACAGCCUGAAGAAAAAGCAACAACAGCUUCGAGCUGAUCAAGAUCUUCUAGCGGACAGAUGGACUGAAGUCCUGGCGGCCGAGGAAUACGAACUCAAGCGCCCAACCAAGAGUUACCCAAAGCGCAGGUUGCUACCCCAACUCGAGGAGGAAGCAUUAAAACCCACAUCACCAGCGUAUGAUAUGGCUGAUCGGCCACCUCGUGGCCGAGACAGAGGGGCAUAUCAGCCCGAAGUCCAACCCGCACCCCGUCGCUAGACAAACAAAAACACAAAGGCCCGGGGCAAUACGCGGGACCUGCGAGACAUAUUGGAAAACAAAGCAGGACAUACAAGAUCGAUCUACGGAUCACGGGGGCGCGCCCCAACGUGGGACGAUGAUCGUCACGCCGGAUAUACUAAAAGCAAAUCCGGCCGGGCCAAAUACAGCAGACAAGACUCGUAUGAACUGCGUCGUGAUAUAGCCCGGCACAGAGGCGCCGCACACCCCCUAUGCUUCACUGAUGAAGUAAUGGAUCACGAAUUCCCAGAGGGUUUUAAACCCGUAAACAUUGAAUCAUAUGAUGGUACAACAGACCCCGCGGUAUGGAUCGAGGAUUUCCUCCUCCACAUCCACAUGGCUCGCGGUGAUGAUCUACAUGCCAUCAAGUACCUCCCACUAAAACUCAAAGGACCAGCUCGGCAUUGGCUGAAUAGCUUGCCAGCAGACUCCAUUGGCAGUUGGGAAGAGUUGGAAGAUGCAUUCCUUGACAACUUCCAGGGCACUUAUGUGCGACCACCAGAUGCUGAUGACUUGAGCCAUAUAACUCAGCAGCCAGGCGAAUCGGCCAGGAAAUUCUGGACCCGGUUUCUAACUAAGAAAAACCAAAUUGUCGACUGUCCGGAUGCAGAGGCCUUAGCGGCAUUUAAACAUAACAUCCUGGACAAGUGGCUCGCCCGACACCUUGGCCAAGAGAAGCCGAAGUCCAUGGCAGCCCUCACGACACUCAUGACCCGCUUUUGCGCUGGCGAGGAUAGCUGGCUGGCUCGAAGCAACAACACAUCAAGGAAUCCUGGCACUUCAGAUGCCAAAGAUACUAACGGCAGACCACGUCAUAACAGACACAAGCGCCGCAACAACGGCGAUAACGCCGAAGACACGGCAGUCAAUGCCGGAUUGAGUGGCUCUAAAUCCGGUCAGCGGAAAAAGCCGUUCAAAAGAAGCAAUCCAGGCCCGUCCAGUUUAGACCGCAUACUCGAUCGCUCGUGUCAAAUUCACGUCACCCCCGAUAAGCCAGCCAAUCACACCAACAGAGAAUGCUGGGUGUUCAAGCAGGCCGGCAAGUUGAAUGCCGAAAACAAGGACAAGGGGAUGCAUAGCGACGAGGAGGAGGAGCGGCCGCCGAACACAGGAGGACAGAAGAGGUUCCCUCCACAAGUGAAAACGGUGAACAUGAUAUACGCAACCCACAUUCCCAAGUGGGAACGGAAGCGCGCACUAAGGGACGUCUAUGCGAUGGAGCCAGUCGCCCCAAAGUUCAACCCAUGGUCCUCUUGUCCGAUCACCUUCGAUCGUAGGGACCACCCCACUAGUAUCCGUCAUGGCGGAUCUGUCGCAUUGGUCCUUGACCCCAUCAUUGACGGAUUUCACCUCACUCGAGUCCUUAUGGACGGUGGCAGCAACCUGAACCUGCUCUAUCAGGAUACAGUGCGUAAAAUGGGCAUAGACCCCUCAAGGAUCAAACCCACCAAAACCAACUUUAAAGGUGUAAUCCCAGGUGUAGAGGCCUGUUGCACGGGCUCAAUCACACUGGAAGUGGUUUUCGGGUCUCCGGACAACUUUCGAAGCGAGGAGUUAAUCUUCGAUAUCGUCCCCUUUCGCAGCGGCUAUCACGCACUGCUCGGACGAACCGCAUUUGCCAGAUUCAAUGCGGUACCACAUUACGCAUACCUCAAACUCAAAAUGCCAGGACCGCGCGGGGUUAUAACAGUUAAUGGAAACACAGAACGCUCGCUCCGCAUGGAGGAGCACACUGCGGCCCUCGCAGCAGAAGCACAAAGCGGCCUUUUAAGGCAAACCGCCAAUUCGGCGAUAAAGCCCCCGGACACCUUCAAGCGAGUCCGGAGUAAUCUGCAACAGGAUGCCUGGCACGUUUAGAGCUCGCCUAGAAAUUCGGCAUCCGUCCUAGUCCCAGUCAAGCGACGAAAUCUGUGCCGCACGUACAUAAUUACGCACUAAAAAUACCAUGGGCAUAGGCGGGGGCAUGGCCAGGACACGUCCCACAAUGCGGCUCAACCGCCCCAGGGGCUGUAUAUCUUUAUCAUUCUCUCUCUUUCAAGACCUUACUCUCUGGAAGCCCUUUUCGGCAGUCUGAUUGCUGGAUACAUUACGUGAAGGAAAAACCAAGGAGGCAAGAAGGUAAGACAUACAAGGGAAUCCCCAGGUGGUCUAUGAUAACGAUCGAAGUACCCGUUUUAAAUACCCAUACGCAACUUGCCCUUGGAUAGGACAUGUCAAACAGUCCUAUUUUUUGCUUAUUGCACUACUUGUACCCGUAUGCUUCGACGUAUUAUUUAAUAACAAUGCAUAGAGUUAGUCUAUUAUUGCAUUACCUUUUUUUCUUGUCUGCUUAUUUACGACAAAUUGCACCCGUACAUUCUGGUACGACCAGUGCGCCAGGGGCUUCAGUAUACCCCAUAAUACGGCGUGAGAAGUCCGAACACUUUUGACAGUGCGACACCCCGAACUUAUAGCAUUAUCUGCAUCAGCUCCGAAUCAUGUCUUGGGUCAAUAGUUGGGUUUGCCCGGCUCCCAUGUUUUGGUACCUUACGUUCCGCAAUAUCGGCUAAGGUAGCGCUGGGAGAACUACUGCGAUUGUGUCCCGGUUCUUGCGGACGAGCACCUCAGUAGAGAAAGCCGAAAACUGACUGUCAUGAUAAGGCGAGAGUUGGUCGCUGUUCGAGAGGUCUCAAGUCCUUAAAGACUUUUUCCGCUUCGGGCGAGGAGUCGGCCUUGCCCGACUUAGGCGUAUAUAGCGCCCCAAAUUCGGCCUUCCAAAUACUAGGGGCUUCGCCAAAAUUUAAAAUUGUAGACUUCUAUGGCUAAGUGAGAGUGAUAAAGCUUUCUAAUCCGUUUGCCUGGUUCGCUGUGCUGAACACCUCCUUCGAAGGACCCAAAAUUAGGAUAAAGAGUGCUUAGGUUUAUCCCAAACACCCCAGUACUAGUUACAUGGGGGCAGAAGCCGACGACUAGCCAACUCUCAGAUUUCAUAAACGGUCGCACAGAAGGUAAUAUUUUAAAUUAGCAAGCAUUGCAUAGCGCACAUGAACUCGUUUCAUAUUACAGGAUCACAUGAGUACAUUCAUUCGAAUAUUACAUCCUUAACACAUUCCUCCGCCACAAGGCGAGAACCCUUCAGGACACUGUUAUAAUACAUUUCGGGGUGGCGAUGCUCCUUGCCUUCCGGCGGCCCAUCCUUCACCAGCUUUUCGGCGUCCAGCUUCGCCCAGUGCACCUUCGCCCGGGCAAAAGCCCUGCGCGCACCCUCGAUGCAGACGGACCGCUUUAUGACUUCAAGCCGUGGGCAGGCAUUCACAAGCCGCCUCACCAGGCCGAAGUAGCUAUCAGGCAGGGGCUCACCAGGCCACAUCCGGACUAUAAGACCCUUCAUGGCCUGUUCGGCCGCCUUGUGGAGCUCGACCAGUUGCUUCAGCUGGUCGGUCAAGGGCAUUGGGUGUUUGGUCCCAGUAUACUGAGACUAGAACAACUUCUCCAUCGAGCUCCCCUCCUCAGCCCGGUAGAACUCUGCGGCAUCCGACACACUGCGGGGUAGAUCUGCGAACGCUCCUGGAGAGCUCCGAACUCGGGUAAGUAAAAAGAAAGUUUCCUUCACAUGCUUGCUUUGCAUAAUGAAUGCCUUACCCGCUGCUAUCUUCUUAACCGCCUCAAUUUCCCAGAGGGCCUUUUGGGCUUCGGCCUUGGCAUGUUGUGCGCUUUCGAGGGCCUUCGCAAGCUCGGACCCUUGUGUCUUAGAGUCAAGCUCCAAGGACUCGUGUUUUUUGGCGAGAGCCUGGAGCUCUUGCUGCACCUCGCCUACUCGGGCUUCUUGCUUUUCUCGCUCGAUGCGCUCCUUGGCCGCUUUGUCUUCGGCCUCGGAUAGCGCCUUCUGCAGGGACGCCACUUCGGUCGUGGCCCCUAGCAAAAUUCAUGACGAUCCUAUUAUUCUAAAAACCAAAUUUUUUAUAAUAUACAAACGGGGUAUCACUUACCUUCGUUCUCUUCGAGCUACCUCUUGGUAAGGCAGAGCUCUUCCUUUGACCGCUCAAGGUCCCGCUUCAGUGCGGCGACCUCCGCAGUACGUGCGGCAGCGGCUAGCAGUGAAGCCUGCAUAUGCACAUAGACAUAUUCCGAUUAGACUCCUGCGGUUAUUAUUUGAUCCUCUAUUCGGCCUUCCUUUGCGAAUGCCAAACAGAGCAUCAGGGGCUACUGUCUAUGCGGUGACAUUCUCUUAUAAUCUGGGUACUUACCUCAAAGCCUGUUAGGAGGCUGGCACAGGCUUCAGUCAGUCCUCUCUUGGCGGACUGAACCUUCUUGACCACCGCACUCAUAAUGGUGCGGUGCUCUUCAUCGAUGGAAGCGCCGCGAAGCCCUUCCAGCAAGUUGACCGAUGCCUCUGGAUGAACAGAGGCCAUCAGCACACACGGCUUGCCCCCCUUAGCGAGGGGUUGCCGGACAGAAUCCGGAACCACUGGAGGUUCCGGCGCCGUAUUCAGCUUGGGGCUAGACUUUCCGCCCCCGGCGUUAGGGCCCAGAGGAGUCUUGCCCCUCGUGCGCCCAGCGCCAAGAAUGUCGCCUUGAAGCGUCUCCGGAACUGUCUCCCCUUGGUUCAGUCCCCUUUGAGACAACACCUCGGCGUCGUCCGUAGGGCAGGGGGAGGAGGCGGUCUGGAGUGAAUUGUUGUUCCUAUCCGACGGGCCCAGAGAAUCAUCUGACGAAGAUACGUCGAUGUGGGCUCGGGAUGGGCUGCAUAAUCAUGCGCGGCAUGAUAAGAAACAGUACAAUAAGACGUACCAAGAAUUGUUAGGAUAUCCAGAUACUCACGACUUUGCCAGGGGCUUGUCCCUGGGCAACCACUCCUCGUUGCUGAAAGCGGCCGUCGUGGAGCAGUCCGGGAGGAGGGUCCUUCCCUUCUUGGACCCUUCGGCCUCCCCUGAUGGGGCGACCUUCCUUUUCUUGUCCUCCCCGGCUGGGGGGGAGAACUUUCCUCUUCUUCCUCCUCGUUUUCGUGGGAGGAGUGCACCUCGGUGUUUUCGGACGAUGAGUCCGAUAUAACCUUGCGCCGGAGACCCUUCCUGGUCCCCGUGGCCUUCUUCGCCAGCACCUCAUAAGGCGUCGGAACCAGCAUCUCCGUUAGGAGAGCAUCUGCUGGAUCUUUGGGCAGGGGGGCUGGACAAUCGAUCUGCUCCGCUGUCGCUACCCAGUCCUGUUAAAUAGCGUGGAGGCUUAGAUCCCACGCAUGGUUAAACCAGGGAAAAUGAACAUCUUAUAAGAUAUAAAAGACUUACCGGAUUAGCAGGGCGCUUUGCGCUGAGUCCGCGGUCCUCGGUAAGGGGAGGACGUACCUCAGCGCCCUUGAACAGCACCUUCCAGACGUCCUUGUGUGUCGUGUCGAAGAGCUCUCGCAGCGUCUGGUGCUCGGCCGGGUCGAACUCCCACAAAUUGAAUGCCCGUCUUUGACACGAGAGGAUCCGGCGGAAGAGCAUGACUUGGACCACGUUGACGAGCUUGAUUUUCUUGCUCAUCAUGUUUUUGACGCAGGUCUGGAGUCCGGUCAGCUCUACCGAGGAACCCCGGGAUAGGCCCUUCUCUUUCCAGGAGGUGAGCCGCAUGGCGAUUCCGGAUCAAAAUUUGGGGGCCGCCACCCAGUUGGUGUCGCGCGGCUCGGUGAUGUAGAACCACCCCGAUUGCCACCCCUUUAUGGUCUCCACAUAGGAGCCUUCGAGCCAGGUGACGUUGGGCAUUUUGCCCACCAUGGCGCCUCUGCACUCUGCUUGCUGGCCGACCACCACCUUCGGUUUAAUGUUGAAGGUCUUCAGCCAUAAGCCGAAGUGGGGCUUGAUGCGAAGGAAGGCCUCGCACACGAUGAUAAACGUCGAGAUGUUGAGGAUGAAAUUGGGGGCCAGAUCGUGAAAGUCCAGCCCGUAGUAGAACAUGAGCCCGCGGACAAACGGGUGGAGGGGAAAUCCCAAUCCGUGGACAAAGUGGGAAAGAAAAACCACCCUCUCAUGGGGUUCUGGGGUAGGGACGAUCUGCCCCGCAUCUGGCAGCUGGUAUGCGAUAUCCGCGGCCAGAUAUCCUGCUCCCCGAAGCUUUGUGAUGUUCUCCUCCGUAACGGAGGAGACCAUCCACUUGCCUCCUGCUCCGGACAUGCUUGGAGUAGUUUGAGGAGGAAAUGCGAACUUGGGUGCUAGAGCUCGAGUGCGCAAGAAUGGGUGAGCAAGGAGGAAGAGGGCGUGGGUGAAAAGAGGAAUCCCUGUCCCUUUAUAAGGGCGGAAGAAACUAUACGCCUCCCCACCUGACUGGUAAAUUCGCUUAUUCCCCAAGCGCCGUAAUUGAUGGCGCGGUUGGGUUACCCACACCCGUAUUGAUGAGAAUCCCGUGAUAAGGGGACACGAUCUCUGCUUCGACAAGACGUGCCAAGAAAACCGCCUCGCAAUGUGUGCAGUAGCUGGUUGAGAAAAACGGUUCGAAUAAUGACCGAGUCGUGGUGUGAUGUCAUGCUGCCGAAUGUGUCAGCGGAUUAGAUUUGUGGAAAUAUUAUUCUCUCUAUGGUGGUAUGUGGAAUUUGUUUUACAGAGCCGGACACUAUCCUUGUGUUCAAAAUCUUCUAUGGAAUAUUCGGAGGAGGAACCCGCCUUGCAAUGCCGAAGACAAUCUGCACGCCGGACUCAUCGUCAUUGAAGCCUGGUUCAGGGGCUACUGAGGGAGUCCUGGAUUAGGGGGUCCUCGGACAGCCGGACUAUAUCCCUUAGCCGGACUGUUGGACUAUGAAGAUACAAGAUUGAAGACUUCGUCCCGUGUCCGGAUGGGACUCUCCUUGGCGUGGAAGGCAAGCUUGGCAAUACGGAUAUGUAGAUCUCCUCCCUUGUAACCGACUCUGUGUAACCCUAGCCCCCUCCGGUGUCUAUAUAAACCGGAGGGUUUAGUCCAUAGGACAACAACAAUCAUACCAUAGGCUAGCUUCUAGGGUUUAGCCUCUACGAUCUUGUGGUAGAUCAACUCUUGUAAUACUCAUAUCAUCAAGAUCAAUCAAGCAGGAAGUAGGGUAUUACCUCCAUCGAGAGGGCCCGGACCUGGGUAAACAUUGUGUCCCCCGCCUCCUGUUACCAUCCGCCUUAGACGCAUAGUUCGGGACCCCCUACCCGAGAUCCGCCGGUUUUGACACCGACAAUCGGUCCCACCGAAUUGACAUGUCGGUCCCACCAAGAAUCCUAACGUUCACAUUUUGAACUAAAUCGGUCCGACCGAGUUCUCCAAAUCGGUCCCACCGAGUUUGGUGAUUUGUGUGUAACGGUUAGAUUUUGUGUGGAGGCUAUAUAUACCCCUCCACCCACUCUUCAUUCAUGGAGAGAGCCAUCAGAACAUGCCUACACUUCCAAUACAUAUUUUCUGAGAGAGAACCACCUACACUUGUGUUGAGGUCAAGAUAUUCCAUUCCAACCACAUAAAUCUUGAUCUCUAGCCUUCCCCAAGUUGCUUUCCACUCAAAUCUUCUUUCUACCAAAUCCAAUCCUAUGAGAGAGAGUUGAGUGUUGGGGAGACUAUCAUUUGAAGUACAAGAGCAAGGAGUUCAUCAUCAACACACCAUUUGUUACUUCUUGGAGAGUGGUGUCUCCUAGAUUGGCUAGGUGUCACUUGGGAGCCUCCGACAAGAUUGUGGAGUUGAACCAAGGAGUUUGUAAGGGCAAGGAGAUCGCCUACAUCAUGAAGAUCUACCCUAGUGAGGCAAGUCCUUCGUGGGCGACGGCCAUGGUGGGAUAGACAAGGUUGCUUCUUCGUGGACCCUUCGUGGGUGGAGCCCUCCGUGGACUCGCACAACCGUUACCCUUCGUGGAUUGAAGUCUCCAUCAACGUGGAUGUACGAUAGCACCACCUAUCGGAACCACGGAUAAAAAAUCUCCGUGUCAACAUUGCGUUUGCUCCCUGAAUCUCAUCCCUUUACCUUCAUGUGCAAUUGUUUUACAUUCCGCUGCUAUACUCUUAGAAUUGCAUGUGUGGGUUGAUUGCUUGACUUGUGAUAAGUUGCUAAAAUCUGCCAAGAACUAAAAUUGGGAAAAGGCUAGAUUUUUAUUUGGUCAAGUAGUCUAAUCACCCCCCUCUAGACAUACUUUCGAUCCUACACCCUUAAGCGAUGGCAUCUUGACAUCACACGUAUCAUUAUGAAGCGGCAUCAACUUGCACAAGGCGAGGCCUCCGUCGUCCGCGCCCAUGCGAACAAGCUUAUAGCGAAGAAGAUAAGGGAGAUCAAACCGCUUCUGGACCCUUGGGUUCCUUGUAAUGAUGUUAUUAGUUGAGUCGAGAAUGUUCUUGAACGAACCUGCCAUGCUAGCCGAGGUGAUGACGUCGCAUCGAUCAAUGAGUUCCCCCACCACGUCAUCUUUCAGAUCGGGGCAAGAAUAAUGGGGUCGUUUCCGGCUUGUUCCCUCCAUGGAGAAGACGAUCGAACAAUGGCAGAAGGAAGGGUGAAGGCAAAUGGAGGAGGGAGGAAGAGCGUGCGAUAGCAGUUCCAAAUCGAGAGGGAAAGGCGAAGAGUCAGUGGACGGUUGCCAGUUUGCCACAGUACACGAAGAGGCGCCCCGGCCUACACGUCCUUUCGGAAAUUGUACAAAAGGACUCGCCAUCGUCUCACUGACAUGUUGGAACGGGACCACAUGUCAACGAAACAUGGUGUGUAAUUUCUCGUGCAAAAUGCGAUCUGGCCGCGUUGGCCCGAGGUGCCGCAUUAGUUAUUGACCUUUAUUUUUUUAAUGGCGUGCCGUUCACUUUUGAAGCACGACUAACUAGUAUUGUUUGCAGAGAAAAUAUAAACUACUCUACCACUACUCCACCUCUAGUACUAGUAGUAUUAAAAAGAUAUAUAGGCUGGAGCUUCAGAGCUUUCUUGCUAAGGGCUGCCCACUUGCUUCUCACACUAUCACCCUCUCUCCGGAUCUAAAAAGACGACCUCUCUCUCCCUCCUCACCGGUGGUCACAGAUCCGCCGGGGAAGAAAAGGACGUGCAGUGUUGACGCACUCGUCAUCGGCGAGCGAGAUCACGCACUGACGACAAGGCCGCCCUCUCAGACCUAGCGCCCGCGCGGGAUGGCCUCCGUCCCCAAGCUCGCUGCCGUAGUGCGUGCGGAGGACGACGACCACGAGCGAAGCCACUUCCCGCCGACCCUCAGGUAUGCUACCUCUUUUUGAACCAUACCCUUGUUCUAUUGCCCCAUCUGCCACAUCGCUGCACAGUGGCGGAGACAUCACACGGCGAACUGGGGCUGUUGCCCGGGCUCCCAUGGUGCAACUCCAUGAAGCUCUAGUACAAAAAAUUGGGUGAAGUAGAAUUUUGUUUGGGCAAAAACAAAUUAAUUUGGCAGCACUUAGAUCUUGCCCAGGCUCUAAACUUGAGCUGGCUCCGCCACUAUCGCUACAUGUGGAUCUUUUUCCACUCCACCAUCUUCCCAAUUUCUUGUCCUCUGCUCUGCUGGUCAUGCAGACGAAAACCUUAAUUUGCACUAUUAAAGGAAACCCUACUUCAUGCAGACUAAUCCAUGUCUGGGUUGAAUAAGGAAAGGAAGGGAGACUGUACUGUCCAAGAGAGUAGGCAUCGAACCCGCAUCUAGGUUGAAAAGGGGAAAAUCAGUAGCUAAGGAACGAGUCUCGUGUCUCUUGGUUGAAGAAGGGUAGAAAGGCAUGACAACGCAAUAGAGAAUGACCAGGUCGAUCGGUUUGUUGUCCUCACAUAGGAAAAAGGUGGCUAAAGAGAACAAAAAUGGAACAUAAUCCACAUAUGCUGCCUGGAUAUUUGUUGCUCUGGGCAACCAUACCUCCCUCACCACUCUAUGCGUCCGUGGAGGUACAUCGUACUGGUGCACCCACUGUCUGAAUGGGUCUCCCAUGCUCUUAUUGCCACUUUUUUGCUGUUAGUAUAACGCCAGCGGUAAAGUCAAUCAAUGCUACUGCUAAAGUGAUGCCACAUUUAACUAAUGCCGCAGUCAGUCUAAUGCCACCGAUAAAUUUAAGCAAUGCCAUUUAAUGUCUCUGGAUUAUUUCAGGGUUAGCUGUUGAUUGUGGACGUAUUAAAGAUUUUUCAGCUAAGGCAUUCUAAUGUUCUUGCACAACCAGUAUACCAACGAUGAAACUUGUUACUACCUUUAGAUUUUUGCACUGUUAAUGCUUAUAGAUUACAUACCUCACUUUCAUGAGAUAAGUCAAUUAUUUUGUACAGUGUCACCAAAAUGCCAAGGCGCUGAUGUCAUUUUAUUUUGGUUAAACUGCACAAAAAAUUAUGAAGACAAGAGGAAAGGUCAAGAGUGGGCACCUCCUCCUUUGGCUAUUGUAUUGAUUCGUUCGAUCAAGUUUUAUGUUUGAUCGAUUAUCAAGAUUGGGAUAGCAAUUUUUCAUGUCCACUCGAGUUCGAAAUGAUAUUUACCUUGAAGGUACAUGGUUUGCAAUUUUUUAAUACUGUCAUUAGUUAAUAAUGCUAGUUACCUUCAGACUUUUGUAUUUGGUUUAAUGCUCUUGCACAGCUAGUAUACCAAUGCUGAAACUUGUUACCUUUACAUUUUGUAUUGUUAAUUCUUAUAGAAAUCUUCCAGUGCUAGAGCUUAUGGAAAUUUGUUCAGUAAAACCAUUGUAUUGUACCCUGUAAUAAAAUAACUACUCUACUGUUGCACUAGCCACUGGAUUAGUGUAUAUUUGUACUAUUCGAAUGGUGUUGCAUUAGCGUAUGGACAUAUAUAAAGUGUGGCAAGCUUUCCGAGAUAUGUGCUCAAGAAAACUACUACCUGUUUUUCUAAAUACUGACCGUUUCGGUACUUUAAAUUGAAUUGUGAAAACGUCUUAUAUUAAGGAACAGAGGGUGUAGAGUUCACUCAAAUUAUCCCGGUAAAGCUAGUCACACCUUUGUUAAAAUUAAUGUUCAUUAUGUUAUCGGAGGAGGUCUGUAUGUUUGUCUCUAAUGCCUGUCGACAACAUACCUGACAUCAUGAUGUAAUGUUAAGCCAUUUCCUUUUGUACAGUGUCACUGAAUUGUCAAGGCGGUGAUGGCAUUUUAUUUUAGUUGAACUGCACAAAAUAUGCUUAAAAGAAGAGGAAAGGUCAGGAAUCGAUCACUCUUUCAGAAAGAACUACAUAUGCCUUUCUGACAUCAGCAGUUGUUGCCUUAUUUAUUCCUUCAAACAGGUGGUUAGAAACAGUCUUGCUACCUUUUCCCAUUAAGAAAUUGGAAUGCUUAUAUUUGUGAGUCUAUGCUUCAACUAGUGCCACUUUUAUAGUAAUCACACUUUCAAUAUCUAUGCAAACAGGGAUGCUCGAUUUUAGUGGAACUGCACAAAAAGUCCAGCUGGUUCAACAUUAGGAGCAUGUUUUCUUCCAAACCUUUAUAUCCAAUUGGUGGCACUAUGAGCUGUUCAUUACGAAGGUACAUGGUUUGCUACUAUCUUUCUACUCUUUUUGUACUGUCAUUAGAUAGUAAUACUAGUGGUUUGCAUGUGAAUUUAUUGGCAGGGUGGACCUACAUUGGAGGUGCAGGACAAGAUUCAAUGAUUGGAUGCUCAAUUUCGGUUGUAUCGAUUUCACCUCUUCCAUCAUUGCGAACAUGGAUAUCCUUGGUCUGAUGAAGAAUAGGCGCUAUAUUUCUGCUCUGAACCAGCAAAUCAAUUCAGUAUGAAAUUGUCCAGGGCAAAACAUGACUGUAUCAAAUUGUCCAGUGCAAAACAUGAUAGAUUCUAAGCGGAAGAGACAUGUUUAAACUGAAAAUACAAGGUGGGGUAUAUGUUUACUAGCUGCUUGAUAUUUGUGCAGACAAAGAUGUCUGCCCGUUGCUAUUUGGCAAACACACAAAGUGGCCGCAAUUUUGGUUGAACUGCACAAGAGAAUAGUAUAGUCACUGCAUGCAGUGCCAUUUGAAAAUAGACAUAGAAAGAUUGAAUAGUCACUUCAUGGACUGCAGAAAAGUAGUACUGUACUAUUUAUUGGCCAACACUAGGUGCUUCAUUGCUUUGGUGUUAUUAUACAAUGGGCAUCAUUUUGCCUAAGUUAAAGUUUGUAUUCCGAAAAUAGUCUCGCCGUGUGAUCGAGAGAAGAUCAAAUCAUAUUGCAGGGGAUGUUCCUCCAUCAUGUGUGGUUCAUUCUCAUGGUUCCAGCUGUUGGUGAAACCAUUUACGUUUGCAAGAGGAAUUGUAGACUUCACAAACAAAUUUGUCUUUCAGUCUGUACUGAAUGUUGGCCAAGAGAAGCAUCCAUGUUAGUAGGAAGAACAGAUGUUUUUUCUAGAUCUUUGCUUUUGGAGCUACAUAUUUAUAUAUGAUCUGUGAAUCAUUGAGAUGCAGUAACAUGUUGAUCUUAUGAAUGGGAAUCGUACUAGUUGGUUUUUGAAUUUGGGCUACUAAUGUGAACAUAUUACAAUGCCAGGCAUGUGAGUCUCGUGUGAACAUUUUGAACGGAUCGGCUCUUACUGCUGUGCAUAGCAUGAUCCUUAUUUCUGUGUUCUCAGUGUUUACAAGUUACUAACAGUUCCUUAUUUCUGUUCGCUCAGUGUUUACAAGUUACUGAUCGAUCACUAGCUAGCCUACUAAUGCGCUCCUGGCAGUUUUAGUUCCGACGCAAGAUCUUAAGUGGUAGUUUUUUGAAUAAAAAUGCCUACCUCUCAAGAAACUGACAAGCUGCUCUAAAGAAAAUGCCAUGCGAAUCUGAAGAAACUGCCAGCAAAAACAUUCACAAAUGCCUUAUCUCCCAGCGAACGUUCAUCAGCUAAUGCGAUCGUACACGUACACCAUCCGACCUACUCGAUCCUACACGUACACUAUCCGACCUACUCGAUCCUACACGGAUAAAUAGCGGAUCACGCACGUACUACCUCCUUUCCGGUUUGCAGGGCUCAAUUCAAAAAACGACCUACUCGAUCCUACACGAAUAAAUAGCAGAUCACGCACGUACUACCUCAUUUCCGGUUUGCAGGGCUUAAUUCAAAAAUCUAACCAACCAAGGUAGAUGAUGAGUGGUGGAAUCAUUUUUGACAAGAAGGGAGUAGCUCAUCUGGAUGAUUCGAGUGCCCUCGUUUGACCGUCAUGCCGGCGUGCGACCCAGCACGGAUGGGACGCACCACUGAAGGGACGGGAUGGCACAGUCAUAAUUUCAGUUUUUCUAGUUUUCCACGGCAAGCUGGCACGCUAAGCCAUGCCUGCUUAUGCAUUGAAUUCCGAUGACCGUGAUGACCGUCGCGUUUCCCGCGACACGCUAGUUCGCCUACCUUCCGCCUAUAAUUACUGUUUCCCGGGCUUCUCCGGUGGCACCAUCACCCAACUCGCCCUAUCCUCAUAAGCUCCCACCGGCCCGACGUCGCUCGCCACUUAUCCUCGCUCUCGCCACGUCCGACAUGCCCCCGCCUGUCCGCGAUAGGCGACACCGAAGGCGGUCACCGCCGGAACUAGUGUUCGUUUUUUCACCGGAAGGCAGACGGAGGGAGGAGGCAUUCUAUCGGUCUUUAGAUGGCAAUGCGGAGAUCGAGGAGUUGUUGGAGCGCGACCGCCUGGCGGAGGAGCAGGAGUUGUUGGAGUGCGACCGCUUGGCGGAGGAGCAGCGUAUCGCCGAUUUGCGCCGCCAACGGGACAUGGAGCAGCAGCGCACCAACGCUGUGAGUCGCGAGCAGAGCGCCCGCAACUGGGCCGACUAUGUGGAGGCCGGCGCCCGGCAAAUAGCCCUGGAGGCUGUCGGGCACGCACGCGUUCGCAACGCUGAUUUUUACUACCAACUCGUCAAGUGGGUUUCCCGCUUAGAAGCCGAAGCUUCGGUGGACCACGCCGGCAUGGAAAGGGCCAACGCGCCCUAUCGCACCUCUGGCAAGUCCGAGGCGAGGCGAAGGACGCCGGUGCCGGUGUUUAGCGUGUACCGCAGAUGGCGACCGGCAUCGUCUUGUUAGCUAAGAGUAAGUUAGUACUUGUACGCUACUAGAGUAUUAGUGGGAGUAGAUAGUUAACUUGGCUAUGAUGGAUGUCAACGUGGAAGUUCAGUAUUCUAUAUGUGGAUCAGACCUGUUACUUUGCUCUGAAUGUUGAACUUUCCGUUUGAACGUAUGGAAUGGGCUGUUAUUUUUUUAAAUGGGUUGUAUUUGUCCUCCACGGGUUUAGAGGCUGACUUGUGGGCCUACCAAGUUGACGCGUACACAAUCAGGAGAUGAUUGUACAUGGAGAGGAUGACAGCAGGGACCCGCCAAGGUCAUGGCAGUAUGCAAGCAAGUGCCUCCUUAUUUCAAGUCAAUAAAAAAAUGGCUCCUCCUAAUGGAUUUCUGACAUCUGGGUCCCAUGCCAUUGUCAACGUAGUCAAUAAACGAGAGAAUUGCACAACGAGCGGCUGACACCAGGGACCCAGCAGCUCGCCCAGUUAUUUUUGUUUUGGGUUAAUUUGAUAAAUGCCACUCCAAAUCUGGUGUUUCUGAGAAAUGCUGCUGCAAUUUCCAAACUUUGAAAAAUGCCAUUUCAUGCCAUUUCCAGUGACAUUUUUCGAAGUCUGGAGUGGCAUUUUUCAAAGUUUGCAAAUUGCACUGGCGUUUUCCAAAGUUUGCAAAAAUUGCAGUGGCAUUUUUCAAAGUUUGGAAAUUGCAGUGGCAUUUUUAUGAAUCGCCAUAACUGGAGUGGCAUUUAUCUAAUUUGUUCUUGAGACGAAAGCAGGGUGUCAACUGGGCUGUGCGGGGCACUCUGGCCUGUCUAGACAGCCUUCUCUUUUAUGUUUACCACUGACCAGCCGAGUAGUUUUUUUUUCUUUCUGAAAAUGGCUAGCCCGGUUUUUUUUGUGAUUUGCCAAGUAAGUCGCUUUGUCAGGCCUGUUGGGCUGCAAAUCUUUCAAGAUGAGGAGAGCUUCAUUCGGCUAGACGAGAAAAUGGCCUAUCAGUAAUGAGAAAUGGGCUGUACAUUUUUUAAACACAUCAAACUGACAAUUAGUUUCAAAUUUCUUUUUUUCAUUUCGAGAUUUUAAAUUGCAUUAAUUUUUAUGCGUGGACAGUUUGUUGGAUUUUAUAUUGAUAUACAUUUAUUUUUAAAAUCAGUUUGAAUGUGACUCAAAAUUUUGGGAUUAAAAAUAGUUCAUCCAACCUUAAGAAUAUGGGCUGUAAUGCUAACAAAAAGAAUAUGGGCUCCAAAAAAAACCUUAAGAAUUAGCAAAUGGGCUGUAAAUUAUUAGAAAUAAUGGCAGAUGGGUUGUAUGCUGUUUUCCACAGAUUUGAGGCUUUCCUAGAAAAAAGGUUGACGCACAAGCAGUGACUGUUGGAUGUCCAUCCAACGGGCGUCGUGCUUCUUCAAUCUCUGCUCUUCCUGCUCCAGCCGCUCAAACAAGUGUCGGCGGGACUGCCUGCUCCCUCCUCCCCGUGGCCGGCUGUGCUGCCGCGCAGGCCUCAUCGCCCCACCGUACUCCCAUUGCUGGCCUAGCCAUCCCUCUAGUCACCCACACCUGCUGUUAUUCUCCGGCGACGAUAGACGAACCAGUAAACCCUCGUACAGUCGUACUCCCCUCAGCGUGGGAAACAACUGCCGAGUCUUCCCUACCUCCGUGUCGUUCCCUUCCUAGGCCUCGCCGUCGUCCAGCGCCCUGGUGCUCUCGGCGCGGCCAGGUCAACAUGGUCAACGACCAACAUGCAUCUGAAGUGGACUGUACGUGGAGAGGCUGACUGCUGGGUCCACGGCCGCACACAAGGAAAUGCCUCCUUAUUACGCGCAAAAUAAUGAUUCCUCCACCUGACAUCUGGGACCCACCGAAAGGGCCUCUGUAUUUCGUGAAAAAACGUUACCGCCGUUGACAGCUCGGACCCACCAGCUAUAUCUUCGCACGCAAGGAAGUGCGUCCUUAUUACGCACAAAAAAAUGAAUACUCCCCCUGCUAGCUGGGACCCAGUAUAGUGGCAGGCUGACUUGUGGGCCUACUAAGUUGACGGGGACGGAGGGCUUUGUCAACUUAGUCAAUAUGCACGAUUCUAGCUCCAGUGACCGUAUGAUGUCCAUCCAACGGCCGUAGUACUUCUUCAACCUCUGGUCUUAUUGCUCCAGCCGCCCAAACCAGCGCCGGUCGUGCCUCGUGCUCCUGCCUCCCGUGGCCGGCUGCGAUGCGGCGGAGGCCUCACCGCUCCCUACUACUCCCACCGCUGGCCAGGCCAUCCCUCUACUCACCCACAUCCCCUGUUAUUCUGCCGCAACGGUAGCCUCACACUGUAGAGAACUAGUGAACCCUUGUACUCCUCUACGCGUGGGCAUCCACUACCGCGUCUUCCUCGGCUCCGCGUCGUCCCCUUCCUAGGCCUCGCUAUCGUCCACCGCCCUGGUGCUCUCGGCGCGGCGUGGUCAACAUGGUCAAGUAAUGGCUUCCAUCGGACGUGGACUGUACAUGGAGAGGCUGGCAGCUGGGUCCACGGCCGCAGCAAGGAAGUGCCUCCUUAUUACGAGUAAAAUAAUUAUUCCUCCACCUGACAGCAGGGACCCACCGGACGGGCCACCGUAUUUCGCGAAAAAAACGUUUCCCCCUUACUGCUGGGACCCAGCAACUACAUCUUCGCCCGCAAGGAAGUGCGUCCGGGCAAAAAAAAUGAGUCGCCCCCCUGACUGCUGGGACCCACCAGCUACAUCUUCGCAUGCAAGGAAGUGCCUGACAGUCGGGACCCACCUGGUCGAAGCGUACGUAGCAUUGUCAUUCUGGUCGCGAACGUGUACGUACAUACUGGUCGAUGUAGAGGCGCGCACGUAGCAUGUACACGUAUGUACAGCGGCCAGUGUGCAAGAAAGAAAAUACGGCCACGUACGUACAUACGGGCAGGGUCUCGAACGCCUACUCGCGCAUACGUACGGCCAGGGCUCAUGUACAUGGCUGGGUCGGAACGGAGAAAUGGCGUCAUCGUCGUGUUCAUGGGGAGGCAACGGAAUGCGUCGUGUUCAUCGGGAGGCAACGGAACGCAUGGGAGCCAACCGGCUUGGACGGAACAGCCGAUGGAAACGAAGCCUGGCGUACCACAGAACGAAGGAAACGGCCUUGUGUUCGACCGGCCACGUUCGAAACGGGAUCCUGUUCAUCGGGAGGGGUCUGGCGUACCGCAGAACGGAGGAAACAGACCUCUUACGGUCGAAACGGGGGUCCUGUUGAUCGGGAGGGGUAUGGCAUACCGCAAAACGGAGGAAACAGACUUGUGUUGGAGCGCUACGGUCGAAACGGGGGUCCUGUUCAUCGGGAGGGGUGUGGCGUUCCGCAAAACGGGACUCCACGGGAUACUGUUCAUCUCCACCGUCGACCCCCUCCAGCCUCAACGGGCUACUGUUCAUCCACCGUCGACCUCCUCCAGCCUCCACCUGCGACUGUUCAUCCACGGGCUCCUGUUCAUCCAGCCUCCACCGCGCGCUACUCCACCGGCUACUGUUCAACCAGCCCUCUCCACGGUCUACUCUUCAACCACCCCUCCACGGGCUACUGUUCAUCCAGCCCUCCACCGUCUACUAUUUAUCAUGCCCUCCACGGGGUGGUCCUGUUCAUCCUACCCUCCACGGGGUCCUAUUCAUCCAGCCCCAACCGACUCGAACGAUCGGGGUCCUGUUCAUCCAGAGGCAACGCCACGGGGUCCUGUUCAUCCACCCCCACCGGAAACUGUUCAUCCAAACCCCCCAGCAACGCUCACUGUUCAUCCAGAGGCAGCAUCGAUUGGCUUCACUUAGCAGCAGUAGCGAAGGAAUCGCUCGAUCGGGUUCAGUUAACAGCCAUCGAUCGAUCGCUCGGGUUCAGUAACGCAUAGCCUGCAGUGCAAUCGCUCGGGUUCAGUUAGAGCCCAACGCCUCGCUCGGGUUCAGUUAGAGCCCAACGCCUCGCACCCACGCACGUGCAUGUACGAGAGACACGCGCAUCGCUCGGCCCCGACCACCCACCCUAACCGGGAACACCCCGAUAUUUUCCUCGCCCUCGCUUCUACCAUAGUUUUUUCCGUCAUGGACGGCCCAAAGAAUGUCAUGCAGCUGCGUCUCCGGCCCGCCCAGGACGAAAAGCCCAUUUUCUGUCAUGAUUUUUUAUCAUAGAAGUAGGACUCCACCACAUCUAUGAUGAUACCGUGUUUUGUCACAAUUAUUGUCAUAGAAGUGUCAUAAGUAUGACAGAAAAAAAUUCGUUCGGCCCAAAAUGUCACGGAUGUGUCUUUUUUUGUAGUGAAGGGUUCUGUCCGCGAAAAGUGGAUUAGGCGAAGCCUGCGCGAGUCUGUUAAGAGGCUUCGAGGUUUGUACUGAAAAGACCAUUGAGUGUGUUUUAUUCAUGAACUGCAUCUGUGUAUAGGUAGUAGCCCCUGAGACUCUGAUUGGCCUCCCAAGGGGAGCGGUCAGAGGAUCAAAAAGAUAUGCCCAGGAAAUAACCAGAUGAACUGGAACACAGGCUAUUACCACUCUGGCGACUGCCCGGACUACGGAGGUGGCAGAGCUGCGGCGGAAGCUUGAUGUGGCAGAUGAUGAUAUUACGCUUAUCAACAGGCAGCUUGACGAGGUGCAAGGUAUGUCUUCGGGGAUUGUCAUUACAUGCCUGUGCCUGUACUUGAUCAUGACGCUAAGAAUUAUGAUAUGCAUAACUGCAGAUGGUGCUGCUGCGGUUGAGAUCCUUCGGGCUGAGCUGGCCCGUGCUAAAGAGCGGGCCCGGAUGAAUAAUGCGACUGCCGAGAAGGCCUCUGCCGAGUUAAAGGUCGAACAGGCUGCUUGGCGCCAAUGGGAGGAGAGAAUGCCCACGAUGAUGCGUGAGCUAAAGGAUGCCGCUAGCCGCUGUGAAAUCCUCGAGAAGGAUAAUAAAGCCAAAAUGGCUAGUCUUGAUAAGGCCUUACAAGAGGCGAAAGAGGCGUGUUCCGAAUCUAGAGUGGCGCGGGAGGAGAUCCCACAAGCUGGGGAGAUCGCGGCUGGUAAGCCCUUUUUAUUGCAAACUAAGUUCGGCGAUCCGAAUUAUGCUCCACUUAAUCAGGUGUGGAGUUCUCCAGACGCGUUAUUGGACCUGCCGAAGAGUGCUUCCGAUGCGGCGCAGCUUUACCAAGCGCAAGAGGGGUAUGCAACGGGGAAGCUUUUUUGGUCGCAGUUCGGUGCAUCAAAACGCCCACUGUUGUUGAACGAAUAGAUGACCCAAUGGGCCGAAGUCCAUAGACUAUCCGGUUCUGCCAUGAAGGAUGCUGUGGCCGGGCUGUGGCCGAACGAGCCAAUUCCGAAUAGUUAUUUUGGUUUGGUGCGGCGACUUGCUGAUGCGGUGCCGCCUAUCGACGUCGUUAAGUGGUCGGCAUGCAUUGAAGGUGGACGGAUGGCCUUUGCCCGUGUCAAGACAUAUUGGGCGAAGAUGAAGGCCACAGAUGUUGCCGUGAAGGGUCCACCCAAAGGCAAGGACCAUCACGCACCAGAGCAUUAUUUUGAGGAUGUCUUGGAGGGUGCCCGCUUGAUAGAGGGUCAAUGCUCGAAAAACAUGAUAUUCGAGUGAAAUGUAUGGGUAGUUGUAAAAGGCAAUGUUUAUGAUAAGGCUAUUUUGUAGUUAUGCCUAAAACUCUUAUUCCUCCUGUGCGGCCGUUUUUGUAUUAUACUGAAAGUUUUCCAGUCGUCGGCUUCAGCCCCCUCGUAUAAAGUACGUGGGUGUUCGGAAAAGCAUUUGAUCACUCUUAACCCAACGUCUUGGUCCUUUAAGGAGGUGUCAAUGCGGUGAACUAGGCAAUCGGACUAUAGGGCGUUAACACUUUCACUUAGCCAUAGGAGUUUUAUGGGGGGGACUACGAUAUAGCCCCUGGUAUGUAUACGGCUUAUUCCGAUAUGGUGUGUUACAUGUAUGACCUGAAGAGAAAAGGUCCUUCGUAUAAUACGGAGGGAAUCGCGAAAGAUUCUGAUAAGUCAUCGAGUGGUUGACCAGCUCUCGCCGCAUCAUGACAGUCAGUUUUUGGCUUUCUCUACUAAGGUGCUUGACCAGAUGAACUGGAAGCACAAUCGCAGUAGUUCUCCCUUUACUACCCUAGCCGAUAGAGCGGAACGUAAGGUAGUAAGCACAGGAGCCGGGCAACCCAACUAUUGACCCAAGACAUGAUUCGGAGCUGAUGCAUAUAAGGCCAAACUCGCGACGCCGAAGUUCGCUAUAAAGUUGUUCGGACUUGUCGGCAACUCAUUUGUUCCCAUACCGAGCUCGUGGCAAUUUAUGCCGAGGUGUAUGUGUGAAACCACCACAGGAGCCAAAUUCAUUUUUUGAAAAGAGCGAGUGCUGGAUGCGGGCUAUGUUUACCGGGACCUGAGUGAUAUGUCAUAAAUAACAAAGCCGCAACCCCGGCUAUUUGACAUGCUCGGGGUCGAAGGCGGGGGAAAGGCACAUUACAGGCUCGAAAUAAAGAGUGCGGUCUACAAAAAGUUAUUUUGGACCUCCUGUCGCACGUCUGUGUCGCCUGUCCUCAAUGAUUGGAUUCCUUGACGGAAAUAGCCUUUAGGUGAGUGUAUGGAUCCGAACUCCGAUGGAGUCCAUUGAUAUGAUUAGCCUUUGCAUCACCUGUGGUAAAGGAUAAUGAAAAAGAAAGAGUAAUUAGAAAAAUGGUUACGGGAGUGCUUGCAGGCUCAUCCGUAUUGUGCUUCUGCCGAUGCCCAGGGUAUUUUAAGUGCAUAGUUAUGCAUGCGCGAUACAAAUUUCGCAGGUAUAUGAGGUGGGCGGCGGAAGCCGAACUGCUAGGUCCGCUCCGGAAUUGGUCGAUCAUGUUGUAUGGAGACCGGUGGCUUAAUGGCCGGCAAGGUGUGCGGUUUAGUGAGACAGCUUUGUACUUCGGCUGAGAUUGCCGCUAUAUAAUCGUUAGUCUGGAGGCAGUGUUUCUCCUGCUCCGAUGUGGAGUUGUGUGUCACGUAUACCAUAUUCACUGUUUUUACUUCGGGGGGAAAUUGCUUCUGACCCCCGGUAUUUGGUUGGUAAGUCUUUUCGUCAUCGCUAUCACCGGGCGGCCUCCUCCCCUUGUGUUCGGCGUUGAGCUUGCCGGCCUGCUUGAAGGCCCAGCAGCUUCUGUUGGUAUGAUUAGCUGGUUUGUCAGGGUGGCCGUGAAUCUGGCAGGGCCGAUCCAAUAUCCUGUCUAAAUUGGAUGGUCCGUCUCUAUUUGCGUUGAAGGGCUUUUUCCGUUGACCGGGUUUGGGACCGCUGAAUCCGGCGUUAACCGUAGUGUUGCAUGUUCUUUCGUUAUCAUUGCGACAUUUGUGCUUGUUGCACUGUGGCUUGCCGUUGCCGUCUCGGACUUCGGAAGUGCCCGGAUCGCUGGCGCUGUUGCUUCUACGAGCGAGCCAGCUGUCUUCUCCCGUGCAAAAGCGGGUCAUCAGAGCGGUAAUGGAUGACAUAGAUUUUGGUUUUUCUUGACCAAGGUGGCGGGCAAGCCACUCGUUCCGAACGCUGUGUUUGAAGGCCGCUAGGGCUUCCGCGUCUGGACAGUCGAUGAUUUGGUUCUUUUUAAUUAAGAACCUAGUCCAGAGCUUCCUGGCUGACUCUCAGGGCUGCUGGACAACGUGACUUAAGUCAUCGGCAUCUGGUGGCCGAACAUAUGUGCCUUGGAAGUUGUCGCGGAAGGCGUCUUCCAAGUCCUCCCAGCUGCCAAUAGAGUUUUCCGGCAGACUGUUUAACCAGUACCGAGCUGGUCCUUUGAUUUUUAAUGGCAGGUAUUUGAUGGCGUGAAGGUCAUCUCCUCUGGCCAUGUGGAUAUGGAGGAGGAAGUCCUCGAUCCAUACCGUGGGGUCAGUUGUUCCGUCGUAUGAUUCAAUAUUCAUGGGUUUAAACCCAUCUGGGAAUUCGUGCUCCAUUACUUCGUCUGUGGAGCAAAGAGGAUGUGCGGCGCCUCUAUAUUGGGCCACACUGCAACGUAGCUCCGAUGGAGUCCGUCUUCGGUUUUCGGCCCGGGCGUGACUAGGUUUGUUGCGUCCGAGUAGAUAAUCGUCGCCACGCGUCGGGGCACCUCCUCGUGAUCCGUAGAUCAAUCUAGUAUGUCUUGCUCUGUUGUCCGGGCCCUGCCGGGGGUCGUAUGUAUAACCAUGAGCUGUUUUGUCCCUGCCCUUACGGCAAGGUGGGGCGGGCUAGUGUUCGGCUUGAGUUGUCGUUCUGUAGUGACCGCGUUGUGGUCGAUUAGCCGCAUUGUGUGAUGACGGUAUGAGCACCGGCACCUCAUCACCGGACAGAGGUAGCAGUUUGCACUUCGGAUAAUUUUUAGCUGGUCCGCUGAUACGUCUCCAACGUAUCUAUAAUUUAUGAAGUAUUCAUGCUAUUAUAUUAUCCAUCUUGGAUGUUUAAUGGGCUUUACUAUGCACUUUUAUAUUAUUUUUGGGACUAACCUAUUAACCCAGAGCCCAGUGCCAGUUCCUAUUUUUUCCCUCGUUUCAGUGUUUCGCAGAAAAGGAAUAUCAAACGAAGUCCAAACGGAAUGAAACCUUCGGGAGAGUUAUUUUUGGAACGGAAGCAAUCCAUGGGACUUGGAGUGCACAUAAGGGAAGCAACGAGGAAGGCACGAGGCAGGGGGGCGCCCACCCCCCUGGGCGCGUCCUCGACCCUCGUGGCUCCCCUGACCGACUUCUUUCGCCUAUAUAUAUCAAUAUACCCUAAAACCAUCGGAAAACAGAAUAGAUCGGGAGUUCUGCCGCCGCAAGCCUCUGUAGCCACCAAAAACCAAUCGGGACCCUGUUCCGGCACCCUGCCGGAGGGGGGAUCCCUCACCGGUGGCCAUAUUCAUCAUCCCGGCGCUCUCCAUGACGAGGAGGGAGUAGUUCACCCUCGGGGCUGAGGGUAUGUACCAGUAGCUAUGUGUUUGAUCUCUCUCUCUCUCAUCUUCUUGAGGUGGUACGAUCUUGAUGUAUCGCGAGCUUUGCUAUUAUAGUUGGAUCUUAUGAUGUUUCCCCCCUACUCUCUUGUAAUGGAUUGAGUUUUCCCUUUGAAGUUAUCUUAUCGGAUUGAGUCUUUAAGGAUUUGAGAACACUUGAUGUAUGUCUUGCCGUGCUUAUCUGUGGUGACAAUGGGAUAUCACGUGAUCCACUUGAUGUUUUUUUUGGUGAUCUACUUGCGGGUUCCGCCCAUGAACCUAUGCAUAGGGGUUGGCACACGUUUUCGUCUUGACUCUUCGGUAGAAACUUUGGGGCACUCUUUGAAGUACUUCGUGUUGGUUUGAAUAGAUGAAUCUGAGAUUGUGUGAUGCAUAUCGUAUAAUCAUACCCACGGAUACUUGAGGUGACAUUGGAGUAUCUAGGUGACAUUAGGGUUUUGGUUGAUUUGUGUCUUAAGGUGUUAUUCUAGUACGAACUCUAUGAUGGAUCGAUCAGAAAGAAUAACUUUGAGGUGGUUUCGUACCCUACCAUAAUCUCUUCGUUUGUUCUCCGCUAUUAGUGACUUUGGAGUGACUCUUUGUUGCAUGUUGAGGGAUAGUUAUAUGAUCCAAUUAUGUUAUUAUUGUUGAGAGAACUUGCACUAGUGAAAGUAUGAACCCUAGGCCUUGUUUCCUAGCAUUGCAAUACCGUUUACGCUCACUUUUACCACUUGUUACCUUGCUGUUUUUAUAUUUUUAGAUUACAAAAACCUAUAUCUACCAUCCAUAUUGCACUUGUAUCACCAUCUCUUCGCCGAACUAGUGCACCUAUACAAUUUACCAUUGUAUUGGGUGUGUUGUGGACACAAGAGACUCUUUGUUAUUUGGUUGCAGGGUUGCUUGAGAGAGACCAUCUUCAUCCUACACCUCCCACGGAUUGAUAAACCUUAGGUCAUCCACUUGAGGGAAAUUUGCUAUUGUCCUACAAACCUUUGCAUUUGGAGGCCCAACAACGUCUACAAGAAGAAGGUUCCGUAGUAGACAUCAAGCUCUUUCCUGGCGCCGUUGCCGGGGAGGUGAGUGCUUGAAGGUAUAUCUUUAGAUCUUGCAAUCGAAUCUUUUAUUUUCUUGUCUUAUCACUAGUUUAGUUUAUAAAAGAAAACUACAAAAAAAUGGAAUUGAGUUUACCUUAUACGCUUCAUCUUUUUAAUAUCUUUCGUGAGUAUGAUGGGAAGGAAAAUUGUGCCAAAGUGUUAGAAGAAGAAUGCAUUAAAAUGUUUGGCACUAAAUCUUUGAAUGAUGAGCAUGAUUGCAAUGUUGUUAGUAUGAACUCCUUGAAUAUCCAUAGUACUAAUGAUGAUUGCACUAGUUAUGAUGAAAAUGUCUCCUAUAAACAUGUCAAUUUUUGUGGAGUGCAUUGGGUUUGCAAGUACACACCAAAUAGGGAAGAUAGAUAUUGCAAGAGACAUAAGAAUUUAGAAACUAAAUGGUUACAAGAAAGGCUAAAUGUUAGUGCUAAAAAUUUAAAAUUUCUUAGCCAUACUUGUGAACUUUGCAAUGAACAUGGUCAUUUAAAUAUCAAAUGCAAAUUGUUUCAUGAUCGAAUCGUGUCCAAAAAUUGUGAUGACUUGAUUUCCCUUGCACAUUAUAAUGAACUUAGUUUGCUUAUGGGUUAUGAAGAAAUGAAACGUAUAACUAACUAUCUUCCAUUAUUUGCCCGUGAUAAACUUCUUGAUUUUGAUCUAGAGGAAAUUUAUAUGUAUUGUGCAGUGAAUUGCAUUGAAAAUCCUUAUAUUGCCAAUUACAUAAAUAAAAGAAAACAAAUAGAAGAUGAAGAGAACACUAAUGAAAGGGAAGAUACUUCCCAAUAUCCUCCUAUUAUUUCUUAUGAUGAAUCAGGUAACGAGGAGGAGCUUUCUAUUCAACCAAUCUCAUCAAUAAGGAGCUCAAAAAAGAGGGAUAAACCCGCACAUGAUGUGAAGAAGAAAAAGAAAAAACGGAGAAGCAAAGGUAAAAAGGUAUCCCUCCCAAAUGAUGUUGCUCCUACUACUCAUUGUGAUGAUGAUAAUUGCUAUACUAUUGGUGCUAUCCAUACUAUUAAUGAUGAGAAUGAUUAUGCUUAUGAUAUGAAAAGGCCCAAGCUUGGGGAAGCUAUGUUUGAUGAGGAUGACAUAUUUGAGAAUAUAUUUACUGAAAUUAAUGUUUGUCCCAAGCUUGGGGAUGCUAUGUUUAAUGAAGAUGAUGUUAUUAGCCUCCCAAGUUUUGAUAUGCAAAUUUAUAAUGAUGAUAGCAUCCCUCCUACUUAUGAUGAAUAUAUUGAUGAAAGUGGGUUUGGAAGAGUGUCAACUUUAGGAAGUAAUGAUCCCACUAUUUUGGAGGAUGUUGAAUCUUAUAAUAUUUAUGAAAGUGGAUUUGGAGAGGUCAUGACUUUAUUUAGUGAUGAGUCCACUAUCUUGGAAGACGUUUCAAUCAAUUAUGAUGAGAACAAAGUUGCUACUUAUGAUGAUUAUUGUGAUGAAACUUAUGCUAUAAAAAGUAGUGAUGAUUAUAUUUAUAAAACUUGUCAUGAUUAUGAUUACCCUUUUUCAGAACAUUACUCUUUUAAUGUGGAAAUAAUUUAUAGUAUUCAAGUCUCUUAUGAUACUCCCACUAUUCCGAAUGAGAAGAAUUUUGCUUAUGUGGAGAGUAGUAAAAUUUCUAUGCAAGUAGAUCAUGAAAAGAAUGCUUUAGGUGCUGGUUAUAUUGUUGAAUUCAUUCAUGAUGCUACUGAAAGUUAUUAUGAGGGAGGAAUGUAUGCUUGUAGGAAUUGCAAUAAUAUCAAGUUUCCUCUCUAUGUGCUUAAAAUCUUGAAGUUAUGCUUGUUUUACCUUCCUAUGCAAGUUGAUUCUUGUUCCCAUAAGUUGUUUGCUCACAAAAUACCUAUGCAUAGGAAGUUGGUUAGACUUAAAUGUGCUAGUCAUAUUCUUCAUGAUGCUCUCUUUAUGUUUCAAUUCUUAUGUUUUAUGUGAGCAUCAUUGAAAUCAUCAUGCUUAGCUAGGGGCGUUAAACGUUAGCGCUUGUUGGGAGGCAACCCAAUUUUAUUUUAGUUUCUUUCUUUUUGGUUCUGUUUAGGAAUAAAUAAUCCAUCUAGCUUCUGUUUAGAUGUGGUUUUCUGUUUUAAUUAGUGUUUGUGCCAAGUAGAACCUUUGGGAAGACUUGGGUGAAGUCUUUAUGAUCAUGCUGUAAAAAACAGAAACUUUAGCGCUCACAAUAUUAGCUAAAACUUUUUACUGGAGAGUGAUAUUUAGUUGAUUAUUUUUGAAGAUGAUUACUAGACAAAUUCCUCAGGUCCACCAAUUUAUUUUAGAAUUUUUGGAGUUCCAGAAAUAUACGUUUGAUACAGAUUACUACAGACUGUUCUGUUUUUGACAGAUUCUGUUUUCUAUGUGUUGUUUGCUUAUUUUGAUGAAUCUAUGAGUAAUAUCGGAGGGUAUGAACCAUAGAGAAUCUGGAAUACAGUAGACAUUACACCAACAUAAAUAAAGAAUGAGUUCAUUACAGUACCUUGAAGUGGUGUUUUGUUUUCUUUCGCUAACGGAGCUCACGAGUUUUUCUGUUAAGUUUUGUGUUGUGAAGUUUUCAAGUUUUGGGUAAAGAUUCGAUGGACUAUGGAAUAAGGAUUGGCAAGAGCCUAAGCUUGGGGAUGCCCAAGGCACCCCAAGGUAAUAUUCAAGGACAACCAAGAGCCUAAGCUUGGGGAUGCCCCGGAUGCCAUCCCCUCUUUCAUCUUCGUUCAUCGGUAACUUUACUUGGAGCUAUAUUUUUGUUCACCACAUGAUAUGUGUUUUGCUUGGAGCGUCAUUUUAUUUUCUUUAGAUUUGCUUGCUGUUUGAAUAAAAUACCAAGAUCUGAAAUUAUUAAAUGGUAGAGAGUCUUCACAUAGCUACAUAAUUAUUUAACUACUCAUUAAUCUUCACUUAUAUCUUUUUGGAGUAGUUUGUCAUUUACUCGUGUGCUUCACUUAUAUCCUAUGAGUAAAUGGUUGAAUGAAUUGAAUAUCAUAAAUCUGAAAUUAUAUAUGUUUCAUAUGCUUAUCCCAUGGGGAGUAAUGACUUUACAUAUAAGAAUUAGAGGUGGUAAAUUCAUUGAAGGUUAGCAAACAUUGUAUUGGUCACUUGAACAAUUCAUGAUAGAAUAUUGAAGGAAGAGAGAUUUCACAUAUAAAUAUACUAUCUUGGACAUCUUUUGUAAUUGUGAGCACUCAUUAAAAUAUGACAUGCUAAAAGGUUGAUGUUGGACAAGGAAGACAACGUAGGUUAUGUUUUCUUAUAUCCGAAAUAAAGUAUAUUGUCAUGGAUCGCCCAACACGUUGAGCUUGCCUUUCCCCCUCAAGCUAGCCAAAUUCCUUGCACCAAGUAGAGAUACUACUUGUGCUUCCAAACAUCCCUUAAACCAGUAUUGCCAUGAGAGUCCACAAUACCUACCUACAGAUUGAGUAAUAUCCUUCAAGUAAGUUGUCAUCAGUGCAUGCAAUAAAAAUUGCUCUCUAAAUAUGUAUGAUCUUUUAGUGUGGAGAAAAUAAGAUUUAUACGAUCUUGUGAUAUGGAAGCAAUAAAAGCGAGACUGCAUAAUAAAGGUCCCUAUCACAAGUGGCACUAUAAAGUGACGUUCCCUCGAAUUAAGAUUUUGUGCAUCCAACUAUAAAAGCGCAUGGCAACCUCUGCUUCCCUCUGCGAAGGGCCUAUCUUUUACUUUUAUGCAAGAGUCAUGGUGAUCUUCACCUUUCCUUUUUUUCAUUUUAUCUUUUGGCAAGCACCUCGUGUUGGAAAGAUUCUGAUAUAUAUAUAUAUAUAUAUAUAUAUAUAUAUAUAUAUAUAUAUAUCCAAUUGGAUGUAAGGCGUCAUGACCUAUUAUUGUUGACAUUACCCUUGACGUAAAAGGUUGGGAGGCGAAUCUAUAAGCCCCUAUCUUUCUCUGUGUCUGAUUAAAACUUUGAACCCAUAAAUAUCGCGUGAGUGUUAGCAAUUGUGAAAGACUAAAUGAUAGUUGAGUAUGUCGAGUUUGCUAAAUCAAAGCUUUGACAUAGACUCUUCCUGAAAAUAAGAUGAAUUGUAAUUGUUUGAUGACUAAUAACACGGUUUGUUAGUUUUCAAGAAAGUUUAUGAUCUAUACUUUAGCAUGUGAAUAGUUUGUUACUUGAUCAUGCAAAGUUUAAUGAGUUGAGCUACUGUUAUGACAUAUAAUGAUGCUAGAAAAGGUGAUUGAAAUUAUCAUUGAUCAAACUUGUGCACCUGCUAGCAUCCACACUUCAUAAAUUAUUUCUUUUAUCAUUUACCUACUCGAGGACGAGCAGGAAUUAAGCUUGGGGAUGCUAAUACUUCUCCAACGUAUCUAUAAUUUAUGAAGUAUUCAUGCUAUUAUAUUAUCCAUCUUGGAUGUUUAAUGGGCUUUACUAUGCACUUUUAUAUUAUUUUUGGGACUAACCUAUUAACCCAGAGCCCAGUGCCAGUUCCUGUUUUUUCCCUUGUUUCAGUGUUUCGCAGAAAAGGAAUAUCAAACAGAGUCCAAACGGAAUGAAACCUUCAGAAGAGUUAUUUUUGGAACGGAAGCAAUCCAGGGGACUUGGAGUGCACGUAAGGGAAGCAACGAGGAAGGCACGAGGCAGGGGGCGCGCCCACCCCCUGGGCGCGCCCUCCACCCUCGUGGGCCCCUCGUGGCUCCCCUGAUCGACUUCUUUCGCCUAUAUAUAUAUAUAUAUAUCAAUAUACCCUAAAACCAUCAGAAAACAGAAUAGAUCGGGAGUUCCGCCGCCGCAAGCCUCUGUAGCCACCAAAAACCAAUCGGGACCCUGUUCCGGCACCCUGCCGGAGGGGGAUCCCUCACCGGUCGCCAUCUUCAUCAUCCCAGCGCUCUCCAUGACGAGGAGGGAGUAGUUCACCCUCGAGGCCGAGGGUAUGUACCAGUAGCUAUGUGUUUGAUCUCUCUCUCUCUCUCGUGUUCUUGAGGUGGUACGAUCUUGAUGUAUCGCGAGCUUUGCUAUUAUAGUUGGAUCUUAUGAUGUUUCUCCCCCUCUACUCUCUUGUAAUGAACUGAGUGUUCCAUUUGAAGUUAUCUUAUCGGAUUGAGUCUUUAAGGAUUUGAGAACACUUGAUGUAUGUCUUGCCGUGCUUAUCUGUGGUGACAAUGGGAUAUCACGUGAUCCACUUGAUGUAUGUUUUGGUGAUCAACUUGCGGGUUCCGCCCAUGAACCUAUGCAUAGGGGUUGGCACACGUUUUCGUCUUGACUCUUCGGUAGAAACUUUGAGGCACUCUUUGAAGUACUUUGUGUUGGUUUGAAUAGAUGAAUCUGAGAUUGCGUGAUGCAUAUCGUAUAAUCAUACCCACGGAUACUUGAGGUGACAUUGGAGUAUCUAGGUGACAUUAGGGUUUUGGUUGAUGUCUUAAGGUGUUAUUCUAGUACGAACUCUAUGAUGGAUUGAUCAGAAAGAAUAACUUUGAGGUGGUUUCGUACCCUACCAUAAUCUCUUCGUUUGUUCUCCGCUAUUAGUGACUUUGGAGUGACUCUUUGUUGCAUGUUGAGGGAUAGUUAUAUGAUCCAAUUAUGUUAUUAUUGUUGAGAGAACUUGCACUAGUGAAAGUAUGAACCCUAGGCCUUGUUUCCUAGCAUUGCAAUACCGUUUACGCUCACUUUUACCACUUGUUACCUUGUUGUUUUUAUAUUUUCAGAUUACAAAAACCUAUAUGUACCAUCCAUAUUGCACUUGUAUCACCAUCUCUUCGCCGAACUAGUGCACCUAUACAAUUUACCAUUGUAUUGGGUGUGUUCGGGACACAAGAGACUCUUUGUUAUUUGGUUACAGGGUUGCUUGAGAGAGACCAUCUUCAUCUUACACCUCCCACGGAUUGAUAAACCUUAGGUCAUCCACUUGAGGGAAAUUUGCUACUAUCCUACAAACCUUUGCACUUGGAGGCCCAACAACGUCUACAAGAAGAAGGUUGCGUAGUAGACAUCAUCCGCUGAGGCUGUAUUCUUCGGCGGCUAGGAUUUCGGUCCAUCUAUCAUUGAGCAGAUCUUGGUCAGCUUGAAGCUGCUGCUGCUUCUUUUUCAGGCUCCUUGCAGUGGCUAUUAGCCGGCGUUUAAAGCGCUCCUGUUCGAGGGGUUCCUCAGGCAUGAUGAAAUCCUCAUUGCCGAGGCUCUCCUCCUCCUCAGAGAUCGGAAGAUAGGUACUGUCCUUCGAGUCUUCAUGUAUGUCCUGUUCGUCAGGGCUAAAGUGCCCGUCUUCCCGUUCAUCCUGUUCGGUCGUUUGCUCGCCGGGAUCUUCAUUGUAUUCGGCACCAUCCGGAGUGUGAUCGUCUCUUGUGCCGGUGUUGUUGUCCUUGCUGCGGCGGGAUUUAGAGCGGCGCCGCUGACGUCGGCGCUUUGGUUGUGUCUUGGGAGGCUCGUCCUCGGCUGGAUUUUCCUUGUCUUCGCCGUUAUUCUCUUUGGGUGUAUCCACCAUGUAUACGUCGUACGAAGAAGUGGCCGUCUGGCGUCCGGUAAACAGCGGGUUUUGGCCAUGCUCCUCAUCUGCAUCGUCGUCCAUACCGUCGAUGUCCUCGGAGCCGUAAUCGAGCAUGUCGGUUAAGUCCUCGACAGUAUCUAUGUAGUGGGUGGCGGGUGGGAAGCGAAAUUCCCCGUUAUCAGCCUCCAGUCCAAACCGGGCAUAGUUCAGCUGUGAGACCUCCCCUAAGGAUAGAUUUCUUAAUGAGUUUAACACAUCGCCUAAAGGCGAAUGCUGGAAGAUAUCUGCGGCGCUAAAUUCGAAGAUCGAUAACUGAUCAAGCUCAGCGUCCGCGGACGCACAUGGUUCGGAACUUAUAGCCGGAGACGAGUCCGGAGUUCUGGUGACACAGAUGCCACAUCAGGUUAAGUCUGUGUGCGGCUCCAACACCGCGGAAUCUGUGGCCUCCAUGGCGGGGUUGAGCUUCCCGUCCUCGGAUGGCACGGUCUGCUCUGGAUCUAAGGCCGGAGUGGUUACAGGUGCAAUUUCCUGAGUAUGGACCGAUGAUAGAUUUAAAUCAUGUUCAUCGUAGGGAUAGGGAGCGGCUGCCGUGGUCUCGAAUCCGUCGAAGAUCAAGUCUCCGCGGAUGUUCAUGAUGUAGUUCAAGCUCCUAAAUCUAACCUGAUGGCCAGGGGCGUAGCUGUUGAUCUGCUCCAGAUGGCCAAGUGAGUUGGCCCGCAGUACGAAGCCGCCGAACACGAAUAUCUGUCGGGGAGGAAGGUUUCCCCUUGGACAGCAUCGCCGUUGAUGUUUGCAGAAGCCAUCGAGCCUUUUGGGGACGGCACAGUGGAACUCUCAAUGAAAGCACCAAUGUCGGUGUCAAAACCGGCGGAUCUCGGGUAGGGGGUCCCGAACUGCGCGUCUAAGGUCGAUGGUAACAGGAGACGGGGGACACGAUGUUUACCCAGGUUCUGGGCCCUCUCUAUGGAGGUAAUACCCUACUUCCUGCUUGAUUGAUCUUGAUGAAUAUGAGUAUUACAAGAGUUGAUCUACCACGAGAUCGUAAUGGCUAAAACCCUAGAAGUCUAGCCUAUAUGACUGUAUGUCUUUCCGGACUAAGCCCUCCAGUUUAUAUAGACACCGGAGGGGACUAGGGUUGUACAGAGUCGGUUACGGAGAAAGGAAUCUUCCUAUUAGCCAAGCUUGCCUUCCACGCCAAGGAGAGUCCUAUCCGGACACGGGAGAGAGUCUUCGGUCUUGUAUCUUCACAGCCCAUUAGUCCGGCCUAUGUCCAACAGGCCGGACGCCCAAGGACCCCUUUGUCCAGGACUCCCUCACCAGUGCGUAUAUUCAGGUCAUCUGCCUCAUAGCGAGUGACAUGUACAACCACACAAUCCUUGUCUGCAUCAGGGCUCUAACGGAAACAGAAACAAAUUCUGAAUUACUUUCCAGUAUAAGAAACACAAGUUAUUUAAACCACUAUGUAUAGCAUGGCAUCGAAGCUAAUAAAAUUUUGCAUUAUUCAUCACCACAUACUUAGAUGAAAAACCACAAUCGAGAUCGACAAAGAAGAAAAUCACCUUGGGCAGCUCAGCGGGGGGGGAGACAUCCUUGAAGGGGGAAAACUGCUCCUGCAGUGUCGCGGGGGCUGUAACCUCAAACGGGGCGUUGACCAUCUCAGUAGUGGCCGUGAGCGUAUCUGGGGUCAGCUCGGUGGCUGCCUCCAUCUUCUUGGAGCUCUUUGUCUCGUGGGGAUCAGCCUCCCGCGUCUGCUCCAAUAUCGGCAGAUCUUUGCCUGGUUCUCCUUGGUCCAUCAUGAAACUGACGGAUACUAGGAGACCACUGAAAGGAAAACACAAUCGCAAUGAAAAUGAAACAAAAAGAGAGUGAGGAUCGGUUACUGCUUUGCAAAAGUUCUUUUUUUUCUCUGAACGAAAAUAUACCAAUAUCACGGAUCCGCUUACCUUCCCUUCGUUGGGAGAGAAGAGCAGUGGCAGAAGCGAGUGUUGGCUUUCUUGAAGACGGUGAGGGAAAAGGGGAUUCAGCGAAGAGUGAAAUGAUGGUUGCUUCGUCCGUCAAACUUAGACUGCAGGGAGGUGGGGUUUUGUGAUACGACAGCUCGUUACUGCUGCGCUACGACCGGGGUGACUCUCCGCCUGCAUACUGCCUUCUAAUUUGGUGGAUGGCAUUUGGGCCCACGCGCAGCAUUGGCCCACAUGUCGGUGAACAAAAGUAAAACGGCAUUCAGUAGAGGGAGACAUUUCGAUGACCUAGGAGGAGCCAGAAGCGGUAGUGUAUCCACUGUACUAGUAGUAAUUGUUUUUCUGGUAGCUGUAGAGUGUCUCCACUGUACUAGUAGUAGUUGUUUCUUUGGGCCCAAGACAAAAUAGCCCAUCCACCCUAGUAAAUAAUAAAAUCAAUUGAAAAGCCCAUAUAUUUACUUAAUAAGAGGCGCUACCCACACCUAGCACACUGCCCCCCCCCCCAAAAAAACCUCGGUGCUCUUCUUCCUCCUCACUCCCACCCACCUCACGUCAGAUCACUCCACUUGUACCCCCAAAUUCCUCAACUCACUCCUACAGAAAACCCCAGCUCCCCUUCUUCCUCACUACUAUAGAAAAACCCUAGCUCCCCUUCUUUUUCACUCACACUACAACUAGGCUCGUCAUUCGUUACUCUGCUCAAAUCCGUGAGCGCGGCGCGACGCCCUCGAGGAAAAUGGAGUCGGCUGACCCCAGUGCCAAGAAGAUGAGGCUCCCGCCAGCGGCGACGCCUAUUGUAGAUCCCGCACCUGGCAACGCGAGGAGAAGCGGCGACCCCGCCCCCACCGGAUCCCAGGAACCUAUAGAAUCUCGGGUGGACCGCAUCAGCAAUCUCCCGGAUUCCGUCCUUGGGGAGAUCAUCUCGCUUCUCCCCACCAAGGAUUGCUACCGCACCCAAGUCCUCUCAAUUCGGUGGCGCCCUCUAUGGCGCGCCGUGCCCCUUAAUCUCGACUGUCGUCAGCUAUCUCUCUUCAAAGGUUUUGAAAUCCCCAGAGCCAUCAUCUCCUCCCACCAGGGCUCCGUUCAAAGCCUCUGCAUCCCGUCAUGCUACCUGAGCAAGCAUACCAUGCCCUGCACGGUGGACGCCUGGCUGAAAUCCCCUGAAUUCACAGAACUACAGUUGCUUGAGUUCUACUAUUCCCCUGGAAAUCACCUACCAGAUACCGAACGCCAUCUACCUGUGCCCUCAGCACCGAUGUCCAUCUCGCGUUUUUCCUCCUCUCUCCACACCGCCACCUUUGCGUUGUGCGACCUACCAGACAAUCUGGUACUAAACCUUUGACUCCCAUUUCUCAAGAACUUUCACUUGUGCGAGUUCGUAUAUCGGAGGCCUCAUUGCACAACAUCAUCCACUCCAGUUGCCCUGCCCUGGAGUGCUUGGUGCUUGUUUUCACGGUUAGAAUCGGUUGUCUCCAAAUAAAGUUGCCUAACCUUGUAAGGAUUGGAAUUUCUUUUGAUGGAAGGCAGCUCAUCAUCCAAGAUGCCCCUUAACUUCAAAGGUUGAUCCUUGAUUCUAGUUAUUCACCGUCACAAAUAACUGUCCUCUUUGCGCCUAAACUGGAGACCUUGGGUGUAAUACAUGAUCUCUGUGCUCAUUUCAAUAUGGUGUUUGGCUCCAUAGUUCUUCAGGUACUUUAUAUUACCAUCUACACUUGUAACCAUAAGCUGCAUUUUAAAUUUCUGCACAGAAGUUAUAUAUCAUCUCGGAGUACACAUUUUGUACUAAUAUUAUGUUCUAUCCUCAAUGAAGAGUUUUCCAUGGAUAGCCUAUCAAUGGUGCUGGAUUCUGUCAAGAUCUUAUAUAUCCAAAUGAAUAGUUUUGAUCUGAACAAGAUUAUUAGCUUGCUGUCUGGAGAAGUUGUAUAUAAAGGUGAUAAUUUCAUGCACAUUGGAAGCCCGCAUAUAGUGUACUAGAAUUAACCGUUCAGCUGUUGCUCUUUCCACACUCUUUUUUUAGACCUUAACUGUUUUCAAUCUUCAUGUCUAUUUAGGCAACAGGACGGGAUAAGAAAGUUAUAACCAAUCGGUGGAUUCGUAAGCACUGGGAUUUUCUCACUUCUCAUGACAUUCGAUUGAAUACAAUAACGCUAGAACGAUAUGUAGCCAACCAUGCAAACACUAGAUUUGUCACAUUCUUCCUGCUGAAUGCGAGGUUACUAUUGUCCAUCAGGCUUAAGUUUAUCAGCAGCAUGGUUUUGACGGAUGGGUAUGUCGAAGAGCAAAAAAAAGGAGUUUCAGGUGGGCAAAAGAGCUUCUGAACAUGUCGGGCUUCUAUUUACAACAUAUUGUGGUCAUAAUCCAGUAAAUUUUACGACUCAAGAUGUUCAUUCUAUGGACCUGACUGAUCCAUUUGACUAUGACUGCUGAAAAUAGUGCUAGAGUUAGAUGUUGUUGCCCUUUUCAACCUGGGUUUUGUCUAAACCUGAUGAACAAUUAACCCUCGUUAUUUUGUACGGUUUGUAAGCUGGAGUUAGAUGUUCUUGCCCUUUUCAACUCGGCUGUGACUGUCAUAUUUUCUUUGAAACAAGGCAAAUGGCUUGCCAUUCGUUUAAUUUAGAGUGAAAUAUUGUAACAAAUCCCAACCAAGGGAAAUAACAUCACUCUCGCCGGCUGCUUGAGCUCACUGUGCAUUACAGAAGCCAAGUGAUUAGCCCCCACCAGCACCCACAAACUUAUUUCGAACUAGCACACCAAAUGGGCUGUAAAUUUUCAUAGGAAAGGCUGCAUGACCAUGAAAGAUUUGGAUUCUGGCAUUUGGGACCCAUGAGGAAAUAGCCUAUCCAAGGUGGUGUUGACUUACUAGCUAGUCAACAAACGAUUCUGCCUACCAACCGUUGGAUUGACAUCCAACAUCUGUCGUGUAUCUUAUAUCUCUGGUCUUCUUCCUCCAGCCGCCCAAACCAAACCACCCUGUCGGCUCCGCCUGCUCCCGCCACCCAUGGCUGGCUGCGCCUCCGCCGCCCUACCGUACCCUCCAACGUUGGCCAGUCCCUCCCUCUAUUCCCCCACAUGUCCUGUUAUUCUCCGGCGAUGUCAGCCCCAACAUGCACCCGCACCUGAACCAGUCAACCCUCGUACUCCCCUCCGCCUGUGACUGGACCGGCGCAUCUUCCACGGCUCCUGUUUGUUCCGUCUAAGGCCUCGCCGUCGCCCUCGGCCUUGGUUCGCUCGCCGUGCGCGGUGCGCCGCCCUAUUGCGUUGUCAACGCCGUCAACAACCGAGAGGAACAAGGAUAUGAUUGUACGUGGAGAGGAUGACAGUAGGGACCCACCAGCGUCAUGGAAGUACGCAAGCAAGUGCCUCGUUAUUAUAAGCCCCAAAAAAUGGUUCCUCCUAAUGGUUGGACAUCUGGGGCUCACACUAUUGUCAACGUAGUCAAUUACACAACGAGCGGCUGACACCAGGGCCCCAGCAGGUCGCGCAGUUGUUAUUUACUUUUUCUUAGGAACAAGCAGUUGUUAUUUAUACUAGUUUUAGCGACGGAUCAGGGUAACAACAAGGCUGUGUGGGGGCUGUGGCCCGUCUAGACAGGGUUUUAUUUAUGUUUACCACAUCAUGAGUCCAGUUGUGUUUUUUUCUUGCUGAAAAUGGCUAGCCCAGUUCUAUUUUUUAAAAGAAAUACCCAAACGAGGCCUACUUGCUUUAUCAGGCCUGCUGGGCUACAAAUCUUUCAAGACGAGGAGAGUUUCAUUCGGUUUGCCCAGAAAUGGGCUAUACAUUUUUAAAACACAUCAAACCGGGAAUUAGUUUCAAUUUUUUUAAUUACAAGAUUUUAAAUUCCAUUGAUUUUUAUGCAUGGACAAUUAUUUGGAUUUUAUAUUUAUAUAAAUUAUUUUUCAAAAUAGUUUGAAUGUGACUCGAUAUUUCGGGAUUAAAAACAGUUGACCGCACCGAAAUAUGCAAAAUUUCGUAUAAUUUUUAACCGUGGCCACAAUAUGGGGUGUAAUGCUAACAAAAAGAAGAUGGGCUCCAAAAAAAUCUUAAGAAUUGGCAAAUGGACUGUAAAUUAUUAGAAAUAAUGGCAGAUGGGUUGUAUGAUGUUUUCCACAGACUUGAGGCUGACUUGUGCGCCUACUACAGGUUGACGCGUAUGCUUUCCUAAAAAAUAAGGUUGACGCACAAGCAACGUCGUGUCAACUUAGUCAACACACGAGAGCAGUGACUGUUGGAUGUCCAUCCAACGGCCGUCGUGCUUCUUCAAUCUCUGCUCUUCCUGCUCCAGCCGCUCAAACAAGCGCCGGCGGGACUUCCUGCUCCCUCCUCCCGCGGCCGGCUAUGCUGCCGCGCAGGCCUCACCACCCCAUCGUUCUCCUGUCCCUGGCCUAGCCAUCCCUCUACUCACCCGCACCUGAUGUUAUUCUCCGGUGACGACAGACGAACUAGUAAACCCUCACACUCCCCUCCGUGUGGGAAACAACUGCCGAGUUUUCCCUGGCUCCGUGUCGUUCCCUUCCUAGGCCUCGCCGUCGUCCACCGCCCUGGUGCUCUCGGCGCGGCGUGGUCAACGUGGUCAACGAACGACAUGCAUGGGAAGUGGACUGUACAUGGAGAGGCUGACAGCUAGGUCCACGGCCGCACGCAAGAAAAUGCCUCCUUAUUACGCGCAAAAUAAUGAUUCCUCCACCUGACAGCUGGGACCCACCGGAAGGGCCUAUGUAUUUCACGAAAAAAUGUUCCCCCGCUGACAGGUCGGACCCACCAGCUAUAUCUUCGCACGCAAGGAAGUGCCUCGUUAUUACGCACAAAAAAGAAUACUCCCCCUUCUAGUUGGGACCCACCAUAGUGGGAGGUUGACUUGUGGGCCUACUAAGAUGACGGGGACGAAGGGCUUUGUCAACUUAGUCAAUAUGAAUGAUUCUAGCUCCAGUGACCGUACGAUGUCCAUCCAACGGCCAUAGUGCUUCUUCAACCUCUGGUCUUCUUGCUCCAGCCGCCCAAACCAGCGUCGGUCGUGCCGCAGCCGAACCAGUGAACCCUCAUACUCCUCUCCGCGUGGGCAACCACUGCCGCGUCUUUCCCGGCUCCGCAUCGUCCCCUUCCUAGGCCUCGCCGUCGUCCACCGCCCUGGUGCUCUCGGCACGGCGUGGUCAACGUGGUCAACGAACGACUUCCAUCGGAAGAGUACUGUACGUGGAGAUGCUGACAGCUGGGUCCACGGCCGCAGCAAGGAAGUGCCUCCUUAUUACGCGGAAAAUAAUGAUUCCUCCACGUGACAGCAGGGACCCACCGGACGGGCUACCGUAUUUCACAAAAAAACGUUUCCCCCUGACUGUUGGGACCCACCAGCUACAUCUUCGCAUGGAAGGAAGUGCCUGAUAGUCGGGACCCACCUGGUCGAAGCGUACGUAGCGUUGUCAUUCUAGUCGCGAACGUGUACGUACAUACUGGUCGAUGUAGAGGCACGCACGUGUCGUAGUAGAGGUGCGCACGUAGCAUGUACACGUACGUACAGCGGCCAGGGUGCAAGAAAGUAAAUACGGCCACGAACGUACAUACGGGCGUGGUCUCGAACGCCUACUCGCGCAUACGUAUGGCCAGGGCUCGUGUACAUGGCUGGGUCGGAAUAGAGAAGCUGCGCCAUCGUCGUGUUCAUGGGGAGGCAACGGAAUGCGUCGUGUUCAUCGGGAGGCAAUGGAACGCGUGUUGUUCAUCGGGAGCCAACCGGCUUGGACGGAACAGCCGAUGGAAACGAGGCCUGGCGUACCACAGAAUGGAGGAAAUGGCCUUGUGUUCGACCGGCCACGGUCGAAACGGGAUCCUGUUCAUCGGGAGGUGUUUGAUGUACCGCAAAAUGAAGGAAACGGACCUCCUACGGUCGAAACGGGGUCCUGUUGAUUGGGAGGGGUGUGGCGUACCGCAAAAUGGAGGAAACGGACUUGUGUUGGAGCGCUACGGUCGAAACGGGGGUCCUGUUCAUCGGGAGGGGUGUGGCGUACCGCAAAACGGGACUCCACGGGAUACUGUUCAUCUCCACCGUCGACCUCCUCCAGCCUCCACGGGCUACUGUUCAUCCACCGUCGACUACCUCCACGGGCUCCUGUUCAUCCACCGUUGACCUCCUCCAGCCUCCAUCUGCGACUGUUCAUACAUGGGCUCCUGUUCAUCCAGCCUCCACCGGCUACUGCUCAACCAGCCCCCUCCACGGGGUCCUGUUCAACCACCCCUCCACGGGCUACUGUUCAUCCAGCCCUCCACCGGUUACUGUUCAACCAGCCCUCCACGAGGUCAUGUUNNNNNNNNNNNNNNNNNNNNNNNNNNNNNNNNNNNNNNNNNNNNNNNNNNNNNNNNNNNNNNNNNNNNNNNNNNNNNNNNNNNNNNNNNNNNNNNNNNNNNNNNNNNNNNNNNNNNNNNNNNNNNNNNNNNNNNNNNNNNNNNNNNNNNNNNNNNNNNNNNNNNNNNNNNNNNNNNNNNNNNNNNNNNNNNNNNNNNNNNNNNNNNNNNNNNNNNNNNNNNNNNNNNNNNNNNNNNNNNNNNNNNNNNNNNNNNNNNNNNNNNNNNNNNNNNNNNNNNNNNNNNNNNNNNNNNNNNNNNNNNNNNNNNNNNNNNNNNNNNNNNNNNNNNNNNNNNNNNNNNNNNNNNNNNNNNNNNNNNNNNNNNNNNNNNNNNNNNNNNNNNNNNNNNNNNNNNNNNNNNNNNNNNNNNNNNNNNNNNNNNNNNNNNNNNNNNNNNNNNNNNNNNNNNNNNNNNNNNNNNNNNNNNNNNNNNNNNNNNUCGAUCGGCUUCAGUUAGCAGCAGUAGCGAAGGAAUCACUUAGGUUCAGUUAACAGCAAGGGAUCGAUACAUCGCUCGGGUUCAGUAACGCAUAGCCUGCAGUGCAAUCGCUCGGGUUCAGUUAGAGCCCAAUGCCUCGCUCGGGUUCAGUUAGAGCCCAACGCCUCGCACACACGCGCGUACGUACGAGAGAAACGCGCAUCGCUGGGCCCCCGACCACCCACCUUAACCGGGAACUCCCCAAUAUUUUCCGCGCCCUCGCUUCUACCACGGUUUUUUCCGUCAUGGACGGCCCAAAGAAUGUCAUGCAGCUAUGUCUCCGGCACGCCCAGGACGAAAAGCCCUUUUUUGUCAUAGAAGUAGGAGCCCACCACAUCUAUGAUGAUACCGGGUUUUGUCACAAUUAUCGUCAUAGAAGUGUCAUAAGUAUGACAGGAAAAAAAAUCGUUCGGCCCAAAAUGUCACGGAUGUGUCUCUUUUUUGUAGUGAUGGUGCGCCCCCAAGGGGGGAUUCCUACUCCUACUAGGAGUAGGUUUCCCCCCUUUCCUAGUCCAACUAGGAGGGGGAAGGAAGGGGAAGAGGGGAAGAAGGAAAGGGGGGCCGGCCCCCUCCCCAAUUCGGAUUGGGCAUGGGGGGCGCCCCACCUCUUGGCUGCCUCCUUUCUCUUCCACUAAAGCCCAUGUAGGCCCAUUAAGCCCCCGGGGGGUUCCGGUAACCCCCCGGUACUCCGGUAAAUGCUUGAACUCAUCCGAAACCAUUCUGGUGUCCAAACAUAACCUUCCAAUAUAUCAAUCUUCAUGUCUCGACCAUUUCGAGACUCCUUGUCAUGUCCGUGAUCACAUCCGGGACUCGGAACUACCUUCAGUACAUCAAAACACAUAAACUCAUAUUACCGAUCGUCAUCGAACGUUAAGCGUGCGGACCCUACGGGUUCGAGAACUAUGUAGACAUGACCGAGACUCAUCUCUGGUCAAUAACCAAUAGCGGAACCUGGAUGCUCAUAUUGGUUCCCACAUAUUCUACGAAGAUCUUUAUCGGUCAAACCGCAUAAGAGCAUACGUUGUUCCCUUUGUCAUCGGUAUGUUACUAGCCCGAGAUUCGAUCGUUGGUAUCAUCAUACCUAGUUCAAUCUCAUUACCAGCAAGUCUCUUUACUCGUUCCGUAAUGCAUUGUCCCGUAACUAACACAUUAGUCACAUUGCUUGCAAGCCUUAUAGUGAUGUGCAUUACCGAGAGGGCCUAGAGAUACCUCUCCGACUAUCAGAGUGACAAAUCCUAAUCUCGAUCUAUGCCAACUCAACAAACACCAUCGGAGACACCUGUAGAGCAUCUUUAUAGUCACCCAGUUACGUUGUGACGUUUGAUAGCACACUAAGUGUUCCUCCGGUAUUCGGGAGUUGCACAAUCUCAUAGUCAUAGGAACAUGUAUAAGUUAUGAAGAAAGCAAUAGCAAUAAACUAAACGAUCAUAGUGCUAAGCUAACGGGUGGGUCAAGUCAAUCACAUCAUUCUCUAAUGAUGUGAUCCCGUUCAUCAAAUGACAACUCAUGUCUAUGGUUAGGAAACUUAACCAUCUUUGAUUAACGAGCUAGUCAAGUAGAGGCAUACUAGUGACACUUUGUUUUGUCUAUGUAUUCACACAUGUACUAAGUUUCCGGUUAAUACAAUUCUAGCAUGAAUAAUAAACAUUUAUCAUGAUAUAAGGAAAUAUAAAUAACAACUUUAUUAUUGCCUCUAGGGCAUAUUUCCUUCAAAUAUGACAAGGACGAGCUAUUUUUCUGUCCGGUCUGCGUAUUAUACAUAAUGGGAUCAUCAGUUUGGAGCUCGAGUGCGAAGAGAGGAUGGACAGGGAUCGUCCACGAUGAACCCAGUAUGGGAUAUUGUUUGGAAGCUGAAGAUCCCAAGUAAAAUCAAAAUAUUCAUAUGGAAAGCACUGCAUGGUACUGUCGCGUGCUAUGGGGUUCUCGCCUCGCGACACAUUCUGGUUUCUGGCCAGUGCCCUAUUUGUUCUUUAGGCAUGGAAGACAUACGACAUCUACUCUUCACAUGCACUCGGUCUUGGCAGGUAUGGCGGGCAUUAGGCUGGAUGAUAUCAUCAAACAUGCAGUGCCCUCUGACCGCUCUGGAUAUGUUAUUUUGGAAGGGUUGCUAUGCAGUCAGGUGAAGAAAUCACCGGUUCUCGGUGGGCUCGGACUUCAGGAAUCAAUUGUCGUGGUUUGUUGGUAUAUCUGGUACCAACAUCGAGAAAUGGUCAAAGGAGAACAGGUGUUUGCCCCAACGCGCAAAUCAUUUGCAAUCCAGGAGCUUAUGUCAAAUUUCAAUGCGGCAUCGAUAACAAGUGUUCCACAUGAAAUCAUGUGGACUAAACCUAGCCCAGGAUCGUAUAAACUAAACAUAGAUGCGGCUUUUCAUGAUGAUGGCACGGGAGUUGUGGGGGUUGUCUUACGCAACAAUUCCGGUGAAGCGAUUGCGGGUGCUGCUAAACCUAUAUAUCAUGUGUUGGAUGCUGGAUCGACGGAGUCUUUCGCCAUGCUCAAAGGAUUUGAGCUACUAGAAAGACUAGGAUGCUCGGGAGUGACGGUGGAAUCAGACUGUUUGGACUUGAUUAAUGCAUGCACUGGAGUCAUUGAAUUAUUUGGUCCCUCCUCAGCUAUACUGGUGGAAAUCUUCGCAAAGGCACAACACAUUGCUGGAAUCUCCUUUCAGAGUUGCAAGCGGGAUGCAAAUUUAGUUGCGCACAACUUAGCAAAACAUUCGUACGAGUCAAAGUCUUUUAUUUUUUGGGAUGAUGUCCCUCCUAGUUUCUUACUUCCAUUUUUUAUUCAUGAUGUAACUUUGUUGGCUUCGAAAUAAAGUGCGCCCGAAUAGGCAUCCCCCCUCAAAAAAGAAAAAAUGAAUGCACAAUUAUAGUUGUUAUCGUCGUUUUAGAUUUAGCAAGCAUUUAGAUGUCUCUAUUUAACGGAGUCUUUGUCUCAUCACCUAGAUGAUAUAUUGUCAAGUAAAGAAAAUAACAAAAGAAAUCAUGUGCACAUAUUUUUUUAGUUUUUCAUCAAGUUUUUUCUAGAUUACUCCAAAGAAUAUUUCUUUCAAACAAAAUGCUUUCUCAUCAACAUAUACUAUGUUUUCAUAAAAAACAUUAGCUCAUUUUUUUAGCGAUUCCCACAGCAACGCGCGAGAUAUCACCUAGUAGCAGUAAUGCAUAGUUCGUUCGGUCAUUUUUAGUCUGCAUGUAUGAUUUGUCCGAAAUCAAAGUAUCUCUACUUUAACCAAAAAGAAUAUCAACAUCCACAAUUUCAAAUCAAUACUGUUAGAUUCGUUAUGAAAUGUAGUUUUCCAGAAGUAGGAUUAUGAAAUGUAGUUUCAUGUAUAUAUAUUUGGUAUUGUAGAUAUUGAUAUUUUUAAUAUAAAUUUAGAACGCCGAUAUCCAUCACACGUGUGGUAUAUUAGAUAUCCGCUCACACGUCGUGUGUAGCGUGAGCAGGAGGCAGCCCACACAGGUUGUGUGUGGGCGAAUAUUAGAAUUGCCCACCCGUGUGGGCGCAGCCACUUCGUGCCACACGCCCAACAAGUACUACUCAUCUCCACCCCGCACGUGUGGCACGAAGCAAAAAUGCCACACGUCCUGACGCAGCUACGUUAGGUACCCGCGGGAUGAUGAUUUAGUUGCUAUUCGGGAUGGCAGAUGUAGUUAUCCGGGAUGACAAGUUAGUUGUAAAAGAAUGGCAACUCUAUCUGUUUUGGUUAACUAUAGUUGCCAUGUCUAAUUUAUGGUAAUUGCCACGUGUAAUCAAACCGUAGUUGCCGUGUGUGAUUAACUAAUUGCCACAUAUGGUCAAACAGUAGUUGCCAUGUGUGUUUACCUAGUUGCCACGUGUGGUGCAACCAAAGUUGCCAUGUAUGGUUAAUCACACUUGUCAUGUGUGCUUAUUUGGUUGCCAUGUACCCGCAACUAUACAGUUACCGUCCAGCAACGAAUCAUAGUUGCCAUGUGUGUUUAACUAGUUGCCACGUACGCGUAACGCGUAACUGCAGUUGCCAUCCAACAACAUAGGAGUGUUGUGUGGGCGAAAAGCAGUUCGCCCACACGCGCAUGGACUAGGUGGUGACUGUGUGGGCAGAAACUAGUUUGCCCAUACAGCGCAGCUGACAAACAGCGUGGUGCGGAGAGAGUUGAACUCUCCAACGACCACAUCCACCAGCCCCGUCCUACGUGGCACGCAAAUUUGACCUCAGUGUGUCAAGAUUAUGCAAACUGCACUGAACGAUGAUCCACGCGUGUGGACGAGUUGCAAAACUGUCACACGGGCGUUAGCAUUUUUGUAAAUUUAGUCAAGAAGGAGCUUCGUUUGCAGAUUCAAUACUUAACAUGUGUUUAGGAAAAGAAAACGCUAGAUUCUUUCGUUAUUAAUACUUAGCUGUAAAAGUAAAAGGUACAAGCCCUGCUCGACGAGAAAUACAUCUGAUCUGAGCACAUGAACACUAUAGCAGGGCAUCCAAGCCCGGACGCACGCACGCACGCGCACACACACACAAUGGGAAACAGCCAAACAUCCAGGCCGCAUCUCCUCCGUAGUAUAGGAUCGACGAUGAUGAUUGAUGCGUCGUUAAGCCGCGCCAG
rnacentral:lncRNA from 1 species